UCCGCAGCCUCCUCGUAACCUUGCUCAUGAUAUCACUUGUUAGAAUAAAUUCGAGGCGCUCCGUCGAUCUACCAAGGACCAAGCAAUCACACUAGGCACGACACCGAGAUUUGUUAACGAGGUUCAUCGAUAUGGCUACAACCCCGGGGCCUGACUACGGGCGCUCCUCCCCGUGACACCGUCACAAUACCGCACAUCGGCCACCCAGGCGCCGGCACACCCCGCCGCCUCCCCUGCGUACCUGUGCUAUUAUGUUGGCAUAGGUUACAUCGUGUGUCUAUCCUUGUUAUAUAUGAGAGACCUAGGAUAGAAGUGUCCUACUAGGACACGACUCCAUACCUCGUCUACACACCGUAUGACUCGAAGUCCAACUGUAACCUAACUUGUACAAUAAUAUUCGACACAACUCUAACACUCACGGUAGCUCAGGAAGGUAGCAUUGAGGAUCUAGCUGCUUUGUACUUGGACGGGGCACCAAUAAAUCCAUGGCGGCAGCCUCGGCUGGUGGAUCAACGCUUUCUCUACAGUGACCGGUACUCGUCGAUUCCGCCGUCCUCCUCGGACGUGGGUGCGGCGAAGUGGUCAUGGUUUGUGCUUGUGCUGUGGGUCUCCUUGGGGGAGGCCGAACCCGAUCUAGAGCCGUCCAUCUUCUUCAACCUUGGCAGCCUCCACCCAAUCUUACCUUUGGUGGCCUGCGGUCACCGAAGCCGGUCAUUUAUGCACCAGAGAAAUCCAAGGCCAGUUGUGCUGACCACGACGACCCUGCUUCAUGUAGGCGUCGUCCAGGUUGUCCCCUUACCCCCUCCUCAUUCCCACUUCUCGUGUAGAAGGUGAAAACCUAGAUCUUGUCCAAAUUGGGCGGCAACAGAGCUCCGAGUGGCGUCACCCUGAUGGGGGUGCCAUCAUUGGUGCGCAUGGGGUGGAUGUGUACUUUUCUUGUUGUAUGGAGGUGGAUGGUGGCUUGGUCUUAGCUCUGUGUAAGCUCGCUCUUGUUCGUCUUCUUUUGGUGCUCUGUCCCCCUCCCCGCUCAUCCGUUUGUGUUAGGAUCUACGGUUGUUGUGGCUUCUGAUCCGGCGUGCAUCGUUCGCUAGGUUUCUGUGGGUGCAACCCAGCCAGCCCUACUUUGCAUGGACCUGCUCCUCGUGGGCGAUGUGCCCUGUUCGGUUGGGUCGGUAUCCCGGCCUCUCGGUUGAUUAAGUCAUUCCGGAAGCACUUUUUGUGUUUUGCAGAUACCAACUGAUUCUAGUUAACAAUGUAACAUGCAAAUUGAACUAUUUUCAAUCAUGUGGCUAUUCUACUGGUGUUUAGUUUUGAUUGCUUGUUAAUGUACGUUGUAGUCAUGCGUACCAUCACCCCACUACAAAGUAAGAGCAGAGAGUAGUCAAAGUUCAGUAGAGUAGCAUGUCGUUUCCUUCCCUGUUCAGUCUUAUUUAGCCUAACUUGCUUGUUUUUUUUUCUUUUUGCUGAGCUCCUCUAUACUGGUGCAUGUUCGAUGAAAAGAAUGUGUGAAGUGAGAAUCAAAUAACUUUAGCUAAGUUAACUCCGCUUUUCAGGUUAGCAUAUCAUAGCAAAGAAACCUAGACAAGAAAAAUUGAGAAAAUAGAAGUUUGUAUAGGUAAAUUACUACUCCCUCCUAUCUGUAUUAAUUGUUGCAGAUUUACUACAGAUAGGAGGGAGUAAUAGCUAAUGAUUUUCACUGUAGAAAUUCAAACCAUUUGUCAUUGUGAAGCAAACGAGUAGUUUGAGGAAGGCUCUAAAGCAAGUCUCUUGACCAAACAAGUCUCCACUGCACGAAACUGUAAUAAUCUAUGUGUCACGGGAGUGCUACUAUUCUGAAACAGAACAAUGUGGUGUGGUAAUAUCUUGUGAAGUACUCCCUCCGUACCAAAAUAUAUGAUAAUUUCCGGUUUAAAUGGAACUGCAAAACCGUCUUAUAUUUUGAUACAGAGGUAGUACUACUUUUCAAUCGUGAGGGAGGCUGGAAGUAAACAUGGUGUGGUAACAUCUUGUGAAGCACAUUUAUCUAUUUCCCUGAAUUCAAAUGUUGGUGAGGCACAAUCCUACUAGAGCAUGUACAAUGCACAUGUUUUUUCUACUGUGAGUGCUAGAGAGAAUCUUUUUUUCUUUGUUGUAUCAGAAUUUCUCGGUACUGAUUUCCUUCAUCUUUUUGCCUUCCCAUUAUACCCAACUAGUAUUACCGCCUUUUGCAUUUGAGAACAAAAAUGGUCACAUGAGUGCCUAUUGUGCAGCUAAUUUUCCAUGAAGCAUAUGUAAAGGGAUUUUCCAUUUGAGAGAAUGAGUUGUAAAAAAAUCCUCAUCGCUAGCUCUGCUCUAUUUUGAGACUCACUUGAAUGCACUUUGCUUCGCGUGUGUGUGCCCUUACAAGUUCAAAGCGCAGUGCUUGUGUAACUGCAAGUCAGGAAAGAAGGAGCAUUACAGGCUUAAUUUUGUGGCAAACAUUGAGAGUAUCAUGGCCCAUGCUUUGUCACCCAAAUAAUGUUGGAGAGUUUCUAGUCCUGCAAAAUAUCGUGCAACCUUUAAAUAUGAUGGCAAAACAUGAAACUGUAAGUAGACAUCGGGAAAGGAAACUGUUAACCUUUGGAACUAUCCACUCUCGAGAUUGGCCAGGACACCGCAUCGGCAAUGGGAUCUGGAAUUAAGAAAAGCUUUUGGACGUGAGUAUCUAAGAAAAUAGUAGUUGGAAACAACACUCUAUUUUCAGUGUCACGAGCCAAAAUAGAUUUACAGUCAGUAAAUGUUACCAUGGUAUUUUUGUUUUCCUCCAAUAUUGUGGACGAUUUGAAGUUGGAUAAAGAGAUAAACAAAUUAGUAUUCAUAUCCCACUCACUUAAUUGGGUAUCCUAAGGCAGAAGGUAUAUAUAGGACUCCCAUACAGAAUCAUGUGGUAGGUGUGAGCUAACCAUCCAGGAAACAUUGUUCACAUCAUUUGCUACACGAGAGUGCGCUACAAAAUCAUGCAUGUGGCCAUUUAACUUGUAUGUUUAGUUAUCGAUCCAUUUCCUAGGAAGUAUGGCUAUGAACAGAGUGAGUAGAAACAUUGUGUUUGAUUGGAGGAUAAUGCAACACAUGUUCACGAGAUAUAUACCUGUUGCAUCAACUGAGGAAAACAGGAUUGAGAUUAGCCUAAACUGCGGAGGAGAACCAUCAACUGAGGCCGGAAUUAUGAAUGGUAGAACAGAUUUGCCGAAACAUCCACUGCAUGUAACUGACUUUUGAAAAAAGGAAACUGCUAUAAUGUCUUCGUCUAGCGAUUCACGAAGCAAUGUUGCGCGAUCGAGGUUCAAAUUUACACAUAUGUUGAAUGUGAAAAUUGACACACAUCAUUGCUCCAAAGUUUAGACAACUGGAGAUAAGAAUGCAUCUCUCACAGAUGGUUAACUAAUUACCUACCAUGGCACCGUUUUCCUUAGCAUCUUUUGCCAUAGACAGAGUAUCCCAACUUGUACAAAAUUUGGGGGAAUGGUGAAGGAGAUAAUACACCCACAUUACAACAUAUCUGAACAAGAAAAAAACGUGAAGUUCACCAAAGCCGAUAAUAAUCAUGACACAGCCUAGUGCAUUAUUUAAAGCAAACACAUUUUUUUCCAUUUCCAUGCGGUAUUCGUCCUAUUUUCCUCCUAUAAAAAUAAUCUGAACAAGAUUAUUUGAAGCAAAACACAAUUCCCCUUUCCUGCAUCAUAAGGAGAAACAUUUCAGACACCCCAAACGGAUCAAGUGUAUUUCAGACAUCGAUGACAUACUUUUAACUAAUAACAUGAAGAUAAGAAUGCAUGCACUGUGUUCUACUCUACAGAAGACAACCCGAUAAAGUCUGUCAUGCUAGUUAGUUAAACAGUAUCCAAAUGCAUGCAAUGUGUUCUACUCUACAGAUGAUGAUACCUAAACAUACUAGAAAAAAUGGUUAAACAGGAGCUGACACCGCUGGUGCUUCACGACAAUUAAUUGAACAAACAGGUCACGGCCUGACGUUAAGUAGCUGCCAGUACAGGCAUAUAAAGCAGAGGAACAUGGCUCUCCUCUCGGGUGGCCGUCUUUGGCGGCAGCUUGCCACAGCUACGGCUAUGGCUACUUUGUGGAGCAUUACAAACAAGACAAUACUAUAAAGCCAGAAGUAAUCAUACUAUAAAUCUCAAUCACGCCUAGUCUGAUGUAACUUAAACGCUGGUUCAGGAAUAGCAGGGCACAUCACUGACCGACCCACUGACUACUGGAGGCUGUUCUGUAAAGAAACGGGGCUAUAGAAGCAUGUUAGCUAAUCUAGUCGCUGUAGUUUUUCUUCAGUUAGUUUGCUUUCGUCAGACAUAACGUAGCCAGGCGCAUGAGCUCGCGAGUCGUUGUGCGAGCCACGCGCGUAGGCGAUCUGGGUACGAUCGAUGCCCGAUCGAUCGGGGUGGUCAGCCACGAAACCCACUCGUGGGAUGGCACGAGAAUUCGGGAUCAUGGCGCUAGGACCGGGCCACUCUUUCUCUCUGUAACAGAAUAAGUAGAGGAGAUCAAAAACAGAAAAGUCACAAGGUUGUCCGUGACGCAAAAACUCCUGUCUCUCCUCUCAGUGAUCGCAAGCUGUGAGAGAUCGAGCAACCCUGACAAUUGGCAUCAAAGCCGGUUUAAGGUGAUCCCGACGCCCAUGGCUGACACCGGAGCUCAGCCGGACCAGGCGGCGGCGGCACCCCGCAACGGUGGCGGGGGUGGGAGCCGCUCGCGCACUCCACCACAGGAGCGCAGCCGCGGACGGAGCCACGUGAGAAGGGAGUGGCGGGUGGUGAUCCACCAGGCGGUGGCCAUGGAGCGCGCGCCGCUUGUGCCAAGCGCGGGCACCAUGUUCCCGACGCUCACAUCCACGAACUACAUCGAGUGGUCUCUCGUGAUGAAGGUGCACCUGGAGUCUUGGGGGCUCUGGGACGCGAUCGAGGGUAACGCACUGCAUGUGCGUGACGACAAGACGGCGCUCGGCGUCCUGUUCCGAGUCGUCCCCCUAGAGAUGCUUGGCGUCCUCGUCGUCAACGAGACGGCGAAGGAGGCCUGGGACACGAUCAAGGUCAUGCGCAUGGGGAUGCACCGUGUGCGCGAGGCCACCACGCAACGCCUGCGCGCGGAGUUCGAGCAGAUCACCUUCCGCGACGGCGAAACUCUCGACUCCUUCGGCAUGAGGAUCACCGCCCUCGUCAACCAGCUGCGCACGCUGGAGGACAACGUCGAAGAGGUACGCAUGAUCCCGAAGAUGCUCCGUGUCGUCCCCGCCCGCUAUGCCCAGAUCGCAGUCGCGAUAGAGCCCCUCCUUGAUCUGACCACGAUCUCGGUCGAGGAGCUGAUCGGUUGACUGCGCACCGCUGAGGAGCGCUGCGGUGGCGGGGCGGCUCAAGCCAGCGGCGGCGGUCGGCUGCUCAUGUCGGAGCAGCAGUGGGAUGCCUGGCGCCGCGAGCGCGAGCAGGGCCAGGGGUCCAGCUCAAACGGCGCCGGCAACGGGAACCGCAACGGGGGCGGCGGCAAUCUCCGCCGUGGCAAGCCGCAGAACCAGAAGUGCGGCAACGACACUCAAAGCCAAGGCGGCGGCAACGGCCGCGACAGCGCCGGCAACGGUGGGCGCGACAUGUCUAAGGUGAAGUGCUACAAUUUUCUCAGCGCUGGACACUGGUGUGCGCGGCGCCGUGAAACUCGGCGACGGCUCGGUGGUUCAGAUCGAGGGGAGAGGAACGAUCCUCUUCCAAUGCGGCAACUGUGAGCUCAUGGUCCUGUCUGAUGUGUAUUACAUCCCAAAACUUUGCAGCAACAUCGUCAGCAUCGGACAGUUGGACGAAAUCGCCUACGAGACCAAUAUUAGUCACGGGGUGCUCCAGCUCCGUGAUCCCAGUGGGCAGACUCCUCGCGCGAGUGCAACGUAACCAGGGGAGGCUGUACGUGCUGCAGCUCACGCCGGCCCAGCCAGUGUGCUUCGCGGCGCAUGCUGGCGAGGAUGCAUGGUGCUGGCAUGCGUGCUACGGCCACGUGGACUUCCGGGCUUUACGUCAACUCGCCCGGGACGAACUGGUGCACGACCUCCCGCUAUUUGACGAGGCGGAUCGUGUCUGCGAGGCGUGCCUCGCCGGCAAGCAGCGUCGAGCACCCUUUCCUUAGCAGGCUCUCAGCAGAGCCGACGAGGUGCUGGAGCUCGUGCACACGGACCUCUGUGGUCCAAUCUCCCCUCCAACGCCAGGAGGGAAGCGUUACUUCCUGUUGCUGGUUGAUGACAAGAGCAGGCACAUGUUGGUGUACCUGCUCGCGACAAGGACGAGGCGCAGCCCGCUCUGAAGCGCUUCCAGGCGAUGGCGGAUCUCGAUUUCGGGCGGCAGCUCAAGUUGCUGCGCACGGACCGCGGCGGGGAAUUCACCUCUGCCAGCCUCGGCGAGUACUACGCCGACAAGGAGGUCAAGCGCCAGCUCACGACGCCCUACACGCCCCAGCAGAACGGCGUGGUCGAGUGCCGAAAUUAGACGAUCGUGGGCAUGGCGCGCAGCCUGUAGAAGACAAAGGGUGUGCCGGCGCAGUUCUGGGGGGAGGCCGUGAUGACGGCGGUCUACCUCCUGAACAGGUCUACGACCAAGAGCGUGGCGGGGUCGAUUCCGCACGAGGCCUGGUGCAGGCGGCGCCCAAACGUUGAACACCCGCGCGUGUUCGGAGCGUCGCGCAUGUCAAAGUGACGCGUCCGAAUCUGUCGAAACUCGACGACGGGAGCACGCCCAUGGUAUCCUGGGCUACGAGCCAGGAUCGGCGGCUUACCGCGUCUACCACCCGCCGUCGAACCGUGUUCUGGCCUCCAGGGAUGUCGUGUUCGACGACGAAGCAGCGUGGGACUGGUCUCAGGUCGCGGCGACAAACAAGGAGCCGUGCUACCUCUUGAGCAUGCAUUGGUUUUCCCUUAAAGAGGAAAGGGUGAUGUAGCAAAGUAGCGUAAGUAUUUCCCUCAGUUUUUGAGAACCAAGGUAUCAAUCCUGUAGGAGACUACAUGCAAAUCGCCUAGUACCUGCACGAACAAUCAAGAACCUUGCAACCAGCACGAUAAAGGGGUUGUCAAUCCCUUCACGGUCACUUGCAAAAGUGAGAUCUGAUAAAGAUAAUAAGAUAAUAUUUUUGGUAUUUUUGUUGUAUAGAUUGGAAAAGUAAAGAUUGCAAAAUAAACGGCGACAGAAAUUGGCAAGUUGACGGGAGAUUAAUAUGAUGUAAAAUAGACCCGGGGGCCAUAGGUUUCACUAGAGGCUUCUCACAUGAUAGCAUAUCUUACGGUGGGUGAACAAAUUACUGUCGAGCAAUUGAUAGAAAAGCGUAUAGUUAUGAGAAUAUCUAGGGAUGAUCAUGAACGUAGGCAUCACGUCUGUGUCAAGUAGACCGAAACGAUUCUACAUCUACUACUAUUACUCCACACAUCGACCGCUAUCCAGCAUGCAUCUAGAGUAUUAAGUUCAUAAGAACACAGUAACGCAUUAGGCAAGAUGAUAUGAUGUAGAGGGAUAAACUCAAGCAAUAUGAUAUAAACCCCAUCUUUUUAUCCUUGAUGGCAAUAAUACAAUACGUGUCGGUUCCCUUUCUGUCACUGGGAUCGAGCACCGCAAGAUUGAACCCAAAGCUAAGCACUUCUCCCAUUGCAAGAAAGAUCAAUCUAGUAGGCCAAACCAAACUGAUAAUUCGAAGAGACUUGCAAAGAUAUUAAAUCAUGCAUAUAAGAACUCAGACAAGAAUCAAAUAUUGUUCAUAGACAAACUUGAUCAUAAACCCACAAUUCAUCGGAUCUCGACAAACACACCGCAAAAUGUAUUACAUCGAAUAGGUCUCCAAGAGAAUCGAGGAGAACUUUGUAUUGAGAUCCAAAGAGAGAGAAGAAGCCAUGUAGCUAAUAACUAUAGACCCGUAGGUCUGUGGUAAACUACUCACACAUUAUCGGAGAGGCUACGGUGUUGAUGUAGAAGCCCUCCAUGAUCGAUUCCCCCUCCGGCAGAGCGCCGGAAAAGGCCCCAAGAUGGGAUCUCACGGGUACAGAAGGUUGCGGCAGUGGAAAAAGUGUUUCGUGGCUCCCCUGGAUGUUUUCAGGGUAUAAGAGUAUAUAUAGGCGAAAGAAGUAGGUCGGUGGAGCUGCGACGGGCCCACGAGGGUGGGGGCGCGCCUCCCUGCCUCGUGGCUUCCUCGCUGCUUCCUUGACUUCCACUCCAAGUCUCCUGGAUUGCGUUUGUUCCAAAAAUGAUCCUCGCGAAGGUUUCAUUCCGUUUGAUAUUCCUUUUCUGCGAAACACUGAAAUAGGCAAAAAAAUAUCAAUUUGCACUGGGCCUUCGGUUAAUAGGUUAGUCUCGAAAAUAAUAUAAAAGAGCAUAUUAAAGCCCAUUAAACAUCCAAAACAGAUAAUAUAAUAGCAUAGAACAAUCAAAAAUUAUAGAUACGUUGGAGAUGUAUCAAGCAUCCCCAAGCUUAAUUCCUGCUCGUCCUCGAGUAGGUAAAUGAUAAAAACAGAAUUUUUGAUGUGGAAUGCUACCCAACAUAAUUUUCAAUGUAAUUUUCUUUAUUGUGGCAUGAAUGUUCAGAUCCGAAAGAUUCAAGAUAAAAGUUUAAUAUUGACAUAAAAAUAAUAAUACUUCAAGCAUACUAUUUAAGCAAUUAUGUCUUUUCAAAAUAACGUGGCCAAAGAAAGCUCAUCCCUACAAAAUCAUAUAGUUUGGCUAUGCUCCAUUUUCGUCACACAAGAAUGCUCUCAUCAUGCACAACCCCGAUGACAAGCCAAGUAAUUGUUUCAUACUUUAGUAUUCUCAAACUUUUUCAACUUUCAUGCAAUACAUGAGCGUGAGCCAUGGACAUUGCACUAUGGGUGGAAUGGAAUAUGAUAAUGGGGGUUGUGUGGAGAAGACAAAAAAGGAGAAAGUCUCACAUUGACGCGGCUAACCAACGGGCUAUGGAGAUGCCCAUCAAUUGAUGUCAAUGCAAGGAGUAGGGAUUGCCAUGCAAUGGAUGCACUAGAGCUAUAAAUGUAUGAAAGCUCAACAAAAUAAACUAAGUGGGUGUGCAUCCAACUUGCUUGCUCACGAAGACCUAGGGCAUUUGAGGAAGCCCAUCGUUGGAAUAUACAAGCCAAGUUCUAUAAUGAAAAAUUCCCACUAGUAUAUGAAAGUGACAAAAUAAGAGACUCUCUAUCAUGAAGAUCAUGGUGCUACUUUGAAGCACAAGUGUGGAAAAAGCAUAGUUGCAUUGUCCCUUCUUUUAUUUUCUUUUUUAUAUAUUUUUUUGGGCCUUCCUUUUUUUAUCUGGCCUUUCCCUUUUUUUAUUUGGCCUUUUUUUUCAUGGGACAAUGCUCUAUAAAUGAUGAUCAUCACACUUCUAUUUAUUUACAACUCACUGAUUACAACUCGAUACUAGAACAAAAUAUGACUCUAUAUGAAUGCCUCCGCCGGUGUACCGGGAUGGGCAAUGCAUCAAGAGUGACAUGUAUAAAAAAUUAUGCAAGGUGGAUUUGCCACAAAUACGAUGUCAACUACAUGAUCAUGCAAGGCAGUAUGACAAUGAUGAAGCGUGUCAUAAUAAACGGAACGGUGAAAAGUUGCAUGGCAAUAUAUCUCGAAAUGGCUAUGGAAAUGCCAUAAUAGGUAGGUAUGGUGGCUGAUUUGAGGAAGAUAUAAGGGGGGUUUAUGUGUGAUAGAGCGUAUCAUAUCACGGGGUUUGGAUGCACCGGCGAAGUUUGGACCAACUCUCGAGGUGAGAAAGGGCAAUGCACGGUACCGAAGAGGCUAGCAAUGAUGGAAAGGUGAGAGUGCUUAUAAUCCAUGGACUCAACAUUAGUCAUAAAGAACUCACAUACUUAUUGCAAAAAUCUACAAGUCAUCAGAAAACAAAGCACUACGCGCAUGCUCCUAGGGGGAUAGAUUGUUAGGAAAAGACCAUCGCUCGUCCCCGACCGCCACUCAUAAGGAUGACAAUCAAAGAACACCUCAUGUUUCAAAUUUGUUACACAACGGUUACAAUACGUGCAUGCUACGGGACUUGCAAACUUCAACACAAGUAUUUCUCAAAUUCACAAUUACUCAACUAGCAAGAAAGAUGAAUCUAGUAGGCCAAAGCAAACUGAUAAUUCGAAGAGACUUGCAAAGAUAUUAAAUCAUGUAUAUAAGAAUUCAGAGAAGAAUAAAAUAUUGUUCAUAGAUAAUCUUGAUCAUAAACCCACAAUUCAUCGGAUCUCGACAAACACACCGCAAAAAGUAUUACAUCGAAUAGAUCUCCAAGAGAAUCGAGGAGAACUUUGUAUUGAGAUCCAAAGAGAGAGAAGAAGCCAUCUAGACAAUAACUAUGGACCCGAAGGUCUGUGGUAAACUACUCACACAUCAUCGGAGAGGCUAUGGUGUUGAUGUAGAAGCCAUCCGUGAUCGAUUCCCCCUCCGACGGAGCGCCGAAAAGGCCCCAAGAUGGGAUCUCACGGGUACAGAAGGUUGCGGCGGUGGAAAAAGUGUUUCAUGGCUCCCUUGGAUGUUUUCAGGGUAUAAGAGUUUAUAUAGGUGAAAGAAGUAGGUCGGUGGAGCUGCGAGGGGCGUGCCUACCCCCUGGGGCGCGCCUCCCUGCCUCGUGGCUUCCUCGUUGCUUCCUUGACUUCCACUCCAAGUCUCCUGGAUUGUGUUUGUUCCAAAAACGAUCCUCGCGAAGGUUUCAUUCCGUUUGAUAUUCCUUUUCUGCGAAACACUGAAAUAGGCAAAAAAAAUAGCAAUUUGCACUGGGCCUUCGGUUAAUAGGUUAGUCCAAAAAUAAUAUAAAAGACCAUAUUAAAGCCCAUUCAACAUCCAAAACAGAUAAUAUAAUAGCAUGGAAGAAUCAAAAAAUUAUAGAUACGUUGGAGACGUAUCAAGCCGCAGUGGGACACCUUCUCCAUCGAUCUCGAACCGGUGCCCGCCAAGGUGGUCGGCGGCACCCCAUGCAGCGCAACAUCCCCUGAGGCGUCGAGCUCUCCUACCAUGCCGACAUCGACGCACACGAGUGCGGCCAGGACACGGCCCGCGAUGCUGAUCUGUGCCACACCAAGCCCAGACCGCUCUGGCAUGCAAUUCAUGUCUCCACUGCCGGGGGCGUCAGUGCCGCCGCCCGACAAGGAGGCUCCGCGGCGGUACCGCACCUUGGAGAAUCUGUGAGACACCACUGAAGAAGGGACAAGUGAUAACAGUCAGUACAGUUACCUGUGUCUCUUCGCAGGGGAGGAGCCGACCUCCUUCAAUGAGGCGCAGAAGGAGGGAGGAUGGAGAAACGCCAUGAACGAGGAGAUGCAGAGCAUCAUCGACAACGACACGUGGGAGCUGUGCGAGCUCCCUCCCGGGCACCGAGCGAUAGGCCUCAAGUGGGUCUACAAGCUCAAGAAGGACGCCCACGGCACGAUGGUGAAGCACAAGGCGCGGCUGGUGGCAAAAGGCUACGUCCAAGUCCAAGGAGUGGACUUCAAGGACGUGUUCGCUCCGGUGGCACGCAUGGAAUCGGUGCGCGUGCUGGUCGCGCUCGCCGCGCACCACGUGUGGCCAAUUCAUCACAUGGACGUCAAGUCCGCCUUCUUGAACGGGGACCGGCAGGAGGAGGUCUACGUUGUUCAGCCACCCGGGUACGUUGAGCUCGGCGACGAGGGGAAGGUGCUGCGUUUAUGCAAGGCACUGUAUGGGCUACGCCAAGCCCUGAGAGCUUGGAACGCCAAGCUGGACGAAAGCUUGCGUUCUCUGGGCUUUGAGCGUUGCCCCUCGGAGCACGCAGUCUACCGACGCGGGGAGGGCGACAAGCUCCGGCUCAUCGGUGUGUACGUCGACGACCUUGUCAUUACAGGGGCGGACAAGACGGAGAUCGACGCAUUCAAGUGUCAGAUGACCACGCUCUUCCGCAUGAGCGACCUCGCCGAGCUCAGCUACUACCUGGGCAUUGAGGUGCGCCAGGAGCGCGACCGCAUCACACUCUACCAAGCGGCCUACGCAAAAAGCUGCUGGAGCGUGCUGGGCUCAAAGAGUGCAACACCGGCAACGUGCCGAUAGAAGCUCGACUGAAAUUGAGCAGGGACAGCAAGGAGAGGCCGGUGGACAGCACUGAGUACCGCAGCAUCAUUGGAGGGUCGCGCUACCUCGUGCACAUGAGGCCGGACAUCUCCUUCACCGUCGGCUACCUGAGCCGUUUCAUGGAGGCACCGACUUCAGAUCACUACGCGGCUGUGAAGCGUCUGCUAAGGUAUGUAGCAGGCACUCUGGACCACGGUUGUGCCUAUGUCCGGGGGAAGGGCACGCCGGAGCUGGUGGGGUACAGCGACGCGGAUCACGCCGGUGACAUCAACGACAGGCGGAGCACGACGGGAGUGCUCUACUUCCUCGGCACGGCGGCAGCCCAGUGAGUUGGCAGUCGCAGAAGCAAAGGGUGGUGGCACUCUCCUCAUGUGAGGCGGAGUACGUGGCUGCCACCACCACCGCUUGCCAAGGGAUUUGGCUGGCUGGGCUGAUCGGAGAGAUGCUGAACAUCGACGUCUGGCCACCACGACUUCUGGUCGAUAACAAGUCAGCAAUGUGUCUCCAAGAACCCCAUCUUCCAUGAUCGAAGCAAGCACAUUGAGAUACGAUACCACUUCAUUCGUGAUUGUGUGGAAGAAGGGCGGAUCGACAUCGACUACAUCUGCACCAACGAUCAUCUUGCUGACGUCCUCACCAAGGCACUUGGACGACUCAAGUUUCUGGAGCUUAGGGGGAGGAUCGGCAUGACAGAAAUAAUUCGGCGGCGAUGAGCUUAGAGGGAGAUUUGUUAGCUAAUCUAGUUGAUGUAGUUUUCCUUCAGUUAGUUUGCUUUCGUCAGACAUAACGUAGUCAGGCGCAUGAGCUCGCGAGUCAUGCGAGCUGCGCGCGUAGGCGAUCUGGGCAUGAUCGAUGCCCGAUCGAUCAGGGUGGUCAGCCACGAAACCCACUUGUGGGAUGGCACGAGAAUUCGGGAUCAUGGCGCUAGGACCGGGGCACUCUUUCUCUCUGUAACAGAAUAAGUAGAGGAGAUCAAAAACAGAAAAGUCGCAAGGUUGUAGGUGACGCAAAAACUCAUGUCUCUCCUCUUUGUGAUCGCGAGCUGUGAGAGAUCGAGCAACCCUGACAAAGCACAUGACGCCUAUAGUCCAUUGUUAAUUCCUCUCUGUACCUAAUCUUGUUAAUUUCCCACACCAAAGAUGCUAAUCAACUGGCAUUCUAAAACUCUCCUAACAAGUAACAACAGCCGCGCCUAUGGACGAUCGAUCCCACCAGUGGCAACCAAUGGAGGUGCCAACGGUGGUGAUGCAACUUGUUUCCAUGUACAACAACUACGGCAAUCCGUCCUCUCCUACCUGCAUUGUCCUCGAAGGAAUGGAAGCGGACGAGAGAGAGCGUCGACCUGACUUAUAACAUUUUUCUUUCAGCAAUCUCUACAAAAAAUCAUGCCUCUCUUGACUUGGGGUCAAUAGCUCCUGUGCGACAUCUUUCGUGGGAAUUGGACAGAGUGCGACAUUGUUGACGAAAAUGGCUUUGGGGCGACACUUUUGAGCGACAAAAUAGCCCAGACACGACAUGGCCCUUAAACUGAUCUGAUGCCCUCAUUAGCUGUUAUGGGCUGGACCCACAACUUAUCCACGUAAGCGCGGGACCCACCAUUUGUCCAGUAAGCGCGGGACCCACAACUUAUCCACGUCAGCAUGGGACCCACCACUUGUCCAGUAUGCGCGGGACCCACCUCUUUGCAGCUAGAAGAGAUGACUGAUGACCCACAAGUGUAGGAGAUCUAUCGUAGUCCUUUCGAUAAGUAAGAGUGUCGAACCCAACGAGGAGCAGAAGGAAAUGACAAGCGGUUUUCAAUAAGGUAUUCUCUGCAAGCACUGAAAUUAUAGGUAACAGAUAGUUUUGUGAUAAGAUAAUUUGUAACGGGUAACAAGUAAUGAAAGUAAAUAAGGUGCAGCAAUGUGGCCCAAUCCUUUUUGUAGCAAAGAACAAGCCUGGACAAACUCUUAUAUAGAUAAAAGCGCUCCCGAGGACACAUGAGAAUUAUUGUCAAGCUAGUUUUCAUCACGUUCAUAUGAUUCGCGUUCGGUACUUUGAUAAUUUGAUAUGUGGGUGGACCGGUGCUUGGGUGCUGUCCUUACUUGGACAAGCAUCCCACUUAUGAUUAACUCCCAUUGCAAGCAUCCGCAACUACAAAAGAAGUAUUAAGGUAAACCUAACCAUAGCAUGAAACAUAUGGAUCCAAAUCAGCCCCUUACGAAGCAACGCAUAAACUAGGGUUUAAGAUUCUGUCACUCUAGCAACCCAUCAUCUACCUAUUACUUCCCAAUGCCUUCCUCUAGGCCCAAACAAUGGUGAAGUGUCAUGUAGUCGACGUUCACAUGACACCACUAGAGGUGAGACAACAUACAUCUCAUCAAUAUAUCGAACGAAUACCAAAUUCACAUGACUACUAAUAGCAAGACUUCUCCCAUGUCCUCAGGAACAAACGUAACUACUCACAAAGCAUAUUCAUGUUCAUAAUCAGAGGGGUAUUAAUAUGCAUAAUGGAUCUGAACAUAUGAUCUUCCACCAAGUAAACCAACUAGCAUCAACUACAAGGAGUAAUCAACACUACUAGCAACCUACAGGUACCAAUCCCAGGCUAUGAGACAAAGAUUGGAUACAAGAGAUAAACUAGGGUUUGAGAGGAGAUGGUGCUGGUGAAGAUGUUGAUGGAGAUUGGGCCCCUCCCGAUGAGAGGAGUGUUGGUGAUGACGAUGGCGAUGAUUUCCCCCUCCCGGAGGGAAGUGUCCCCGGCAGAACAGCUCUGCAAGAGCCCUAGAUUGGUUCCGCCAAGGUUCCGCCUCGUGGCGUCGGAGUCUCAUCCCGAAAGCUUGCUUAUGAUUUUUUCUCAGAUGAAAGACUUCAUAUAGCAUAAGAUGGGCACCGGAGGGCCACCAGAGGGCCCACGAGGUAGGGGGCGCGCCCCCACCCUCGUGGCCAGGGUGUGGGCCCCCUCUGGUAUUUUCUUCGCUCAGUAUUUUUUAUUAUUUCCAAAAAUAACUUCCGUGGAGUUUAAGGACUUUUGGAGUUGUGCAGAAUAGGUCUCUAAUAUUUGCUCCUUUUCCAGCCCAGAAUUCCAGCUGCCUGCAUUCUCCCUCUUUAUGUAAACCUUGUAAAAUAAGAGAGAAUAAGCAUAAGUAUUGUGACAUAAUGUGUAAUAACAGCCCAUAAUGCAAUAAAUAUCGAUAUAAAAGCAUGAUGCAAAAUGGACAUAUCAACUACCCCAAGCUUAGACCUCACUUGUUCUCAAGCGGAAGCCGAUAAUGAUAAAUAUGUCCACAUGUUUAGAGGUAGAGGUGUCGAUAAAAUAAAAUACGGACAUGAGGGCAUCAUGAUCAUUCUUAUAACAGUAACAUAUAUGGAUAUUGUCAUAUUAUUUCUUAUGAUAAAGUAACAAUCUAUCCACAAUGUCAAGUGUGAAUCAGAAACUUCAUUGAGAACUAACAAACGAUAAUCUCAGUCAUUGAGGCAAUUGCAAUUUAUCAUAACAUCAUAAAGAGUCUAUGUAAGAGCUUUUCAGCAAGUCCACAUACUCAACUAUCAUUUAGUCUUUCACAACACUCACGCAAUACUUGUGGUUAGGGAGUUUUAAUCGGACACAGAGAAAGAUAGGGGCUUAUAGUUUCGCCUCCCAACCUUUUACCUCAAGGGUAAUGUCAACAAUAAUAGUUCAUUCUAAUUUGCAUCCAAUUAUAUAUAUAUAUAUAUAUAUAUAUAUAUAUAUAUAUCAGGAUCUUUCCAACACAAGGUGCUUGCCAAAGGAUAUAAAAUGUAAAAAGGAAAGGUGAAGAUCACCAUGACUCUUGCAUAAGGUAGAAAAUAAAAGUAAAAGAUAGGCCCUUCGCAGAGGGAAGCAGAGGUUGUCAUGCGCUUUCAGGGUUGGAUGCACAAAAUCUUAAUGCGAAAGAACGUCACUUUAUAUUGCCACAUGUGAUAUGGACCUUUAUUAUGCAGUCCGUCGCUUUUAUUUCUUCCACAUCACAAGAUCGUAUAAAGCUUAUUUUCUCCCACACUAAUAAGUCAUACAUAUUUAGAGAGCAAUUUUUAUUGCUUGCACCGAUCACAACUUACUUGAAGGAUCUUACUCAAUCCAUAGGUAGAUAUGGUGGACUCUCAUGGCAAAACUGGUUUUAAGGGUAUUUGGAAGCACAAGUAGUAUUUCUACUUGGUGCAAAAAAUUGGCUAGCAUGAGGGAGAAAGGCAAACUCAACAUGUUGGAUGAUCCAUGACAAUAUACUUUAUCUCAGAUAUAAGAAAACAUGACCCAUUAUGUUGUCUUCCUUGUCCAACAUCAACUCUUUAGCAUGUCAUAUUUUAAUGAGUGCUCACAAUCAUAAAAGAUGUCCAAUAUAGUAUAUUUAUAUGUGAAACCUCUCUUUCUUUAUUACUUCCUAUUAAUUGCAACGAUGACCAAAACUAUGUUUGUCAACUCUCAACAACUUUUAAUCAUCAUACUCUUUCUAUGUGAAGUCAUUACUCUCCAUAAAAUCAAUAUGAUCUCUUUUUAUUCUUUCUUUUUCUUUUAUUCACUCAUAAUCAUAGCAAGAUAAUCAAGCCCUUGACCCAACACUAAUCUCUAUUAUAUAGCUCACGGACUUGAUUACAUAGAGGGAUCAUAAAGCAAAACUCAAAACUAAAUCAUAUUAAAACUUUAUUCUACUAGAUCAAGAUAUUACCAAAAGGAUCGAACUAAGAAAAACGGUAAAGAUAGGAGUGUGAUGGUGAUACAAUACCGGGGCACCUCCCCCAAGCUUGGCAGUUGCCAAGGGGAGUGCCCAUACCCAUGUGAUUAUAUCUCCUUUGCUGGCGAAGGUGAUGGUGGAGUUGUUGAUGAUGUGGGCUUGUCGUCCAUCGAGCGUAAGAGGUCCUCCAACUUGCAGAUAAUGCCCUUGAGUGCGAUUUUAUAUGCUCCCUCAACAAAAUAUUUUCACAUGUGAGAUACUUCUUUUUUAUACGAGCUAACUCAAUCAUCUUGAAAGCUUCGAUCUCAGUUGGGGUAAGAAGAUUGUGAUCAAGUUGAAGGAUGUCUUCUGCUGCCGGAGCUUGGUCCUCUGUGGCCUUAUUGAUCCCUUCAUCUUUGUUGAUCUCCAUGGGUUCUUCCCUCUUCAGCUCUAUCUUCAUUAGCCAAGCAUCGUUGUCACCAUUGUUGGAGGAGGAGGACGACAUGAUGCCUGGCCUAGACAACCCUGACAGAAAAUAAUGCAACUCGAAACAAGAACAGAGGAUAAUUGCGUGAUACGGGAGUCAAAAUCUUCGGGAGUUUAUAUAAUGAAUUUUUACCGACCGAAAGAAGUAUCGUGCAAGAAAACGGAGUCCGGAGAGCACACGAGGUGCCCACGAGGCAGGGGGACGCGCCCAGGGGGUAGGGCGCGCCUCCCACCCUCGUGGAAGCCUCGUUUCCUUCCCGGACUGCUUCUUAUUUUCCUAUUUUUCUAAAUAUUCCAAAACAGAGAAAGUUUGCAAUUAGAACUGUUCUGUAGUCGGUUUACUUACCGUACCACAUACCUAUAACUUUUCGGGGUCUGAAACGUUCUAGAAAGUGUCUCUUAUGUAUUCCUCCGGUGUUACGGUUUCAACAACAUUAGUUUCAACAUUUAUAGGGUUACCUGAGAUAUAAUGUUUGAUUCUUUGACCGUUCACCACCUUCGGACUUGUGCCUUCAAAGUUGUUGAUUUUUAUGGCACCGGAACGAUAGACCUCCUCGAUAACGUAAGGACCUUCCCAUUUAGAGAGAAGUUUUCCAGCAAAAGAUCUUAAACGAGAGUUGUAUAACAAUACAUAAUCACCUACAUUAAACUCAUGCUUUUGUAUCCUUUUUUCAUGCCAUCUUUUAACUUUUUCCUUAAACAAUUUGGCAUUCUCAUAGGCUUGGGUUCUCCGUUCAUCAAGUGAGCUAAUGUCAAAUAACCUCUUCUCACCAGCAAGUUUAAAAUCAUAAUUGAGCUCUUUAAUGGCCUAGUAUGCCUUAUGUUCUAGUUCGAGAGGUAAAUGACAUGCUUUUCCAUAAACCAUUUUAUACGGAGACAUACCCAUAGGAUUUUUAUAUGCAGUUCUAUAGGCCCAUAAUGCAUCAUCAAGUUUCUUGGACCAAAUCUUUCUAGAUCUAUUAACAGUCUUUUGCAAAAUUAAUUUGAGCUCUCUAUUACUCAAUUCUGCUUGACAACUAGACUGUGGGUGAUUAGGGGAUGCAAUUCUAUGAUUAACAUCAUACUUAGCACGCAUUUUACGAAAAGCACCAUGAAUAAAAUGUGAACCACCAUCGGUCAUUAAAUAUCUGGGGACUCCAAACCUGGGAAAAAUAACUUCUUUAAGCAUCUUAAUAGAGGUGUUAUGAUCAGCACUACUAGUCGGAAUAGCUUCUACCCACUUAUUAACGUAAUCAACAACAACUAAAAUAUGUGUAUACCCAUUAGAGGAAGGAAAAGGUCCCAUAUAAUCAAAGCCCCAAACGUCAAAUGGUUCAAUAACAAGUGAAUAAUUCAUAGGCAUUUCUUGACGUCUACUAAUGUUACCAAUUCUUUGACAUUCAUCACAAGAUAAGACAAACUUACGAGCAUCCUUGAAGAGAGUAGGCCAAUAAAAACCGGAUUGCAAUAACUUAUGUGCAGUUCUAUCUCCAGCGUGGUGCCCUCCAUAAGCCUCGGAGUGACACUUGCGUAGGAUCUGUUCCUGUUAAUGCUCAGGUACACAACGCCUAAUAACACCAUCUACUCCUUCUUUAUAAAGAUGUGGGUCAUCCCAGAAGUAAUGUCUUAAAUCAUAGAAAAACUUUUUCUUUUGCUGGUAUGUGAAACUAGGUGGUAUAAAUUUAGCAACAAUGUAAUUAGCAUAAUCAGCAUACCAUGGAGCAGUACGAGAAGCAUUUAUAACAUUUAAUUGUUCAUCAGGAAAGCUAUCAUCAAUAGGUAGUGGGUCAUCAAGAACAUUUUCUAACCUAGACAAGUUAUCUGCAACAGGGUUCUCAGCUCCCUUUCUAUCAAUAAUAUGUAAAUCAAAUUCUUUUCGCAAGAGAACCCAUCUAAUAAAUCUAGGUUUAGCAUCUUUCUUUUCCAUAAGAUAUUUAAUAGCAGCAUGAUCAGUGUGAAUAGUUACUUUAGAAUCAACAAUAUAAGGUCUGAACUUAUCACAAGCAAAUACAACUGCUAAAAAUUACUUUUCAGUAGUGGCAUAAUUUCUCUGGGCAUUGUCUAGAGUUUUACUAGCAUAUUGAAUAACAUUUAAUUUCUUAUCAACUCUUUGCCCUAGAACAGCACCUACAGCAUAAUUGCUAGCAUCACACAUAAUUUCAAAAGGUAAAUUCCAAUCAGGUGGCUGAACAAUAGGUGCAGAAAUCAAUGCUUUCUUAAGUAUUUCAAAUGCUUCUACACAAUCAUCAUCAAAAACGAAAGGUAUAUCUUUUUGUAAGAGAUUAGUCAGAGGCCGAGAAAUUUUUUAGAAGUCCUUAAUGAACCUCCUAUAAAAACUAGCAUGACCAAGGAAACUUCUUAUACCUUUGAUGUCCUUGGGACAUGGCAUCUUUUCAAUAGCAUCAACUUUAGCUUUAUCAACUUCACUACCUCUUUUAGAAAUUUUAUGCCCCAAGAAAAUACCUUCAUUAACCAUAAAGUGGCACUUCUCCCAAUUCAAGACAAGGUUAGUUUCUUCACAUCUCUGCAAAACUCGAUCAAGGUUGCUCAAGCAAUCAUCAAAAGAGGAUCCAUAAACGGAGAAAUUGUCCAUGAAAACCUCACAUAUCUUUUCACAAAAGUCAGAAAAUAUAGCAAUCAUGCAUCUUUGAAAGGUAGCAGGUGCUUUACAUAAACCAAAAGGCAUACGUCUAUAAGCAAAAGUACCGAAAGGGCAAGUAAAAGUGGUAUUUGCUUGAUCAUCAGCUGACACAGGUAUUUCAGAGACACCAGAGUAACCAUCUAGAAAGCAAAAAUGUGUAUGUUUGGAUAAUCUUUCUAGCAUUUGAUCAAUAAAAGGUAAGGGGUAAUGAUCUUUUUAGUAGCCUUAUUUAAUUUGCGGAAAUCAAUUACCAUCCUAUAACCUGUAAUAAUUCUUUGCGGAAUCAAUUCAUCUUUAUCAUUGGGAACGACAGUAAUACCUCCCUUCUUAGGGACACAAUGGACAGGACUUACCCACUGACUAUCAGCAACGGGAUAAAUUAUACCUGCCUCAAGGGGCUUUAGUAUUUCCUUUCUUACCACUUCCUUCAUCUUAGGAUUCAGACGUCGUUGAUGAUCAAUAACUGGUUUGGCAUCUUUCUCCAAAUUUAUUUUGUGUUGGCAUAGAGUGGGACUAAUGCCAUUAAGAUCAUCAAGAGUAUAUCCAAUAGCAGCACGGUGCUUCUUCAGAGUUUUCAGUAAUUUUUCUUCCUCCUUCUCUGAAAGGUUAGCACUAAUAAUAACAGGAUAUAUCUUCUUUUCAUCAAGAUAAGCAUAUUUAAGAGUAUCAGGCAACGGUUUAAGCUCAAACACGGGAUCACCCUUGGGUGGAGGAGGACCCCCUAGGAUUUCAACAGGAAAAUUGUGUUUCAUAAUAGGUCCAUGUUUAAAGAAUACUUCAUCUAUUUCCCUUCUUUCAUUCAUAAACAUAUCAUUCUCAUGGUCUAGCCAAUAUUGUUCUAAAGGAUCACUAGGAGGCACGGCAAUAGAAGCAAGACCAAUAAUUUCAUCCUUACUAGGCAAUUCCUCAUCACGCGAGGUUGUCUACGAAAUUUAGAGAAAUUAAACACAUGAGACAUAUCAUCCAAACCAAUAGUAACAACAUCCUUUUCGCAGUCUAUCUUAGCAUUAACAGUGUUCAAGAAGGGUCUACCAAAUAUAAUGGGACAAAAGCUAUCUUGUGGGGAACCAAGAACAAGAAAAUCAGCAGGAUAUUUAGCCUUCCCACACAAGACCUCAACAUCUCUAACAAUCCCAAUUGGUAAAAUAGUAUCUCUAUUGGCAACCUUAAUGGUAACAUCGAUAUCUUCUAUCUCAGCCGGUGCAAUAUCAUGCAUAAUUUCUUUGUAUAAGUAAAUAGGUAUUGCACUAGCACUAGCACCCAUAUCACACAAGCCAUGAUAACAAUGAUCUCCUAUUUUAACAGAAAUAACAGGCAUGCCUACCACAGGUCUAUGUUUAUCUUUAGCACCAGGUUUAGCAAUUCUAGCAGUAUCAUCACAGAAGUAUAUAACAUGCCCAUCGAUAUUAUCAGACAAGAGAUCUUUAACAAUAGCAAUAUUAGGUUCAACUUUAACUUGCUCAGGAGGUGUAUAAGUUCUAAUAUUACUUUUACGAACCACAGUUGAAGCUUUAGCAUGAUCCUUUAUACUAACAGGAAAAGGUGGUUUCUCAACUUAAGCAGUAGGAACAAUAGGAUCAUUAUAAGUGAUAGUCUUUUCUUCAACUUUAAUAGGUUCAACUACUUUUACUUCUAUGGGAGGAUGAUAUUUAAACCACUCUCCUUAGGGAGAUCAACAUGAGCAGCAAAAGAUUCACAGAAAGAAGCUACUAUCUCAUAGUCAAGUCCAUAUUUAGUGCUAAUAAAUUUACGGAAAACAUCGGUAUCCAUAAAAGAUUUAACACAAUCAAACUUAGGUGUUAUACCCGACUCCUUACCUUCGUCGAGAUCCCAAUCUUCAGAGUUGCGUUUAAUUCUUUCCAGUAAAUUCCAUUUGAAUUCAAUAGUCUUCAUCAUAAAAGAGCCAGUACAUGAAGUAUUGAGCAUGGAGCGAUUAUUGUGAGAAAGCCGAGCAUAAAAAUUAAUAAUCAUUUCUCUUGAGAGUACAUGAUUGGGGCAUGAAUAUUACAUUGACUUAAGCCUCCCCCAAGCUUGAGCGAUGCUUUCUCCUUCGCGAGGCCAAAAAUUAUAUAUAUAAUUACGAUCACGAUGAACAAGAUGCAUAGGAUAAAACUUCUGAUGGAAUUCCAAUUUCAACCGUUUGUAGUCCCAUGAUCCCAUAUCAUCACAUAGCCGAUACCAUGUCAAUGCAUCUCCCUUCAAAUAUAAAGGGAAGACCUUCUUAUUGAUAACAUCAUCGGGCACACCUGCAAGCUUAAAUAAUCCACGAACUUCAUCCACAUAGAUUAAGUGUAAAUCGGGACGCAAUGUUCCAUCUCCUGCAAAAGGAUUAGCCAGUAGUUUCUCUAUCAUACCCGAAGGAAUUUAGAAGUAAACAUUUUCAUUUUCAGUAGGUUCAGUAGGUUGAGGAGCAACUCUUUGCUCUACUGGUCGAGGUGAAGAUACCCCGAACAAGCCCCUCAAAUGAUUACUUUCCAUAGUAACAAGUGACAGUAAAUUUCAGCACACUAUAUAAAAUUUUCAUUACCAAAUUCCACCUACCAAAGGCGCUUCACUCCCCGGCAACGGCGCCAGAAAAGAGUCUUGAUGACCCACAAGUUUAGGGGAUCUCUCGUAGUCCUUUCGGUUAGUAAGAGUGUUGAACCCAACGAGGAGCAAAAGGAAAUGACAAGCGGUUUUCAGCAAGGUAUUCUCUGCAAGCACUGAAAUAUAGGUAACAGAUAGUUUUGUGAUAAGAUAAUUUGUAACGGGUAACAAGUAAUGAAAGUAAAUAAGGUGCAGAAAGGUAACAAGUAAUAGAGAAAAGCGCUCCCUGAGGACACAUGGGAAUUAUCGUCAAGCUAGUUUUCAUCACGUUCAUAUGAUUCGCGUUCGGUACUUUGAUAAUUUGAUAUGUGGGUGGACCGGUGCUUGGGUGCUGUCCUUACUUGGAAAAAUAUCCCACUUAUGAUUAACUCCUAUUGCAAGCAUCCGCAACUACAAAAGAAGUAUUAAGGUAAGCCUAACCAUAGCAUGAAACAUAUGGAUCCAAAUCAGCCCCUUACGAACCAACGCAUAAACUAGGGUUUAAGCUUCUGUCACUCUAGCAACCCAUCAUCUACUUAUUACUUCCCAAUGCCUUCCUCUAGGCCCAAACAAUGGUGAAGUGUCAUGUAGUCGACGUUCACAUGACACCACUAGAGGAGAGACAACAUACAUCUCAUCAAAAUAUCGAACAAAUACCAAAUUCACAUGACUACUAAUAGCAAGGCUUCUCCCAUGUCCUCAGGAACAAACGUAACUACUCACAAAGCAUAUUCAUGUUCAUAAUCAGAGGGGUAUUAAUAUGCAUAAUGGAUCUGAACAUAUGAUCUUCCACCAAGUAAACCAACUAGCAUCAACUACAGGAGUAAUCAACACUACUAGUAAUCCCAGGCUAUGAGAAAAAGAUUGGAUACAAGAGAUAAACUAGGGUUUGAGAGGAGAUGGUGCUUGUGAAGAUGUUGAUGGAGAUUGGCCCCCUCCCGAUGAGAGGAGCGUUGGUGAUGACGAUGGCGAUGAUUUCCCCCUCCUGGAGGGAAGUGUCCCCGGCAGAACAGCUCUGCCAGAGCCCUAGAUUGGUUCCGCCAAGGUUCCGCCUCGUGGCGGUGGAGUCUCGUCUUGAAAGCUUGCUUAUGAUUUUUUCUCGGACAAAAGACUUCAUAUAGUAGAAGAUGGGCACCGGAGGGCCACCAGGGGGCCCACGAGGCAGGGGCGCGCCCAGGGGGUAGGGCGCGCCCCCCACCCUCGUGGCCAGGGUGUGGGCCCCCUCUGGUAUUUUCUUCACUCAGUAUUUUUUAUUAUUUCCAAAAAUAACUUCCGUGGAGUUUCAGGACUUUUGGAGUUGUGCAAAAUAGGUCUCUAAUAUUUGCUCCUUUUCCAGCCCAGAAUUCCAGCUGCCGACAUUCUCCCUCUUUAUGUAAACCUUGUCAAAUAAGAGAGAAUAAGCAUAAGUAUUGUGACAUAAUGUGUAAUAACAGCCCAUAAUGCAAUAAAUAUCGAUAUAAAAGCAUGAUGCAAAAUGGGCGUAUCAACGACCGCCCGUCCCCGUCGGCCCGCCGCCACCCAUUGCUUCCCCUUUCCCCAUUCUUCCUCUUCUCUGGCGAGCUGGUGCAGAUGUCCACCUCCUCCGCCACGCACUGAAAAUGGCGUCAGUAUGGUCCAGUGCCGCUCACAAGGUGCCCUGACUGCCCACGCCCAGAGCCUCUAAAACGGUGGGUCAGUAGAACUGAUGAGAAUGGAAAUCUUGGGCGGGAAUUUGUGAAGUGCUUGAGCAAAACAAUGGCAGAAAGGGAUGGCAAGGUUAGAUCUCAGUUCUUAGCCCAUUCUUUCACUGUCGUUUGCUCUGAUUUAUCCAUAUUUUGUUUUUUUCCUCGAAUUUGGAAUUUAGGGUUCAUGUUGUUGUUUUUUCCUCGAAUUUGGAAUUUAGGGUUCAUGUUGUUGAUUUAUCCAUAUUUCAUGUUGUUGAGAGGAUUCAGUUCGAGGGCUACAUUGAUUCGAGCGGGGCCGCAACCUGGGAGCUCAAUUUGGGGGGAGGGGUGCCGCAGAUGGAGAAUUUGGGGUCGAGCUUGGACAGAGGGGCGGGCAGAGUCGUGUCGAUGGCUAGGUAUGCGCGCAAUGCUGAACUGCACUUGGAGUCUGAACUAACCGAGGAACUGAAGAUAAUCAAGAAAUCAAAUGGAGAUGAUCAAUCUGCAGAAGCAAGCAAAUAUCAUGGCAGGGGGGGUUCUAUUGUUGUGUCAUUGCUCUGUUUUUGUUUUACUUGUUGUUCAUCCGUCAUUAGAGGGAGCAUUUAGGUCUAUCAGGGCAGAGGAUGCGAUCUGUGCGCCAUGCCAAGUUCAUGUAACUGAAUCGAAGCAGAAAUAUUCUAUGUUGAUGCUUUGUUCUUGUUCUUCAGUUAACAGAGUGCACACCCCCCAAAUUCAGUUUCUAGUAAGAAAAUCUUGCUGCCGAAUAGAUGUUGGGCCAUGAAAAAACAACGAGGCCCAAAUAGAGACAAGCCCACCCGCGUAGGGGCACCAGCCCAGUUUUAUAGCAUAGAGGCACCCAUGUUUAAAAAAAAUGUUCGACUAAAAACUCAAAAUAAAAUAUUGCUUCGGCAAAUAAACCUUUAACAAACAUAUACUUCUUUACAUAUUUGUUGCUUGUCCACGCUUGCACAAAAUAUUGGCCAGAGGUAAAAUUCAAACUAAUAUUUUUAGGAGCACAGAAAUAUUUCUUUUGUGACCAAUAAUUGUUUGCAUGAACUAAAAUAGUUGCAUUUCCAUGGUUGCAAAAAAAAUUGCACCGUACACCUAAUAGCUAGGGUGAUCCUAUUUGCAUGAACUAAAUUAGUUGCAUGUCCAUGGUUGCACAAAAAUUAUCACCGUACACCUACUAGCCAGGGCCUAGAUACAUGCAAGCACACAUGCAUCACACCAAGAUAUGAAAAAAAAUUGCAAAAAAAUUUGGGUACCCAUACACUUGCAUGUCCGUAGUGGAAGCUACCUUUUAUUAGUAAGACAUAGAUCAAAUAGGGAUCCAAUCAACUAGAUAUAACAUGGGUACCCAUAGAACAUCAAGCACCAUAUAUAUCAACUAACCAAUAUCAACUAGAUAGAAAAAAAUAACAGAUAGAACAUAGUAGCAUAAGUAGUAGCAUUGCAUAGAUAAGGGUAGCACGACAUAUAUAGUACCACUACAACAUAGAUAAUUCAUAGUUCAACCCAACACGACAAUAAUAAAACACCACCAGCUUGUUUGCUUGCUUGCUCAAAGGCCAAAUCCUCCAUGGCCAACUCCUUCACUCGUCGCCGUUGGUGGGGUACGGGAGGGUGUGCAUGCGCUCAUCGGCGGGGAAGGCACUGUCGAAGUCCGUGAAGAUGUUGUACAUGGUGAAUGCGAUGAACUCGCAUCCACAUCAAAAAACACGACCGAGGAGGUAGUAGGCGUCGAAGGGGUUGGUGAACCUCACGAUGAGCCCGAUAGGAUGGCCACUGCUACUGACCUCUUUGACACGGAACAUGGCCGGAGAGCCCCUCGGGAGGUGCCGGUAGCCGGCGGAGAGGAAGAACUCGGUCAGCCCCCUUGCCCCCCUCCACCUCGAGAUCGCCCACACCCGUAGGGUGUUCUCCACCCGGACUCCGGUAGGGUAGAGCCUCUCAGGGAAGGUGCGCGGCACACGGUAGGUAGCCCCGGUGAACUGCAUCUUGCUUGCUAGCUUUGAGUGGAUCUUGGAAGAUGGGAGAUGAAGGAGAGUGAGAGGAAGAUGUGGGUAGAGGAAGAUGUAGGCUUGGGUGUGCUUAAAUAGCCGAGGUGCAGUGUUUUAACGUUUUGUUUUCCUCUCCCUCGUAAUGGCAUGGGAAACGAGCAAUGUGGCAUCGAGUCACCCGAGCCAACCCGUGUGUACACGCGCAUGCAUUGUGGUAGUAAUGCCAAUGACCCGCGUAGCACUCUAGCAAUAAAAAUGCGUCGAGAGAUGAGCUCGAUGCCAUGCAUGCAGCGGCUAGCGGUCGGGCAUCUAGACCCAUCUAGAAUGGGUAAAUAGCCAUAAUGCUACGAGGGUGUCGGCGGGCAUGCUCGCCCGCGAUGCCAUCCAUGCAACGUCGAACGCUGAGAGGGCGGCCGCAGGAGGGCUACACGCGCGUGCAUGCUUUUCAGGCCGAAUGCAGCGUCGUGUCCAUCGGUCCAAUGGGUGGGCCGCUUUAAUUAAGCCCAACAACACAUGGCAGGCCUGCUUAGUCUUACAAUGUAAAAAAUGGGCUAAAACGACCAGCCAAUGAAAGCGCAACACGCGGAUCUGUGACGUGGCUCCUAAUCCAGACUGUUGCUUAUGUUCACAUCCAUCCAAUGGUCCAGAAUGCUACGUGUUAUAAUAUUCAGCAUCUUCGAAUCAGCCAAUCAGAGUGCUGCCUGCAGAUCGCUGACGUAGCCCUGGUGCCUGAUCCAGACCGUCCAUUCAUAGCGAUCCAAUGGCCGAGAGGAGUGUGGGGUUUCAAUGGGGUUUUGAGUGGUUUUCAGCGGUUAGGGUUGAGCAUAACUAAUUCAAAAAAAUCAAAAAAACUAUAAAACUUGUGUCGAUCAUCGUUCUAUGUGACUAAGUAUCUAGGAAAAAUAAGAAACUUGUACUACGGAUAUUUUCAUGAAAAAACCUUCACAAAAGAUGGCUAUCAAGAACGACCUUGUAGGGUUUUGAAGAGAAGUGAGCUAGGGUUUAGUGUCAAACAUGUCAUACUUUAUCGAAACAAUCCAAUAUCAGGAAGGACUCUUAUAUACACACACUAGAUGUCAAGUUUCCUUUUUGGGCUCAUUUAGAGAAGGUCGAAAAAAGCUUGCUUACAAAUGGGUCUGUUUUCCCUAGCUUUGGAGGGGUUUUGGAGGUCAUGUGGAGCACAUUUUUCAUGUCCAGAGUUUUACAUAAUAAAAGUGCUCCGAUUAAUCAACUAACAUGCAUAAUAGUCCAGAAAUCAUUGUAACACCAACACCACAGACCAAAUAACUUCAAAUUUGAAUUUUGUCUCAAAUUUGAAUUUUGUCUCAAAUUUGAAUAGUAUUACACAAAUACACAUCAUAUCAAAGUACAAAUAUCAUUACACAAAUUCAGGCAAGGUUUUAUUACUACAACAUACUAGCAAUACACAAGUUUCAACAAAUUUUCACUUCUGCUUCUUCCUACCACUCGAUUUGUUCUUCUUCUUUUUACCAAUGCUUGUUUUUGGUUGUACAACACCCAGUUCACUCAAGCUCUUGAUUUUCUUCACUGGACUUCCUGGAACACAAGCUUCAUUUCGCACCACAACAGUUGCAGUAUCAUCGGACCCAAUAUCACCAGUUGGCAACACAACUUCCAAUAUAGGCUCAGUUGGCACCACAUCAACUGGAAUAUCUUUAGUUGGCAACUCAACUUCCAACAUAGGCUCAGCUUGCACAGCAUCAGCUGGAAUAUCUUCAGAGGUACCCAUAGCUUCAGUUGGCACCAGAACAUCAAAAUCUUGCUCAUCUUGCAGCAGCACAUCCAAGUCUUGCUCAUUUUGCACCACACCAUCCAAGUCUGGUUGAAUGUGUAUUGUUUCACCAAAACUUCUCUUUCUUCUAGAGCCAUUGCCUCUUGCUUUUUUCUUUGGCCAGCACACUUCAACAACAAGGGGCUCACCUGCACGCUUCCUCCUAAAAAGAUAAAGCAUGUCAACUGGUUAGUAAUUGAAAAAUGCAACAAAAUAGUAAACAAUGCAAACAUAUGCCCACAUACUUUGGCCAUUCAUGAGUGUAACAACAUUUGGGAGAUCCAACUCGGUGCCCAAGUUCCUGGCACAACUUGCCUCUAUUUUUUUUUACCUUUUUGGGACCUUUUUGGCUUUGCAUUCUUCUUUCCCUUGCCCUUUUUACUACUCCCACCUUUCUCAAACCAUGCCUUGAAUCUACUUUCUUUAGGCCUGCCAGCCUUUCUUUUUGUUAGGGGAGGACCCAUGGAAAAUUCAAUUUCAACUUCAGGCCACUGAGACUGAUCUGUAAGUGCUAGAAUUGGAGUUGCAUAUGCAGCCUUGAAUCUUGCUACUAAGUAAUAUUCGUGCAAAUAUGGGUGCAUGUUUAUCUUCGGUCGGGAGGCCAAGAAAAGUAUGGCAUGACUCACAUGGUUUCCCAGUGUGCUGCCACUCCAAACAAGUGCAAUCAUGCAUUUCAGUGUUAACAACAUGCCUUCUACCAGUUUUGGUAUCUCUAACUUCAACACCCCACACAGAAGAUUUUUCAACAGAUAAAUGUGUAAGAUUUAUGCUCCUGUUGACCACCUGGUGUACCACUGCAGGAAGCUUAUCCCCUUGUAGACAAUCACCAAUCCUUCUUCUCAAUUCCCACAAGCGCAUGAUCAUGAUCCUGAUUUGGUCAACCAUGUCAUGCACAGGAAAAAAAUUUAACUGCUUCACCCUGUUGUUAAAACUUUCUGCCAAGUUGUUGUUGAUAUGAUCACACUUGAUGGCAGUGUUAAAUCCCGACCUAUACCAUAAUAGAGAAUGGUACGUGUUCACCCAUGGACCAAACUCAGGACAUGAUGUCAUUAUCAUACCAAGAUGAUAUUAAUGUGUUUGUUUAGUGUAAGAUCUUGCUGCUGGCCACAUACGACCAAAUUCUUCCCCUUUGAAUUUUUUGAUCAAAUUCAUCCACAUAUGGCCGAAGCACUCCCUCUGCUCACAAUGGGGGAAAACAUUCUUCACUGCGUUUUCUAGCCCUUUGCAUGCAUCUGUGUGGACUGCCAAAGGUGACACUGGACCUAUGCAUCUUUUCAACUGCACCAUGAACCAUGUCCACGAGACCUCUAUCUGUGACUGAAAUAAGCCAAUAGCAAUAGGGAACAUCCAGUUGUAUCGAUCCAAAGCAUUGCAAGCUGCCAAUUGACCAAUUGAAAGUGCACCUAUGCCUAGGUGGUUUUGGUAAUUCCUAACAACAUAUAGCUCAUUGAGCUAAUGAUAUCUCAAGAUAAAUAUUUCAGGAAAGCACAAUGAUUGGCAUGGCAUGGAUUAGAAAUGUGACCCCUCAGAAUACCAAGGACAAAAGAAUGGCUCAAGCUCUAAAGCUCAAGACUCUACAUUUUACUUUUAGUGAUCCAAGAUCACAUUGAGUCCAUAGGAAAAGCAAAUACUAUUAAAAGGGGAUGAGGUGUUGCUUAAUGGGUUGCUUGCUCAAAAUGCUUAGUGAUAUGCUCCAAAAACCCUCAACUACUUUCUCAUAUCCACAUAUGUCCCAAACCAGAAGUCAAACUCGGCCCCACCAAAACAUCCUAUCUGGCACCACCGAGUUCUCUUGACAUAGCCACUGCCACAAACCCUAGUCACUUUGGUCUCACCGAUAGGGAUCUCGGUAUCACCGAGAUGGGAUUGCAAACAUCUGUUUCCCUUCCUAACGUUUCGGUCCAACCGAGAUGAGCGAUCGGUCCCACCGAGUUUGCAAUGCAAACUCUCUGUUUCCCCUUCGUAACGUUUCGGUCUCACCGAGAUGAGCAAAUCGGUCCCACCGAGUCUGCCUCAUCAACUCUCUGGUUAGCUUAUCACCAAAAUCAGUCCCACCGAGUUUGUGUAAUCAGUCUCACCGAGAUUACGUUAUGCCCUAACCCUAAUGAAAUCGGUCCCACCGAGUUGACAUGUCGGUCCCAUCGAAUAUCCUAACGUUCACAUUUUGAACUAAAUCGGUCCGACCGAGUUUCAUUAUUCGGUCCCACCGAGUUUGAUGAUUUGUGUGUAACGGUUAGAUUUUGUGUGGAGGCUAUAUAUACCCCUCCACCCACUCUUUAUUCGUGGAGAGAGCCAUCAUAACAUGCCUACACUUCCAGCAUACAUUUUCUGAGAGAGAACCACCUACUCAUGUGUUGAGGUCAAGAUAUUCCAUUCCAACCACAUAAAUCUUGAUCUCUAGCCUUCUCCAAGUUGCUUUCCACUCAAAUCGUCUUUCCACCAAAUCCAAAUCUGUGAGAGAGAGUUGAGUGUUGGGGAGACUAUCAUUUGAAGCACAAGAGCAAGGAGUUCAUCAUCAACACACCAUCUAUUACCUUUUGGAGAGUGGUGUCUCCUAGAUUGGUUAGGUGUCACUUGGGAGCCUCCGUCAAGAUUGUGGAGUUGAACCAAGGAGUUUGUACGGGCAAGGAGAUCGCCUACUUCGUGAAGAUCUACCCUAGUGAGGCAAGUCCUUCGUGGGCGAUGGCCAUGGUGGGAUAGACAAGGUUGCUUCUUCGUGGAACCUUCAUGGGUGGAGCCCUCCGUGGACUCGCGCAACCGUUACCCUUCGUGGGUUGAAGUCUCCAUCAACGUGGAUGUACGAUAGCACCACCUAUCAGAACCACGCCAAAAAUCUCCGUGUUUAUAUUGCGUUUGCUCCCUCCAAACUCCUCCCUUUACCUUCAUGUGCAAUGUUUUACAUUCCGCUACUAUACUCUUAGACUUGCAUGUGUAGGUUGAUUUCUUGACUAGUGCUAAGUUGCUAAAAUCUGCCAAGACUUAAAAUUGGGGAAAGGCUAGAUUUUUAUUUGGUCAAGUAGUCUAAUCACCCCCCCUCUAGACAUAAUUUCGAUCCUACAAGUGGUAUCAGAGCUACGGUCUCCAUUUGCCUUGAUUUCCAUAGCUUUUGGUGAUCAUAGCCUUGGUUUCACAACCUAGGAGACUAUGGCGUCUAGCAAGGGAAAUUACCACCAUAGAGGUCCUUACUUUGAUGGUACUAAUUUUGCUACUUGGAAGCACAAGAUGAAAAUGCAUAUUCUUGGACAUAACCCCGCCGUUUGGGCUAUUGUGUGUAUUGUCUUGCAAGGUGAAUUCUUUGAUGGGAGAGAACCGAACCGUGAAGCUACUGCGGAAGAGUUGAAGAUGCUACAAUACAAUGCUCAAGCUUGUGAUAUUCUCUUCAACGGAUUGUGCCUCGAAGAAUUCAACAAAAUCAGCCGUCUUGAGAAUGCAAAGGAAAUUUGGGAUACUUUGAUUGAUAUGCAUGAGGGUACCGACUCCGUCAAGGAAUCCAAAUUGGAUGUGCUUCAAAGUCAAAUUGAGAAGUUCAAAAUGAAGGAUGGUGAAGGUGUCACUGAAAUGUACUCUAGGCUUGCUCUCAUCACAAAUGAGAUUGCCGGCUUAGGAAGUGAAGAGAUGACCGAUAGAUUCAUCAUCAAGAAGAUCCUAAGAGCCUUGGAUGGAAAAUAUGAUACCGUGUGCACAUUGAUCCAAAUGAUGCCCAAUUACAAAGAUCUCAAGCCAAAGGAAGUCAUUGGAAGAAUUGUUGCUCAUGAGAUGUCACUUAAGGAUAAGGAAGAGCUCCACAACAAGUCAAGUGGUGCUUACAAAGCCUCAUGUGAUGCUCCUACACCAUCAAGUGAGAAACAAACCUUUAAUGAAGAAUUGAGCCUAAUGGUGAAGAAUUUCAGCAAGUUCUACAAGAGUAGAAGCAAGGAAAGAAGUUCCAAGUCAAGAUCCUACAAUGACAAAAGAUCUUCAAGUCGUGAACGAAAUUGCUACAAUUGUGGAAGACCCGGACACUACUCCAAUGAGUGUACGGCUCCCUACAAAAGAAGAGGAGAUUCUCCCAAAAGACGAAGUAGAAGAGAAGAAUCAGCACCAAGAGAGAGAAGGAGUAGAGAUGAUUGUUAUGAACGAAGAACCUCUCGGAGAAGCAAGGAUUCGGAAAGGAAGGACAAAUCAUCAAAGAGCUACACAAAACGAAGACAUCAAUCUCACGUUGGUGAAUGGGUAUCCGGCUCCGACUCCGACCAUUACUCCGAAAGAAGUUAUCACUCCGACUCCGACUAUACUCAAGAAGAAGGUGUUGCCGGUCUAGCACUUGCGUCAACCAACUCCUACAACAUAUUUGACUCACCAAAUGAAGGAAUUGGAAGAUGCUUCAUGGCUAAAGGCCCCAAGGUAUCACACCCCGAGUUUGUUGAUUUCAAUAGUGAUGAAGAUGAUUUGCUAGGAGAUGAUGAUUUACUUGUUGACAACUCCAGUUAUGAAAACUAUGAUGAACUUGCUAUUAGUCAUGCUAAUCAAGAUAAAACGAAUGACGAUGAUAAGAAGGAGAUUGAGCGUCUAACUAAAGAAUUAAACACUCUUAAAUUAGCUCAUGAAACUACCAUGGAAGAUCAUCGAGAACUUUUAAAGACUCAUGAGAAGCUACGCUUUGAAAGGCUCAACCUUGAGCAAGAGCAUGGGUUCUUAAAAGCAAUCAAUGAUGAUCUUCGCAGGAAAAAUUCUUCUUACAUUGCCAAGCGUUUACUCUUGUCUACUUACAUGCCACAAGUAGAAUCUAGCAACAAGAGUAAGAAAGAUUCUUCAUCUAGUAGUAACAAUAAUCAUGCUAAAUCCAAUGUUGUUGCUUCUAGUAGUUCUCUUGAUUCCACUAAUGAUUCUCUUAGCCAAGUUACAAUUGAGCAAGAAAAUAGCUUAUUGAAGGGAAUUAUAGAGAAAGGUGUUUACAAGAGCCUUGUCGGAAGUAAGCAAUUUGAGGAAAUUGUACGCAACCAAGGAAGGCACCGGAAAAAUCAAGGUGUUGGUUUUGAACGAAAGUUCAAUGCCAAUGGAGUUGAGUGGGAAGAAGAUCAAUACCCCAAGACGAAGUUUGUUCCUCAACAAGAGAAGUAUGAUCCUACUUCCUUCCAAGGAACACAAGCUCAAGAUGAUCUUCCACCACAAGACCACAAGCAAAAAGGCAAGGACAAGCUUCAAGAGGAGAUUGAUGCAUUUUAAGAAGCUCCCAAGGCCUUGGUCGAGUGGGUUCCCAAGACUACAUCAAAUACGACUACAACUCCAAGGAUUCCCAUCAAGAUGAUGUGGAUCCCGAAGAAGAAGAACUAGAGAGUUCUUGAGGGUGACUCCGCCAACAUACUUCACUCAUAUCUUUUGGCAAGGACAUGUGAGAACAACUUCCACAUAUUGCACUAGUUCAAGGAGUCACAAACCCUCUUGUUUGUAAGACAAGGGACAAGGUAACCUAAUGCUUUCAUGGACAUCAUCUUGUGUGUACAUCACUCUAUGUCUAUGGAUAUCCUUGUUUGUUCCUUGUGGGACUAACCAGUGUAGGUAUUGGAAGUGCAACUCACUCCAAUGGAUUGCUCCGAAUGAUCUACAUCAACAUUGAGCAUCCACAUCUUCAACACCUACAUGAAGUCAUCAUCGACAAAACCCAAGGUUAGUUCAUCCCUCUUAGGGGGAUAUCACAUCUAGGGGGAGCUUUACUCUAAUAAAUUGAGCUAAAGCAACUCUAAUGGUGUGAACACAACAAUGCUUUAUGUGAAAGUGGUAACCCCACUUAUGCUUAAACGAUGAGUAUGACCUAUGAUCAAAUGUUCUCAUUUGACUCCUAAGUCAAUAUACUCAUAUAUAGAUGACCUAGUCAUCGCCAAUUGCUUGAUAGAUGCUAGAGUCUUUGUGCAUGCUUUGUCACAUAUUUCGUUUGCCAUUUUAUUGUGUGAGCAUGUUAAUUGCAUAUUUUACUCAUUCGAGGACAUCCAUUUGUUGCUUUGAUUGUUUGGCUUUUUCUCUUUUGCCAAAUGGAUGGACAAGAAUGCCUAAGAACUCCCUCUAGCUAUCUAUGCUUUUCUCGUCUCAAACUCUAUUCAUGCUACAUCACAAAGUUUGAUCAAGUCAGGUUCGAACCACUCUGUGUGAGGAGCACUCGGAGUCCCCGAUUCGUCAUAGACUUAAACUUCCAAAACCUCUUUGUGCAUUUCGGUAUGACCGAUUCAUCCAUUUUGGUCACACUGAGUUCACUAAGUUGAUCUAGGUUUUCCAUCUCGGUGCAACCAAUUUGAACUUUUCGGUCACAUCGAGUUGCAGUAACCGCUUGCGAUUCUGCAUCUCGGUGCCACCGAGUUGUUCCACUCGGUAACAUCGAUAGGGUCGGGAUAUAUAAACCCACAGGUGAGAUUUUGGAAAUUUCUUCAAACUCCUCAGCCCGCGUGUGUCCUGCUCUGCCUCCUCGGGUCUCCGGAUCGUCUCCUCGCCGCCAGCGACCUCCCGCCGCUGGUUUCCGUUGCUGUCAACGGAAUUCUCCUCUGCCGUUGUCGCCAUAGCGAACUCCCGCCGAACUAGGGUAUGGGUUCGACUCUUUGUGCUAUUUCCCUACUCCAAUUUGUAGCACAUUUCUUUUCCAUGAUCUUUACCACGUAUGAAAAUAAUCUAUCGAGAGAAAACAUCCUUUAGGUUAGAUUUGAUUCAAAAAUUUAGGGUUAGGUCUCCGCCGAACUCAUCUCAGACCAACCGAGUUGUAGAAAUCGGUCUCACCGAUUUGGCUUAGGCCAUUGCACAUGCUUUUUGGUCUGACUGAAAACGGCAAAUUGGUGCGACCGAUUUCGAAUCUCUGUGAAACCCUAGCAAUCUCGGUGCCACCGAACUGUGACUCGGUCUGACCAAGUUCACUAGUUUAGGUUCCAAAAGUUGCUUCGGUAUCACCGAGUUUAACAAAUCGGUAGCUCCGAAAUGCUUUCUGUGGAGAACUAUAACUAAGUUUUUGAGUCAUCUGUUUUGCAAAAGCUCUGCACUUUGUGAUGCUCAUCCACUCUACCUCAUCUAUAUCUAUUCACAGGGUUUGCUGUCAGUGUGAUUGCCAAGAUGUCUGAUCAAAGUGACAGCCAGAACAGAUCUGAAGAGCAAGUGCAUAUGAGUGAGGGCACUAAUCCCUCAAGCAGCUAUGAUGAGGGCAGCAGAAGCACACCAAGUAACUUGCCCAAGGUAGCCACUAGAACAAGGAAGAAGAGAACCUCAGACUCCGAGGAUGAGGACUAUGUGGCCAUUGAGGAUGAGGCCACCUCAAGGAAGAAAGUGCUGAAGAAAGAGUAUGGCAUAGCUGCUGCAACUAAGCCAGGGUUGCAUAAGAAGGCAACAGCAAAGAGAGUCCCAAUGUCAAAGCCAACGAAAGUUCCAACAGGAGAAACCAUGAAAUUCACAAUAUAAUCAGAUGAUGGUGAGGCAGUUGGUGAUGGCAAGAAGAAGAAGAGGGCAAGAACCACAUCUGCAAAAGUUCUUGGAAAAUCAACUAUGGUAAGAGAUUCAGAAGAAGAGGAAGAGGAAGAGGAUGCUGCACCAGCACCCAAGUCUCAGAAGCUUAUGGGAGAUGCUAUCAAGUCAGGGGCUGCUCCAUCAAAGCCCAAGACUGCUCCCAAAGCAACAGCUCAAACUCAGAAGCCCUCUAAGCCCAAGAGAAGCACCAGAAACAUUCCUGCAGAAGAGAGGAACAAGGCCUCAGUGCCUAAGGUUGAAGAAGAGGAUGAUGAAGCCCUAGUGCUAAGAAAACUGAAACCCAAGAUUCCAGACCACAAUGACACUCAUCCAGUGGCUGAGGACAUGCACAUCAGGAAAGAUGCAGGAUUGAGACUUUGGAGACAGUCUGAUCCUUAUGCUGCGACAAGGAGAACUGUUGUGGACUACAUGUUCCACACCAAAGAACAACAAGACUUCUAUGAGACUAUUCUGCUUGACAAGAAGCCAAUUGUCUGUGAAAUGAGAUGGGUUGAUUGGGAAUACAUCAAAGAGAAUGAAGAUCACUUCCCAGGUGUACCAGACAGCUUCAAAGCAAGUGGAGUUGAUAAGUUUGUAGGUCAGAAGCCCACCAAAUGGAAUGAUGAGCUAAUCAUGCAGUUUUACUCCACUGCUCAUUUCUAUCCAGAUGGGAGAUAGUGGGGAUGUCUGAAGGUACAAGGUACCAAUCAACUGUAGAAAAAUGGGCCAAGUUGAUCAAUGCCCCAGAAGAGUAUGAGGAUGAUUUGGAUGUGUAUGCCAAGAAGAAGAAAGACCACAACUCUAUGGCAAAUAUGUACAAAGAGAUCCCUGAUAAAGCUUUGGAGACACACAAGCUUGGAUCUGUGCACUAUUUGUUGUCUGGUCUACCCACUAUCAACACUAUCUUAAGGCAUACUCUGGUACCCAAAUCUGGAGAUCACAAGAUGAUCAGAGGACAUUCCAUCAACUUGCUGCAAAUCUUUGAUGUCCCUUAAAAAUUCAAGGUCGUGAGUCUGAUUGUUGAGACAAUCAAGAGGACAGCUGCUGACCAGAAGAGAUCUUGUGGGUAUGCUCCACACAUUCAGGUGGUCAUCAACUCAAAGAUGGGCACAGGGACUUACAUGUUGGACAAAGAACAUUUACCCUUGUAUCCAGAUUUUGAAGAUAAUGAAGUUGUCAUGAAUGAGAAUGAACCUUCAUCAGCACAAGCACAAGAGAAGAGAGCUAAAGCAAAGGCAGAAAAGGCUGCAAGGAUGCCAAGUGCCGAGGAAGCAUCUCAGGUGUCCCUGAAGAGCAAGAAAGAUCAGCUUAUAUCUGAUUCAAGCUACAUUGAGGAUUGAGAAGGGCUUGGCCACCCUGACUCAGAAUCAGGAGAGCUUGGAGAGGAUCAUAGAGACAAAAUAUUAUGAUCUUGAUCUGAAGGUCACUGAGAUACAGAGAGCAGUUGAGCAGCUCCAGGAGGAAGCAGGAGAGAGGAAAGGGAAGGCAACUACAGAUGCUUUUCGGCGAGUGCCAAGAGGUCAGAGGUCUGCUGCAGUGCCAGUAUCAGAUACUAGAGCUACAUCGUCAGCACCAAUAGCUACAGCUUCAGUGCCACCUCCAGCAGCCACUCCACCAGCUCCAGCUACAUCCACUGAUGCCUUCGUCCUUGGAGUUCUCUCUACUCCACCUCCUGAAGACCAAGCCUGAGAGACGCAUAGCACUAUGCAUUUUCGAACUUUUUGAUAACUUGUUGCCAAAGGGGGAGAAAUGUAUAGAUCAUAGGCUUCGAGAGAGAGUGUUUUGCUUCUUUGUCUCUCUUGAUUUUGGUUGAACUUUAUGGUGUUCUUGGUUGAUACUCUAUGUCUGUGUGAGAUACUUGUUUGAUCAUGGGUUUGAUCAUAUGCUACUUUAAUGCUUGCUUGGAUGGUAUUAUCUCUUAUAUCCCAUAUAUGUUCAUUCACUUUGCUUGGUGAUGAAUGCUUUCUUUUAAUUUCCACGAUCCUAAUUGAUUGUGCAUUUGCAUUCAAAAGAUGUAUGUGACAUGGAAGAGUAACCCAUGAUCCUAAUCGAUUGUGCAUUUGCAUUCAAAAGCCUAUUUUUAAUAAUGCACAAAUUUAGGGGGAGCUCUUGCUUAUCACAUACUUCUCAAAGCGACGAUGUAUUUCAAUCUUAUGAUCAUUUGUCAAAGCUUUGAUCUAUAUGUUUUCAUCAAUUAUCAAAAAGGGGGAGAUUGAAAGUGCAACUAUCCCUGGGUGGUUUUGGUAAUUCCUAACAACAUAUAGCUCAUUGAGCUAAUGAUAUCUCAACAUAAAUAUUUCAGGAAAGCUCAAUGAUUAGCAUCGCAUGGAUUAGAAAUGUGGACCCCUCAAAAUGCUAAGGACAAAAUAUUGGCUCAAGCUCUAAAGCUCAAGACUCUACAUUUUACUUUUAGUGAUCCAAGAUCACAUUGAGUCCAUAGGAAAAGCCAAUACUAUUAAAAGGGGAUGAGGUGUUGCUUAAUGGGUUGCUUGCUCAAAAUGCUUAGUGAUAUGCUCCAAACCAAAAGUCAAACUCGGCCCCACCGAAACAUUCUAUCCGGCGCCACCGAGUUCUCUUGACAUAGCCACUGUCACAAACCCUAGUCACUUCCGGUCUCACCGAUAGGGACUCGGUCUCACCGAGAUGGGAUUGCAAAAUCUUUGUUUCCCUUCGUACAUUUCGGUCCAACCGAGAUGAGCGAUCGGUCCCACCGAGUUUGCAAUGCAAACUCUCUGUUUCCCCUUCGUAACGUUUCGGUCUCACCGAGAUGAGUGAAUCGGUCCCACCGAGUUUGCCUGACCAACUCUCUGGUUAGCUUAUUACCAAAAUCAGUCCCACCGAGUUCGUGUAAUCGGUCUCAUCGAGAUUACGUUAUGCCCUAACCCUAACGAAAUCGGUCCCACCGAGUUGAAAUGUCGAUCCCACCGAAUAUCCUAACAUUCACAUUUUGAACUAAAUCGGUCUGACCGAGUUUCAUUAUUCGGUCCCACCGAGUUUGAUGAUUUGUGUGUAACAGUUAGAUUUUUUGUGGAGGCUAUAUAUACCCCUCCACCCACUCUUCAUUUGUGGAGAGAGCCAUCAGAACAUGCCUACACUUCCAGCAUACAUUUUCUAAGAGAGAACCACCUACUCAUGUGUUGAGGUCAAGAUAUUCCAUUCCAACCACAUAAAUCUUGAUCUCUAGCCUUCUCCAAGUUGUUUUCCACUCAAAUCAUCUUUCCACCAAAUCCAAAUCUGUGAGAUAGAGUUGAGUGUUGGGGAGACUAUCAUUUGAAGCACAAGAGCAAGGAGUUCAUCAUGAACACACCAUCUAUUACCUUUUGGAGAAUGGUGUCUCCUAGAUUGGUUAGGUGUCACUUGGGAGCCUCCGUCAAGAUUGUGGAGUUGAACCAAGGAGUUUGUACGGGCAAGGAGAUAGCCUACUUCGUGUAGAUCUACCCUAGUGAGGCAAGUCCUUCGUGGGCGAUGGCCAUGGUGGGAUAGACAAGGUUGCUUCUUCGUGGACCCUUCGAGGGUGGAGCCCUCCGUGGACUCGCGCAACCGUUACCCUUCGUGGGUUGAAGUCUCCAUCAACGUGGAUGUAUGAUAGCACCAUCUAUCGGAACCACGCCAAAAAUCUCCAUGUCUACAUUGCGUUUGCUCCCUCCAAACUCCUCCAUUUACCUUCAUGUGCAAUGUUUUACAUUCCGCUGCUAUACUCUUAGACUUGCAUGUGUAGGUUGAUUGCUUGACUAGUGCUAAGUUGCUAAAAUCUGCCAAGACUUAAAAUUGGGAAAAGGCUUGAUUUUUAUUUGGUCAAGUAGUCUAAUUACCCCCCCCCCUCUAGACAUACUUUCGAUCCUACACCAUUCCACUUGCCAGUCAAAAAUGAUGAGUCUAUGCUCAAAUAUGGACGACACCCUACCUUGAAGCCAUCAAUGCUAGGCUUCAAAGCCAUAAUAAACGUAUAGAAAAGUACUCUUCCAUCCUCUGUUACCUCAGUAUCUAUCUCCACAACACUCCCAGGUGACCUCUUCUCCACCUCUGCUUUGAAAUUAUAAAGCAUCCUAAAAGUAUUUGCCCAGUCACCAUAUAAUUGUUUCAUUGCCCUUUGUUUUGCCUUCCACACCGUGUUAUACUUCUCCUUAAUGGGGUAUUGCUUUCCAAGUAUACUUUAAGUUUCUUUGCAGUGGUGUUUGGUUUCUUGGCUAGAAUAGGAGUGAUCUUUUCUGCAAUCCAAAGCUGUGAUGUCAUGGUUGAUACUCUCGGUGAACUUGUAAUACAAGUAUGUUGGUGAGGGAUUUGAUUCACCCUAAUGGUACUUCCAUCAGGUUGGCGUCUAGCAGAUAUGUACUACUUGCAAGGCUUGACACUUCCAUCAAAACCUCUACACCUUGCAUAAAACUUCUUUCUAUCAGUCCACUUAGUCUUGGCACCAAACUCAUGUUUGACUGCAUAUGUCUUGAAACACAUCCUAAACUCAUCCAUGUUUGGGAACAACAUCCCCACUUCAAUAACAGGGUUUUCCUUGUCAUACACAUUUACCAACUCAUCAUCAUGUGCAUCAUCUACAUCAUCUGCAGCAUCUUCCAUCAGCUAUCCAUCCAGAUCUUCAGUUCUAUCUUUGUUAGCAUCAGUAUCAGUAGGCAUACUAGAUUCACCAUCCUUCUCCUCCUUAUCUUCAUCAGCUACUGGAAUGCCAAAUUUUUUGGCCAUCUCAGUGUCAUCCAUUGGUGCAAUGACUAAAUCAGUUGGGUCAUUUAAUUCUACUGAAUUCCAAUCAACAUAAACAACCCUUCCAACACCCUCAGAGCCAUCUUCUGCAUCACCCCCCUCAGGUAAUACUGUCACUUCACCUGUACACAUGGGCAUUAUCUGCCUCUCUGAAGCCCAAUCAUCAUCUACCAUUUGUGAAGCUAACUUUGAGGGCACAUAUCCAACCUUAGAAUCUGAUUUCAGAUCAACAAGCUAUGCAUGAAACAUAGUUUGUUUGGUUGUCCAGCCAUCUUGUUGAUCAAUUUCAUCAACCAUGUCUUCACCAUCCUCAAUUCUCACAUACUCUCCUUUCCAAUUAUCAAACCGUAACAAUGCUACCUCUUGCUCUGGACCCCAAAAAAUGCUCUCCCCAAUUUUUUUCCACCACAUUCUUCAUGGCCUUCUCUUCCAUGCUCUGUAGUUCUUGUGGAUCAAUCUCUGCAAAAUCAAUCUCCGGAUGCUACCAUCACCUAUGUCCCGCAUGCUACCAUCACCUAGCUUCGCCUUAGAAGGAAGGAAUUCCGCAGUGAAUUUGAACGUCCGAGCAACAUCCCCCCUAUUUCGGGGCAGUGUGAGGUGAGCUACCGGAAGCAGACGAGGCACAAAUCGCAUUCCUUGGAAAGGAUGCACAUUAAGGGAUUACCUUCUAGAUGUUGUUGUCUCUGGCGGCUCCAUCGCGUGCAGGCCCCCCUCCCACCCACCCAAAUCUGGAUCAAAUUGACCAAAAACACCAAAAAACAGAGGGAAAGAGAGGCGGUGAGAUCUAGCUCGACACGGAGGGGAACGGGAUAGGGUUCCUGAUUCACUCAACACAGCCGCCGCCGUCGCCGAGAACGAAAGCUCCUCUGCGCUGCUAUCACCGAGAACAAAAUCUCCGGCGCCGGCGCCGGCUCACCGCCAAGAACAAAGAGGGGGGGUACACGUUCAGAUAGGCAUGGGGACACGUUUCACCUGAUGCACUGCCAAGUGGGGCCCGCAACUAGAUGCACUGCCAAGUGGGAUCCACAUGUCUUAAACAUAACCUCACUCCCGUUGACGACCAGUUUAAUCGCCCGAGUGGACCUUGGCUAUUUGGGCCUCUGAAACAUAGUACUACAGUUAUUUUCGUCAACUAUGUCGCUUUCCUUCCAUUGCACCUCAAAUAUGUCGCACAGGAGCUAUUGACCCCUUGACUUGUUGCAGCUGGCCAUUUUCUACUACGAAACCAAUUUUCUAGGAGUAAAUAAAUAAAUGAACAACUACAGCAUACAUCAUAUGAGUUUCAGACUUUAUGAAGCCUGAAUGUUGAAAAAAUAAGAAAAAGAGACAACGUAAGGACCUCUGCUCUGUCGUGCCGAUGGAUGACAGAAGCUAAUUGCAGAUGGCCGGAGUUGCGACAUCAGCCUCUUCGAGACACGCGGAGACCUCCGUAUCUCCUCGAGCUCUCCUGCCGCGCGGGGCCGUCAGCGCCCAACAACCUAUGCGGUGCCGCCGCCGUCUGUCUCAUAGGGAACAGCAGAAAGGCCAUUUUCUUUCGGGUGCUUUGAUAAAAAAAAUCAUAUAUUACAGGUGGGUCCAGGACUACUUAUCAACAAUACAUCUCCUUCUCAAUGUAUCCGAAAUGGGGAUUUUGAAAUAUAUUAACCGGAGUCUCUGAAAUCUAACACACUAAAAUUCAGGAACCUAUGAAAACUGGUACAUUUCUUCAUCAACCAUCCUUCGAACCUCAUGUGGCAACGCAGAUAUCAGAGCAUGUGUGUCUUCCUUCUAAGACUUUUGCAUGUUGCCCCUCUAUGCUCCUUUUUUACGGCCAAUGUGUGGAAGGUCAUGUCCAUAACCUCAUUGAUAGUCAAAACAUAGACGAUGAUGAUUGUGAACAUCCGCUGUGGCUUCAGAUUGCGAUGAUGUUGCCUCAUCCCCCAAUUGUGUAGACACAGGCUCCCAUUACACAAAGGGAAUGGUGGGGCGAAUAGACUCGUACCUCUGAAGAGCGAGGAGAAGAUACAUGUAUUUGUUUUCCUCCAAUAUUUUAGAUGGGCCUAGGACAGAUUGAGAGGGGAGCAAAUCCGAAUUUAUACCACACUCACAUUGACAUCCCAAGAUGGUGGAGUAUAUAUAGAACUUCUAUACAUCUUGUUUUUAAUAGCUCAUUUUUAGGAAGGAAAAAAAUAAAUUGUUAUCAUGGGAUAUGUGUUGAGCAGGUCAUUCAAAAAUGUUUAUUUAAUCAUGUGACUGAAUACACCAGAAUCAUGUGAUCAUCCUACUUGCAUGUUUAUGUUAGUCUCCAACUUCCAAAGUAGAACCUAGUAUACAUGGUAUUCUAGUUCUCUCCUGUGUACCAUCACUCCAAGUCCAUUGCAUCAUGAAAGACGUGUGAAACGUGAGAACUGGCAUUGCAUGAUUCUUCUCCAUCUCUAUGUUUCAUCUGGAUAAAGGGUGUCAGAGUAGAUGAUGGGUUUAAUGGCAGAGAGGGGGGGGAGAGGGAGAGGGAGAGAUCUCAUUCUUGUAAAAUGUAAAAAAAAGGAAUGGAAGGAAAGGUCCACACUUAGACAAACUGAUUAGAUCCGUAAACUAAUUAGACCCGCAAAAAAAGAUGACGCUAUAAAUAUCUCAUAACAACAGAGGGAGAGGAAGGCCAUAGCUUUUAUUGUGUAUGGUGAGACCGGCUUUUCAACACCCGGGUGUCAGACACCCGGCUAUCAGGCCGUUCAGGCAAUACCUCUCAUUGGGAUAUGUGUCUGGUCCUGCACCACCAUUUUCAUUAGCAGGCAAGGUGAAUAGUAAAUGGAUGUGACAACAGAGAACGGCCAUAGAGCGGACGAGCUCGCCUGUGUUGAACAGCCUGUCACGUUACACAAGGUGCACCGAAGCAGGAGUAUUGAGCCGCACCAGAAGUCCCAAUAUAUUGGUAGAGAUAAGCUAGGUAGUUAGUUCAUAUCUAUCCUUUGUAACCUAUUCUAUCUCUUCUCCUUCAAGUCUCCUGUAAUAUCUCAACUUCUAACUUGUAUGUGCUUCAGGGAUUGCGCCCCUGCCUAUAACAUGCAACGCGUCCCCUCGCACCGAGGUAAAGACGUUUCCGCAUCUCGCACAUGGUAAUCAGAGCCAUCCUACUUCCCAUCUAGUUUUCUCUCGAUUCCAAUCGUGUCCAAAAAUCAUGUCUUCCUCCUCCGGCAUCUCUCACCCUAGCCUCAGUGGGCAGGUCAUUGAGAAACUCUCCCGCACGAACUACGUGCUAUGGCGCACACAGAUCACGCCACAAUUGCGUGGCGCCGAUGUCUUCAGCUAUGUUCAUGGCACCUCGCCGGAGCCGGCCAAGCUCCUCGCCGCCAAGGACAAGGACGGCAAGGAGACCUUCCAGCCCAACCCUCUCCACCCCAUCUGGGUCAGGGAGGACCAGCAGGUUCUCGGCUACCUGCUGAGCAACCUCUCCAAAGAGGUGCUCCUCAUGGUGACCACGAUCACCACGGCGCAGCCGCUCUGGACGACGCUGGCGGGCAUGUACUCGUCGCAGUCGCUUAGCCGCAUCAACAACAUCCGUACCUCGCUCAUCAAUGCGCAGAAGGGCAACCAGUCCGCCACCGCCUACUUUGCCUCCAUGCGCGGUCUCGCGGACGAGCUGGCAGCGGCCCGCAAACCCAUCCAGGAUGACGAACUCAUCUCGUACAUCCUCCACGGGAUGGAUCUGGAGUACCAGCCCCUCGUCUCCGCCCUCGACACCCGUGUUAGCCCCGCCUCCCUCGACGAAAUCUUCUCCAUGCUCAGCAACUUUGACCAGCGCAUGGCGCGGUUCCAUAGCUCGGGCGGCGGCAGAUUCAAGUCCUCCGCAAACGUCGCUACCCGUGGACGUGGCGACGGCUCUCGCUACCGCGGUCCUUCCCGUGGCAAGGGGAGGUCUGGUGGCGCCAGGACUAGCAGCGGUGGUGGGAUCAGUGGCGGUGGCAGGCGUGGCAACAAGGGUCGCCGUGGUGGCGACUCUGGUAGAACCCGCCCGGACACGCCGCGCUGUCAGAUUUGUGGCAAGCCGGGGCACACUGCCAAAGACUGUUGGUACCGCUAUGAUGAAGACGAGGACGACUCUCAAGAUGAUGGAAAGGUCGCUACGGCGGCUGAUGGCUCCUACGGUGUUGAUACCAACUGGUACCUCAACAGCAGCGCCACUAAUCAUCUCACCGGUGAGCUUGAAAAGGUGACUCUCCGUGAGAAGUACCACGGCAAGGAUGAGAUUCACACCGCCGAUGGUGCAGGUAUGAGAAUCAGUCACAUUGGUCAUUCGGUUAUACAUACCCCUCGUCGUAAAAUUCAUCUUAGGAAAAUUUUGCAUGUUCCUAGUGCCAACAAAAACCUCCUUUCCGUUCAUAGAAUUGCACUUGACAACCAUGUCUUCAUUGAAUUUCAUCCCUUUUUCUUCUUGAUCAAGGAUCAGGCCACGAGGAAAACCCUAUAUCGAGGUAGAUGUGUUCGAGGACUCUACCCGUUGCUUCCGGAGUUUAGAAGACACAAUAAACAAGCCUAUGCUGUUGUCAAGCUUUCUUCAACAUGGUGGCAUGAUCGUCUAGGAUAUGCUUCUUUUUCUUUAGUUGAACAUUUGCUUAGGAAGAAUAAGCUCAUGUUUGUUGGUGAGCGUCAUGUUGAAACUGUUUGUGAUUCAUGCCAAAGAGCAAAAAGUCAUCAAUUGCCUUAUCCUGUUUCUACUAGUGUUUCUACUCAACCUUUGUAAUUAAUCUUUUCGGAUGUCUGGGGUCCUGCUCCUUGUUCGGUUGGUAGACACACAUAUUACGUAAGCUUCAUUGAUGACUAUACCAAGUUCUCAUGGAUCUACCUUCUCAAGAAACGAUCCGAUGUUUUUCAAGUUUUUCAAAACUUCCAAGCACUCGUUGAAAGAAAUUUGACAGCAAGAUCAUUGCAGUCCAAUCUGACUGGGGGGGAUACGAAAAAUUAAAUUCCUUCUUCCAAACCCUUGGCAUACCCCAUCAUGUUUCAUGCCCUCACCCUCACCAACAAAACGGCUCUGCCGAACGCAAGCACCAACACAUAGUUGAAGUUGGUCUAGCUCUCCUAGCCGGUGCUUCCAUGCCCCUCAAGUUUCGGGACAAAGCCUUUCUUACCAUCGUCCACAUAAUCAACAUGCUUCCUAGUCGUGUCAUCAACAACGAAACUCCCAUGGAAAAACUCCUUCACAUCAAACCAGACUACAAGUCUCUCCGUGUGUUUGGUUGUGCUUGUUGGCCCAACCUUCGUCCAUACAACAAUUGAAAGCUCAUAUUUCGAUAAAAACAGUGUGUUUUUCUUGGGUAUAGUGCCCAACACAAGGGUGUCAAAUGUCUAUAUGUAUCCACUGGUCGCAUCUAUAUUUCACGUGAUGUUGUUUUUUACGAGACCAAGUUCCCAUUUGUUGACCUUCACCCCAAUGCUGGUGCACUCCUUCGCAAAGAGAUCCUACUUCUCCCUUCUCAUCUCACUAGUUUUGAUCAAGGGGGCGAUAAUUGUAAUGAUCAAGUGUUGACUGGCCCUCUUAAUACCACAUAUGAGCCUGGUGAUGAUGCAGGAGAAGGCACAGAAAAAAACAGCAGUCAAGAUGGUGAAGAAAUGCGCUCUACAGAGCCAUAUUUCAUGUGUCCAGGUGAAGGGAACAAGUCCCCUUCGGGAUCCGUGCUGCCAGGCGUGUCAGCCGCAUCAUCCUCAGGAGACCGCGCAGACGCGUCAGGGCGGCCACGCGAAUCUGCACCAGAAUCCGCGCCAGCCUCGUCAGGCGUGGUCGGGAGCGAGCCAUCGAGCGGCGACUCCGAGCCAGCCACGCGGCGCCCUGUGGCUGGGGAACACGCCUCCUCUGCUCCGCGCCAAUCACGCAUUUGAAUAUUCAAGCGUUUGAAUAUUUUUAAUAAAGUAUUGCAAAUGUUAAUCAAGCAAUUGAAACUUGUUAAGGCCUUGUUCGGUUUGGCAGGGUUUGAAGAGGUUUGAAAGGAUUGAAGGGGAUUAAAUCUCUUGCAAGUCAAAAUCCUUCUCAAACCUCGCCAAUCCCCUUCAAUCCAUGUGGCAAGGGGAUUAACCGAACAUGGCCUCAAUGUGUAUAGAAAAAAUGGUUGCCAUGUAAACAAAUAAUUAAUAAAAAAUAUACAAUGUGUAGGAAACGAAUGUUGAUGGUGUAUUUAAAAAUGUUGAUAAAUAAUUAUAAAUUUAUCAAUGUAACAAAAUAAAUUUCUCAUGUGUUCAACAUUUGUUAGUGGUCAUAAUACUUUUUGCGCGCACAAUGCACAUUUCUUUUAUAAAUCAAGAACAUUUUUUUACAUUCUUAAUAUUAUAAAAAUACAUAAUUACCUUUCUUAAAUACAUUUUUAUGGUGUCUACUUUUACUUAAUGUGCAUAUUACAUUUUUGUAUAACUGAUCAGCAUUUUUAUAUACACGUUUAACAUUUUAAAAAAUAUGAUCAAUAUUUUUCCAUAUGAACAAAGCAAAGGCAAUAAAAACCAACUAAAACCUAAAUAGAAACAAAUGAAAUAAAAAUAAAAAAUAAAAAAACACCGCAGAAAGAAUAGAAAACAGCAAAAAUCGAGAAAAAAGGAAAAAUGAAAAAAGAAAGACACAAAUAGAAAAUAAAGAAGAAGAAGAAGAAGAAGAAGAGAAAUAAAAGAAAAAACAUCUAAAAACCAAUAAAGAAACAGAAACAGAUCAAAGAAAACAAAGAAAGCUAAAAGAAAUGAAGAAAUACACAUUCACCAGUGACGCGAUCAUGAGCGGGCAUUUUUUUGUUUUGUUUUGAGAAAUGGACCUCCUAGUUGCUACACGAGAGAGUUAUUCCUUCCGGGUAAAGAAGCUACGAACUCGGGUGAAGCAAGACAUAGCUCUCGCGGGAAAAGAGAGCUCCUCGUUGGCGCGUUAAGCGAGGCGCACCUAUGUAUCGCUUGAUACGAGAUGAAACAUGCGACCGCUUAGGGGUCGCAAUACAUGGUUCGGCCCAGAUAGGUUCCAGGUUAGGUCAUCCUUUUUCAUGUGUUUCUACUUUUUUCGAAAAUAUUGUAAACAAAUAUAUACAAAAACAUAAAAAUUGUUACUAAAAAUAGGAGCUGCAAUUUGAAAAUGUUAAUGAAAUGUAUGUUAGCUUAAUUAAAAGAAAUAUUGGUAGCGUACAAAAAAUAUGACAUUUAACAAAUAUUCACGUGUUUCAAAAGUAGUAUGUGACUUUAUAACCAUGUAUUUCAAAAAUCUUAAAUUUGUAUGUAGACUCUUCUUUAUUUACACAAAAAAUGUACAAAUGUGUACGUAAAAAGUAGACAUAAAUGACAUAUAUUUGGAAAAUGACACUUCUGUAUUAGAAAAAUAUUAAAUAUGCAUCCAAAAUGUUCUUGAUGUAUAAUAAAUUGUACAAUACGUAUAAAAAUCUACAUAUAAACAAUUAUUUGAAACAAAAAAAUUAAUCAUGUAAAUUUGCCCGUCUCCGCGAGAUCAAUUUGUGGUUCCGAACAACGAGCUCGCUCAACGCAGAAGCCAUGGCGGUGGUUGAGGCGCUAGACAAGGAGGUAGUGUCAAGGUGUUUCCCUGGUAACAAGAGCAACCAUGGUGGUUCUCUAAAUAAUGGAGGAGGCAGAGUCAACAGAUCCCUCCAAGCAAUUCAAGUGGGCGGUGUUCAGGUCCCUUACCACAAUUUUCCUUGCGUCUGUGGAGGUGGUAAGGGUGUUACCGACAUCAAGAAGCAGUUCGAUGCUGAUUGUGAUUUCAGAUGAGGAGCUUGAGCUGCAGCGGGUGAAGAAGAAGGGCAUGGUGGUGAGUUUCCCACACGGCUCCGCCAGGCUCCAUGCCCUCUCCGCGCAGAGUAGGUGUCUCCCCGGAUGGUAGCUGCUUCUAGUUGGUGGCCGCGGAGGAUUGCGACUAGGCUGAUGCUGGAGAGGGUUGCCCGCCGGAUAUCUCAGGCAUAUUUCUAUCUGCUAAAUAUUUGCAUUCUGCUUCACAUAUUAGUGAUGGUAGAAAUGUUUUGGGUUGGAAUAAAAUUCAAUUGAAACUGAAAAAGAAACAACAUAAAUAAACACGUCCAGCUACAUGAUUCUAGAGUUUGUGAUUGGGAAAAUAAAGUUGAUGAAAAUUCGUCUUCUGUUUGUUAACCAUGUAUAAAAAUAUGCUUAUCAUGUGUAAAACAUUAUUUAGUGGCGCUAAUUGCUUUUGCACGCACAAUGCACAUUUUUUGUACAUCAAGUACAUUUUUUCUUAACAUUUUAUAAAUACAGAAUCAAUUGUUUAAAAAAUAUGCCGUCUACUUUUAUUUAAUGUACAUAGUAUAUUUUUGGUGCAAAUGAUCAGCAUUUUAAUAUAUACAUUUAACAUUUUUUAAACAUGUUCAAUGUUUUCCAUAAGGACGAAAAAGACAAAGAAACCACCUAAAACUGAAAAAGAAUCAAAUGAAAAAAUAAAAAUAAAAAAGAAAGAAAACCACCUCAAAAAGCAUAGAAAACAGGGAAAACCAUGAAAAAAAUGAAAACAGUGAAAACGAAAGAUACACAAAAAAUGAAAAAAAGGAUGAAUAAAUAAAAUAAAAAACAACUGAAAACCAAGAAAGAAACAAAAAAACAUGAAAGAAAACAAACAAGAAUAAUAAUAAAUCGAAUGGAGAAAAAAAUAAAAAUCGAUGGAAAAUAAAUAAACAAGGAAAACAGGCGAAGAAACAAAGAAAAAAAGAAGUAAACGGACCUUGCCAGUUGCUACGCGAGAGAUCUAUUUGUUCAGGCAAGAGAAGCUACGAACUGAAGUGAAGCGAGAUAUAGCUCUCGUCGCACACGAGAGUUCUUGGUCGGCGGAUUAAGCAAGACGGAGCGUGCAAUAGCUUUGGUGUCAGCUAUACAUGGUUCGGCCCAGAUAAGUUCCAGGUUAGUUCGUCCUUUUUAUGUGUUUCUCCUUUCUUUUGUUCUUAUUUUGAAAAAUGUUGUAAAUAAAUAUAUACCAGAACAUAAAAUUUAUUUAAAAAUAUAAAAAUGUUGAAUGUGAAUGUACUAAAUAUGUUAGCUUAAUUCAAAAAAAUAUAGGUAGCGCACAAAACAAUUGUGACAUUUAACAGAUAUUCACGCGGUUCAAAAAAAGUAUGCAACUUUAUAACCAUGUAUUUCCUAAAUGUUAAACGUCUAUAAAAAAACUCUUCUUUAGUUACGCAAAAAAUGUAGAAUUGUGUAUGAAAAAAGUAGACAUCAAUAACAUAUAUUUGAAUUAUGUUACUUUUGCAUUUAAAAAAUGUUAAACAUGCCUAAAAUAUGUUCGUGAUGCCUAAAAAAUGUUGCGAUGAGGAUGGCUGUCAUCUCGCACCCGCCGACUGCUUGAACAGCUAGCGUCGCUGAGCUUGAGGAACCCCUUGUAGGGACCAAAGCAGACAACCUUGACGUUGCUGGCCUCCGUCGGCAUAUCAACAAAGCGCGACGCUUUCACUGUCGGACCAAAUCAGAGAUGGAUUAGGUCUAAAAUAUAUAUUUCUUGGUUAAAGGAAAAACAUGUAAUAACUGAACUCGCACUUAAGAAUUAAUCAACAUGUUGAUUCCACCGAAGCAUGCAUGCCUCCUGGAUGCUGAAACACGACUCACUGACUAUAAAAGCAGAGGACUCACUGACUAAGUACAGGAGCGAGUGACCGACUCUCGGCUCGGGUGAGGAUAAAAAAGAUCACCUGCUGCUGCUGGUUAUUGGUAAAAUCCAUGUGAGUGCUUGAUAAAAAAUUAUGGAACAUUGUAUAUGUUGUUACACAUAAAUGUUGGGAUAAAAAGAAUCAUCUUGGUACACUGCCUAGUCUUUUGGUGGACAGAAGAUUGUAUGGUGCAAGAAGCUAUUCAGAUACAACAACACUGGGCUACAUGACAGGAAUGGUGUACACGCCCCAAGGGCCAGCAGGCAGCAGCAAACCAGGUCAAGAUGAGAUGGUCUGGGCCUAGGAUGUUGAUUCAGAGAUGCCUGACUCGACGCCAAGCAGCAGCCACCCUACACCGCAGGCCCCGGCAGUUCUCGACCGAGAGCGACUGCGGCACAGUUCAGUUGUAGAAGCAAUCACAUGCCAUUCCCCCAGCAGAGCAGAACAGAGCAGAGCAACAAUCAGGGAUCAGGCCUGUCAUUGAAUAGAAGCUGAAUGACCUUCAGCUUCAGCUCCGGCAGGCCUGCCUCCGCUCACGGACUAGCCUCGGUAUUUCCUUCCAUGUCUUCGGUUUCAAUGGUUUGAAUUCCGUUACUGCACAUACCAAAAACGAUGUCAGAAAAAGCUUGCACAAAUUAAUGUGUUAUAUCAAAAUAUAUAGCAUGAUGGCAUUCAAAUAAUGGAGAAGAAACUUCUGCAAACGUGUUAGACCAUUAUGUACAAGGGAUGGAACGGAUGACUGCAUCUGUUUGUUAAAUGUGGCAAAGAUAGAAGGACGUGCUGCAAGCAUACCUUCAUAGCAGGCAUCUAGUCGUUUGCGGCUGAUGCUGCCCAGUUGCUGCUGCAGGCAUCUAGGGAGCUUCUUUAUAGCAGGGCAGCCUCUAAUUUGAAGAUACACGAGAGACCUGUAUACUUGCAGCUCAUUCGGCAGGGAUGCCAGGGUACUGCAUCUGUCAAGAUAAAGGACAUCCAGCGAUGGGGGGUGCUCUCCCGACAGACACUCCAGCGAUGUCAGCCCACUGUUUCCCAUAAUCUGCGGUCCCUUGAGGGGUGCAGGUAGACGGAGAGUCCCACCCAACAUGCCAGCACAGUCCACUAUUACUAGAGAUUCGAGAUGGGGAGGAAGUAAAUGCUCUCUUGCAGUUGGUGUUGCUGCUGCUGGUGGCUGUGGCAUGAUAGGACUUCUGCUUAUGGAGGUAGUGACUUCUGGUUUCUGGAGCCCACCCAGCUGGCAUGAUAGGACUUGAAUACUACUACAGCUAGCAAUACGAAUGUACUUUAAAGACGGAGGAAGGUUCAGAACCGCUGGUAAGCUUCCACAUCCAGAUAAAAGUAGAUCUUCUAGGCAUGGACAAAAGUGAUUCAUGGGUGAGGAUGGCAACUCUGAUACAGCUGCAGCCCUGAUUGCCUCACUGCUAGAAGAUACUUGGACUAACUCUGCCAUGCCCUGCUGCUUGCUGAAUAUGGAGUCAAGCUUAAUGCACCUAUCAAAAUUCAUUUUCUUGAGAGAUGCCGGGACGUUGAACAUCUCUACUAAACUUGGGCAGUUUUCUAAGCAAAGAGACUCUAGACCUCUCAGGUGCUGACUCCUUUCGGACGCCAAUGGCUCAAGAGGAGCUUGUGCAUAUCCAAUCAGAUUUUCACAGUUUGUAAUCGCCAAGCUCCUCAAGGACACCAAGCUUUGGAACACUUUCUCUGGCCAGUGGACGAGCACAUCGCAUCUAUCAAUUUCCAACUUUUCAAGAUCUACAAAAUACUCACACGGCUCUAAUGCACCCGAUCCAAAGAACAAGUUGCAGCAUCUUAGCUCCAUAACUGUAAGAGGGGAUUUCUGGUUCCAUUUCUCCUUGCUGUCCACCAAUACAAUUGAAGUGCACUCAACCUCUGAUGUUGUUUCUGUGUUUUCUAGCUUCAGUAUCAGAUUGGUCAAUGAGGGCAAAUAUCUAUCUACAGAAUCGGAGAUCUCUUGCUUGCCAUCUUCAAUUUCUAAUACACUGAGUUUUGGUGCUUCAGGCAAUGCUACCAGUUUUGGGCAUUUCUGGACUGACAAUUUCUCAAGGUGGGGAAACAAUGUACCUUCGACUGCAUCCCAUCUCUGAAAGCUCCCCAACCAUUUCAUUUUGAGCACCUUUAAGGCAGGAAAGGCUGAACGUACCAAUCUAUAACCACCUUCACUACAUGGUUCUUGAAGCAAUGGUGCUUCAGGUAACGCUGUCAGCUUUGGACAUUUCUCAAUUGAUAGUUCCUCCAGACAAGGAAACACUAUCUGUUCUCCUUGAGUCUCUUCGACUGCAUCCCAUCUCCGAAAGCUCUCCAACUCUUUCAUUUUGAGUACCUUUAGGGCAGGAAACGCUGAGCGUACCAAUGUAUAACCACCUUCACCACAAGGUCCUUGCAGCAAUGGUGCUUCAGGUAAUGCUACCAACUUUCCACAAUUACUAAUAAACAACUUCUCAAGCACAGGAAAUAUUGUUUGUUCUUCUUGCCUCUCAUCUAUUUCCCACCAUCUUACAAAACCCAACAAACGUUCUAGCAUUAGUACCUUCAGUUUUGGAAAAGUGAAGCUUGCACUGCAUCUGAACAAAACUUGCAAUCUUUCACAAUGGAAAAGAUGGAUCUCAACCAUGUUUUGCAGCAUACCCAUGCACUCUCCUCCAUAGGAAUAUAUCUUCAGAACCUGCAACCCACCAUGUGGUUCGAAAUUGUCGAGCACCAUGCUGUCACAAACAGAAUUCCAUCUUAAUGUCAGUUCUCUGAGAUCCUUCUUGUUUCCAAGGUUUGCCACUUUUGCCUCUGCCUCUAUAACAUUCUCUAUCUGACAUAGCUCUAACUGACCACCAAGGUUUAAAUGCUGCAGCUCUGCAACAUCACUGCAAUCAGUGCCAGUAACUGCUGCUGCAAAAAAUGUAAGCGUCUGCAGCUUAGUGAGUUUUCCUAGUUCUGGUGGCAUGCUCUUCAAGUUGCGACAUCCAAGAGUGUAGAGGUGACGGAGGGAAGUCAUAUACUUCAUUUGCCUCGGAAGUCGAUCAAGAUGAUAGCAGUUGGAAAGGUCUAACGUUUGCAGGUUAUAUAGAAUACUUAUAUCUUCAGGAAGUGCUUUGAUAUCACUGUCUGAGAGAUCAAGGUACCUCAGGUGAUACAGAUACAUUGAUUUCAGAAGAAAUGAUUCUGUGCCUCUAAUACAGAGCUUUAAGGCAUGCAAAGAGCUAUAUUUUGAUAGAUGCUUCAAUGAGCUUCGCACAUGGCUAUCACAUAUCAGUGUUUGAAUGGCAGGGGAUUUUUUCUCCAGAGCAUCAUUCAAAAUACCUUCUGUUUCUUCACAUGACAAGAACAAAUGCCGAGCAGUAUCUGGAAGCCACUCGGUUUGCCUUGGUUCCAUAGUUGCAACAACUCAUUCCUCUUCCAUAACAGACAUUGCAAUAUCAUGCAUAAGAUCAUGGAUUUUACAUGUAUUUCUGGAAUAAUACUCCCAGUCUUCUUUACUCUUCUCUAUAUCCAGAAAGAAUGACCUUGAAGCAAGCUCAUCAAAAAUAAGUUGUCCAAUGGUUUCAAGACUAUCUUCCUUGUGUUCAGGGAUAAAGCCAUUUGUGAUCCAUAGUUGGAUCAGCUUUGCUACAUCAAUCUUGUAAUCCUUUGGAAAUACAGCACAAAAAGCAAAGCACUGCUUCAUGUGCGAUGACAAGUCAUUGUAGCUAAGCUUCAAUAUUGGCAAGAUUCCAGUUUCCUCAGUGCAAAUGCUGCUUCUAGAUGCUAUAGCCUUCCAUUCUUUCACGGUGGUCUUGGUACGAAGUACAGAGCCCAGUGCACUUGCAGCUAAAGGAGAGCCACGACAUCUGUUCACAAUCUGAUCAACCAUCUUGACUAGCUCAACAGGCUUUUUUUUUCCGGAACUGAAUGCUCGAGCCUCAAUAAUUUCCUUUAAGAAUAUAUCAUCCAAACGACCGAGAAUGUGGGUAUCUGCACCCAUAAUUUCAGCAACUCCUUUAUCACGAGUUGUUGUCAGCACCGCACUACCCAUGACACCAUGCUUAAGAUGGUCCUUCAGCCUUUCCCACUUAUGGACUUCUCUGUUCCAGACAUCAUCUAAUACAAGGAGAUACCUCUGCCCGGUGACCAAUUUCUGAAGUCUCUCUAGUUGUGGUUUGUUUGUAUGAUAAUUUUUCUUGGGAGAUGCUUCAACUAUACUCUUGGCUAGGGAGUUCACAUCAAAGAUAUCCGAGACACAGACCCACAGCAACAACUGGAAAUGCUUCUGAAUUCUAGGUUCAUUGUAUAUGAGCUGUGCUAAUGUGGUCUUACCAAAGCCCCCCAUUCCAACGAUGGCAACCACUGCGAGAUCAGCACUAUUAGCUUGGCGAAGUAGUCUACCAACAACUUCCACCUUAUCUUUGUCUCUGGAUCUGCUAGCAAUGUCUUGCAGGUCGGUGAUAACAGAAUCCGUCUGCCUCCACUGCUUGGACACGGGUGGCUGUGGUCGGUACUUGAACCUAAAGGCAUGCAUCUCUGCUAUGAGCACAUCAAUGGCCUUCAGGAUCCGGCAAAGCUUGCGACCCAUUUUGUAACGGAACACAAUACAGUUGUGAGUAGGGAAGAGUUUAAUUACAUCGAAGCCGAGCUUGCUGUAGUGCCCCUUCUUCCUGGCUUCACGACGGAGUGCUUCGUACUUGAAUUCGUCAAACACUUCAUUUGCCUCAUAUGCCACCGUCUUGAGCUCCUGGAGCCAGGUUUUGGCCCCAUCUCUAUGCUCCGUCGCCUGCUUCUCGGCGUCGGUCAUGACGUCGAGGAUGGCCGGAAGCUUGCGUUUGAGAAUCUUGUGCUGCUCCUCCAUUCCCUCCAUCACCUUGUACUGGUCCAGGAGGGAGUUGCCCGCCUUGUUCACCAGCAUGGACACCAGCGGCCGGAUGGCCAUGGCGGCCACCACCUCCGCCAUUGGAACGCCCACACGAUUGGCACAGCAACACGAAGCAGUGUGGAAUGGAGAAUGGAAUGGUGUGAGCAAGACGUGCUUGCUUUGCUAGUAAUGAAACUGGAAGCCAAGGUGAGUAUUGACUUUCUGGGAGCGAAGUGGAUGAGCUCGCGUUACGGGAACCAAUCACAACUAUCCAAUCCUGAACAGCUCAGCACUGGGCAUUGUUUUUGGGCUGAUGCAUAAUAGGACAAUCAGCAUACCACAUUAACAGCUGGGGGCAUCUUCAUUUCUUAAUGAGACACAACCAGAGUGCAAGACGACGCGGGCAACCAUAAUAUUGCAAGUAGAUCAUUGUAUUAGGUAUUUGUGUCAGUACAUCCAAUCCAGUUUUUCAAAAGUGACGUUUCACUGGCUGUGACCUUAGCAGAUGGUACGAAUUUCCUUAACAAAUACAAAGAGUUGCAGGAAUGCAAAUUAAAUAAUUACUUCCACUGGCUAGACGUGUGACAGCACACCUACUGCCUAACUACAGCAUAUACUUAUCUCAAGUGCCUGCCGCCCAGGGAGACCAGAAUAAUGGUGUUCUUGGAUUAGUUGAACCUUCAAUGCAUCACUACUUAUCACCGAAGCAUUAUUUUAUUGUUCUUUUUUUUUUGGAAUGGCCUCUAAGUAUGAUUGAGUACAGGAUUGAUCUCAGAGCAAACAUAAUCGGCUGGCAGAGAAUUAUGUCUUGUUCAUAUAGUCUGAUGCAAUUUUGUGGUUACACACUCCUCAGUUUUUAUAACUAAAUACAGAAUUUUAAUCUGUUGACAGAUCAGACAAACGUAGAAACAGUUAGCAAGAGCCCCAAUGAGAUUAUAUGCAGCAUCAUUUUAAUCGGAAAGCAAUUGCCCUCAUGAGAUCAGCAACCAUACACAGUGCCAAUAAAAAAAGGUGGCUCGUACUAACGACGCAGGUUUCAAAUUAAUCAAGUGGCUAAACCGAGGCAUCGACAGCCAUAUGGGACAAUGUGCACUUCAGUUAGAAAAUGAACACUUGCAGGCAGUAAAAUAAUUUAUGUCAGUACACCCACGAUAUUGCAAAUAGAGUAUUAAUUACGUAUUUGUGUCAGUACAUCCAAUGCAGUUUUUCAAAAGUGACGUCCCAUUGGCUGUGACCUUAGCAAAUGGUACGAAUUUUCGUUCUAAGUACUACAAAAAGUUGCAGGAAUGCAAAUUAAACAAUUACCUCCCAUGUCUAGACGUGUGAGAGCACACCUACUGUGCAACAACAAAAUAUAUUUCAUCUCGGGCACUUACCGCACAGGGAGGACCACAAUAUUGGUUUUCGUGAAUCUAAAAUACAUCACAUGCUUCCUGCUGAAGAGGGAAGACCCGGUGGCAAGUGGUUAAUUUCUUGUCCUUUUUUAAUGACACCUCUAACUAACAUUGAAGGGGCAUGAUUGAUCUCAGAGAUGAGCAUAAUAAGCUGGCAGAUGACCAUCCCUUGCUCAUAUGGACAAAUGAUACACUUAAUAUACUGAUAUGAUAAAAUACAACUUGACAAUCUCCUGAUAUUCGACGAUGAAAGAUAUGUAUGAGUAUGCGAUUCAAUUUGGUGGGCUUAAUAUGUUCCGUUAUUGAGAGACAGUGAAAAGCGGAAUAAAGGGCAGGGUGGAAUUCUCUAUAUCAGGUUAAGGAGAUCGUCUUAACUAACUAAAAUCAGAUGAAGCCUAACUUUGCAACCAUACGACGGAAGCAACAAAAAUAAAGACAGGGAGCCAGAACAGAACAAAGAUAAAUUCCAGUGCCCUUUUAUUGAUCACUGCCUAUGGCCAUAUAGAUGAGAUCUGGGACUCGGCCAGCUGAAACAUUCCUCUAGAAAGCACAUUUCCGCUGAUGCACAUAUGAAAUACGACAGUACAAAGCAGAAUAAACACUGAGAUUAUACAGAUGAUUGGACGCUGUAACUAAGUUGGAUAUCGCGGCGCGCAUAGGCGGAAAUGAGAGAGAAACGGAAUGUCCAAAGCCACAAAUGUACAUCGCUGUCAGGCUACCCAGCUGAAUCCUGCUUCCUGCUGACCCUCCUGAUUCACGCAGACGCAGCUAGCAUGGAGAUGGGCACGCCUCUCGAAUUCAUGUGAAUCGAAUCGCUGGAAGAGACGGACGGACAGGAUCAAUACCUUUGUGUCGACGGGGAGGGGAGGCCGGAGUGGCUGCCGUCGACGUACGGCGCGCAGCCGACGGGGGAGCUCCGGGACCUUCUUGUCGACACCAUCUGCAAUGGAAGUAAAAAAGAGCUGUUAGAAGAGGAUACGAGAGAGGCUCACGGUAGGAAGGAAUGGGGAAGGGGGAUGAGUGAGUACCUCGAGCGGCCGCGGUGGUGGUGGGCGGGCGGAUGCGGAGGGUGGGAGGGAGGCUGACACCUCCGCCGCCACAGACGUACGUGGAGCGGCCACGGGCGUUGCGUUCUGGUAGAGGCCACGGGCAGUGGGGUCCGGGAGACGUCGUGCGCCGGCGAGGAGGACGGGGAAGGGGAGACGAAGACGACGCGGAUCGGCGGAGUGUGGGCUGGGCUUGUGACGUUGGGGCCUCCGAAAACUAUAGCCCAGUUCGAAUUGGUGCCCUAACACACACAGCGCUUACGUCGGCUAAAUCCUAUUUGGCGCCUUCAGCGCCCGCUAUAGGUCUUUCGGCCGGCCCAGUUUCGACAUUUUUUCUGUGUUUCCAAAAGGCAAAAAGGGCGCUAGAGCUGGGUAUCGAAAACGCUACAACCACUCAACCACACCCCUUGGUGUGAUUGGUUACAUGUUUUCUCGUCUUUUCUUAUGCUUCUUUUCCUUUUUAUUCCUUUUUUUCUUUCUUUUUUCAAAUUCGCAAAACUGUUUCUUCAUGAAUAUUUUCUGCAAAUCGAUGAACUUUUCUCUUUGAAUUUGAUGAUUUUUUUCGAAAAAUUUGAUGAACGUUUUUUCAGAUCCGAUGAACUUUUUUUUGAAUUCCAUGAACUUUUUUCAAAUUCGAUGAACUAUUUUUCGAAUUCAAUGAACUUUUUCUGAAUUCGAUGAACUUUAUUUCGAAUUCAAUGAACUUUUGAUCGAAUUCGAUGAACUUUUUUAAAUUUGAUGAACUUUUUCAAAUUCUGAUGAACUUUUUGAAAGGACAAGAGUACAUACCGUAGCAAAACGGUUUGUUUUUUCCAAGAAAAUCAGUACACACUGUAGCAUUUUUUGAGCGAGAGAAAUAAAAAAGUGAUCGAGCGGUAGCUAGCGACCGAGCGGCGACAGCAGCGAGCGUUGCUGGGCCAGGCCCAUGCAAGCGACGCAGUGGGCGCCGUGUUCACUCGCUCCACCUCUGCAUUGAUGUCUCUAGCUUGUAGCAAUUGCCAUCCUUUACAUGUAAAGAGGAUUUGAUGAGUCAUGUCAUGCUCUAUAGGCGUCAGUUCAUCUUAUCACCUUAGAGGAAAAUACAAAGUUAGUUUUUCGAAAAGCAACCGAGCCUAGAAGAACCGUACCCUCGACACGCAAGGCUUUAGCAUAUCUUAAUAGCCGAGACACGAUUGCGACUUGGUUCCACACAAGUUUCGUCUUUCUUGUUAAUGGCUGACAGCCCAUACAAGAUUCCAAACUCGGUUGCAAAAGUGAUACUAUCCUGAUAAGUGCGUGACAUGUAAAGUGAAUAAGGUGAUUCAUCUAUAGCAAACUUUAGGAUUUCUAUACUUUGUGUAUAAUCAUAUGCACAACUAAAAAGCAACUUUGAUGAUCAAUCCAAAAGUACGCUUGUAGCUAGUGCAACCUAACACAAUGUACCAAAAAUCCAUUUCAGAAACAUCCAAACAUAAUUAUUAAAGCUGAUGGAAAGAAGGAAAGAGAUGGUGCCCGGGCUACUAUAAAUAGGCAUGAAGUAUCAAGAUCAUCACAGGCACAAUCAUCAAAACCAAGCAAUACUAGUUAACACCAAUCCACCAUGAAGACCUUCCUCAUCUUUGCUCUCCUUGCCAUUGCGGCGACAAGUGCCAUUGCACAAAUGGAGACUAGCCGCGUCCCUGGUUUGGAGAAACCAUGGCAGCAACAACCAUUACCACCACAACAACAACCACCAUGUUCACAGCAACAACAACCAUUUCCACAGCAACAACAACCAAUUAUUAUACUGCAACAAUCACCAUUUUCGCAGCAACAACAACCAGUUCUGCCGCAACAGCAACCAGUUAUUAUACUGCAACAACCACCAUUUUCGCAGCAACAACAACCAGUUCUACCACAACAACCACCAUUUUCACAACAACAACAACAACAACAACAACAACAACCACCAUUUUCGCAGCAACAACAACCAGUUCUACCACAACAACCACCAUUUUCACAACAACAACAACCACCAUUUUCGCAGCAGCAACAACCAUCUUCACAACAACCACCUUUUCCACAACAACACCAACAGUUUCCACAACAACAAAUCCCUGUUGUUCAACCAUCCGUUUUGCAGCAGCUAAACCCAUGCAAGGUGUUCCUCCAACAGCAGUGUAGCCAUGUGGCAAUGUCGCAACGUCUUGCUAGGUCACAAAUGUGGCAACAGAGUAGUUGCCAUGUGAUGCAACAACAAUGUUGCCAACAGCUGCCGCAAAUCCCCGAACAAUCCCGCUCUGAGGCAAUCCGUGCCAUCGUCUACUCCAUCAUCCUGCAAGAACAACAACAGGGUUUUGUCCAACCUCAGCAGCAACAACCCCAACAGUCGGGCCAAGGUGUCUCCCAACACCAACAGCAGUCGCAGCAGCAGCAGCAACUCGGACAGUGUUCUUUCCAACAACCUCAACAACUACAACAAUUGGGUCAGCAGCCUCAACAACAACAGAUACCACAGGGUAUAUUCUUGCAGCCACACCAGAUAUCUCAACUUGAGGUGAUGACUUCCAUUGCACUCCGUACCUUGCCAACGAUGUGCGGUGUCAACGUGCCGUUGUACAGCUCGACCACUAUUAUGCCAUUCAGCAUUGGCACUGGAGUUGGUGGCUACUGAUAAGAAAAGAUUUCUAGUAAUAUAUAGUCGUUAGAUCACCGUUGUUUAGUCGAUGGAUAUGUCGAUGUAGCGGUGACAAAUAAAGUGUCACACAAACGUCAUGUGUGACCCGCAAACUAGUAGUUAAAUUCUGGAAUAAAAUACAAAUAAAGUUUUCUCUAGACAAUGUUCAUACCGGCGUUCUGUGGACGUCGAUGUGACUACCAUGCUUGCAAGUUCAUAAGUUCGUCUUGUCUGGUCACAAACCUGGUGCGUUAAUUUAUUAUUCAUGUAUAGAAAUAAUCAAAAUUUAAAUAUAAUAGUGUUAUUGUAAAAUUUUGGUUGAGUUGAAGCAAGGACUAACAUACAACUCUUUAAUGGUUGGAGAUUCAAGAUCUUAUUUUUAUUGGUUUGUAUCUGGUUCCAACUACCACCAUGGUCUACAGUGACAACCACAACUGGUUUGAUCGUUAACUCUCUUUGCUUGGUUUUUUUGCAAAUAUGUUCAUUGAUUCUUUGCACAAUUUUUUUGUCAAGAAAAAGGUCAGCUUUUGCUUGAACUUCACACACACACACCACUACAUAGUUAAUUCGAAAUAAGUUGCUGGUGAUGUCCUAGACCAGCUAGCACAGUCAGUGUGUGUGGGGAGGGGGAGUUGUUGCAUGCGUAUUCUUCGCGCAUUAUUUUAUUUUGUUCUUUUGAUGCUCUUACACCAUACCACAUUUUUACUUGAUGGAAAGCAAAAUAAACAACGCAGCUAGAAACCAUAGAACUUGAUACUGGGUGUGUGUCAACUUCACAUCCUCCUCCUUACGUCAUUUCAAUUGGAAAGCAAUAGCCCUCAUGAGAUCAGAUAUCCAUACAUAAUGCCAAAAUAAACAAGGUGAUGGCAUUAACGAUGCAAGUUUUAAAUUAGUCAAAUGGCUAAACUGAGGCACCGGCAGCCAUAUGAGACAUCCACGAGCAUGUAAUCCAUCUUAUUGCAAGUAGAGCACUGUAUUAUGUAUUUAUGUCAGAACAUCCAGUGCAGUUUUUCAAAAUGACGUUCCAUUGGCUGCAACUAGCAAAUGAUACGAAUUUUCUUUCCAAAUACUACAAAAAGUUGCAGGAUUGCAAAUUAAACAAUUACCUCGACUGACUAGACGUGAAACAACACACCUGCUGUGCAGCAACAACAGAUAAUUCAUCUCAAGCACCUACCCAGCAGGGAUUAGUUCUCGUGAAUUCAUGGAAUUUAGAAUGCAUCACAUGCUUACUGCUGAAGAGACAAGACCCAGAAGCAAGUGGUCACUUUCUUGUCCUCUUUAAAUGACACCUGUAAUUAAGAUUGAGUACAUCAUCGAACUCAGAAGUGACCAUAAUCUGCUGGUAGACCAUUAUUUCUUGUUCAUAUGAACAUACAUAAUACUUAAUAUACUGACAUGAUACAAGGCAACUUGACAAUCUCCUGUUAUUCGAAGAUGAAAGAUAUAUAUGAGUAUGCGAUUCAAUUUGGUGAGCUUAAUAUGUGCCGUUAUUGUGAAACAGUGAAAGACUGAAUAAAGGGACAUAUGGAAUUCUUUUUAUCAUAAUAACGAGUUUCUAAACACAGAACGAAAGCAACAAAAAAUAAAGACAGAGCGCUAAAAUUUCAGAGAAGUUUUUGAAGAUAUAAAAUGCAGUGCCCUUUUAUUGAUCACUGCCUAUAGCCAUAUAAAUAAGGUCUGGGACUCGGUUCGCUGCAACAAGCCUCUAGAAAGCACAUUUCCUCUGAUGCACAUAUGAAAUUUGAGAGUAAAACAUAAAAACGCCGAGAUAUACGGAUGAUUUAAUGAUGUAACUAACUUGGAUAUCCUUCUAGUGACCACGGAAUGGACAAAUUUUCUUCCGAGACGUCGAAAAGGGAUGGAACCUCCACACCCACUGCUUCUCCUUCACCUGCAUAGCGUGCGUAGGCGGAAAUUUGAUGAGUAUUUGAAGUGACAUCCACAUAGAGCAGGAGUUAUUCGGCUAGCAAAGUGCAAAUGUACAUCACUCUCAGGCUACAAGACUGAAUUCUGCUCGAUGAUCUUCCUGAUUCAUGCAGCGGAUAUGCAAAUGGGCGUGCCCCUUAAAUUCAUGUGAAUCAAAUUGCAGAAGAGACGGACAAACAGGGUUAAUAUAUACCUUAUUUCUUGUGUUGACGGGAUGGCUGGAGUGGCUGUCGUCGAUGUACGGCCCGCACUCGACGAAGAGCUUGAAGACCCUCUUGCGAAGACCAUCUGCGAGAGGAAGCAAGAGUUGAGGUCAGAAGAGGGUACAGUAGAGGUUGAGGGUGGGAAGGAAGGCAUCAACACUAGUAGAAAAAGGGCCUAAUGUGAAGCACAUUAGUCCCGGUUUGUAACAAAACCGGCACUAAUGUGUCCAUUAGUGCCGGUUCCAACGGCUAGGCGGGUGGAGCUAAAUUAGACUGAAUUGAACUUGUUCUUUAUAACUAGCUUGGGACAGAAAAAUUACUAUGAAAUGCACUUGAUUAUACUUGAUUUUAUGGGCUACAAAAAAUAUCAUCCAAAAAUGCUCUAAAAAACACGUUCUAAAGUAGGUUUGGCAGGAGAUGCGGCACAUUAUCAUUCAGAAAUUAGACCAAGAUAAAUGUGGAGUUGGCGGCUCAACACUCUAUAAGACUGUAACAGGUUGUCCCAGUGUCUCAGUCCUUUAGGACAUAGAUCCAGAAAAUGUAGAACUAACAUAUUAGCGGUUAGGAUCAUAUUUGCAAUGUGGGAACUUGGUGCGCUCGCUCCAACAUGCCUAGUGGAAGCAUGUGUCCUCUGAUGCACAUAUGAAAUAUGACUGGUACAAAACAUAAGAAACACUGAGAUUAUACGGAUGAUUGGAUGCUGUGGCUAACUUGUGCGUCGCUCCAGUCAACUGAGUGGACGAACUCGCUAAGAGCUUUCUUCUCGGAGAUCAAAGGGGACGGAACUUCCUAAGAGCUUUUGAUUCAACCUCCAUGCUAACUAACUACUUCUCCACCUGUUUAGUGGGCGUAGGAGAAAAUUUGAUGAGUAUUUGAAGUGACGUCCACAUAGAGCACAUAGCUAUAUUCAGUUAGAAAAGCCACAAAUGUACAUCACAUCCAGAUUAAUGGAGGUGGAAUGUGAAUGUGUGUGCCCUUAAAUUCAGGUGAAUCAAAUCGCAGAAGAGCCAGACGAAUAGGAUAGAUACCUUGAGUGGACGUGGAGGACGGAGUGUCUGCAGACAAUGUAUGGCCCACACCUGAAGGAGACCUUCUUGCCGAAAGCAUCUGCAAGAGGAAGUAAGAACAUGGUUGUUGACAUCAGAUUUUGGCAUGGUACAAAAAGCAAUUAAGAUUGCCCCAAAUGGAGAAGUGAUUUACAUGAAAAAGUUCCAUUUUGUCGACCUGAACAUCUUUGAAGUUUGUGCCAUCGCCAUCUAAUCUCAUCUCGAAGGCCAAAGUUAUGUUCGAAAUACUGAGAUUUUGUAUCCAGAGCACUGUUCGGCCGAUUAUGCCUCAAGGGAUGGUCACUUUCUACAUGAAUUGUCUUCGUCUCAUCAAAACGGUCGAUUUUGAUAAAAAUUCAUGUCAAUCCGAGGUUGUAUGUAAAAGUUAGAGCCACCCGAGUGCGGUCAUGAGCCAAAAGUGGCGAGUAAUAGUCUAUUUUGCACGAGCAAUUCGUCCCUGAAGUUGGCAUCUAUUCGAAACAUGUUUAACAUGAAUGUUGUUCGUCUCGGUGAAACGGUUAAAUUUGGUUCUUACACGAUUUUGAUCUGAGGUCAUUUACUACCCAAAAAAUGACCCGCAAGGUGAAGCCAAUUUUUAGAUCGAAUAGUUUUGGGAAGUUCGGAUCGAACAAUCCGAAUAGGAAUCAAAUUAGGGUUUUGGACAUGAAUUCUAACCUUUCCUUGCACGGGAAGUCCAUCCACCUCUUAUAUACAUGAGGGGUGACGGCCGAUUGAGAAACAACACACAAUCGCAAAACCCAUCUACAAACUUUCAUCUCCUAUCCUACUUUUCUGCUUCUCGUUCAUCAGUGUUCUUUGCUUCGGAGAGCUCUGAUCUAUGAAGUCCUAGGGGUGGGCGAACCAACCUAGGGCAGCCCAGCACUGUCGUGCGGCCAGACAGGGUCUCUUCCGACCGCGUGGGGUUUCGGGUCUUCAAAAGCGCUCGCCGGAUUGUAUUGCGUACCACUCUUCCGGUGAGCCUCCUUCGGCGAUGUGUCUUGCGUAUCGCGCUCGACGCCGAGGGUACACGGUGACGUGUUUGUGUGUGAACACACUUUUUGGCGACUCCGCUGGGGACCAAAGAGCAAUCAUCAUCAUCCAUCAUGGUCAAUCUUCCCAAGCCAUCUGAAGUGGAUGCCGAUAACAUCAACAAGCCCAAUUUUGAGGAAUUAUCGGCAGAACAUCGCCAAGCUUGUGAGUAGUACAAGAAGGCACGUGAAGGGAAGGAGAUGCAGGAGUUCCUUGCUAAGUUCAAAAAGGAUCGCCAAGGCAACAUCACUUCAAUUGAAGAAAUCAAGUUUCCUCCUCUUCACAAUGAGUAGGUAGAGUCGGCUGAAAUCACUACUCUUAUUGCUCAGAAUAAUGAUCGAAAAAAUACUCCUCAAUCAUCUAAUGGUAGAAAAUAAUACUGAUCGAAAAAAUACUCCUCAAUCAUCUAAUGGUAGUGGUAGUAUGUCUGCUGGUGUGGAAAACUUUAGUCCAAAUUUACCUAUUCCAGCGGUGCUGCCCAUGCCAUUGAAUUCUUAUCCCAGUCAGACAAACCAACUUGUUGCUCCACCAUUUAAUCCAGCCAGGAAUAUGCCAAGUUCAGUGAAUCCAACUGCAUUGCUAGGUUAUGGUUCGGCAAGUCCAAGUGGAUUGCUGCCGAACUAUGGUAUAACAUACACACCACCAUCUCUUCCGACUAGCACUAUACCAACUAGUAGAAAUCAUAUUCACCAUGCGCCACAACCACACGCAACGCCGCUCAAUACGAGUGAUAUUUUGGCUAAUGUCAGAGAGGAGAUGUCGAGGGUGUUCCGAGAGCAUUGCGGGAUUGAACUACCUCAACCACGAAUUUCUAGGAAACCAUAGCUAGAAAUUUUUGAUGUCGUGCCAUGUCCUCCCGGAUAUAAAGUUCCAGAUUUUGUUAAAUUUAGCGUAGAGGGAAGAAAGACUACAUGGGAGCAUGUUAGUCGGUACUUGGCACAAUUAGGUGAGGCAAGUUCACGAGACGAGUGGAAAGUACGUUAUUUUCCUUUAUCUUUAACCGGUACUGCUUUCCCGUGGUUUUCUGCAUUACCACCCGGUUCUAUUACUGCAUGGUUUCACUUGGAGCAAAAGUUUCAUGACCACUUCCAGAGUGGUGACAAUGAGCUUAAACUAUCCCAUCUUACAUCGGUUAAGCAAAAGCAUGAUGAAUCAGUCUUCGAUUAUGUCAAAAGAUUUAGAGAUACAAAAAACCGGUGCUAUAGUUUGGUGAUAACCGAGAGAGAUGUGGCUGAUCUCGUGCUUAGUAGUUUGAGAACUCACAUUAGAGAGAAGCUGGAAGGCUAUGAGUUUUCAAGUAUCAACCAUGUCUUAGAAAAGGGCUUUGGCUCAAGAAAGCCAAAGCAAAGAGUUUAAAGAGGUGCAUAGGUAUAACACUGAUCAUCCUAAGAUAAAUAUGAUUGAGUAUGAUGGUGAGCACUCGGAUGAUGAGGGUGAUAUUUAUGAUACUGAAUUUGUUUGGCCAUCUAAGGCCAAACCAUUUACUUGCAAUGAUAUAAAGCCAAUUUCAUAAGAAUCGUGAUGAAGAGAUGAAAAUUACUUUCAACAUUACUAAGUGUGAUAGAAUAUUUGAUGCUUUGUUGCAAGCGAACAUUAUUAGAAUAUCUCAUACUUUACCGCCGUUUCAAGAGCUGAAACGGCGUGCUUAUUGCAAGUAUCAUAAUUCUUUUUCUCAUGCCACUAACGAUUGUAAUGUUUUUCAACGACAAAUACAGCCGGCCAUUAAUAACGGACGAUUGAAAUUUUCUCAGAUUCCACUUGAUAAGCAGCCCUUUCCAAUGAACACCAUGGAUUUGGAGGGAAAAAGAUGUUAAUUCGGCCCGAUAUAGCCGAAUCAGCUAAUAAAAAUAAGAUUGUCAUUGGUGAGCCUCAGAAAAGCAAGGAAGACGACAAGGCCUUGGGGAGACAAGUUGUGCUUGACAAGCGACCCGGUGGCAAGGAGAUCAUUAAGAUCACCAUCAAGAANNNNNNNNNNNNNNNNNNNNNNNNNNNNNNNNNNNNNNNNNNNNNNNNNNNNNNNNNNNNNNNNNNNNNNNNNNNNNNNNNNNNNNNNNNNNNNNNNNNNNNNNNNNNNNNNNNNNNNNNNNNNNNNNNNNNNNNNNNNNNNNNNNNNNNNNNNNNNNNNNNNNNNNNNNNNNNNNNNNNNNNNNNNNNNNNNNNNNNNNNNNNNNNNNNNNNNNNNNNNNNNNNNNNNNNNNNNNNNNNNNNNNNNNNNNNNNNNNNNNNNNAAAUUUGUUAAACCAAAGAAUCCAGAGGUUGGCAAGUGGAAGACGAAUGAAGCUAAAGUACAACGCAAGAGAAUCAAGCCAACUUUUGUUAUGUUGCUAUGCAAAUGUGCCAAUCAAGCGGCCAAUUCUAGCUCUAACCGGUCAUCAAAUUUAAAGCUCUCCAGGUCACCUCCUCGACAAGAAUUUCAUCAUCAUGCAAGGCCAUAUGGGUCUUGGGCACCUUGACCAUCGAUGGCACCACCCCCCCUAUGUGUCAUACUACAUGGGAAACUUUAAUGGAGGAUGGGGGCAACCUCCAAUGACCCCUUAUGCUUUUCAUCCGGGUUGGGUAGAACCAAGGAGGCCCGUUUGUGAGAGGCUUUCUUACCCUAUACAUGGCCGUUUGAACAAUGGUGUCAAUCGGCCAAUGCAGGAUAAUCAAAAAAGGUUCAGCAAUCAAGUGUGGCGAGCUAAAUCACCAAGUGCUGAAAUUUCAGAGGCUAGCAACCAAAAGGAGAAGAGUACUAGUGCUGAAACUAUUAUUGUAGGCACUAAAGAAUUAACAAUCAAAUAGCCGAUUAUUGUUGAUAAUGCAGCUAUUUCUAACAAGGAUGUGGCUGCUGUCCAACAAGGUCCCGUGGCUAAUGAUCAUGAAGCUAGCACAAGCAAGGCCAAGCUGAGGGAUCCAAAAUAUACUUAGCCUAAGUGGUGUCCCUCCGGUCUGACCAAGGCACAAAAAAGUAGGUUGCAGCACAUGAGAAGCCACGAGAAGGAGGGAUAAGAAGCGGAGAGGCAAAGGGAUAAACUGUUCAAUGAAACCCGUCCCAUGAUGUCCGCAAAACAAGUGUGGAGGCCUAAGCAAAAGGAAAACAUAGUAGCUUCUGCAUUGGUAAUAACAGCACCUACACCACCAAUGGAGGACGAUGCGACUGCUAUUACAUCGUCCACUUCACCUAUUACUUCCUCUUCACUAGGAGAUAUUUCGGAGUCGAUGGACAUGCUUCAGGAUGGAGAUGGUAUUUUGGAUUAUGAGUCUACACCGGUUCAUGAAGGUAUUGAUAUUAAUAUGGUGCACUACUUACCCGCUGAAUUCCGUGCUAUAUAUGAAGAAGGGCAAGUACCUCAGUUGGAUUUUGGUCCUAAAAAUGCUAUAAUCGAGAAGCCAAAAGAAUGGGUGACGCACCUGAAGCCAUUGUUCCUUAAAGGUCAUAUUAAUGGAUCGCCGAUUGCUAGAAUGCUUGUUGAUGGUGGUCCUGUGGUGAAUCUUAUCCCAUAUUCAGUCUUAUAAAAAAUGAGGCUGCGUGAUGAAGAGUUGAUAAAGACCAACAUGGUGCUCAACGGAUUUGAAGGUAAAGAGAAAAUUGAAGCCAAAGGUGUGAUGUAUGUGGAGCUUACGGUGGGAAGCAAAACUUUGGCUACCGCAUUCUUUGUCGCCGAGGUGCAAGGUAACUCCAAUGUGAUAUUAAGCCAUGAUUGGGUUCAUGCAAACCAAUGUGUGCUAUCUACUAUGCACCAGUUUUUGAAUCAAUGAGUUGAUGAUGAAGUGGAAGUCAUUCAUGCGGAUAAUUCGAUCGGCUUGUGUUGCUUUGGCCGAUGAAUCGGUGGAUUGGCAACAUCCCAAUGCUACUUGCUUGACGGGGCGCGACUUAUCAGAAUUUGAUUUUCUUAGCGCUACAAAAUUGGUUUCGUGCCCCUUUCUAUAAAGCCGGUUGGCGAUAAUCGGCUCCAAGGUAUGAUGUAUUUAAAUGGAUCCUAUCUCAGAGUGGUUUCAAAAGCGUCUUGUAGAAUAUCGGUCCAAUGAGAAUGAUAUGUAUGAGUCCAUAGAAGAGUUAGAUGAUAUGGAUAAAUUAGGACAAGGUUUUACAUCGGCGAUCCAUUAGAAGAGAUAGAUAUAGCAGAUGGUUCAUUUCUUAGGCCGACAUUUGUAAAUAAAAAUUUAAGAGUCGAUCAUAAACUUAAGUUGAUCGAGCUGUUAAAAGAAUAUAUUUGUUGCUUGGCAUGGGAAUAUCAUGAGAUGCCCGGUUUAAGCCGAGAGCUAGUGGAGCAUCGAUUACCUAUAAAGGCUGGUUUUUGACCGUAUAAGCAAUCGACCAGAAAGUUUAAUCCAAAAACAUAUGACCGGAUCAAGGAAGAGAUCGGUCGUUUGCUGAAAGCUAAUUUUAUUAGACCUUGCAAGUAUGCCGAGUGGAUUUCUAACAUUGUACCAGUGAAGAAGAAAGGCUCGGGCAAGUUGAGGGUGUGUAUUGAUUUUAGAGAUUUGAAUAGAGCUACACCCAAAGAUGAGUAUCCCAUGCCCAUAGCCGAUAUGCUUAUUAAUGAUGCCUCUGGACAUAAGGUCAUUAGCUUUCUUGAUGGUAAUGUGGGGUAUAAUCAAAUUUUUAUGGCCGACGAUGAUAUGACCAAAUUAGCUUUUCGAUGUCCCAGUUUCCUUGGUUUAUUUGAGUGGACAGUGAUGACCUUUGGUUUAGAGAAUGCCGACACCACGUAUCAAAGGGCUAUGAAUUUAAGUUUUCAUGAUUUACUUGGUGUUAUACUUGAAGUCUAUAUUGAUGAUAUUGUUGUCAAAUCGGAUGCUUUUGAAUCUCAUCUAGCUGAUUUGUGCUUAGAUUUUGAGAGAAUGAAAAAAUAUUGACUAAAGAUGAAUCCUUUGAAAUGUGCUUUUGGUGUAUCGGCUGGUAAGUUUUUGGGUUUCAUUAUUCAUCAACAUGGCAUAGAAAUUGACCCAAAAAGAUAGAGGCUAUACAAAAGGUGUGGGCUCGAACAUGCAAGAGAGAUAUGCAAAAAUUCCUUGGCAAAGUCAAUUAUUUGAGGAGAUACAUAGCCAAAUUGUCAGGGAAGGUUGAUACAUAGCCAAUUAUUUGUGCACUUCUCUAGUGUUGAAAGCCCCCAAGCAUAGAGAGCCCUUUAGGCUUUAUAUUGCGGAGGAGAAAGCCCCCAGGCAUAGAAAGUCCCCUCAAGAGACCGAAGGAAAGGAGCAUGCUAUUCUUAUUUGAGUCGACGCUUAUUGGAUGUCGAGAUAAGGUAUACAUUGAGAAAUUAUGCUUAUGCUUAUAUUAUGCUUGCACAAAAUUGAGACAUUACCUAGUGCCUAGUACAUGCAUUAUAGCUUUUCAAACUGAUGUCAUCAAAUACAUGUUGCAUAGGCCAAUUCUUAGUGGUAGAAUUGGCAAGUGAGCUUAUGCUUUAAUUGAAUAUGAUUUGGUUUAUGAAUCUCUGAAAUUCAUGAAUGGGCAAAUCGUUGUUAAUUUUGUUGUUGAGCAUCGGAUUGAUGACAAGCAUGAUAUUGAUCUUAAACUUGUCUAUUAGUACCAUGGAGAUUAUAUUUUGAUGGUUCCGUUUGUAGCAAUGGACAAGGUGUUGGUAUUGUUUAUAUAUCUCCUCAUGGAGCUAUUUUUCAAGCCUCAUGCCGCUUAGAGUAUUUUUGUACAAAUAAUUAGGCCGAAUAUGAAGCAUUUUUACUCGGUUUAGAGAUGUUGCUUGCCAUAGGCGCUACACAUAUUGAGGCUUUUGGUGAUUCGUUAUUAGUAGUGCAACAAAUAUCCAGAGUAUUUCAAUGUUUUCAUGAAUCACUUAAUGUUUAUCUUGAUAAAUGUCUAGAUAUAAUUUCUACUUUGGAUUAUUUUAGCAUUCCUCAUAUAUCUAGACAUGACAAUUGGAGAGCAAAUCAGUUGGCACAACAAGCAUCUGGCUAUCAUGUUAAUCAUGACAUGUUUCAUAUUUACCAAAGGCCGAUGUCUAUUCUUGCCAACGUAGGGGAGGCUGAACCGGAGCCCACCGUUUCGGUCACAAAUGAAAAUUUUAAUGUAGAAAAUCUGGACUAGAGGAAAGCCAUUAUUGAUUAUUUGCGUGAUUCUAAUAAAAUUUUGGAUGAGGACCAAGCAAGAGUUGCUAUGAGAGAGGUUCAUGAAGGAAUUUGUGGGACUCAUCAGUCGGCUCCCACUAUGAAAUGGUUAUUGCGACAGGCUGGGUUUGAUUGACCAACGAUGAUUAAUGAUUGCUUCAGGUAUUAUAAAGGAUGUGCAGCUUGUAAAAUGUCUGGUGAUAUUCAGCUAGCUUCUGCUGCUAUGUUACAUCCUAUUAUUAAGCCGCGGCCUUUUAGAGGUUGGGGAUUAUACUUUAUUGGAGAGAUUCAUCCUUCUUCUUCAAAGGGGCAUCAGUUUGUGUUGGUGGCAACUGAUUAUUUCACUAAAUGGUCUGAAGCAAUACCGCUAACAAAUAUGACGCAUACGGAGGUAAUUCAAUUCAUAACUUAGCACAAUAUUCAUAGAUUUGACAUUCCUCAAAUGUUAACUACGGACCAAGGUUCAUCUUUUAUGUCAGAUCAAGUUAGAGAAUUUCCCGAAUCAUAUAAGAUAAAGUUGCUCAAUUCAUCUCCGUAUUAUGCCCAAGCCAAUGGACAAGCUGAGUCUAGCAAUAAAAUAUUAACCAACCUCAUCAAGAAGAAGAUUGAGGAUAAUUCAAGGAGAUGGCAUGAGCUAUUGUCCGAAGCUUUGUGGGCACACAUAAUCUCAAGGUAUGGUGCUACAAAGGUAACUCCAUAUGAGCUCAUAUAUGGUAAAGAGGCCGUUUUACCAGUGGAAGUGAAUUUGAAUGCUUUGAGAAUAGCAAAACAAAAUGAUUUAUCGGCGGUGGACUUUUAUAACUUGAUAAUGGAAAAUAUUGAUGAAGUCGCUGAUAAAUGUUUUGUUGCUUUGAAGGCCAUAGAGAGAGAUAAUUUGAGGGUGGCAAGAGCUUACAAUAAGAAGGUCAAGUUGAAGAAUUUUCAAGUUGGCGAUCUCGUGUGGAAGGUGAUUCUACCAAUUGGUUCGAAAGACAUAAAAUUCGGGAAGUGGUCUCCAAGUUGGGUAGGUCCUUUUAAGAUUACAAGGGUAGUUCCCAGAAACUUAUAUUUAGUGGAAUCCGUACAAAGGACAUUGUUACCUCGAGCUGUCAAUGGCAAAUAUUUGAAGAAGUACCACCCAAGUGUGUGGCAAGAAGCCUAGAUAAUCAAUGGCCGAUAUACGACUAUGGCCCUUAGCAUAAACAUGGCCGAUAUAUAAUUAUCGCACCGAGAAGUAUAAAUGACACAUGGAGUGUUGACAUCGUCCUUAGAAUAAACGCGAUGCAAAUUAUUUUCCGGCAUUCAAGCUCUGCCCAAAACAGAGGAUAAGGGUUGACACCAGAUUUUAGCAUGGUAGGAAAUGCAAUUAAGAUGGUCCCAAAUGGAGAAGUGGUUUACAUUAAAAAAAAGUUCCGUAUUGUCGACACAAACAUCUUCGAUGUUUGGGCCAUCGCCAUCCGAUCUCAUCUCGAAGGCCGAAGUUGUGUUCGAAAUACUGAGAUUUUGUAUCCCGAGCACUGUUCGGCCGAUUACGCCUCAAGGACGGCCUCAAAUGAGAAAACUUUCGACAUGAAUUGACUUCGCUUGGUCGAAACAGUCAAUUUUGAUAUAAAAAUCGUCUCAAUCCAAGGUCGUAUGUAAAAGUUAGUGUCUCCUGAGUCCGGCCCUGUCACGAGCCAAAAGCUACGCGAGUAAUAGUCUAUUUUGCGCGAGCGAUUUGGCACUGAAGAUUAUAUCGAAUCGAAAACUGUUCAACAUGAAAGUUGUUCGUCUCGUCGAAACAGUUAAAUUUGCUUCUUCCGCGAUUUUGAUCCGAGGUCGUUUACUACCCCAAAAAUGACCCGCAAGGUGCAGCCAAUUUUUAGACUGAACAGUUUUGGAAAGUUUGGAUCAUACGAUCCUAAUUGGACUCAAAUUAGGGUUUUGGACAUGAAUUCUAACUUUUCCUUGCACGGGAAGUCCAGCCCCCUCUUAUUUACAUGAGGGGUGAUGACUGCCCCUCCUAGAAAAAACCAGACUGGGAGGACAUUUUUUUCCUGUCCGAAAGCCGUUUCCGCCUCUUGGAAGAAGAAGAAGAAAAAAGAGAAAACACGUUUUUUUUCGUUUCCGAGAGCCUCUCGCGGAAACAAAACAAUGCCGCUCAUGGAAGAAAAACAAAAAAAUGCAUUUUUUCACGAAAGCAAAACCGUGCCUCUCGUGAAAGAAAGAAAAGAGAAAACACAUUUCUUGUCCUUUUCGUGAGGCACGGCAGUGCCUCUCGCGGAAGCAAGACCAUGCCUCUCGCGGAAGCAAAACCGUGCCUCCCGCGGAAGAAAAAUACAGGGAAAACACGAUUUUUUUUCGUUUAUGAGAGGCACGACUGUCUCGCGGAAGCAAAGCCAUGCCUCCCGCCGAAGGAAAACCGUGCCUCUGGUGAAAAGGGAAAAAAAGAAAACGUGUUUUGUCACAGGAAAAAAAUUAAAAAAAAUUGGUCCAAAACCUAGGGAAGACCGGUGAACAACCAAAAAGCCGGAAAAUUAAAAAAAAAAACAUCUAAAAUACCAGAUGGAGGUUGAGAGUGCACCAAGUGACGCGCUCUCGGCCCAUCCACAAAUGACCCUUGGGAAGGGUGGGAACGAGCGCUCUUUAGUAUUAUUUUUUGAGGCAAACCGUUCUUUAAUUAGUUGCUCCGGGGAAGGGGAAUGGAAGACGCAGAUCGGCAACGUGUGGGCUGGGCUUGUGACGUUGGGGUCUCAGAAAAUAUAGCCCAGUUCGAAUUUAGUGGUCUCAGCAAGUAAAACCAGCGCUUAUGUUGGGCCUAAUCACUCACUCCAGGCUGUGGGCCUCGCUAGCAGCCCCAUCUUACCAUUCCCCUCGUUCUCUCUCUCUCUCGCAAAAAAAAACCAUCAUUUCCGUCAAAAAGAAAAGACAUCUACCCGUCUCGCCGCCAAGAGAUCCAGGAACCCCGGGGUCGUUCCAUUGUUUUGCAUAGCGUGUAGAUUAGGUUUUCUCUGUUAGUUUUAUGUGUUCUUAGUGGCGAUGGCUUGACGGUGAAGGCGAGAGUGAUGAUGGUCUCUCGGCUCCAUUCCUGUUCUGAUUAUGCGUUCCCGGCUAAGAAGGCCAUCAAACAUAACAUAAAUGGGGUGCUUUCUUUUCUUCUUACCGAUCUCCUCCUAGUUUACCGGCUCAAGGUGUAUCGGCUCUACAAACAUCUUGUAUCCACCUCACGUCCUGGGAAAUUACUGUCGGUAACUUUCAUCGUAUUGCGAUAACAAUAUUUUCUUUCAAGAACCCGCCUUCCUUGAAUUUCGUACAAAGUUAAUUGUCAAUGUCAUAACUAAUUGCAAGACCAGGUACAGCUCUUCUCUACAGGAAGUUACAGUUUCUAAAUUGCAUGACCCUGUAUCACUUUAUGAAGCAAGCACAUCACCUUCAGCUCCUCAUUUGCAAACUUAGGACCCAUUUGGACCACAUAAAUUUUACAAUAUGUUUGCUGCAUUUCACAAGAAACCAUCGAUUUUGUGAAGAAAGAAUUACAUUGUUUCAUCGCCGUUACAACACAACAUUAAUCAGAUCACCUUAAUACCUCCCACUGCGUUUUUUUUUGGAAAAAUACACAACAUACUGAUUGACCUUAAAGAAUGAAGGAGGCCAUAAGGUCUUGUACAAUGCUAGGUGUUUAGAAAGAUAAACCGGAUUUUACUGAUACACCGGUGCCUAUUUCUACCGGAGAGACGUCUAAUUAAGCGUAUACCCUGUACAAAUAAGUAUCAGUGCUUAAGGAAAGCCUGGUUUAUUUCUCGAAGCACCUCUCCUAAGCACCUUGCAGUGUACAAGGCCGAGAAGAAAGCUCUGACUUCCUAUUGUUGCUGCAUCAGCAGGAAAAGUAGUCUUCAUUUCAAAAAGAAGCUGAAAGUGCUAGAGUGAAAAAUAUCAUAUGUACAGAAGCUGGAUAUAUAUUACCAGCAAGGUGGAGAAGUGGGGAAAAAAAUGCUCAAAUGUGGUUAUCAAUCUUUUGAAAUGCAAGCAAGUAAGCGGAUGGGUGUUUGAGCUAUCUUUGUGUGAUCAGAACAAAUCCAUGUCCAUUAAUUAGUCUUAAUAUCAUCUUCACAGUACCAGGGACUCCCGGAUACUAAGAGUGCUUAAUAAUCUUAUAAUUAGGUGGAGACAUUUUCAUUACCUGCAUACAAAUGCGUACGAAUGAUGAUAUUUUAUAUUUUUUUCUUUGCAACUUCGGAGUGCCCACAAAGUGAAAUAGAAGGUGUAAACAUAACUUCUUUCAACCUCCAGUAAAAGUAACAAUUCUCUCUCCAUGUACCACUCUAUACCAACUUCUUCAAUACCUGUUGACUCUCAUGUUUUUGUUUUCCUUCAAUAUUUCAGACGUUCUAAAGCUCGGUCGAAAUCACUCGAGCUGGUCAACCCUGCCCCCGUGUCGCCCGCAACAGACGAUACGGGGAAAACUUUCGUCGCCGCCGGUAGCCUUCCUCCGCCAGUGCCCCUCCCCCCCCCCCCACAUCGCUGCCGCAGGAGGGUCGGCCAGCGAAGUCGCGCCGCGCUCGGGGAUGGCGGCGGCGGGGCGGUUUCGUACCCUCCCCCCCGAUGCGCUGCCCCAACAACCCCUUCGCCGCCAUCACCUCCCCGCGCCGCUGCUGCCGCGUCGCGCCUGAGGGUGGGGGCGGCAGGGCAGCUUCAUUCCCUUCAUGCUGUAGCUCCUCGUCCCCAACCUCCUCGCCCCCCAGAUCCAAUCUGGUGCGCCGCGGGCUCCCCUACCCUCCAACUGCUACUGUGUUCGUCCUGCCUGUCCGACGAGGUGGCGCGGCCGUGCCCGUCGUGCACCUCCCCAGUCUACCUCUUUCACCUUGCUGGCGCAGCUUCCUUCUUGUUGUUGUUCGCUGGGGCAUGCGAGGACUCGUGUGGAGGUCACGGGCUGGCCAAGGCUCGGUCUUGCCCCGUGUUGCAGACCACCCUUCGUCUCUGAUGGCGUCUCCUUCUAGUUACGGCGGCGACCUCUGCCCGUGUGUGGUCAAGGUGUUGUUUUGGGCAGCGGGAUGAAGCUUCGCGGUGGGUCCUUGCCGACACUGCUCCGGUCCCAGCGGCCAUCGACCAGCGUUCUUCGGCCUCCCUACCGCCGUGAAUUCAGCCCCAACACUCCGGUCGCUGCGUCUCCUUCCGGCAUCUUCGGUUUGCCGGUGUUCUGGUGGUUCCACCUCCGGCAGCUCGGAGUUGUGCUCCCUUCCGCCUCCAGCUUGUCAGCGGCGCCGGUCACCAUCCCACCCUCCAUGCCGGCUUUCUACCAUGCUGCCUUCCCGACCCUGUCGACACCCGCAACAUGUCAUUUCCAAAGCUCGUGUUCUUUCGGCAGCAGGUGCAGCCCCACCACCUCCGUACCGGGAUGGUGGUUGACUAGCGGAUUGUCUUCCUCAUCUUCGGAUCCUGAUUUGGCAGCUAUGGCAUUGCUCAGACUAAGGCCAGGCGAAAUCCAUGCUCUGCUUGCCAAUGUUGGCAGAGGCGACACUCGUGAGUGCUUUGCCAUGGCCUUUAUCCGGGCCCCUCUUCGAGCGCUGGGGGAAACCCUAGGUCCGGUUCUUCGGAUCGGAUGGUGGCGGUGUCACGAUGUCGCACCCCUUCCUGAAGGCGCUAUCUUGUUCGCCCCCGGUGUCCCUGUUUGUUUGAUUUUGAGAUGUUCGACGUCGUGCUUGUUCGGCCUGCCUCUCUGUUUAGGAUUUGUGGGUGUAGUUGUGUCAUUUCCCCUGUUCGGGCUGAGCACCCCUUGUCUCUCUGCUCCGGGUUCCAUGAUCAUGCCUCUUUGGGUUCAUGCCAUGUGUUGUAUCCUCUGUUGUACGCAUUCUCUUUCUUCUAUCAAUAAAGGAUAUGCAAGCUUUGUGUAUUCACAAAAAAAAAGACGUUCUGAAGCUCUGAAGCUAAAGAUGUAAAUAAAUCUGAACUCUCGCACUCACUUUUAAAUCGUGGGGCAGUAUACUCUAAUCUAUCCAGCUCUUCCUGUAAAACAAAUAUACUGUCAGCAUGUGAUUUAUCAUUCAUGAAUCGUUUAUCAUGCCAUUUUUAGAAUGUGACUGGCAAAAUGGUGUGACUGUACAAUUCUACUUUUUUCGAAAAAGAGGAUUACCCCUAGUAUCUACAUAGAGCCAUGCACACAACCAUUUUAUUAUAUUAUUUAACGGAACCAAACGAAACAAAUAUAUGGAUCAAGCCAAAGCCACCUCCCUAGAAACUAUUGUCGUUACACGUACAAGCUUUAAUGGCGUGCCCUGACCACUUAUCAACACACAUCAUAUAUUCCGGUCGCCUCACCAAGAUGCCUGCCGGCAAUUUGAGAGCAUCUACCGGUCUAGCUAGACCCUCUGCACGCACAUCAUGCACACGCUUUAGAUUCAGCCACCGCCAUGUUCCGCGGUCCCACCUUCAAGAGCGAUCAACGUAUUCAUCUCGCUAGGCCAUCUCGACACCAGAUAGCUCCACUAUCCAGCGCGGGCGCCCGUCGCCGACACUCCGCCGUGCCACGCCACCGAGACCCUGUGUCGUCCUUUCGGUAGAUGUAACACCGCUCCUCCACUUGUCUCUUCCAGUCGGCUCCUACUCGAGACAAUGCCCCUAGGAGGGAGAACGGCGCUGAAGGCACCAUCAUCGUCCGAUCCGGGAUACCCAGAACUAGAGUUUCCCCCGGAACAACCCGAGCGUAGUGACACAACUUACAAAUGACGAUGCCUCGAAAAAGGAAACAACGUUAGAGACGCCACCAUCUGCCAUGACCGCAGUUAGCACAAUUUCACCGGAAGUCGCGUCGACAUGGAGACGUAAGCUGUCGCCGGAACGUCGGCAUAGGGCCUCCAGUCGCCCCUGACCUGUCCCUGCACGCAUCGCCUGCCGGCCAAGGCCACGCCAAGAUGGAUCUGGAUGGGACGCUAGUUCCGCGGCCACUGCCGCCACCCAUCACAUGGUCGGCCAGGUCAACGACUAAUCCCACAGCCAUGGACAAACCGGUCGCCGCCGCCAGCCCGGGUCACCACCCUGACCGCACCGGCUGAAGACACAGGUGUCGUCGCGAGAUUGAUACGGUGAACAAGGCCCGAAUCCCUCGUGCUCGACCUUGAUCAGCCACACACAAGCAUCUCUCCACGCUGACGAGGGGUCCACUAUGGGAUCCAUCGCGCCGACUUCCGCCACCGCGCCGCGGGAAUAGACUGCCCUGAUGCUGCCGCCCACUGAGGCGGGCUUCGCCUGUUCGGCCUCCUCCAACAGCGUCCGGCCGUGGGCUGCNNNNNNNNNNNNNNNNNNNNNNNNNNNNNNNNNNNNNNNNNNNNNNNNNNNNNNNNNNNNNNNNNNNNNNNNNNNNNNNNNNNNNNNNNNNNNNNNNNNNNNNNNNNNNNNNNNNNNNNNNNNNNNNNNNNNNNNNNNNNNNNNNNNNNNNNNNNNNNNNNNNNNNNNNNNNNNNNNNNNNNNNNNNNNNNNNNNNNNNNNNNNNNNNNNNNNNNNNNNNNNNNNNNNNNNNNNNNNNNNNNNNNNNNNNNNNNNNNNNNNNNNNNNNNNNNNNNNNNNNNNUUCAGCCUCUCCACUUGUGGGAACAAUAUCCUUGAAUGUUUAGUUUCUCAUAUCUUUACGAAAACGGAGUAAGGGAAAUAUCGUGUGUGGUUGCAGGGAACUCACAUCAAAUGAUUGGGAGAUGUUCAUAAAUCAGUGAUAAUAGCCUUUGCAAACAGGCUAAUCCCAAAUGAUUCAAUGAAACCAACCUUCAUGUACUCAAUGAACGUAUUAUGCAUGUUAUGCUAGUUCAAGUCAUACUAAAUAUCACUUGUCUGGCAAAUAACAACAGCGUUCUCUGAAACCAUUGCAUCAUGAGAGAAUUGUGUGAAAUGGAAAUUGACACGAUUUAAAUUUUCAGGUUCCUUUCCUGGUGAGCCUAUCAUAGUAAAGAAACCUGGAAGAAAACAUUGGAGAAAGGAAUUCACAAAAUGCGGAAUUAUUAAUACUAAAUGACUGUUGAUGUUCAAAUGCAUGUCAGUUCUAAAUAAAUAAAUGAUUUUCUUCUUCUUUCUGCUCUUCAAUGUUUUCUUCCCUUACAAGAUUCUAGCAGUCUUAACACCAUUAUGGCCACAGAAAAAAAAAACAUCUAUCCCAUUUGUUACACGAGCUAAAAAUAAAAAUAGCACAUGAGCAUGGGCUGCAGAAAUGCACAUUCUUACUUCUAAGAAUAAUGUCAUCAAGAGAAGCAAAAGGCUGGUUUUUUGUGACAAUAAUUUAUUCAAUGAAAAGAGUGAGCCCGGGUUGCACGAAAUAUGAGUUUAUCUAUUUUUCUUCCAACAAAAUAUCUGGUCUACCAUCACUGCACCUUCGAACAUCAGAGUGCACACAGAACAAGAAAUAAAGAAGCAAAAGGGCCCUUGCGUAACUCAUGUAUUUUCAAACAAUGCUACAGAAAAUAUCCCUUAUACUCCCUCCGUCUAGGUUUGUAAGUCAUCUUACGAAAACAAAAUAAUCCCAAAACACUUAGGCGCGGUGCGUUAACUUCUACCUCGUUUCUUGUUUCUUGACAUAUCAACCAAUAAGAGAUAUGGGUGUGCAUGCUUUUAAUGACUUGAGACUACCAAACACGACAUGCAGUGGUUAGUUCAUUGCAUGCAAUGCUAUUAAUUAGCAAAAAACAUUAAGUUCUCUCGUUUUCCCUCCUCCUUGGUCACGGUGCACAACAUAAGAUGACUUAUUCACUUAGACGGAGGGAGUAUCAUGGAUUUGCGCCUGCAUCAAUUGUUUCCGAGUGCUGUCAAAGAGAAAAAUUUACUAAGAUUUCCAUUGUCAAACUGUGAUGUCCGACUAGUGUUGGUGGAAGAAUCACAUAUUGGAGAGGAUAAUUUGGAGUAGGGGAUGAGAAGAAGUUGAAGAACAGAUGAAGAGGGUGAGAUGUAGAACAGAGUAGGUGAGAGUUCAAACAAUUCUCAUUUCAUCGAUAAGUUACGGCACAUGUCUGAUUCACUUGCCCCUUUUAAACACAUAGGCACUCUCUUACAAGUGGGCCCUCAAAUCCACACGCCCAGUGCACUAGAUGAUCUUCCUAUGGCUCACUCCUAAGUUGUCUCUCUCUAGUUGUUGGGCCCUUCGUCCUCCAUAUCCUAGUCCUCCUCAUUCCACUGGACUGGGAUCUUGAUUUCCGUCGAGGGUGUGGUAGAGAGCAGAUGCAUGACACAAUCUUUGUUCCAUUACGCUUCCUCAAAGUCGCCAUUUUAGACAUUGUCAUGUCUACAACACACAAUUAGACGCUUGGUGACCUGUUGCUUCAAAAAUAUAUUUUGAAAUCAUGUGCCUAGAGGUGUUUUGAAUGUAUGGCUACAAAUGUCACUGAGGUUCCUAGUUCCUGUUCCAUCAGCAUACCCUGCCGAAGUGGUAAUCUGACUUCAAGUGGAAUAAGCAAGACAGGAGAAAGAAUUAAGGUGGUAUUCAGCUCGUUUUCCCCUCACCUUUUUGACUCUCACAUUUUUGUUUUCCUCCCAUAUCUUAGAUGGGGUGAAGCUAUAUGCAUAAACAAAUAUGAAUUCAUAUCACACUCACCUCGACAUCUCAGUAGUACAACACAGGGCUUUCGUCACAGGGCAAUUUUCACAUUAGUCCCGGUUCAGUCACGAACCGGGACUAAUGUGAGCAUUGGUCCCGGUUCGUGCGGCUAAGGCAUUAGUCCCGGUUCACCUGGGCCCUUUAGUCCCGGUUGGUGCCACGAACCGGGACUAAAGGGUGCGAUGCCCAUUAGUACCGGUUGGUGGCACCAACCGGGACUAAAGGUCUAACCUUUAGUACCGGUUGGUGCCACCAACCGAUACUAAUGCGCUUUGAGGCAUUAGUACCGGUUCAUGGCACGAACCGGUACUAAAGGGCCCAUUUUCAAACUCUACCCCCCCUGGUGGACCGCCUUUUCAGUUUUAGGAAAAACAAAAGAAAAUGAUGGAAAUGUCAAAAAAAUAAAAUAAAAUAAGUUUCCCAUGUGAUAUGUGGUCUAGUUGUUGGGAAAAUUAACAAAUAUGAAUUUCGACUUUAUUUGCAAAAUCUCUCUGAAAUUUCUUAAAAUGGGCAUAACUUUUGCAUACGAACUCGGAUGAAAAAGUUUUUUAUAUGAAAAAUCAUCUACUCAAAAUCCUCAAAAACCUAACAGAAAAAAAGAUACGGGACUUUUAAGAUCUGGAGAGGCAAAAAAAUUCAAAAAAUUUCAAUUUGUGGUCAAACUGUGGUCAAACAAUAGUCAAACUAAUUAUUCUAGAAUAUUAGUGUUACUAAAUAAUUAUUUCAGUUUUUUUGAAUUUUGGUCAAAUCUGGUCAAACUGUGGUUAAACAGUGGUCAAACAAUGGUCAAACUAAUUAUUCCAGAAAUAUUAGUGUUACUAAAUAAUUAUUGUUUUUAAAAAUAAUAGUUUCAAACUCAAACAGUGAAAUAUGUCACUUCAUGCUCAAGCUAAAUUCCUGAGGGUUAAUAAAAUUGACAUCUUACUAUUGUCAGGAAAACAACAAGUGCAGACUUGGAAACGAGGGAGAAUAGAACCCAGAAGUUAAGCGUGCUCAGGCUGGAGUAGUGAGAGGAUGGGUGACCGUCCGGGAAGUUAGAUGAUUUGAAAUGAUGAGGGGUGAUUAGAGAUUAGAGGAUAAAUUGAGCAGUGAUGAGGGGUGGUGAUUAGAGAUUAGAGGUUAAAAUAAUUCAGAAAUUUGAAAAUCAAAAAAAAAGUUCGCAAAUUUUUUUUUCAAAAAAAAUAUAUCAUAAAAUUCUGCGUCCACGUGGACGGCCUUUAGUCCCGGUUCGUGUCUAAAGGCUUGGGUAUAUAUAGACCUUCUACACGUCUCCAAUCUCUAGUAGCUCUUCAUAUGAUAAAAAUAUAUUGUGAGUAUGGGAUAUGUGUUGAGAAGGCCAUUCAGGAAUCGUUUAUCAUGUGAGUAGACUGCAAAAUGACAUAACCAUUCCACGAGCAUGCUUAAGUUUGAAAACUCUUUCCCGGGAAGUAUCCUAUGUGAUUGAAUGUAACUCAUAAUUAUUAAAGAAUGUAUAGAAGUUUCUAAACGAGCGAGUGGUUGAAUGUCAAAUGCAUCUGAUACUCGGCGAAGACUUAUGUUUGCCAAAUUCGGUACUCGGCAAAGUUUCGCCGUGUUUAUUAUGGGCUCUGCCAAGUUUCUAAGAAGACAAUCCGGGUAGUGAUGGAUGCCUGAUCUUUAACAUGGAAUGUCUGUAUACAUAGUCCUCAAUGUGGGGCAUAAUGUAGUAGCCGGACAAGACGCUUGAUUAAUCUGGUUCUUCUCUACAAUAGAAACUCGCCUUGUACAUGAACAUAUUUUGUUUUGGGUAUAUAUAGACCUUCUACACGUCUCCAAUCUCUAGUAGCUCUUCAUAUGAUAAAAAUAUAUUGUGAGUAUGGGAUAUGUGUUGAGAAGGCCAUUCAGGAAUCGUUUAUCAUGUGAGUAGACUGCAAAAUGACAUAACCAUUCCACGAGCAUGCUUAAGUUUGAAAACUCUUUCCCGGGAAGUAUCCUAUGUGAUUGAAUGUAACUCAUAAUUAUUAAAGAAUGUAUAGAAGUUUCUAAACGAGCGAGUGGUUGAAUGUCAAAUGCAUCUGAUACUCGGCGAAGACUUAUGUUUGCCAAAUUCGGUACUCGGCAAAGUUUCGCCGUGUUUAUUAUGGGCUCUGCCAAGUUUCUAAGAAGACAAUCCGGGUAGUGAUGGAUGCCUGAUCUUUAACAUGGAAUGUCUGUAUACAUAGUCCUCAAUGUGGGGCAUAAUGUAGUAGCCGGACAAGACGCUUGAUUAAUCUGGUUCUUCUCUACAAUAGAAACUCGCCUUGUACAUGAACAUAUUUUGUUUUGUGGAACUUCCUCCGGAUUAAAAAUACUUGAAGAUAGCAACAUAAUUGAUGAACUAAAAAAUGGUACUCUGGUAGCAAUGGGAUAAAACAAUAUUAUGCCUUUCUUUCAUUAGUUAACUAAAAAUUUGUGCUGCAGUAGUAACGGGAUAAAACAAUAUAAGUAGAAACAAUUUUGAUAAGCAAUAACAUUUCCUUUUGCUAGGGCAACGCUAUAGGUAACUCCUACAAACUAUUUCUCCUAGGUGUUGAUUAAUAAAUUAGCCAUAUGCAAAAUUAAACUGCAGUGGAUUAGUAAUACACGGUUGAAGUCAACACUUCCGGUUAAUCUUAUAAAAUCUAGCCUCUUUAGUCUCCAAUCUCACAUUGAGACAUGGUUAAUAGUUGUUGGUAUAUCUAAAUCCUAUGGGAGGACAUCCUCUUAUUCUCAGACACAUGAGCCCAAGUAUCUCCACAAAAAGUUCACCAGACAUACAUAUCAUGUCCUUUCAUAGCCAUCCAAAAAAAGGAAGGUGCUAUGAUGUAGUGCAACAUUGAUGGAAUAAUACCAAAAAAUGUAAAAAGGGUGUUUCAUUCUCAAAAAUAACUUUGGAAGUAUAUCGGUGAACCAUCUAAACAGGAACAUACUAGUAAAUUUGUUGAGGAAAUUGUUAACUGGUAGCAGCUUGGUUGGCUAGGGAGUAGGGGAUUAAUAGGGUGAUCGGCAAGUUUAUUGGCCUAUUAAGCAAUUAAACGGAGGAUUUAUCAGUUUAUUGGCUACAUGGUGACCUUACAAGUAGGGAUUAAUUCCCAAGUUAACUGGUUAAUCAGACGAAUUCUUCAACAGGACCAGUAAUCAUGCUAAUAUGGUACAUGAUAAUCUCUUAUGGUUGAAUGAAUAUGAGUAAUGUCUGUAGCUAUCUUUAACAGUAUUUUAUUGAGUACCUAAAUAUGUAAAGUUCAGUAGUUUGUACUAUCAUGUUAUUGCACAAAAAAAAAGGAAAUCUCUCAUUCCAAUUUUUUUAGCUAAACUAAACAAAAGAUACUAGCAUGUUGCUCAGGAGAUAGGAAUGGUAGCAGGGGUAGAUAGCCAACAAAAACAUUAUGUUAUUACAGUGUGAAUAAUAAAUAAGAUUAUUUGGAUCAUAUGAAGGAUAAAGCCAUCAAUCUCGCCCAUGUGCAAUAAUUUUAAUUUGUCUUUGUGUAGUAUAUAUUGUUGAUUAAUCAUUCGUGAUGAGAUAUGCACCUUCAUAUGGUUUAACAAAUAGAAGAUGGGUGGCGCCAGAAUAAUUUUUCUGACCGUGCAAAGAUAGAGAUCUGCAUUGCUCUCAUCAAUGACCUGCAACGAUUCAUGCAUGCUUCUACUAUGAUCCUUGAGCCUAUCAAAAUUAAUUGCUAUAAUCUUGACUGACCGAGCUACUGAUAUGUGGGCGUCUUGAUGAGUAUGGCGAAUUCUCUUUUAUCUUGGUGGUUGUUCAUUUCAUAGACAUCUCAAUAUAUUGUUUAUUUGGAUGGUUUUGUCUCCUCCUUUAUUUUGGGGUUAUUUUUACAAAGAGAAGUCUAGUUUUCUCCCUAACAAUUUCACAUGGAGAAGUGUCACUCAUAUUUAUUUCAAUCACAUUUACCUCUUGACCUUAAUAUUCACUCACAUUUACCUCCUGACCUUUUGGUUUUGGUUUAAUUUUUCCAUUAAAAUUUCACAAAUGAUAGAAUCCUCCCUGGAAGUUUUAAGAAAAAAAAAAUCUAGUAAAGGCAUAUGUAAUUUUUUUGUAAAGGAGAAUGUAUUAAUAUCAAGCAGAUACCAAUUAUUCCCAGACUCUGCAACAACAAGAUGCCUAAAAACAUCCAGGAUGCACACAGCUAAAAAUUAAAAUAAAAAGGGAAGAAAAAAUGAGAAAAAAUAUCCCGCCACGGUGAUCAAUCACCCGAUGUAGCCGCACUCUAACCACCACCAAAGAUGUCACCCGGACUACAAAAUAGGUUCUCCAAAAGCAAUGCCUCUAGAAAGGAAACAAAACACAAGCAUUGUCGUUGCCCGAUCAAAGAUAUUACGUUUUCACCCUGGAGAAAGAUCAGGUUCCCAACAAUAAUGCCUUCAACAAGACUACCGCCAGGCACAACCAAUAAAGGCCAGACCUUGGGUUUUCACCUUGGAAAUCCUGAUUGGGUACUCAAAGGAGCACCGAAUAACAAAGAAGUCCUCCAAUGCCGCCACCCCCACUUGCGGAGGCUAAUACUGCAAGUCACGCACCAUUAGGCUCACAGGAAUUCACAUCCCGCCUGGACGGGAACAUAUCCUGUAAGCCAUGUCUAAACAACUGCCUAUGAAGCAAAGUCUUCAUCGCAUCCAAGACCUCGCAUUCGCCACUUGCAAGUCCUUCAAUCACGCCAUGGCAUUCUCCGUAUGUGUUGAUCCCAUGGAAAUCUUGGUGCAGACAUGUCCCAAGGUGCCAACAAAAACAGAGCUUCACGAUACCCCGGUAAACCUGGUUAUGCUGAUGUUGCGGGUGCGCACGACAGGCCCCUAUCUAGUCAAGGUGUCCAAAGAGCGCCAUAUGUGCCAGUCCUUUUUUUCCUUCAAAGGAGAAGUCCGGAAAUCGCAGAUGGCCAGAUUGAAGAUCUCAGGUUCUCAAUUGCAUGAGCUUGUGAGCAACGAGAAUGAGCAAGACCGAACAAGGGGAAACCAUCCAAGGACGGGAACACCGUGUGCACAAUAUAUAGGAUCCAAUUUGCACCAGCAAUGUUUAUACAGGAAUAACCAAAAUGUGAGUGUUGCCACGUACAUGUAUUUACUACUGCAGAUAGUUUUCUUUAUUGCACAGGUAUAAAACUUGUUCUUAAUUUUAAUCAAUUCUCUUGCACAAAUUUAUCCACAGAGAGCACAUAUAUGAUUUAUCUAACACUAUGUUUUCAAUAUCACAAGAUAAAAUCUUGUCUUUACAGAGCAAAAUUAUACACCGAUAAAAAUGUGUUGUCUGCCUGCAUGAAAUUACAUAUGCUAUGCAAAACUCUUUACUUCGUAUCGUCAUGAUCAUCCACAAUAUUAAAAUUGUAAAUAAACAAAAAAAGAGGUGCCGGCAAAUAGUUUUGGAUAGAGUAGUUUGGCACAAUAUAUAUGUUAUCCCUGAAAAUAUAACGUCUUCCUGGAUCACACUGUAGCUUCGUGAUAGUUUUGACGGCUAUGAUAACAAAAGCUGCCGACACAUGGCUCUGGAAAUAGUUAUGGCUGUAGGGGUAAAUAUAAUAGCUGACAGCUCUAAAAAAUAUUCCCGCAAAAGAAGGCAGCUCUAAAAAACAAGCCGACAAAAGAAUCAUGAAGCUACAGUGUGAAUUAUACUCUCUCCAUUCACAUUAUUAUGGGAAAACGAAUUGUGCGAGUACAGUCUGCCAAAAUGAGUGGUCGUCCAUGCACCUUGUUUAGGGGCAACUUUAUUUUAAUGUGUCUUUUUGUAGUAUAUAGUGUUGAUUAAUCGUCCGUGAUGAGAUCUGUGCCUUUGUGUGAUAUAACAAAUAGAAGAUAUAUGGCGCCAGACUAAUUUUUCCAUCCGUACGUGCAAAGAUGAGAUAUGAAUGCAUUGCUCUCAUGAAUGACCUGCAACGAUAGACAUAUGCAUUCAUACAUGCUUCUGCUGUGAUCCACGAGCCCGUCAAAAUUAAUUGCUAUGCAGUGGCUUAACUACUCAGAUGAACGUGGGCGUCUUAAUGAGUAUGGUGACUUCUCUCUUAUGUUGGUGGUUGUUCGUUUCAUAAACAUUUCGAUAUAUUGUUUAUUUGGAUGGUUCUGCUUCCUCCUUUAUUUUGGGGUUGUUUUUACAGUGAAAAUUCAAGUUUUUUCACUAACAUAUUCGCAUGGAGAAGUGUCACUCAUAUUUAUUUUCACUGACAUUUACCUCCUGACAUUUAUUUUCACUCACAUUUAACUCCCGGCCUUUUGGUUUUGGUUUAGUUUUCCCAUUCAAAUUUCAUAAAUCAUAGAAUUUUCUAUCGAAGUUUCAAGAUUUGUUUUUCUAAAAAAGGUACAUGUAUGCACUAUAUAUUAGAUCUAAUUUGUACCAGUAAUGUUACCAGCUACAUGAAUUUACUGCUGCAGAUAGUUUUUUUUUGUAUUGCAUAUGUAUAAAUCUUGUCCUUAAUUUUACUCAUUUCUCUUGCACAAAGUUAGCUUCAUAGUGCACAUGUAUGAUUUACCUAAUAUUAUUAUUUCAAUAUUCCAAAAUAUAAUUUUGUCUUAACAGAGUGAAAUAAUACACCAAUAAAAAAACAUUGUCUGUAUGCAUGAAAUUACAUAUGCUAUGCAAAACUCUUUAGUAUGUAUCGUCAUGAUCAUCCACAAUAUGAAAAAAUAGUAAAGAAACAAACAAGAGGAGCAGACACAUGGUUUUGGAUAGAGCAGUUUAGCACAAUAUAUUUUAUCCCUGUUUAUAUAACGUCUUCAUUGCUCACACUGUAGCUUCGUGAUAGUUUUAUUGGCUAUGAUAACAGAAGCUGCUGACACAUGGUUCUGGAAACAGAUAUAACAGCAGGUGUAAAUAUAAUAGCCGCAGCUCUAAAAAAUAAGCUGACAAAAGAAUCAUGAAGCUACAGUGAACUAUACUCCAUCCUCCCUUGUCUAGGGGCAACUUAAUUCGCUUUGCGAAGGAUAAUGCAUCCAUGGCAAACAGUUUCAGGGUUGUCAGAAUAAGAAAUCUUAUGCCUCCCGAUCAAGAUCUAGACAGAUUUUCAGGGCAUGGUGUGGCCGUCCAACUACCUGAUAAAAAAAAAGAUAAUGAAAAGGGCCCACAGCAUCAAACCAAUGACAGAUAUGUUCAGUUUCGAAUCUCUUAAUAUUUAGUUUGAAAGCUGCAGAUUUUCAGGUUGUGAGAGCCGAAACUCUUGGACCAAGCCAUAUGUUCAGUUUCGAAUCUGACCUAGUAGCGUCCUGGAACUAGUUAUCAUCGAUUGGCUGCCAAACUCCCCCAAGAAACUCCGCACACAUCUCUGCAAUCGAACCAGGGCAAAUUAAUUUAGCGAAGGGAACUCACAACGCAGUGUCUCUUGACACAUCAUCCUAUUUAGUGAAAACUAUUUAGAGACAAUGACCCCUAUUCAUUAUAUACUCAACACGUCUCUUAAUAUUUAAAGUAUCUUAUAAAUGUCGUAUCUAAAUGAUAUUCCAUUUAAUUAGUUUAUGGACCUUUUUUGCAUGUCAACAUUGUGGCCUACUCCAGUUGUGAAGACAAAAAUUGUGAGAUAAACCACAAAGGCUCAAAGCGUUAGUCACUAUACGCAGAAAAACAAGUUAAUUAAGAGCCAUAUCUACACUAAAUAGAACAUAGGGAAGCUCAUCGAUCCAUCACCGGCCACACUUCUUGAGUUAGGCGAAUGUUCUCUUUUGGAGACCAUUGAGGACAUGCGCAUUUCAUCGCUCCAUCUGCCUGUCACUACAAGGGAUAAGGCUACACUAGUAGAAAACAGGGUUUUGGUUCGGCCAGAAAAGAGCAUUAAUCCCGGUUGCAUUACGAACCGGGACUAAUGUGAGCAUUAGUCCAGGUUCGAGCGGCUAGGGCACCGUACAUGCAUUAGUCCCGGUUCAAAUGGGACCUUUAGUCCCGGUUGGUGCCACGAACCGGGACUAAAGGGUGCGAUGCCCAUUAGUACCGGUUCGUGGCAUCAACCAGUACUAAAGGUUAGAUCUUUAGUCCCGGUUCGAGCCACCAACCAGUACUAAUGGGGUUUGAGGCAUUAGUACCGGUUCAUGGCACGCCUUUUCAGUUUUGUAAAAAGCAAAAGAAAAUGAUAAAAACUUCAAAAAUUAAAAUCCUUCCAGAUGUAGUUAUGUUACUACAUGUCCUAGUUAGGAAAAUUUAAAAACUUCAAUUUGGACAUGUUUCGCAAAAAGUGUAGGGAAAAUGUAAAACGGCUAUAACUUUUGCAUACGAUGUCAGAAAAAACGUAUAAUAUAUCGAAAUGUUCAGCACGAAAAUCCGCAUCCGAUUUUGACAGCCUACGGCCUGUUUGUAAAUUUUUAGAAUCCUCAAAUUCUAAAAGGGAAAAAAGUUAUGCUAUUUCUGUUUUUUUAAUUUUUGUUAAAUCUGGUCAAACUAUGGUCAAACUACUUAUUCAAGAAGUAUUAGUGUUACUAAAUAAUUAUUCAAGAAUAUUAGUGUUACUAAAUAAUUAUUUCAGUUUUUUUGAAUUUUGGUCAAAUCUGGUCAAACUGUGGUCAAACAAUGGUCAAACUAAUUAUUCAAGAAAUAUUAGUGUUAGUAAAUAAUUAUUUCAGUUUUUUUGAAUUUUGGUCAAAUCUGGUCAAACUGUGGUCAAACUACUUAUUCAAGAAAUAUUAGUGUUACUAAAUAAUUAUUGUUUUUUAGAACAAUAGUUUCAAACUCAAACAGUGAAAUGUGUGACUUCAUGCUCAAGCUAAAUUCCUGAGGGUUAAUAGGAUUGACAUCUUACUAUUGUCAGGAAAACAACAAGUGCAGACUUGGAAACGAGGAAGAAUAUAACCCGGAAGUUAAGCGUGCUCAGGCUGGAGUAGUGAGAGGAUGGGUGACCGUUCGGGAAGUUAGAUGAUUUGGAAUGAUGAGGGGUGAUUAGAGAUUAGAGGUUAAAUUGAGCAGUGAUGAGGGGUGAUUAGAGAUUAGAGGUUAAAAUAAUUCAGAAAUUUGCAAAUCAAAAAAAAAAAUUUAAAAAAAAAAUCAUAAAAUUUCCUUCAGUACCGGUUGGUGUUACCAACCGGGACUAAAGGUGGACCUCACGUGGAGGGCCUUUAGUCCCGGUUCGUGUAAGAACCAGGACUAAAGGGGGAGGCUUUAGUAACGACCCUUUAGUCCCGGUUCCAGAACCGGGACUGAAGGCCCUUAUGAAGCGGGACUAAAAGCCCUUUUUCUACUAGUGCUAGUAGUGGCGCGGUUUAAAGGCAUAGGAGUAGCGCGGGUUGCCUCUCUACUUACAUUAGCAACUAUAUAAAAACUCAUCAUCAUCAUCAUCAUCAUCAUCAUCAUCAUCAUCAUGUAACAACUCAUCAGCGCGUAGCUAACUGGUUCCUAGUAAGACGGGCCAGGCUCGGCUCUAAUACUACUUACAUUAGUAGCAGCGCGGUGUUUGGCCCGUGCUACUAAUAACUAGCUAUAGCGCGAGGCCCCCCGCCACUACUAACUCUAUGUAUUUCCUUUCUACAUAUUAUACUAUAUUAUACAAUAAUUAUACAGAUUUUUAUACACUAGCAACUAUAUAACAACUCAUCAUCAUCAUCAUCAUCAUGUAACAAAUCAUCAUUAUCAAAAUGAUAUAACUCAUCAUCAUCGUAGUGAUAUAACAGCUCAUCAUGAUCAUAAUUAUAUAAAAAUGUCUCAUCAUCAUCGUCAUCAUCACCAUCAGCAUCAUCAUAAGUUAACCACUACUAGCUAAUUGUCAUCAUCCUAGGUAAGUAACUUUCAAGCACAUGACAAGUACUAUGACCUACUCUAGUGUCUUAGGUAAAAUAGAAUAAAACAGAAAAAAUAACUACAUCUCCAUGAUGGACCACAGAGAUCCCCGGUCUCCAAUUUGUUGCCCGCGCUCAUUGACUAUUUGCCUCCAUCAUUCAAUUUUGAGGCAUCCAUUUGAUUAACACUCAGUCAAGUAUGUAUAUUUGAAUCCGAUCUUCAAAGGGCAAAUAAUAGUCAUCUCACUUUUGACGUCCAUCAGCAGAGGCACAACAACAUUUGGGACCUUCCGCUGAAGUACAUAAUAGUAACAUAGUCGAAAUAUGCAGAUAUAGCAAGAAUGAUCCUAAUUUAUUUAGGCAUCACUACCAGUUUGCCCUCAAUGCCUCGAGCGCCAUCUGGCAGAUCAACCAAGUUCCAAACUUGAUUGUCAUCCAUGGACUUUAAUUCGGAUCUCAUGGUCUUAAGCCAUAACUCAGAAUCAGGGCUCUCCGUCGCUUCUGCAUACAUUGCCGACUCGUUGUUCUCCAAGAACAACACAUUGCAGUUAUGCAUAUUGCGCAACCUUUCCGACCUCUGUGGAAUCAGCGUCGACUCCACUAUGGGUUCCUUGACUAACUCCAUGUGGUUCUCGAAUUUCCUCUAGUCGGAUCAUCCUCCCACUAGCCUUCCGAUUGAGAAACUCUUUCUCAAGGAAAACUCCAUGUCGAGCGACAAACACUUUGCCCUCUUCACAGAUGUAGGAGUAAUAUCCCAAGGUUUCCCUUGGAUACCCCAUGAAUAUGCACUUGUCCGAUUUGGGUGUGCGCUUGUCUGACUGGAGUCGCUUGACGUAUGAUUCACAACCCCAAAUUUUUAGAGAAGACAAAGUUUGGCUCUUCGCAGUCCAUAUCUCAUAUGACGUCUUAUCUACAAACUUGGAUGGUACCCUAUUUAGUGUGAAAGCUGCAGUUUCUAGAGCGUAUCGCCAAAAUAACAAGGGUAAAUCCGACUGACUCGUCAUUGAUUGGGCCAUGUCUAACAGAGUCUGAUUCCUUCGUUCCAACACGCCAUUUCUCUGUGGCAUACCCCGAGGAGUCAGUUGUGGAACUAUCCUACGACUCUUCAGAUAAUCAUCAAACUCCUGGCUCAUAUACUCAUUCGCCACGAUCAGAUCGCAGAAGUUUGAUUCUCUUGUCGAGUUGAUUCUCCACUUCAUUCUGAAACUCCUUGAACUUUUCAAAAGUUUCUAACUUGUGCCUCAUCAAGUAGACAUAUCCAAAUCUACUCAAGUUAUCUGUAAACGUCAUGAAGUAUUGGAAACCACCUCUAGCUGGACUUGUUUUACCAUUGUUGAAAUGUCUUGUGCAUCGGGAUUCCGAGUCUGAUCGGAGGGUCUCGAGAUGGAGGAUUGUCUCUGCGGAUCGUGAGCUUGUCAUGGGCAAAGUUGGGACACCCCUGCAGGGUUUAAACUUUCGAGAGCCAUGCCCGCGGUUAUGUGGCAGAUGGGAAUUUGUUAAUAUCUGGUUGUAGAGGACUUGAACUAAACUCAAUUAAAAUACACCAACCGCGGGUGUAACCGUGACUGUCUCUUUCCAGGUGCGUUCGAGAAGAGAAUACGGUUGGGUUAUGUUUGAACGUAAGUGGUUUAGGAUCACUUCUUGAUCACUAUUAGUUUGCGACCGUUGUGUAGAUUCUCUUCUUACUUUUGUACUCGUAAGUUAGCCACCAUACAAAUGCUUAGUGCUUGCUGCAGCUUCACCACUAUCCAUUCCAUACCCAUUAAGCUUUGCUAGUCUUCAUACCCAUGGUAAUGGGAUUGCUGAGUCCUCGUGGCUCACAGAUGACUACAACAAUAGUUGUAGGUACAGGUAAUGCAAUGAUCUGACGUGAGAGCGAUGCUUGAUUGCUUUUGGAGUUCUUCUUCUUCUUCGAUCAAGGGAUUAGGUUCCGGGUCGGGGAGCCUGGGAUUAGUGGGGUGGAUAUUAUUCUUCUUUUUUGUUUGAUUUCAUCCGUAGUCGGAUCCUGCCCUUCUGUGUGCGCUCGAAAUGCGGUUGGAACAGACGAUCGCUAGACAGCGCGCCCGCAUUGCCACCCUCAAAGACGGUGAUGCCAGCUCUGCCUUCUUUCACCGGCAGUGCUCGUUUCAAUGACAGAAAAACCGCAUCUUCUGCCUCUCUGCGAACGGCACGCUACUCACAGACCAUGACGAGAUGGCCGAGGCUGCAUUCCGGCACUAUGACACACUGCUUGGCACGGCGGUCGAACACGACCACUCGAUGGACCUGUCGCAGCUCAUCGAGGGGAGCGAUCUCUCCGACCUUGACGCGACCUUUUGCCCGGAGGAGAGAUGGGAAGCUGUGAAACGCCUCCCCGCGCACAAGGCAGCUGAGCCUGAUGGCUUUAGCGCUGAAUUUCUCCGCGUGUGCCGGAGCAUCAUCAAGCAGGACUUCAUGGAUGUGUUCCAGUAGCUCUUCGAGCUGCGUGGCCGUGGCUUCUGCAAGGUCAACCAGGCCCUUCUCACGCUGCUGCCGAAGCCCAGGAGGUGCGCAACUACCGCCCGAUAUGCCUCAUUCAUAUCGUGGCCAAGGUACUCGCGAAGGCCCUCUCGCUCCGGCUAGCUCCAAAACUUGACCGCUUUGUCAGCCGCAAUCAAAACGCGUUCAUCCUCGGACGGAGCCUACACGACAACUUUAUGCUCGUCAGGCAAUCGGUCAAGCUGCUGAGCCAACUUGGGGGCCCCAGGGUGAUGCUCAAGCUCGACCUCACGCGCGCUUUUGACUCCAUCUCCUGGCCGUUCCUCUUUGAGGUUCUGCGCCAAUUUGGGUUCGGGAAUCGCUUCCUCGAAUGGAUCGCCAUCCUCCUGUCCUCGGCAAGCACUCGGGUGUAGUUGAUUGGUGUCCCAGGCCCACUGAUAUGGCAUAAGGGAGGGCUGCGGCAGGGGGGACUCCUUGUCCCCGCAGCUGUUCGUGCUCGCGGUCGACACUCUCGGCCGGCUGAUUCGGCGCGCCCAUGAUACGGGCAUCCUCCAGCCGCUGCAUCUGCGGAGGCCGAUACCGGCUAUAUCCCUAUACGCCGACGACGUCAUGCUCUUUUGCCAUGCCACGGAGAGUGACGUGACUGUCGUCAAGGAAAUCCUUGACCUGUUUGGUAGAGCGUCCAGCCUCAAGGUGAACUACACCAAGAGCUCGGCCACGGUCUUGCAUCGGGAAUAGGUUGCCUCCGAGAUGAUCACCAGCUUGGGGUGUUCGACUGCCGCGCUCCCGGUCACCUACCUCGGUAUACCUCUGACGAUGCGCCGCCCUUCCGCCGGGCAGUUGCAGCCCCUUGUCGACAAGGUCACCGGACGCUUGCCCACCUGGAAAGCAUGGCUCAUGAACAGAGCCGGCAGGCUCGCCCUCGUCAAGUUCUUCCUUUGCACUAUCCCGGUGCACCAGCGGGUUGCAUUUGCCCCCUCGAAGAAAAGACUGCAGCAACUCGAGAAAAUUCAACGAGGGUUCCUCUGGGCCGGGCGAGCCAUCACCAACGGCGGGCACUGCCAUGUGAACUGGCAUCAUGCUUCCCGCCCGCUCGCGCUUGGCAGCCUUGGGGUUCGUGAUGUCGAGCGCGUUGGACUCGCGCUCAGGCUGCGGUGGCUCUGGCUCUCGCGAACGGACGAAGGGCGCGCCUGGCAGGGGCUGGACCUCCAAUUUUCUAGCAACGAGCGUACACUGUUCUUUGCCUCCACCUACAUGACCAUUGGAAAUGGCAUGAACGCCCUGUUCUGGGAGGAUCGAUGGCUCAACGGGCACUCGGUUGGCGAGCUCAUGCCCCUGUUCUACAGCUGCAUCCCCAAACGCCGGCGCAAAGCUAGAACGGUGGCCGAAGGUCUCAACUGCAACGCAUUGGCCCAUGACAUCCAGGGCGUCCUCGUCAUCCACGAGAUAGGCCAGUAUCUACAGCUUUGGCAACUCACGGAACAGGCUAUGCUCAGCGAUGCUCCUGACCAGCUGAUCUGUAAGCAGACUGCGAGCGGCAUCUAUUCGGCGCAGUCUUGCUACGCGGCUACCUUCCAAGGAUCAGUGCACUCCUACUCUUGGAAGUUGAUCUGGAAGGCUUGGGCUCCCCCUCGACUCAAGUUUUUCCAUUGGCUUGCCAACCUGGAUCGCUGCUGGACUGCCGAUCGACUGGCCUGCCAAAGACUGCAGCAUCAUCUGUGCUGCCUUCUUUGCGAUCAGGCGCCGGAAAUGAUCCGGCACCUCAUGCUUGACUGCCCCUUCUCUAGGCAGGCAUGGCAUGAGACCCUGGCCUGGCUACGCAUACCGGCGUCGAUCCCCAACCAGGAGCCCACCCUCAUGGACUGGUGGCGGCACGCCGCAAGCACAACGCAAGGCCCUGCAAUCCGUAGUGCUACUCGUACCAUGGCUCGUCUGGAAGCAUAUGAACAGCCACGUCUUCGACAGCGCGACGCCCUCCCUAGGCACGCUAGUCGACCGGAUCAAGGAGGAAGCCGACUCCUGGGCUAAGGCCGGAGCAGUAGGCCUUAGAGUAGUCCUACCCCCUUUAUGGGACGUGCACUGAGCAUUGUAUCUGAUCCUUCAUUAUUCAUCCUAGGACGACUGUAACUGACUCCCUACCUUUUCAAUGAAAAGAAACGGAAAGGUCUUUUGCAUUUUCUCGAGAAAAAAAAGAAUGACCUUGAGGCAAGCUCAAUGAAAAUACGUUUUCCAAAGGUUUCAAGACUAUCUUCCUUGUGCUCUGGGAUAAAGCCAUUUGCAAUUCAUAGUCAGAUCAGCUUGUCCACAUCAAUCUUGUAAUCCUUUGGAAAUAUAGCACAAAAGGAAAAGCAUUGCUUCAUGUGUGAUGGCAAGUCAUUGUAGCUAAGCUUUAAUAUUGGCAGAAUCCAGUUUCCAAAGUGCAAAUGCUGCUACUAGAUGAUAUAGCCUUCCACUCUUCGACGCUAGUCUUGGUACGAAGUACAUAGCCCAAUGCAGUUGCAGCUAAAGGAGAGCCAGAACAUCAGCUUACAAUCUCAUCAACCAUCUUGCUUAGCUCGACAGGCUUUUCUUUCUCCGAACUGAAUGCUCUAGCCUCAGUAAUUUCCUUUACGAAGAAAUCCUCCACAAUAUUGAGAUUGUAGGCUCUACCUGCACCCAUAAUUUCAGUGACUUGUUUAUCACGAGUUCUUGUUAACAUUGCACUACCCAUGCCACCAUGUUGAGGACAGACCUUCAGCCUUCCCAACUUAUAGACCUCUCUGUUCCAGACAUCAUCCAAUACAUGGAGAUACCUGUGCCCGCUGUCCAGUUUUUGAAAUCUAUCCAAAGGUAUCAUAGACCUCUCUGGGGGAUGCCCGCUGUACCCAGAGCUGCAACUGAAAAUGAUUCUGAAUUUCAGGUUCAUUGUAUAUGAGUUACGCUAAUGUGGUCUUGCCAAGGCCCCCCAUUCCAACAAUGGGAACUACUGCGAGAUCAGUAUUGCUAGCUUGACCAAGUAGUAUGUCAACGAUAUUAUUCUUAUCUCCGUGUUUGGAUCUGUUGGCAAUUUCUUGUUGGUCGCUGAUGACAUAAUCUGUGUGCCUCCACUCCUUGGACACUCGUGUUUGCCUCAACUGAUUAGACACCAACAACGUCUGCCUCAACAUAAGCGCGACGCGUUGUUGGGCUAGGCCCAGAACGGUGCGCGGGCAGGUGGGGCGUAUUUUUACCGUAGUAACUGUUUCGUCCGCUGCGCUUCCCCACGACCUGCGUUGAACACGCACGUGGAGGGUCGUGCGUGACGUGGGGGUCAUGCGUGGGGCGGUCUCCACACGCAUGCGUCACAUCGCAUUUAAUGGGAAAAGAGGCGGCCCACGCCUUCCCCGUAAAAAGGAAUAACAGCGGGCGCGCUGUUCAUUUACCCCCUGCGUCUUCUUCAAUCUCGGAAUCGCCGUCCCCUUCUUCUUCCUUCUCAAACUCUCGCCUUUGCUCGUUGCCGCCGCAUCUUCGCUGUCCUCCGUCCUUUGCCUCUCGCAGCCGCCAUGGCCCCCAAAACAAGUAAAGGAAAGGGAGUGGCCAAGGAUGCCGGGGCGAAGGAGCCGCCGGAGAGCGAGUUGGUGGCGCGGCGGACGCAUCUCGCCUACUUCCCCUCGACGGUCGACGCGGUCGAACUCCGGGACUACUUCAGGNNNNNNNNNNNNNNNNNNNNNNNNNNNNNNNNNNNNNNNNNNNNNNNNNNNNNNNNNNNNNNNNNNNNNNNNNNNNNNNNNNNNNNNNNNNNNNNNNNNNNNNNNNNNNNNNNNNNNNNNNNNNNNNNNNNNNNNNNNNNNNNNNNNNNNNNNNNNNNNNNNNNNNNNNNNNNNNNNNNNNNNNNNNNNNNNNNNNNNNNNNNNNNNNNNNNNNNNNNNNNNNNNNNNNNNNNNNNNNNNNNNNNNNNNNNNNNNNNNNNNNNNNNNNNNNNNNNNNNNNNNNNNNNNNNNNNNGCGUGUCAUCCCCGCCAAUUGCGCCGAGGCCGCCCCGAAUCGGUAUCCGUUCUUCGUCGAUUACUUUUCUUGCGGUCUCUGCCCCCCUUUCUCCGAUUUCUUCAAUGAUGUCAUGCACACAUUUGGCUUCCACCUUCUGGAUUUCACUCCCAAUGCCGUGGCGUGCAUGGCUCUUUUCGCCCAUCUCUGUGAGGGCUUCGCCGGAGUUCUUCCCAACACAUUGCCCUUCCGCUAUUAGUUUUACCCUCGCAUCCAAAAGGGAGGCGCCAUCUCUGGUUGCGUCGCCUGGAUACCAAGGUCCAAAGGGACGUACCCGGAGGGCGCCCAGAAGGAGAGGUUGGAAGAGUGGCGGGGCCGGUGGUGCUGGAUUGGGGAGGACGACCCGCCGGAAUUUUUCCGGGUUCGUCAGGCGCCGCCGGUUCGCAGGAACGACUGGGGCGAUGUCAACGCCCUGGAUGACAAGCUCAAGGUCGCCACCACCAGGAUUCACCGCCUCACCGUUGCCGGGCUCACCCUGGAGAUGAUUGGGGCGGACUUGAUCCGCCGCCGAAUCGCUCCACUGCACAACAAGGGGAGACCGGCCUGGCUCUUCCAAAACGCGGCUGACAUCAUGAGGCUUCACUCUGGCCUCAACAACAACUUCACGGUGAUGGGGCACGCCCACUUCUGCUAGCGGAUCUUUCAGCUCGACGUGAACCGCGACGGCAGGGCCAAGAGGUCCGGCAAGGCUGCAAAGGCCGGCAAGGUCCUCAAGGGGCCCUUGUUUGGGUUGCCAGCGGGGGUGGUCCCGCUGAGCAACAACUCGCGCCAGACCGACAUCAUCGCCAUGAUGUCGGACUACAAUGCACACGGUCCCGUCCCAAAUUGGUUCGAGCCGCUAGCGGAUCAGGUGCAGGAGUUCUUUGAUACUUUGGCGGAGAAGUAUGUCUGCGACGAGCCGCUGCUCAUCUAGGACACCACCCAAGCAGAGCUGGACUACAUCGCCGCCAGGGCGGCGGAGGCGGAGCUCGCUAGGGAGGCCGGCAGCGCUGGCGGCAUGGAGGACGAGGUCGCAGCAGCCGCAGAGGAGAGGGAGCUCGCCCAGUGGGAGGAAUCCGAUGGGGAGGCCAGCAGCGCCAGCACCGGGGCCCCUCUUAUUGAAGAUGUGGUCGACGAUUCGGAGGAGGAGGAGGUCGAGGCUGUCGAUCCUCCGGUCAUGGGGAGAGGGCGAGUCCUGCGGCGGGCCAGCUCCGGCAAGCCGGUCCAGCCCGGCAGGGCUGUGCAACCGCAGCAGACCUAGGAGGGGUAUGUGCGCCAGACAAGGGCCGCGGUGGCGAGGAAGUUGGUGAAGGCCGUGGUGGCGAAGAAGAAAGCAACAACCUCUUCUUCGUUCAAGCGUGGCCAGACUCCACCUUCUUCCCCUCCUCGGGCAGACGUUGACACGGAGGUCGUCUUCGACUUUGGGUCCCUCAGCCCAAGGAGGAAGAGGAAGGCAUCAGAAGAGGAGGUGGAGGAUGAGUAAGUUUCUUGUUACUUUUUGUCAUCUCCGUCUCCUCAGACUGUGCUGCUUAUCUCGAUUUGUUUUCAUCUUUGCAGGGAUGCGGAGACGCUGGCCCAGAGGGUGAAGAGGGCCAGGUCCUCGGCUGGCGGCCGGCCUCCGGCGGGCACUUCGAGGAUGCCACUAGUGGUGGUGAGCAGCCCGGACAGCAGUCCCCGAAGCAGCCCCCGGCGUAAGUUCCCCACUCGUCCCUCGUCAACGUGUGUUGGGGGUACGAUCCCUUGGCGCUAACCUUGCCGUGAUUGCAGGAGGAGGACAACAGGAGGAGGAGCCACGGAGGGUUACCCCCAACACGCUGCCCCCAUCGACCACGCCGCCCCGAGGGGUGGUGUCUACUACGCAACCUUCUUCUUGUAGACGUUGUUGGGCCUCCAAGUGCAGAGGUUUGUAGGACAGUAGAAAAUUUCCCUCAAGUGGAUGACCUAAGGUUUAUCAAUCCGUGGGAGGCGUAGGAUGAAGAUGGUCUCUCUCAAGCAACCCUGCAACCAAAUAACAAAGAGUCUCUUGUGUCCCCAACACACCCAAUACAAUGGUAAAUUGUAUAGGUGCACUAGUUCGACGAAGAGAUGGUGAUACAAGUGUAAUAUGGAUGGUAGAUAUAGGUUUUUGUAAUAUGAAAAUAUAAAAACAGCAAGCUAACUAAUGAUAAAAGUGAGCACAAACGGUAUUGCAAUGCGUUGAAACAAGGCCUAGGGUUCAUACAUUCACUAGUGCAAGUUCUCUCAACAAUAAUAACAUAAUUGGAUCAUAUAACUAUCCCUCAACGUGCAACAAAGAGUCACUCCAAAGUCACUAAUAGAGGAGAACAAACGAAGAGAUUAUGGUAGGGUACGAAACCACCUCAAAGUUAUUCUUUCGGAUCGAUCUUAUUCAAGAGUUCGUACUAGAAUAACACCUUAAGACAAAAUCAACCAAAACCCUAAUGUCACCUAGAUACUCCAAUGUGACCUCAAGUAUCCGUGGGUAUGAUUAUACGAUAUGCAUCACACAAUCUCAGAUUAAUCUAUUCAAACCAACACAAAGUACUUCAAAGAGUGUCCCAAAGUUUCUACCAGAGAGUCAAGACGAAAACGUGUGCCAACCCCUAUGCAUAGGUUCAUGGGCGGAACCCGCAAGUUGAUCACCAAAACAUACAUCAAGUGGAUCACGUGAUAUCCCAUUGUCACCAGAGAUACGCACAUGCAAGACAUACGUCAAGUGUUCUCAAAUCCUCAAAGACUCAAUCCGAUAAGAUAACUUCAAAGGGAAAACUCAAUCCAUUACAAGAGUGUAGAGGGGGAGAAACACCAUAAGAUCCAACUAUAAUAGCAAAGCUCGCGAUACAUCAAGAUCGUACCACCUCAAGAACACAAGAGAGAGAGAGAGAGAGAGAUCAAACACAUAGCUACUGGUACAUACCCUCAGCCCCGAGGGUGAACUACUCCCUCCUCGUCAUGGAGAGCGCGGGGAUGAUGAAGAUGGCCACCGGUGAGGGUUUCCCCCUCCGGCAGGGUGCCGGAACAGGGUCCCGAUUGGUUUUUGGUGGCUACAGAGGCUUGCGGCGGCGGAACUCCCGAUCUAUUCUGUUCACCUAUGUUUUUAGGGUAUAUGGAUAUAUAUAGGCGAAAGAAGUCGGUAAGGGGAGCCACGAGGGGCCCACGAGGGUGGAGGGCACGCCCAGGGGGUGGGCGCGCCCCCUACCUCGUGCCUUCCUUGUUGCUUCCCUUACGUACACUCCAAGUCUUCUGGAUUGCUUCGGUUCCAAAAAUAACUCUCCCGAAGGUUUCAUUCCGUUUGGACUCCGUUUGAUAUUCCUUUUCUGCGAAACACUGAAACAAGGAGAAAAACUGAAACUAGCACUGGGCUCUGGGUUAAUAAGUUAGUCCCAAAAAUAAUAUAAAAGUGCAUAGUAAAUCCCAUUAAACAUCCAAGAUGGAUAAUAUAAUAGCAUGAAUACUUCAUAAAUUAUAGAUACGUUGGAGACGUAUCAGCAUCCCCAAGCUUAAUUCCUGCUCGUCCUCGAGUAGGUAAAUGAUAUAAGAAAUAAUUAUGAAGUGUGAAUGCUAGCAGGUGCACAAGUUUGAUCAAUGAUAAUUUCAAUCACCUUUUCAAGCAUCAUUAUAUGUCAUAACAGUAGCUCAACUCAUAAAACUUUUCAUGAUCAAGUAACAAGCUAUUCACAUAUUAAAGCAUAGACCAUAAACUUUCUUGAAAACUAACAAACUAUGUUCUCAGUCAUCAAACAAUUGCAAUUCAUCUUAUUUUCAGGAAGGGUCUAUGUAAGAGCUUUGAUUUAGCAAAUCCCACAUACUCAACUAUCAUAUAGUCUUCCAUGAUUGCUACCACUCAAAGCAUAUUUUCGGAACAAAUAGCAUCCAUCGAACACAGAGAAAGAUAGGGGCUUAAUGUUUCGCCUCCCAACUUAUUUAUCAUAUAGAUAAUUGUCAACAAUAAUAAUUCAUGAUCAAAUAUAUUUGAAUGGCCAUAUAUGCUUAGAUCUUUCCAUCACAUGAUGCUUGCCAACUAAAAAGUAGGUUGGAAUGAGAAGGAAUACUACUGACUCUUGCAUAAAAGUAAAAGAUAGGCCCUUCACAGAGGGAAGCAGGGAUUUGCAGAGGUGCCAGAGCUCGAAGCUAAAACAGAGAUGAAAAUAAUUUUGAGAGGUAUGCUUUCAUUGUCAACAUAACGACCAAGAGUUCCCAAUAUCUUCCAUACUACAUACAUUAUAGGCGGUUCCCACGCGGAAAGGUAAAGUUUUUACUCCCCCUCCACCAACAUUCACACUCCACGGCUUGUCCGAAACAAUGGGUGCCGUCCAACUAUCAACAUUCUUGGGGGAGUUUGUUGAAAUUAUUUGUGAAUUUGUUUUUGAUCUUUUGAUCAUAGGACUGGGCAUCCCAGUUACCAGCCAUUUUCUCGUGAAUGAUGAGCGGUGUCCACUCAUCGUGAGAAUAACCCACCCAGCAUGGAAGAUACUGACAGCCCCUAGUCGCUACAUGAGCGAUUCGGGCAUACAAAACAGAUUAUUAUUUGAAGGUUUAGAGUUUGGCACAUGCAAAUUUACUUGGAACGGCAGGUAAAUACCGCAUAUAGGUAGAUAUGGUGGACACUCAUGGAAGAAACUUGGUUCGAGGAAUUUGGAUGCACAAGCAGUAUUCCUGCUUAGUACAGACAUUUUGGCUAGCAAAUGAUUCUAAAUAGCAAGCACCACAAGUUAGAGGAUCCAUAACAAUAUAACUUCUAUACAAAUAUACCCAAGCAUAACUCAUUAUGUUGUCUUCCUUGUCCAACUUCAACUAAUUUGCUCAGGUUUGCUAAUAAUUAAUGGGGCUCACGAUCAUAGAAGAUGUCCAAGAUAGUAUUAUAUGUGAAAUCUCUCUUCCUUCAAUAUUCUUUCAUGAAUUGUUCAAGUGACAAAUACAAAGUUUGCUAACCUUCAAAAAAUUUACCACCUCUACUUCUUAUAUGUGAAGUCAUUACUCCCCAUGGGAUAAGUAUAUGAAACAUAUAUAAUUUCAGAUUUAUAAUAUUCAAAUCAUUCAACUAUUUACUCAUAGGAUAUAAGUGAAGCACACGAGUAAAUGACAAACUACUCCAAAAAGAUAUAAGUGAAGAUCAAUGAGUAGUUAAAUAAUUAUGUAGUUAUCUGAAGACUCUAUCUCAUUUAAGAAUUUCAGAUCUUGGUAUUUUAUUCAUACAGCAAGCAAAACAAAAGAAAAUAAAAUGACGCUCCAAGUAAAACACAUAUCAUGUGGUGAAUAAAAAUAUAGCUCCAAGUAAAGUUACCGAUGAACGAAGACGAAAGAGGGGAUGCCAUCCGGGGCAUCCCCAAGCUUAGGCUCUUGGUUGUCCUUGAAUAUUACCUUGGGGUGCCUUGGGCUUCCCCAAGCUUAGGCUCUUGCCACUCCUUAUUCCAUAGUCCAUCGAAUCUUUACCCAAAACUUGAAAACUUCACAACACAAAACUUAACAGAAGAUCUCGUGAGCUCCGUUAGCGAAAGAAAACAAAACACCACUUCAAGGUACUGUAAUGAACUCAUUAUUUAUUUGUAUUGGUGUUAAAUCUAAUGUAUUCCAACUUCUCUAUGGUUUACAAACUAUUUUACAAGCCAUAGAUUCAUCAAAAUAAGCAAACAACACACGAAAAACAGAAUCUGUCAAAAACAGAACAGUCUGUAGUAAUCUGUAACUAACGCAAACUUCUUGAACUCAACAAAUUCUACCAAAAUAGGACGACCUAGAUAAUUUUAUUAUUGAUCUGAUGCAAUUGGAAUCAGUAUUUUAUCACGUUCUGGUGAUUUUAAACAAUUGUUUUCGUGAACAGAAAGUUUCUGGAAUUUUCAGCAAGAUCAAAUAACUAUCAUCCAAGAAGAUCCUAUAGGUCUUACUUGGCGCAAACACUAAUUAAAACAUAAAACCACAUCUAAACAGAGGCUAGAUAGAUUAUUUAUUGCUAAACAGAACCAUAAAGAAAGAACAAAAAUAAAAAUCGGGUUGCCUCCCAACAAGCGCUAACGUUUAACGCCCCUAGCUAGGCAUGAUGAUUUCAAUGAUGCUCGCAUAAAAGAUAAGAAUUGAAAUAUAAAGAGAGCAUCAUGAAAAAUAUGACUAGCACAUUUAAGUCUAACCCACUUCCUAUGCAUAGGGAUUUUGUGAGAAAACAACUUAUGGGAACAAUAAUCAACUAGCAUAGGAAGGCAAAACAAGCAUAACUUCAAAACUUUAAGCACAUAGAGAGGAAACAUGAUAUUAUUGCAAUUCAUACAAGCAUACAUUCCUCCCUCAUAAUAAUUUUCAGUAGCAUCAUGAAUGAAUUCAACAAUAUAACCAGCACCUAAAGCAUUCUUUUCAUGAUCUACUUGCAUAGAAAUUUUCCUACUCUCCACGUAAGCAAAUUUAUUCUCAUCAAUAGUAGUGGGAGCAAACUCAACAAAAUAACUAUCAUGUGAUUGAAAAUUAAGAUCAAGAUGACAAGUUUCAUGGUUAUCAUUAUUCUUUAUAGCAUACGUGUCAUCACAAUAAUCAUCAUAGGUAGGAGGCAUGCUUUCAUCAUAAUAAAUUUGCUCAUCAAAACUUGGGGGACAAAAAAUAUCAUCUUCAUCAAACAUAGCUUCCCCAAGCUUGUAAUCAUGCUCAUCAUUCAAAUAUUUAGUGCCAAACAUUCUAAUGCAUUCUUCCUCUAGCAAUUGAGCGCAAUUAUCGGAAUCCUUAUUUUCACGGAAGACAUUAAAAAGAUGAAGCAUAUGAGGCACACUCAAUUCCAUUUUUUGUAGUUUUCUUUUAUAAAAUAAACUAGUGAUAAAACAAGAAACUAAAAGAUUCCAUUGCAAGAUCUAAAUAUAUACCUUCAAGCACUCACCUCCCCGACAACGGCGCUAGAAAAGAGCUUAGUUGACGGGGUGUGAGUGCCGCUUACCUAGCCUCCCCGGCAACGGCGCCAGAAAAGAGCUUGAUGUCUACUACGCAACCUUCUUCUUGUAGACGUUGUUGGGCCUCCAAGUGCAGAGGUUUGUAGGACAGUAGCAAAUUUCCCUCAAGUGAAUGACCUAAGGUUUAUCAAUCCGUGGGAGGCGUAGGAUGAAGAUGGUCUCUCUCAAGCAACCCUGCAACCAAAUAACAAAGAGUCUCUUGUGUCCCCAAAACACCCAAUACAAUGGUAAAUUGUAUAUGUGCACUAGUUCGGCGAAGAGAUGGUGAUACAAGUGUAAUAUGGAUGGUAGAUAUAGGUUUUUGUAAUCUGAAAAUAUAAAAACAGCAAGGUAACUAAUGAUAAAAGUGAGCACGAACGGUAUUGCAAUGCGUUGAAACAAGGCCUAGGGUUCAUACUUUCACUGGUGCAAGUUCUCUUAACAAUAAUAACAUAAUUGGAUCAUAUAACUAUCCCUCAACAUGCAACAAAGAGUCACUCCAAAGUCACUAAUAGAGGAGAACAAACGAAGAGAUUACGGUAGGGUACGAAACCACCUCAAAGUUAUUCUUUCGGAUGAUCUUAUUCAAGAGUUCGUACUAGAAUAACACCUUAAGACACAAAUCAACCAAAACCCUAAUGUCACCUAGAUACUCCAAUGUCACCUCAAGUAUCCGUGGGUAUGAUUAUACGAUAUGCAUCACACAAUCUCAGAUUGAUCUAUUCAAACCAACACAGAGUACUUCAAAGAGUGUCCCAAAGUUUCUACCGGAGAGUCAAGAUGAAAACGUGUGCCAACCCCUAUGCAUAGGUUCAUGGGCGGAACCCGCAAGUUGAUCACCAAAACAUACAUCAAGUGGAUCACGUGAUAUCCCAUUGUCACCACAGAUAUGCACAUGCAAGACAUACAUCAAGUGUUCUCAAAUCCUUAAAGACUCAAUCCGAUAAGAUAACUUCAAAGGGAAAACUCAAUCCAUUACAGGAGUGUAGAGGGGGAGAAACAUCAUAAGAUCCAACUAUAAUAGGAAAGCUCGCGAUACAUCAAGGUUGUACCACCUCAAGAACACGAGAGAGAGAUCAAACACAUAGCUACUGGUGCAUACCCUCAGCCCCGAGGGUGAACUACUCCCUCCUCGUCAUGGAGAGCGCGGGAAUGAUGAAGAUGGCCACCGGUGAGGGUUCCCCCCUCCUGCAGGGUGCAGGAACAGGUUCUCGAUUUGUUUUUGGUGGCUACAGAGGCUUGCGGCGGCGGAACUCCUGAUCUAUUCUGUUCCCCGAUGUUUUUAGGGUAUAUGGAUAUAUAUAGGCGAAAGAAGUCGGUAAGGGGAGCCACAAGGGGCCCACGAGGGUGGAGGGCGCGCCUAGGGGGGUGGGCGCGCCCCCUGUCUCGUGCCUUCCUCGUUGCUUCCCUUACGUACACUCCAAGCCUUCUGGAUUGCUUCCGUUCCAAAAAUAACUGUCCCGAAGGUUUCAUUCCCUUUGGACUCCGUUUGAUAUUCCUUUUCUGCGAAACACUGAAACAAGGAGAAAAAACUGAAACUAGCACUGGGCUCUGGGUUAAUAAGUUAGUCCCAAAAAUAAUAUAAAAGUGCGUAGUAAAGCCCAUUAAACAUCCAAGAUGGAUAAUAUAAUAGCAUGAAUACUUCAUAAAUUAUAGAUACGUUGGAGACGUAUCAAGGGGCGUCCCCGGCAAGGGCGCCAAGCACCGAGCCCAUGCACACAGAGGAGGAGGAGGCAGACUUGGGCGCUAGUGGCUCCGCCUCGGUGCCAGAUGUUGGCAGGGAAGGGGCUACUUCUUCCCAGCCCGGCACGGGUACGUCACUUGCCUCCUGUCCCUGCUUUUUCUUCUUCUUUUUGAAUCUUGGUCUUGGCUCCGCCUCAUCCCCUUCUCGAUAUCCAGACCCUCCCUCGGCGGACCGGGAGGACAUAGACACCGUCAUCGAGGAUGUCGCCAAGGACACCGCGGCGGAGGCCGAGAAGAUUGCCGCCGAGGAGGCCGCCAAGGGCGCUGCCGAGGACGCCGCAAAGCGAUCUGCCGGGGAGUCCGGCAUGUCUACUGCCAAAGUGGCCGGCAAGGGGCCUGCCGGGGAGGCCGGCAAGGCCGCUGCCGGGGAGGAGGUGGUUAACGACCAACCUUCCUCCUCUGCUGCCUCUGGUUCCGGCAGGUAUCUGAAGGUGAGCGACGACCUAUUCGUCAACCUCCUAGGGACGGCGAGCACUAGGGCGCCCACCGAGGGAGAGGUGUUCGACGAGGAGGUGCUUGCCGCCGCUGGGCUCGAGGUUGUUGACGAGUCGAGCGCCGGUGGCGACGGUUCCCAGGAAGAGCGGCUCCUUCAGGCCAUGGGCGCCAGCUUUCGGAAGCUCCAGGCGCUCCACCGCGCCCGCCUGGACAAGGCCAAGUCCAGGAUGGCAGCGGUGGAAAAGGCGGAGGCGGACCUCGAGGGUCGCAUCGUCGAGACGCAGGCUUGGUUCCGCCAGGGCUGCGAGGAGCUGAAGACCGCCCAGGACGAGCUGGCCAAGCGCAAGGUGGAGCUCGUCAUGAAGCAGGCCGACAUCGAGAGGGGCCAGGAGUUGGCGAAGAACCAGGCCGCCAAGGACGAGGUCGCUCGGUCCCAGCACCAGGCCGCGCUGAACUCCCAGGAAGAGGACCUUGCCGCUCGCGAGGAGAAGCUCGCCGUGACACUCCGCGGCAAGGACGAGGAGGUCAAGAAGCUUGUCCUGCAGCGGACCCAGGAGUUGGAGCAGAAGCACGAGGAGGCGCUCAAUGCCCAGGCUUAGGUCCACGCCGGCAAGGUGAAGGAGCUGGAGGUGGAGCGGGACGAGCUGAAGAAGCAGGCCCUGGAGUUGACGGCGGAGAGGGACGCUGCCAAAGGUGCCCUGGCCGACGCGCAGGCCGCAGUCCUCAGCAAGGCCGGGCUACUCUCCACGGCCAACGAGACCAUCAAGGACCUGAAGCUGAAGCUGGAGGGCCUUGAGGGGACGCUCUCGGAGGCCAAGGCCCGGGAGGAGACCCUGGCCAAAGAUUUGGAGGCCGAGAAGCAGCUGCGGAAGAACGAAACCGCCAACCACAAGGAUUUUGUGGAGGGCGAGAACCGCUGGAUCAGCCGCCUCAAAGGCGUCGCCGGCAGGAUCACCACGCAGCUGGCUACGAUGGGGAUGCCAAAUGUGAGGUACGCCCCGGAGCCCAAUGUGACUCCCAAUGCCAAGCUGACCCUAUUCUUCGAGGGUGUCCUUGGAGCCCUGGAGCAUCUUCGCUCCAGCAGGGCGGCCUCUUUGGCCGAUGAGGCCCGGAAGCUUUGCCGGGGUGCCAUGACCAAGGUCCUCACCAAGGUGGCGUACUGGAACCCCGACCUCGACUUCGACGCCGCACUAGAGAGCUUGCCGGAGGAUGCUGACCUCGCGGCGCUCAAGGAGCGUAUCAAGCCCAUCAUCAGUCGCGUCGACGGAAUCCAGAGGGUGGAGGGCCAGCGCUGGGAUUAGGCACCCCGUUUCUCAUUGCCGCUGCAGGUUCAUGACCAUGACAAUUUCUAUCUUUAGUUAGAACCGCGGCAACAACUGAUGUAAUAUAACUCUGCAGUACAUUCGUGAUGAUGUAUGUUAUCUUCCUGUUUGAUCUUCCUUUGUAUGUUCACCCUACGUUAAUCGGGUAGGCUUGCCGGCGCGUAAACCCAGGCCGCGGCGCCUUGAGGAUGGAUCCCCAAUGGCCUGCCGGGUAUGCUUGCUGCCAGGCGAACCACCUUACCGCAUUAGUAGAAAACAGGGCUUUGGUUCCGGCCUGGCCAGCCCAUUAGUCCCGGUUCUUCAUGAACCGGGACCCAUGGGGGGCAUUAGUCCCGGUUCAUGAGCCCAGGGGGCCGUCCGGGGCCUCGUGGGCAUUGGUCCAGGUUCCUCUGGAUCCAUUUGUACCGGUUCUAGAGGGCCGCGCUCCUUGCCCACAGCCAUUGGUACCGGUUCGUGCCUAUAACCGGGACAGAAGGGGGGGGGGCUUUAGUACCGGUUCGUGCCACAAACCGGGACAAAUAAGUUGCCUAUAUAUACUCGUCGCCGCAGCAGAGCACUCCACAGUGCUCUGUUUUUUCUGGCCGGCGAGGGGAGGGCAUUUGGGUGCUCUAGCUCACCUCCUAUGCACAUGAGGUGUUUGAUGAAAUGCCCGAGCGACACUAGUUAAGCUUUCUCCUCUUGAAGCUCGACCUCGGAGCUCCAUUUUUCCCAAGAUUUGUCUAGAUUUAGCGGUCCGUCACGCCCCGUCCCCGUUUUCACCGCCGUCAAUCGCCCGUGCCGAUCUCGUCGCCGGCACCAUCGUGGUGAGCCUCUUGUUCUUAUCUUCUUUCUGAUUUGCUUAAUUUAGAUAGAUACUUGUCUGAUUUUCUUACUUUUGACACACAUAAUUAUAUAUAAUGCACGCAGAUGAACCGGCAAUGGAUGUACGGUGACAGACACACCUCCGAGUACAUUAAGGGCGUGCAUGAAUUUCUCGAAGUGGCAGAGGCAAACAAGCAGAAUGGUUUUAUGUGUUGUCCAUGCCCUAAAUGUGGGAAUACGAAGUCUUACUCUGACCGGAAAAUCCUGCACACCCACCUGCUUUACAAGGGUUUCAUGCCACACUAUAAUGUUUGGACGAGGCACAGAGAAAUAGGGGUUAUGAUGGAAGACGACGAAGAAGAAGAGGACGAUGACAACUAUGUGCCCCCUGAAUACGGUGAUGCUGCAACGGGGGGAGCUGCCGAAGAUCAAGAGGAACCAGACGAUGUGCCCGAUGAUGCUGCAAUGGGGGAAGCUGCUGAAGAUCAAGAAGAACCAGACGAUGUGCCCGAUGAUAAUGAUCUCCGCCGGGUCAUUGUCGAUGCAAGGAUGCAAUGCGAAAGUCAAAAGGAGCAGCUGAAGUUCGAUCCCAUGUUAGAGGAUCACAAAAAAGGGUUGUACCCCAAUUGCGAAGAUGGCAACACAAAGCUCGGUACCGUACUGGAAUUGCUGCAGUGGAAGGCAGAGAAUGCUGUGCCUGAGAAAGGAUUUGAGAAGCUACUGAAAAUAUUGAAGAAGAAGUUUCCAAAGGACAAUGAAUUGCCUGACAGUACGUACGCAGCAAAGAAGGUCGUAUGCCCUCUAGGAUUGGAGGUGCAGAAGAUACAUGCAUGCCCUAAUGACUGCAUCCUCGACCAUGGUGCGUACAAGGAUUUGAACGCAUGCCCGGUAUGCGGUGCAUUGCGGUAUAAGAUCAGACGAGAUGACCCUGGUGAUGUUGACGGUGAGCCCCGCAGGAAGAGGGUCCCUGCGAAGGUGAUGUGGUAUGCGCCUAUAAUACCACCGUUGAAACGACUAUUCAGAAACAAAGAGCAUGCCAAGUUGAUGCGAUGGCACAGUGAGGACCGUAAGAAAGACGGGAAGUUGAGAGCACCCGCUGACGGGUCGCAGUGGCGAAAAAUUAAGAGAAAGUACUGGGAUGAGUUUGCAGGUGACCCAAGGAAUGUAUGGUUUGCUUUAAGAGCGGAUGGCAUUAAUCCUUUCGGGGAGCAGAGCAGCAAUCACAGCACCUGGCCCGUGACUCUAUGUAUGUAUAACCUUCCUCCUUGGAUGUGCAUGAAGCGGAAGUUCAUUAUGAUGCCAAUUCUCAUCCAAGGCCCUAAGCAACCCGUUAACGACAUUGAUGUGUACCUAAGGCCAUUAGUUGAAGAACUUUUAUAGCUGUGGAAUGGAAACAGUGUACGUGCGUGGGAUGAGCACAGACACGAGGAAUUUAACCUCCAUGCGUUGCUGUUUGUAACCAUCAACGAUUGGCCCGCUCUCAGUAACCUAUCAGGACAGACAAACAAGGGAUACCACGCAUGCACGCACUAUUUAGCUAACACCAAAAGUAUAUACCUGGACAAAUGCAGGAAGAAUGUGUACCUGUGCCAUCAUCGAUUUCUUCCGACCAACCAUCAAUGUCGAAAGAAAGGCAAGCAUUUCAAAGGCGAGGCAGAUCACCGGAAGAAGCCCGCCAUGCGUACCGGUGAUCACGUACUUGCUAUGGUCAAUGAUUUACACCUAAUGUUUGGAAAGGGUCCCGGCGGACUAGCUGUUCCGAAUGACGCUGGGGGACGCGCACCCAUGUGGAAGAAGAAAUCUAUAUUUUGGGACCUGCCCUACUAGAAAGACCUAGAGGUCCGCUCUUCGAUCGACGUGAUGCACGUGACGAAGAACCUUUGCGUGAACCUGCUAGGCUUCUUGGGCAUGUAUGGGAAGACAAAAGAUACAGCUGAGGCACGGGAGGACCUGCAACGUUUGCACGAAAAAGACGGCAUGCCUCCAAAGCAGUAUGAAGGUCCUGCCAGCUAUGCUCUUACCAAAGAAGAGAAGGAAAUCUUCUUUGAAUGUCUGCUUAGUAUGAAGGUCUCGACUGGCUUCUCGUCGAAUAUAAAGGGAAUAAUAAAUAUGCCAGAGAAAAAGUUCCAGAACCUAAAGUCUCAUGACUGCCACGUGAUUAUGACGCAACUGCUUCCGGUUGCAUUGAGGGGGCGUCUACCGAAAAACGUCCGAUUAGCCAUUGUGAAGCUAUGUGCAUUCCUCAAUGCAAUCUCUCAGAAGGUGAUCAAUCCAGAAAUCAUACCAAGGCUAAGGAGUGAUGUGGCGCAAUGUCUUGUCAGUUUCGAGCUGGUGUUCCCACCAUCCUUCUUCAAUAUCAUGACGCACGUCCUAGUUCAUCUAGUUGACGAGAUUGUCAUUCUGGGCCCCGUAUUUCUACAUAAUAUGUACCCCUUUGAGAGGUUCUUGGGAGUCCUAAAGAAAUAUGUCCGUAACCGCGCUAGGCCAGAAGGAAGCAUCUCCAUGGGCCAUCAAACAGAGGAUGUCAUUGGGUUUUGUGUUGACUUCAUUCCUGGCCUUAUGAAGAUAGGUCUCCCUAAAUCGCGGUAUGAGGGGAGACUGGCUGGAAAAGGCACGCUUGGAGGGGACUCAAUAAUAUGCAGGGACGGAUAUUCUUGGUCUCAAGCACACUACACAGUUCUACAGAACUCUACCUUGGUGACCCCUUAUGUCGAUGAACACAAGAACAGUCUGCGCUCCAAACACCCGGAGCAUUGCGACGACUGGAUUACAUGUGAACACAUCAGGACUUUCAGCAGUUGGUUGGAAACACGUCUCAGAGGUGACAACACUGUUUGUGAUGAGAUGUACUCGUUGUCCAGGGGACCAUUUUCGACUGUAUUGACUUACAAAGGAUACAAGAUAAAUGGGAAUACAUUUUACACGAUCGCCCAAGAUCAAAAGAGCACCAACCAAAACAGCUGUGUCCGCUUUGAUGCAGCAACCGAGAGGGGAAAGGACACAUAUUAUGGUUACAUAGUGGACAUAUGGGAACUUGACUACGGACAUGAUUUUAAGGUCCCUUUGUCUAAGUGCAAAUGGGUCAAUCUGUCAGGAGGCGGGGUACAGGUAGACCCACAGUACGGAAUGACAACAGUGGAUCUGAACAAUCUUCGGUACACUGACGAACCUUUCGUCCUAGCCAAUGAUGUGGCACAGUUUAUCUAUGUGAAGGACAUGUCUACCAAACCGAGAAAAAGAAAAGAUAAGGAAGCGAAUACAUCAUACGAUGAGCCAAAGCACCACAUAGUUCUUUUAGGAAAAAGGGACAUCGUGGGAGUGGAGCGCAAGACAGACAUGUCUAAAGAUUAUGAAAAGUUUCCUGAAAUUCCUCCCUUCAAAGUCAAGGCUAACCCAAGCAUCCUAAUAAACGAUGAAGAUUAUCCAUGGUUACGGCGCAAUAAGCAAACGACACAAGCGAAGAAAAAGUGAAGACUUUCUCUCUACAACUAUUAUGAUGAUGCCUUUGAUCUAGAAUAUCACUGCAAUUACAUGUGAAGAAAUGAAAUGCAUGUUGUAACAAACGAGUUUCCGUGUGAAAUGAUGAUACCAUGCCAAUUUGCAACCUUAUCGGAGUUCAUUUGAAAUGGUUUUCAAUUUCCGGGUCUUAUAGCUCAAAAAAGCAGUAAAUGCAUGAAAAAUAACAAAUGAAGUCAGAAAGGGUUGAAAAUUGAUGAUGUUGCUUUGAAUGGUGCAUUUUGAACACACAAGAAGUCUGGAGUUCAAAUAAGUUCGAAAAAAUGAAAUCCCUUUGUAACAGAUGAGCUUUCGUGCGAAACCCUGAUACUUCGAAAGAGAUUGUCCGUUUUGUACACAAAGUGCAUCUAGUUUUUGCCGUAACCCUCUCAACUUUCUUGCACAUGCUAUGUGGGUGAAAUGAUGAUAGCAUGCCAAUUUUCAACCUUUUCGGUGUUCAUUUGAAAUGCUUUUCAAUUUUCGGGUCUUAUAGCUCAAAAAAGCAGUAAAUGCAUGAAAAAUAAUAAAAUGCAUAAAACUAUAAUAUUUGUUAUGAUCACUAAAAAACUAAAAUCAAUUAAAAUAUUAAAUAGCAGGAAAAAGAAUCACUCAAAAAUCUAUUUUUAUAGUAAAUUUAUUCAUAAAACUAGUGAUUCACAUACAUUUAAAAAAAAUCAAAUUUUAAAACUAAUGGCACUAACAGAAAGUUUAUAAUUUUGUGACCCAAAAGCAAAAAGAAAUCACUAAAAAACUAUAAAAUUUAGUUUUAAGUAGAAAUAAAAAAAUAAAAAGAAAAAAAGGAAAAAAAAUGCCACCUACUGGACCUCCUCGGCCUAAAUACGACUAGAAACCCUACAAUGGGCCAGGAUUCAGGCCCGCAGAAGGCCCAAUAGGCCCAACAGGCAUGGCAAAGUAGAGAUUAGGCCCGUAAGCCUGCAAUAGAGAGGAGCUCGAGAGGGUGGCGGCAGCAAAGCUUAUAAACCACCCCGAGCCCCUCUCAACUAGCGAGGUGGGACUAAACAUCCCACCGCACCGUGCCAGCACAAGGCCUAUGGUCCCGGUUCAUGCCACCAACCGGUACCAUAGGCGGGCAUUCGUACCGGUUCGUGGCACCAACCAGUACCAAUGCCCACCUACGGUCCCGGUCCGUGCCACCAACCGGGACCAUGGGCCUCUGUUUCCCGCCCUUGGGGCUGCCGAAAAGAGACCUUUGGACCCUGUUGGUGGCACGAACCGGGACCAUAGGUAGGCAUUGGUACCGGUUGGUGCCAUGAACCGGUACCAUUGGUUUUGCUAUAUAAGGUAGCACUUGUGAAAAUUUCGCCAACUGCUCCCCCAUUCCCCCCGACGCCGCCAGGCCGUUCCUCGUCGUCGUCGCCGUCGCCGCCCCGAGCCCCUGCCCCGACGNNNNNNNNNNNNNNNNNNNNNNNNNNNNNNNNNNNNNNNNNNNNNNNNNNNNNNNNNNNNNNNNNNNNNNNNNNNNNNNNNNNNNNNNNNNNNNNNNNNNNNNNNNNNNNNNNNNNNNNNNNNNNNNNNNNNNNNNNNNNNNNNNNNNNNNNNNNNNNNNNNNNNNNNNNNNNNNNNNNNNNNNNNNNNNNNNNNNNNNNNNNNNNNNNNNNNNNNNNNNNNNNNNNNNNNNNNNNNNNNNNNNNNNNNNNNNNNNNNNNNNNCCCGACGACGUCGCCGCGCCCUUGACCCGCCGUUGACGUCGUCCUCACCGUCGCCGUCGUCGUCACCGCCCCCGAGCCGCUCCUCCCAGAGCCCUCGCUGUGCGCGUACCCCUCCCCCAAGAGCCCACCGUCCUCGUCGCCGUCAUCGUCACCGGCCUCGUCGUCGUCCUCGUCACCGGCCUCGUCGUUGUCCGGCCUUGAGCCCCCAGUGAGCCCCUUCCAAUCCCGAUCCGUGCACUGCCGCAGCUGCCGCCGCCCCCCCGCGCCGCGCCGCCGCCCCUGUUUUUUAUAUGUAUGUAUGUAUGUAUCUAUGUAUAUGGAUGUAUGUAUGUACGGAUGGAUGGAUAUGCAUGUAUAUGGAUGGAUGUAUGUGUAUGUGUUCAUAGUUUUUUUUUGUUCAUAGUUUUUUGUUGAUAGCAUUUUUAGGCUGUAUAGUUUUAUUUUUGUUCAAUUUUUAUGGUUAGAAGAGGAGAGGAAAAAAUUGUGUUGCUAAAGUUACAUUUAAGGUUAGUUGAUUUAGUUCAUUUUAGGUUAUUAGUUCUACUGUUAGUGCAUUUAAGGUUAGUUUAUUUUUAGUUGAACUAGUUGAUUUAAUAAAACUAAUUUAUUUUACUAUACAUAUAAGUAGUUUAUUUUUAGUAAGUACUACUUUAUUUUAUUUAUAGUAAGUGCUUAGUAGUUGAACUAGUUGAUUUAAUAAAACUACUUUAUUUUACUAUAGAAGUAGUUUAGUUUUAGCAAGAAAAUUAAUAGAAUUAGUUUAUUUUUUAGUUCAAGCAAUUAUUCCCGCAUCGACAUCGACGAUGCCUAUCCCGCAUCCUCGUCGUCGACUCGGCGGAGGAGGCCGACUUGAUCAGAGGGGCCAUGUCCGGGACUGGGCUCCGCCGGGCUGGUAUUGGGAGGUGCUACCUUCCGGGGGGCGUAGGUUGGUGAGGAGCCAGCCCGUCGUUGACCCGAUCCUUGUUUGGUGGCGGUCGCGUGGGCCAGUGACUGUAUCGAGGCUUCCGGACACCGCGGAGGUGGUACGUCACCAUGUCAGCGAGGAGGACGAGCACGCCCGUCGCUACAUGGUUGCGUUGGAGGGCAGGUUCGACAAUACCUGGCAGCUUCUUCAGGGAUCUCAUUGGAGCUAUGAUCAUGUGAUGGUUCCUUCUCUUUGGGCAUCCACCGCCCGCGCCGAUACCCGUCGGGCGCUACGGUUCUAGCUGUACUAGCGAUGCUAUAUGUAUGAUAGUAUUCGAGGUGUAUUAGUGAUAAUAUUCGACGAUGUACGGACGCAAGAGAUGAUGUAGUUUUGCUUAUAAUUGAAUGCAUCCUAAUUUGAAUACUACUUUAUUUUGCGAUCUGAUUUUGCUUAUUGAAUGCUCAAAUUGGAAAACUACUCCUACUUUGAAUGCUAAAAUUAGAGAGCACUAUGCAAGGCGUAUGCAUAUGAUUAGUUGAUAGCUUAUAGUGUUUUUGUUUUCGCAAAAAUAUAGGAGCCCCCAACCAUCAUCCCCGCCGUCGUCCCCGUCACUGACCCCCUCCGACGUCGAGGUGAGACCAGCCAAAUCUCCAUGUCAAUAUGAGUCCUAUAAUAUGAGUCCUCGGGUCGACUUUAAGUCUGUCGAGUCUCCACCAUAUAUGAAAGGACGAAGAAUCAUGACUGUUGUCGUGGGGGUAGCUUCUCCUUCGUUCCCGUGAUGAAUAAUAAUGAUCUAACUUAGGUUUUUAGUACAUAUAUUUAAUUGUAGAUGUUUAAUAUUUGAAUUAUGAACAUAGGAAAUGUCGUACUCAGACUACGAAAGUCUCCCGGGGGAGUGCGACUGGUGCCACGACGACCGAGGUUAGUGCGACCGGCCUCACCUGGACGAAGAUCAGCGCUUCAGCAUUAAGCUGGAGGAGACCUUCGAUGUUGAAACGGUACGCAACGACGACAAGUGUUAUUUUUUCGUAAUUAAGCACGACUUCAAGUAUUUCAACGUGUACUUCUUAUCUUUUACAAUUCGACUAGCUUAUCCCAUGCCAUGCAAGACGCUAUGUCUUGGAGAGGAUGGGUUUUGAAGACCAGGAAAGUUUCGAAACAAAGAAAAUUCAUCUAAGGACCCAUCAUGGUGUGGAUUUUGAAGUAAAGCGGUACAAUUCUGAGAGCGUAACCCAUUUUGGUUGCAAAAAAUGAGAAGCACUUUGCAAGAUGUAUGGUUUUGAUGAGGGUAUGCUUGUCACCAUUGAUCUUGGUGACCCUGAAAUCGAGCAAGACAAUAUGGACAUUUGGGUCCUUGUUGAUACGCCUCCAAUUCUACCGCUAUGUGAGUUUCUCAAACAUAGUUAUUAGCUAAUUUAUAUUGUUUAUUUCAAAAUAGUUGACAACUUAUUUCCAUUGACAGCUUAUUUUGAUUGUUCAAACAAUGUGCGGAACAUGGUAGACAAAACCCACUACACCGAUGGCUCCGAAUUAACUUAUCAGGAGAAAAAUCAUCUGGUCUGAUUUUGUACUGAUAUUGAGAAUUACAAUAUCUAGAAUCAAACUCCUCAACAUUAUUGUCAAUACGUGCCACUAGUGCACGUGUUGAACUACAGUAACUACCAUGGAGAUACCCUGGUAAGAUUUUUUACUAUUACGACAUCCGUGCAUCUUUUGCAUACUUCUAAAACUAGUACAUCAUUGCUAACUAUGAAGUUAUUACUAUGUUUUUCAACAGAGAAUCCCAGAGGAUUGUGUGCCUCAUUUGAUGUAGCAGAAUGGCAGCCUUCGUGUUUUGAACAUAUAUCCAAGUCAUCCAACGAAUCUCAACUGUCCAUACCGGAUUUAUCAAUGAAGUGGAGACAUGCUAAUCAAAAAAUGGAAAAAAUGUAUGGACAGUCGUAAGGAGGUUCUUGGAAGCAAAAGGAAGCGAAGCGUAAGAAUUGGAGACAGGAUGAUCUCCAUUCUCCAUAAUGGAGAGUCAGGGUCUAUAUUGUUUUAUGCUAUUUUACCUUAAAGAGGGUAUUUAGGUCCUACCUAAUACUGAUGAUCAUGUGCUAAGAACAAUUAAGUAGGGCUGGUUCGAUGACUAUGAGGAUGAUGAUCGUAUGACUUGUUAUUAAUAACGAGUAGAAGUUGUAUGAUGAUGAUUAGUAGGACUUGUUAUUAUAUAAGAUGAUGCAUGAUGCGAGCAUGAAGAGUUAUUAUAUAUCAGCGGGUGAAAUGAACAUGGAUUGGAUUGAAGUGAAGGCAACAUGCAUGUGGUGCAUGUCGAAAGUACUACAAUCCAAACUUGAUCAAAGUUAGGAUUAGUAUUACUUUCGACAUGCACCACAUGUUGCCUUCACUUCAAUCUAAGCCAUGUUUAGGCAUAGCAGUAGCGUUGGUAAACCAAGCACGGAGAUAUAAGAGAGGACACUUCUCUCUAUUAUAUUAGCUAGCUAAUAACAACCUAAAUUAACCCCCAAAACCCCUAAAUCAGCCCCUUUAAAAAAACAAAAAGCUCAACUCCAGCCAGCUGCUGACGCGUGGAUGCCUUUUGGUCCCGGUUGGUGUCACCAACCGGGACCAAAGGCCCCCCUGCCUGGGCUGGCCGUAGUGGCCACGUGGAGGCCCAUCUGUCUCGGUUCGUGUAAGAGCCGAGACUAAAGGCCAAGGGCAUUAGUAACGACCUUUUAGUCCCGGUUCCUAAACCGGGACAGAAGGCUCUUACGAACCGGGACAAAUGGCCCUUUUUCUACUAGUGCCGCUCUAAACGCGGCCGCUCGAACUGUUGAGCUUGACUCGAGUCAGAAUCGAGAGCGUUGCCGAUUGCGGAAGGCUAUGUUGCCGUUCUCGACGCGGCCGCUUGAGCUAUUGAGCGGACUCGAAACAGAGUAAGGGCGUUGCCAAUAGCGGAAGGGCCCCUUUGCGUGCAUGUUUUCCAUACAUAGGGCAGGACCUUCGAGUACAAUAACCUUCUAUAUAAAAAGAUAUUGCUUAAAGUUUCACACGACUUAGCUUUUCUGUCAUUGCACGGGCGUCCACCGCAUCUGCAGAUGGUGCCGUCAAGCUUGGUCGUCUUCUAUCUUGGAACGACGGCCACGAUGAAGCCGCUGCUCCGAUCAGACCAAAUUUCCACAACUGCGCCCCCUACCUAGCGCGCCAAAGAUGUCGGGGGAAAUCGACACCUAUGGAAUCACAGGGAUCCCUUCUACGGUUGGCGGGCGCGGGGUUGUGCAAAGAGCAGGUCUGACAGGAAGCACGCAGAUCGUUUACCCAGGUUCGGGCCGCGGAGAUGCGUAAUACCCUAGUCCUGCUAUGGUGGAUGUAUUCGAGUGUUCUUGUGUUCUUGAACUAGCUACGGGGUGUAACUUGCCCAGAAGAUCCGAAUCCCUGUCCUGGAUGCCUCGGGCCUCCUUUUAUAGACAAAAGGGGUUGCCACACUGGCACACAGGAGGUGGAAAGGUGUACAGUGGAUGAGUCUAUCCUCUGGCACCGUUGGACGAACACAUUUAAUGCGCUGCCAACGUGACCCUCUCGCUUUAUCGGGGACGGUCAAGGAAGCUCGUCCCAGCUGUCGCCGCCUCGCCUGGCUUCGACACGCGUCCGAGCUGACGAGGCGUCGUGGCGCCACAUUGGCUGGCUGCUGGGCUGGCGCGGUGGUGGAGCCUUCACGAAGGUCUGCAUGCCACCACGCAGGUGCUUGCUGUGUCGGUGUAGAGGCCGCUCGUCGCCACGCAGGUGCCUGCCCAGCUGGUUGGGCUAGCAGCUGCACGGGGACGGCGGUGGAGUCUUGGCAGGCGCGGGCCUGGCUGUGGCCCCGCUGAUGCCCUUGGCAAGGGUCUUGCCGGGGGCCCGGCAAGGGUCUUGCCGUGGUGCCGCGGUCGUCCCCGGCAAGGCGCUUGCCGGGGGUCUCGUGGAUUUCCUCGGCAAGGACCUCGCCGAGGAUCAUCGUCUUCUGGUCCUCAUCUGAUCUUGUGUAUUUAUGAUCUUCACAAAGAUCAGCAUGCCACCACGGAGGUGCCUCCCGAGCCUUGGUCCCAAUGUGGUUGAUGGCGUUGGAACCCUUGGGCUCAAUGGAGGCGCGCUUCGUUGGCGUCAGGCAAGUUGCCCCGGCAAGGCUCUCGCCGGGGCUGAGGAGGCCGUCCCGGCAAGGGUCUUGCCGGGGGAGUCCACCUCGCCCUCUUGCCCUUUGUGUCUCUGGUCUUGGCAUUGCCAUGGCUGUCUUGUGCUCCGGCUUCCCUCCUCUGCCCUGCUAAGUGUGGCCGUGGGCGCGGCUCUGACUACCAGUGCACAAGUAAAGGGGUCAAAAGGAGAGCCCCUAGUUUUAUACACCGACAUGUAUCCUCCCAGAAUCUCGUAGAAGUACCGUUACUGAUCACAAGCUUUGUCUGAUUGAAAAAAAUGGAUUUAACUCUCAUCAGUCCUUUCCAAAAGGGCUAGUCCAUUGGCCUCACUGUGACCUGGGAUAAAGUUCUGGAAUGAAGGUACUUAUUACGCAGUAUUUGUGCCCAUGUAGCCCCCGUCUCGCUAGAUAGCUUAUACAGCCAUUUGCUGAGAAGACAUAUGUUCUUCACCUUAAGAUUUUUGAUACCUAGACCCCCUUGGUCUUUGGGUCGACAAAUAAUAUCCCAUUUAGCGAGUAUACUUUCUCUUCAGAUCAUCACUUUGCCAGAAGAAACGGGAUCGAUAGAAAUCUAGUCUUUUCCGAACUCCAACUGGUACCUCGAAAAAAGACAAGAGAAACAUGGGCAUGCUCGUGAGAACCGAAUUAAUAAGAAUUAAACGGCCUCCAUAUGACAUGAGUUUGCCAUUCCAGCAACUGAGUUUCUUCUCAAAUCGAUCCUCAGUGCACUUCCAUUCUCUCUUUGUUAGCUUACGAUGGUGAAUUGGUAUGCCCAAUUAAGUGAAAGGCAAAGCCCCCAAUUCGCAUCCGAACAAUUGCUUAUAUGCCUCUUGUUCCUCAUUGGCUCUUCCAAAAUUGUAUAAUUCGCUCUUGUGGAAAUUAAUUUUUAGUCCGGUCAAUUGUUCGAAUAAGCAUAACACCAGCUUCAUAUUUCUCGUUUUUGCCAAGUCAUGGUCCAUGAAGAUGAUAGUAUCAUCGGCGUACUGUAGGACAGACACACCUCCAUCCACUAGAUGAGGUACCACAGGAGAGCACCUGCGAUAAUUAUAUCAUGCCACACGAGUACAAAGGAUGAAGCAUCUUAGACGUUUGGAAUAGAUUUGGGCAUCACAUACGAUUUAUUUUUCCAAAAAGGUAUGCAUGAUUGGGCUCUAUCUGUAGGAGAUAUGCCCUAGAGGCAGUAAUAACAGUUAUUUUGUAUCUCCAAGUUUGUAAUGAAUGUUUAUGAUCCAUGCUAUAACUGCAAUGAUUCUCGAGUCUACAAUAUCCACGAGGCUCGGAGGGAACUCAUAUGCACGUGUGGUAUUAUAAACGGUAAAAUAUAUUCCUAGUCUUGCCUCUAAGACUAGCUCAAGUAUUGCAUGAUGAUCCUGUUUCCUGAUCAUGGGCAUGACUAUGCCGGCAAUUUUGAGGGCACAAGUUUGGUAGAACGCUUGUGUUGAAUCAACCCGGAUUGAUGUUGUGCUAUGAGAUGCCUUCGUCACAAGUUUAUGGUUAAUAUCAUUGAGAUAGUUAAUGUUUGCAUAAUUCCUUAGACCAUGAGAGUAUCAAGUUCCUUCGUGCUUGCUUCGUGAACUUUGGGGUUUGUUAAACGUCAUCCGUAACUUGGUGGCUAUUAUGGCAGCUUUCGGGUUCACGGAAAAGUAUAGGAAGUAACAAGAUAGCUCAAGAUUGGGAUUUGCUCCUCCGACGAUGGAGAGAUAUACUCGGGCCCUCUCAGUGUAACGGUAUCCAUCAUCGUCUGGCCAGACACAUUGUGAUUUGAUCACUGGGAUGCCGGAACACGGAAACGAGAAAAGAGAACAAAACCGGUAACGAGGUAACUUGCAUGGUGGACAAAUUGUUCGUCCAUGGGCAUGCAAUAAAUCUCACCUCGGGUGUUUGUGACAUAUCGCGAAGCAACAGGAAUAGCUCACUACAACUAGAGGUUCACUCGAAUAUUCAUUCGUGUGGGUAUAGGGGUCAAUAUGGGUGUCCACGGCUCCGAUGUUGAUCAUUGAUCGGAAGGGGUUCCAGGUCAUGUCUAUACUUCACCGAACCUAUAGGGUCACACGCUUAGGGGUCAUCUAUCUGUUGAAUACUAGACAGGGAGUCUGAGAGAAAAUCACCGAAAAAGUUUCGGACACCGAAAAGUUUCGGACAGCGGAAUCGUACCGCAGAGAGAGGUCAUCGGAUAAGUUUCGAUGAUACCGAAAAGUUGUUUCGGGAUACACCAUUAAGUCAAAUUGGUUUCGGCACAUGCCUGAUAAUUCUUGGAGGAUGCCAGAAUCAUUCUGGAAGCUUUUUGGAAUUUUCUGACAUAAAAACCGGAAAUGUUCCGGAGCUGCCGGAGCCACUUCAGAUGCGUUUCGCAGAUGAAAAUCACUAAAACCGGAAUUGUUUCGGAACGCGUUGAAAAACAUUUUAGUGGGUACUGGAAAUGUUCUUAGCCCACAUAAAUAUUUUCAGUUCGAUCAGACGCUGAAAAAUGUCGUCGUGAAUAGUGAAAAUCAGCUUUAUGGUUACUUUAUGGAAAGCCACCUUUUGGGGCUUUGCUCCAAAAGAUCUUGGGGAUGACAUGGAUGGAUAGGACCCAUUUUUUGGGCCCCUCAUGGGGGUGUGGCCGGCCACAUGGGGUAUCCCCCCUUGGGGACCCUUUUGUUCAUUGGUUUCACUUCUAGGUCCUUGUGGAAGGACUUCAUUCAUGUGCAUUUUGGGUUUUUGUGUGAAACUACCCUACCCCUUGGGAUUUCCUAUAAAUAGAGGUGGAGGGGCAGCCCUCCACACUCAUCCCUUGCUCUCAUACACAUGCCAUGCAUUAUCUGGCUUCUUCUCUCCCUCCCACGAAAAGAGUUUCGUAGAGCCGUAAGGCUGUCUGGGUUCCGGCAGGAACUAGUUCUGGACGGCGAAGCCCUGCCGGAUAGCUGACACCGUAUGUGUGCAACCCCGUAGAGAGAUUGUAGUUUCGAUCUUUUGCCCGAGGGGCUGUUCGAGUGUCCUCCCGAAGGGCUGUCCGAGUCUCCGUCCGAGUUUCGAGGGUCCUCCCGAAGGGCUGUCCGCGACAUUGUCCGGGGGACUGUCCGACCGCCUCCCGAAGGGCUGUCCGGAGAGGGAGUACAUCCUCGCGGUUGGGAGGUUGUAAAUCCUAGCUGCGGGGAUCUGCACCGACGAUCUACACCGACUCUUCUUCCGCUGCGCUUCGAGUCGGUACGGAUCAGAUCAAACCUUGUAUGCAGUCUCCAUAGUGGUCCUGGGCGUGCUCGCUAUACCGAAAAUUUUCGUUUUCUGUCGCGUUCCCCUACAGUGGCAUCAAGAGCCGUGCUAUGCGUAGAUGCAGGUUACGAUCUAGAAUACAUGGAGAUGUAUGGGUAUUGCAUAAUAUAAUUUUGGAGUAGAUGAGAUGUAUUGCUGAAAAUUAUUUAUGCGGGUGACAGAUGAAAUCUGUUACCCGACGUUCUUGUUGCUUCCCUAGAAUUUGCGUUUGCUCAAUCUCGAGACAGGAUGGUGGAAUUUGACAAAGUUCUGGCAAUCCGUGAUCCUGAUUGAUCAUGGAAGUGCUAUCAGUUCUUUGGGUUCUGCCAUAGUCAAAAGAAAGAUGAAAUUCGCAGAUGAAAGGGCAUUGCAGAUAUGAUCUGCACGGGGGUCAUGCGUAUGACGAAGUUUAGUAUGGGGCUCGAGAUUUAAUUAUCUCGUGUUUCAUACACCCCGAGAUGUUAAUCUAGCAACUUGAAUAAUCAUACUUGAUGAUAAAACGUUGGUAGCUGCGGUUUAAGUCAAAACCUUAGAAGCCACGUAAAAUAAAAUUUUGCAUAAACCGAUUAGAGGCGUCUAACUUGGUUUUGCAGGAUGUGCAUGUGAUGUGGUAUAGCAAUGCUCAUAUUCAAUUUGAUUAUGUAUGAGAUGACUAUAUGAUGUAACUAACAUGACCUGCGUGUCAUGAUUCUGCAUGAUGGCUGGAGCCAUAUGAUUGCACUUUAAUGACCUGCGUGUCAACCUUAAGUAAUGCACUUAUUUUAUUAGCUAUAGAGAUAGCAAUAUUAUCUGGUGCAUCGACAAGGUGGUGGCAAUCUUCGCGAAGGUGAACACCGACGCAAAUGCCGAAGACGAAGAAUUGAAAGACUUCUCCGUCAGAAAGGGCUAUACCAUAUCAUGCUAAUUAUGAAUUGCCUGAGAUGUUUAUCCCCUAUGAUGCACCCUUCUUGAUUGCGCGGUAGUCGCUUUUAUUAGGGUGAUCUCUCACUUAAAAAUAUCAAGUAGAUAGUGUUCUCCCAAGUGUAGCACCGUCACGGCACCUAUCGUUUCGGGGUGCGCCGUGUCACACGGGUACGAACGAUUAGAGAAGUGUGAGGCGGGUGAGUUGAGACCUCGCAGCGAGAUCACUUGGUUGUCUUGACGUUCAGGCAUGACCGUCAUGAGCUCGGAACACACGCAUCGAAAGAUGAACAAGAGUCACAUAGUGAUGUGAUUGGCAAGUUGGCCUACCGGUUAAGAUUUUCGUCAUCAGUGGUGUUACACCAAUGGCGAACAAUCAAGACACGGAUCUUGAAUCACUCAUAAUCAAUUUUGAGAGAUAUUGAUUUGAGUGGGAGUGCAUUUUAGAAUAAAAUGUUUAUUCACUAGUGCAAAUUUCAUUAUAAACAAAGUCUAAGUGAAACUUGUGUCUUCGUUGUAGAUCAAAUGGCUCGCAACACCGCGUUCAACUUAGGCCCGAUGUUAGAGAAAGAGAAGUUAGCUACGACUGGAAACAACUAUGCGGACUGGGCCCGUAACCUGAGGAUUGUCCUCAGGAGCGCUAAGAAAUUGUACGUGCUUGAAACUGCUCUUCCAGCUAAACCGGCGGCAGAUGCACCGGUAGAUGAACAAAAUGUCUGGGCCACUAAGGAUGAUGAUCACAACUUAGUGCAGUGCCUCAUGCUAGCUUGCAUGAGUCCAGGGCUUCAAAAACGUUUUGAAUUCCAUAAAGCCCGUGAUAUGAUCCGGGAAUUGGAUGCUCUGUACAAGGAAACCGCAAAGUCUGAACGAUAUGAUAUCAUGAAGGCUUGGAUGGAUUGCAAGAUGGCUGAGGGUAGUUCAGUUGGCGAACACGUGGUCAAAAUGAUUGGCUAUUCUGAAAGGCUUAAAGCCCUAGAAUUUCCACUUCCACCUGGCCAUAUGAUGGACAUGUUGCUUUCUUCACUCCCCCCGUCUUACGACGGUUUUGUCAUGAACUACAACAUGACAGGGAUGGAGAAGACGCCGAAAGAAGUGCUCGCCAUGCUGAAAACUACAGAAGGAGGACUGCGGAAAAAUCGCAAGUAAGUGUUGCUUGUGAAUAAAACCGCCUGUUUCAAAAAGAAGAAAGGCAAGCCAAAGAAGGGCAAGGGCACCGGUAAGACCGGCUCCCAAAGCAACUCUAAGGGCGGAGCCAAGAAUGAAACUGAGUGCUUCUACUGCAAGGGCACAGGACACUGGAAGAGAAACUGCAAGAAGUAUCUGGAAGAUAAGAAGACCGGGAAAACCGGAAAAGGUAUAAUUGUUAUACAAGUUAAUGUCAUUGACGUUUUGCUUGCUAGCGAAAACUCUAAGUCUUGGGUAUUUGAUACCGGAUCGGUUGCUCACAUUUGCAACUCGAUACAGGGACUUCAGAAGGUGCGCAAGCUAGCAAAGAAUGAAGUCGUGAUGCGCGUCGGGAACGGCGCUGGGAUCGCCGCUCAAGCCGUCGGCAUUAUGCCUCUACGUCUCCCUUCAGGAUUUAUCUUAGAACUAAGUAACUGUUAUUUUGUUCCACUGUUGUGUAGAAACAUUAUCUCCGGAUCAUGUUUGGUACACGAUGGGUAUUCGUACAAGUCUGAGAACAAUGGUUGUUCACUUUAUUGUAAGGAUAUGUUUUAUGGAUUUGCACCCAUUGUUGGGGGCCUUUUCAUACUAAAUCUUGAAUGUGGAAGUGAUGUCUUUAACAUGAAUGCUAAACGCCUUAAGAAGGCUGAUACCACCACCACUUUCAUGUGGCACUGUCGCCUUGGCCACAUCGGUAAGAAACGCAUGCAAAGACUCCAUAAAGAUGGAGUUUUACCGUCCCUUGAUUUUGAAUCAUUUGACACAUGUGAAGCUUGCCUGAUGGGGAAAAUGACCAAGACGCCGUUCACGGGUCAUCCUGAACGGGCGGGUGAAUUAUUGGAAAUAAUACAUAGUGAUGUAUGUGGUCCAAUGAACACAGGCGCACGGGGUGGAUAUUUUUACUUCGUGACUUUUACUGAUGAUUUGAGUAGGUAUGGCUAUAUCUACUUAAUGAAGCAUAAAUCGGAAACCUUUGAAAAGUUCAAAGAAUUUCAGAAUGAGGUAGAAAAUCAUCGUAACAAAAAGAUUAAGUUUCUGCGGUCUGAUCGCGGAGGCGAAUAUCUUAGUCAUGAGUUUGGCCAACAUCUGAGUGAUCGUGGAAUCGUUUCACAGCUUACGCCUCCCGGAACUCCACAGAGAAAUGGAGUAUCGGAACGACGUAACCGAACCUUGUUGGACAUGGUAAGGUCAAUGAUGUCUCUUACAAAUCUUCCAAUAUCUUUUUGGGGUCACGCACUACUUACUGCUGCUCACACACUAAACAAAGCACCGUCUAAAUCUGUUGAGACGACGCCACAUGAGAUGUGGCACGGGAAGAAACCCGACCUGUCGUUUUUCAAAAUUUGGGGUUGUGAAGCUUAUGUAAAACGUUUACAGCCAAGCAAGCUUGAUCCCAGAUCAGACAAAUGUUACUUUGUAGGUUAUCCCAAGGAGACAGUUGGGUAUUCUUUCUACCACGCCUCCGAGAAUAAAGUGUUUGUUGCAAAACAUGGAGUCUUUCUUGAGAAAGAGUUUCUCACUAAAGAAGUGAGUGGGAGGACAAUACAACUCAAUGAGAUUAGUGAAUCUUCGGGAACCGUUGAUAUGGCUAAGGAACCGGAAGAAAUUCCGCUAAUUAUCCCUACAACCGAGCCGGAAGUUGUCGCAUGUGAUGCGGAGACUUCAGACAAUGUUGUAACUGAACCGCGCAGAUCAGGUAGGGCUAUCCAGCCACCUGAGUGGUUUCAUAACGAAAUCUUCAUUCUUGAAGACGAUGAACCUGCGCACUACAAGGAAGCGAUGGCGGGGCCCAGCUCAAAAGAAUGGCACAAAGCCAUGAGAUCCGAAAUGGAAUCCAUGUACGAAAACCAAGUUUGGAACUUGGAAGAACUUCCAGAAGGCAUAAAGCCCAUUGGUUGUAAAAUGGAUUUUCAAAAGAAAGACGGACGCGGAUGGUAACAUUACUAUCCACAAAGCUAGACUUGUCGCGAAAGGGUUCACACAAGUUCCAGGAGUGGACUACGACGAGACUUUCUCGCCAGUAGCUAUGCUUAGGUCUGUUCGGAUAUUGCUAGCAAUUGCUGCUUAUUUCGACUAUGAAAUAUGGCAGAUGGAUGUCAAAACGGCUUUCCUAAAUGGAAACCUCAAAGAGGAUGUAUACAUGAUACAGCCAGAAGGUUUUGUCAUUCAUGAGGAUGCUGGAAAGGUAUGCAAACUUCAGAAAGCCAUUUAUGGUCUGAAGCAAGCAUCAAGGAGCUGGAACAUUCGUUUUGAUGAAGUGGUCAAAGAGUUUGGCUUCAUCAUGAAUGAUGAAGAAUCUUGUGUUUACAAGAAGUUUAGUGGGAGCGCAAAAGCAUUUCUAAUCUUGUAUGUGGAUGACAUAUUGUUGAUUGGAAAUGACGUGAAUUUUCUUAGCGAAAUAAAAGACUCAUUGAAGAAAAGUUUUUCAAUGAAAGACUUAGGCGAAGCGGCAUAUGUAUUAGGCAUCAGGAUCUAUAGAGAUAGAUCAAAACGCCUGAUAGCGCUUAGCCAAAGCACGUACAUUGACAAGGUGUUGAAAAGGUUCAACAUGGAGAACUCCAAGAAAGGCCUACUCCCCAUGUCACCUGGCACAGUGCUUUGCAAGAAUCAGAGUCCUCGGACUCUGGAUGAGCGAGUACAAAUGAAUGAUGUUCCAUAUGCCUCGGCAGUUGGUUCUAUUAUGUAUGCCAUGCUAUGUACAAGACCAGAUGUUUCCUAUGCGCUAAGUGUUAGCAGCCGGUACCAAAGUGAUCCAGGGUUGGAACACUGGGCCGCAGUCAAGGGUAUUCUUAAGUACCUCAGAAGGACCAAGGAUUUACUCCUUGUGUACGGAGGUGAUGAAGAGCUCAUUGUAAGUGGUUACAAUGAUGCAGGCUUCAUGACUGACCCAGAUGACUUCAAAUCUCAAUCAGGCUACGUUUUCAUAUUGAACGGCGGCGCAGUUGAUUGGAAAAGUUCCAAACAAAAGACUGUGGCGGAUUCUACGACGGAGGCGGAAUAUGUUGCUGCUUCAGAAGCCUCCAAGGAGGCGGUAUGGAUCAAACAAUUUCUUGAAGACCUUGGUGUGGUUCGUAGUGCCCAGGACCCGGUGGAGAUCUAUUGUGAUAAUAGUGGCGCCGUGGCUCAGGCAAGGGAGCCAAGUUCGAACCAUAAGACAAGACAUAUUCAACGCAAAUAUAAACUCAUUCGACAUCAUGUCGAAGAGGGUUUAGUGAAAGUACGCAAAGUUCACACGGAUCUGAACGUGUCAGACCCGAUGACAAAGCCUCUACCACGAGCAAAACAUGAGCAACACCGGAUAGCCAUUGGUGUUAGGGAAGCCAUGUAACUGGAUUAUGACUCUAGUGCAAGUGGGAGUCUGUAGGAGAUAUGCCCUAGAGGCAGUAAUAACAGUUAUUUUGUAUCUCCAAGUUUGUAAUGAACGUUUAUGAUCCAUGCUAUAACUGCAAUGAUUCUCGAGUCUACAAUAUCCACGAGGCUCGGAGGGAACUCAUAUGCACGUGUGGUAUUAUAAACGGUAAAAUAUAUUCCUAGUCUUGCCUCUAAGACUAGCUCAAGUAUUGCAUGAUGAUCCUGUUUCCUGAUUAUGGGCAUGACUAUGCCGGCAAUUUUGAGGGCACAAGUUUGGUAGAACGCUUGUGUUGAAUCAACCCGGAUUGAUGUUGUGCUAUGAGAUACCUUCGUCACAAGUUUAUGGUUAAUAUCAUUGAGAUAGUUAAUGUUUGCAUAAUUCCUUAGACCAUGAGAGUAUCAAGUUCCUUCGUGCUUGCUUCGUGAACUUUGGGGUUUGUUAAACGUCAUCCGUAACUGGGUGGCUAUUACGGCAGCUUUCGGGUUCACGGAAAAGUAUAGGAAGUAACAAGAUAGCUCAAGAUUGGGAUUUGCUCCUCCGACGAUGGAGAGAUAUACUCGGGCCCUCUCGGUGUAACGGUAUCCAUCAUCGUCUGGCCAGACACAUUGUGAUUUGAUCACUAGGAUGCCGGAACACGGAAACGAGAAAAGAGAACAAAACCGGUAACGAGGUAACUUGCAUGGUGGACAAAUUGUUCGUCCAUGGGCAUGCAAUAAAUCUCACCUCGGGUGUUUGUGACAUAUCGCGAAGCAACAGGAAUAGCUCACUGCAACUGGAGGUUCACUCGAAUAUUCAUUCGUGUGGGUAUAGGGGUCAAUAUGGGUGUCCACGGCUCCGAUGUUGAUAAUUGAUCGGAAGGGGUUCCAGGUCAUGUCUAUACUUCACCGAACCUAUAGGGUCACACGCUUAGGGGUCAUCUAUCUGUUGAAUACUAGACAGGGAGUCUGAGAGAAAAUCACCGAAAAAGUUUCGGACACCGAAAAGUUUCGGACAGCGGAAUCGUACCGCAGAGAGAGGUCAUCGGAUAAGUUUCGAUGAUACCGAAAAGUUGUUUCGGGAUACACCAUUAAGUCAAAUUGGUUUCGGCACAUGCCUGAUAAUUCUUGGAGGAUGCCAGAAUCAUUCUGGAAGCUUUUUGGAAUUUUCUGACAUAAAAACCGGAAAUGUUCCGGAGCUGCCGGAGCCACUUCAGAUGCGUUUCGCAGAUGAAAAUCACUAAAACCGGAAUUGUUUCGGAACGCGUUGAAAAACAUUUUAGUGGGUACUGGAAAUGUUCUUAGCCCACAUAAAUAUUUUCAGUUCGAUCAGACGCUGAAAAAUGUCGUCGUGAAUAGUGAAAAUCAGCUUUAUGGUUACUUUAUGGAAAGCCACCUUUUGGGGCUUUGCUCCAAAAGAUCUUGGGGAUGACAUGGAUGGAUAGGACCCAUUUUUUGGGCCCCUCAUGGGGGUGUGGCCGGCCACAUGGGGUAUCCCCCCUUGGGGACCCUUUUGUUCAUUGGUUUCACUUCUAGGUCCUUGUGGAAGGACUUCAUUCAUGUGCAUUUUGGGUUUUUGUGUGAAACUACCCUACCCCUUGGGAUUUCCUAUAAAUAGAGGUGGAGGGGCAGCCCUCCACACUCAUCCCUUGCUCUCAUACACAUGCCAUGCAUUAUCUGGCUUCUUCUCUCCCUCCCACGAAAAGAGUUUUGUAGAGCCGUAAGGCUGUCUGGGUUCCGGCAGGAACUAGUUCUGGACGGCGAAGCCCUGCCGGAUAGCUGAAACCGUAUGUGUGCAACCCCGUAGAGAGAUUGUAGUUUCGACCUUUUGCCCGAGGGGCUGUUCGAGUGUCCUCCCGAAGGGCUGUCCGAGUCUCCGUCCGAGUUUCGAGGGUCCUCCCGAAGGGCUGUCCGCGACAUUGUCCGGGGGACUGUCCGACCGCCUCCCGAAGGGCUGUCCGGAGAGGGAGUACAUCCUCGCGGUUGGGAGGUUGUAAAUCCUAGCUGCGGGGAUCUGCACCGACGAUCUACACCGAUUCUUCUUCCGCUGCGCUUCGAGUCGGUACGGAUCAGAUCAAACCUUGUAUGCAGUCUCCAUAGUGGUCCUGGGCGUGCUCGCUAUACCGAAAAUUUUCGUUUUCUGUCGCGUUCCCCUACACUAUCGCAGCCGGUUAACUUGCGUUGUGUGUGAUGGACACCCUUUUCGCACACCUUCACACAGCGAUGCAUCAAAGGUACGUGAGCAAAAGGGGUUUUUAACCGUUUGUGUUGGACUUGCGUGCACUAGUGUGACAUGCGUUACUUAACCUAGCUUUUGUUUAGUUUAGUUAAAUUUCAAGUAGUUUUUUAUGUAACUUGUUAAAUUUUAUCAUAUAUGCAUAUAUGUAAUAUAUCGUACUAGGUUUAUUUUCAUUCGUAAUUCAUUUGAAAUGUGUUCCGAACCGGGGGGUGGUAGUUAAAUGCAGAAAAAACACCACAAUAGCCAUCUCAUUAGCAAAAACAACCACUUUACAAUUUGUGGCAAAAAGGACGACACGCAACAACGGACAGUGGCAAAAGAGCCGGUCGGGACCGGCUCUUUCAAAAUGUGGGGUCCCACUCACCCACUCACUCUCUCACUCACCAGCUCUCGCUCACACUCGACGCCGGUGCCGCUCCUGCUUGACGCUGCCACACAAUGCAUUCAUGGAAUGACGAAGAGGAGAGCAGCAAGGAUGCCCUCAAGUACAGCAGCAUGGAUAUGGAUUUGUGGGUAAGUUUCAGCGCUCAAUAACUAGACGUUUGGAUUAGGGUUAGUGUUUGGAUUUGGGGAUUUAGGGUUUGUGCUCGUUUCCAGCCUUAUUGAAAGGAUUUGUUAGUUAAUUUAGAUAUUGUCAAUGCAGGAGAACCCUGAGACCAUUGUGAAUUCAUUUUACUAUGGGACAGUGGCAUUUUCGGCCAUCAAAUCCAAGCUUUACCAGGCAAGAGCCAAAAAAUCUGUUGGUUUUGGUGACAGACACUAGGAGGAAACUUUAUGGCUGCACUGCACAAGUACUCCCUCCGUCCUAUAUUAAUUGAGCUAAAAUGGAUGUAUCUAGUACAUAUGGAUACUUUCAUUUCAACAACAAUUAAUAUGGGACGGGGCAGUAAUUUUAACUUGCCUUGCUGUUUCACCACUUUGCUCUGUAGCUGUUUGAUUUCGCUGUGUAGUUAUCUAUGUAGUGACGAGUCAUCUGAACUUAGUUGUAUCUUGUUCAUUUUGACUGGAUUAAACUUAGUCUUGCUGCUAUUAAAGGUUAGUCUGUAAUUUAGUAAAUCGAAAUUUAACUGAAUUUUGUUGUUCAAGUUCAGUAUGUAGUUUAGUGAAUCAGAAUUUAACGGAAUAUUGUUUUUCAAGUCCAGUCUGUAGCUUGCUGAAUAUGUAUUGUACUGAUUGUUGUUACUCAAGUUCAGUAUGUAGUUAAGUCAAUCUAAAUUGUAGUGUCAUCAUGUAGUAAAAUAGGUAGUAUAUGUGAAAGAAAUAGGCUUGAUUUAUUGUUGUGUAGUUUUGGAAACAAUAAAUUUUGAGAUACUUUUGUCUGUCUGAACAAUAUGUCACUAGUAGAAAACAGGGCUUUGGUUCGGCUAGAAAAGAGCAUUAAUCCCGGUUGCAUUACGAACCGGGACUAAUGUGAGCAUUAGUCCCGGUUCGAGUGGCUAGGGCACCGUACAAGCAUUAGUCCCGGUUCAAAUGGGACCUUUAGUCCCGGUUGGUGCCACGAACCGGGACUAAAGGGUGCGAUGCCCAUUAGUACCGGUUCGUGGCACCAACCGGUACUAAAGGUUAGACCUUUAGUCCCGGUUCGAGCCACCAACCGGUACUAAUGGGGUUUGAGGCAUUAGUACCUGUUCAUGGCACGAACCGGUACUAAAGGUCCCAUUGUCAAACUCUACCCCCACCCUGGAUCGCCUUUUCAGUUUUGUAAAAAGCAAAGAAAAUGAUAAAAACUUCAAAAAUUAAAAUCCUUCCAGAUGUAUAGUUAUGUUACUACAUGUACUAGUUAGGAAAAUUUAAAAACUUAAAUUUGGACAUGUUUUGCAAAAAGUGUAGGAAAAAUGUAAAACGGCUAUAACUUUUGCAUACGAUGUUAGAAAAAAAGUAUAAUAUAUCAAAAUGUUCAGCACGAAAAUCCGAAUCCGAUUUUGACCGCAUAUGACCCGUUUGCAAAUGUUUAGAAUCCUCAAAUUCUAAAAGGAAAAAAAGUUAUGCUCAAAUUUCUGUUUUUUUUAAUUUUUGUUAAAUCUGGUCAAACUACUUAUUCAAGAAGUAUUAAUGUUACUAAAUAAAUAUUCAAGAAUAUUAGUGUUACUAAAUAAUUAUUUCAGUUUUUUUGAAUUUUCGUCAAAUCUGGUCAAACUAUGGUCAAACUAAUUAUUCAAGAAAUAUUAGUGUUACUAAAUAAUUAUUUCGGUUGUUUUGAAUUUUGGUCAAAUCUGGUCAAACUGUGGUCAAACUGUGGUCGAACUAUGGUCAAACUACUUAUUCAAGAAAUAUUAGUGUUACUAAAUAAUUAUUGUUUUUUAGAACAAUAGUUUCAAACUCAAACAGUGAAAUGUGUGACUUCAUGCUCAAGCUAAGUUCCUGGGGGUUAAUAGGAUUGACAUCUUACUAUUGUCAGGAAAACAACAAGUGCAGACUUGGAAACGAGGGAGAAUAGAACCCGGAAGUUAAGCGUGCUCAGGCUGGAGUAGUGAGAGGAUGGGUGACCGUCCGGGAAGUUAGAUGAUUUGGAAUGAUGAGGGGUGAUUAGGGGUGACAAGUUUUUGAUUACUUGUCCGGUAAGUAUACGAAUUAGAAACCGAGUCGGUUUGGGAUUGUGGUCGCGACACAAUACCGCCUCUGGUCCUAAUAUAUAUACAGCUACCGGCUGCGGCCAGAGACACACCGAAAAACACCUAGGGUUUUGCCUCAUCUCACAACCUGCGCCGCCAUUGUAGUCUACUCCAUCCCAAACGCCGGCGUGCAUCGACGCGUGGGAGAGCAGGUCUCCGGAACCGUUCGUCUUUGCGAUCCUGCACCGGGAGAGGACGAAUUAGGUUUAUGGGAAGCGUUGUGCGCGACUGCUCAAAUUCGUCAUCACGGGUCGUCUUCCGUCCAAGUCGGGCGGUGCUACUCAUCGUCGUAUUCAUCGCCGUCAGCAGCAGAUCGUCACCAACAUCGUCAUCAACACUGUCACACCCUUAAUAGCUAACGAUCAGUACGUCCGACAUCCUCUGUUCAUGUCUGCUUCUACAGCUAUUGUUACGUGUUUGCUGCUGUUAUGCAUGUCUUGCUGUUCUUCUAGUUUGCUAGAUUAUUGCAUGCUAGUAUCUCUUCUAGUCAUGAAUUAUUUACUGGAAUCAAUCAUGAACUUGCCUAAUAUUCCAACAAUCCAAAAACCUAAUUAUAGGCAAUUUCCUGAGUUAACUAUGGCUGGAUUCGCUGAUGCACUGAGGCCGGAUAAGUUUACCGGUGUGCACUUUAAGAGGUGGCAGUUGAAGACCACGCUCUGGCUUACUGGUCUGAAAGUUUUCCACGCUAGUGUUGGUGCUCCAGAGGGAAUGACCGACGAAGAUCGGAGAAAAUUCCAGGAAGCCAAUACUAUGUUUGUGGGAUGCAUUCUGAGUGUUCUUGCUGACUGUCUGUGUGAUGUGUACAUGCACAUAAAUGACGGAAAGAUUCUGUGGGAUGCACUGAAUGCAAAAUUCGGUGCAACAGAUGCAGGCAGUGAACUGUACAUCAUGGAGAGUUUUCAUGACUACAAGAUGGUGAAUAACCGUUCUGUGGUUGAACAAGCUCAUGAGAUACAGUGCAUUGUGAAGGAACUUGAACUCCUUAAAUGUGUUCUACCUGACAAAUUCGUGGCUGGGCGCAUGAUUGCAAAGUUGCCUCCUUCAUGGAGGAAUUUCGCCACAACUCUGAAGCAUAAGAGACAGGAGAUAUCAGUUGAAAAUCUGAUUGCAUCUCUUGAUGUUGAAGAAAAAGCUCGGGCUAAAGAUACUACUGAAAAAGGAGGUGAGGUUCAGCCUACUGCUAACAUGGUGCAGAGGUACCCACAGAACAAGAACAAAGGGAAGAACAAACCUGUUUUCAACAAGCCUACCAAGACUACUACCUUCAAGAAGAAGAAGUUCAACAAGGCUGAGCUAGAGUGCUACGCCUGUGGGAAGCCUGGACACUUUUCCAAGGAAUGCCCUGAACAUGCAGACCGCAGAGGGAAAAUAAGCUCCAAGACUGUCAACAUGGUGACCGCUAGCAAUACUGAUGGGUAUGGUAAUUUACCUAUUGUGCUUUCAGUAUUUCAAUCAUCUUCGUGGUGGAUUGAUUCGGGUGCUAACGUUCAUGUGUGUGCUGACAUCUCCCUAUUUACUUCUUAUCAGGUCGCAAGGGAUUCUUCCGUCCUAAUGGGGAAUGGGUCACAUGCUUCGGGAAAGAUCGUGCAACUAAGGAACGUGCAGCAUGUCCCUACUAUGAACAAGAAUCUAGUUAGCGUCUCCCUUCUAUGUCGAGAUGGAUUUAAGGUAGUUUUAGAGUCCAAUAAAGUAAUCGUGUCAAGAUUUGGACAAUUUAUAGGAAAAGGCUACGAGUGUGGAGGCUUGUUCCGCUUUUCUCUUUCAGAUUUUUGCAAUAAGUCAAUAAACCAAAUUUGUGCUAGUGAUAAUGAUGAUGCAAGUAUUUGGCACUCUCGUUUAUGUCAUAUUAAUUUUGGUUUAAUGUCUCGGCUAUCCAGCAUGAGUUUAAUUCCGAACUUCAGAGUUGCCAAAGGUUCUAAGUGCCAUAGUUGUGUGCAAUCUAUGCAACCUCGAAAGCCUCAUAAGGCCGCCGAGGAGAGAAACUUGGCACCUCAAGAACUCAUACAUUCUGAUCUUUGUGAGAUGAAUGGUGUGUUGACAAAAGGUGGAAAGAGAUAUUUCAUGACUUUGAUUGAUGAUGCGACUAGAUUUUGCUAUGUUUAUUUGUUGCAAACUAAAGAUGAAGCAUUAGACUACUUUAAAAUCUAUAAAGCUGAAGUUGAAAAUCAACUAGAGAGAAAGAUCAAGCGUCUUAGGUCCGAUCAUGGUGGAGAGUAUUUUCCAAAAGUUUUUGAUGAAUUUUGUGAGGAACAUGGUAUUAUUCAUGAGAGGACGCCUCCCUAUUCACCUCAAUCAAAUGGAGUGGCCGAGAGGAAAAACCGCACAUUGACUAACUUGGUGAAUGCCAUGUUAGACACUGCUGGUUUAUCUAAGGCAUGGUGGGGGGAGGCUCUAUUGACUUCAUGUCAUGUCCUGAAUAGAGUUCCCAACAAUAAUAAGGAGAAAACCCCUUAUGAGGAGUGGGUUGGGAGAAAACCAUCACUUUCUUAUUUGCGCACUUGGGGAUGUUUGGCAAAGGUCAAUAUUCCUAUUCCUAAGAAACGCAAACUUGGACCAAAGACAGUGGAUUGUGUCUUUCUAGGGUAUGCUCAACGGAGCAUUGCUUAUAGGGUUUUAGUGGUAAAAUCUGAAGUUCCUGAUAUGCAUGUUGAUACUAUAAUGGAAUCUCGUGAUGCAACAUUUUUUGAGAACAUAUUUCCUAUGAAAGAUAUGCAUAGCAUUGCUAGAUUUUCUUCUGAGAUAAUUCCUGUAUCUAGUACAACUGAUGAAUAUUUCGAACAAUCACAUGAGGAAGUCCUUGAGAAGGAUAACAAUGAAGUUCCUAGAAGGAACAAGAGACAAAGGAUUGCAAAAUCCUUUGGUGAUGAUUUCAUUGUAUACCUUGUGGACGACACACCCAAGACGAUUGCAGAAGCAUAUGCAUCUCCGGAUGUAGAUGAUUGGAAAGAAGCUGUUCAUAAUGAGAUGGACUCAAUUAUUUCUAAUGGAACUUGGGAACUAACUGAUAGACCAUAUGGUUGUAAACCUGUGGGCUGUAAGUGGGUGUUCAAAAAGAAGCUCAAGCCUGAUGGUACUAUUGAUAAGUACAAGGCGCGGCUAGUGGCCAAGGGCUACACUCAGAAAGAAGGCGAAGAUUACUUUGACACCUAUUCACCCGUUGCUAGAAUGACCACCAUUCGAGUGUUACUUUCCUUGGCUGCCUCUUAUGGUCUUAUCAUUCAUCAAAUGGAUGUAAAGACAGCUUUUCUCAAUGGAGAGUUGGAAGAGGAGAUCUAUAUGGAUCAGCCUGACGGGUUUGUGGUUAAGGGUGAAGAGAGAAAGGUGUGCAAGUUGUUAAAAUCUUUGUAUGGUCUGAAACAGGCACCUAAGCAAUGGCAUGAGAAGUUUGAAAGAACUCUGACUUCUGCAGGAUUUGUCAUUAACGAGGCUGAUAGGUGUGUUUACUAUCGCCAUGGUGGGGGCAAUAGUGUCAUAUUAUGUUUGUAUGUGGACGACAUACUGAUCUUUGGUACAAACAUUAAUGCAAUUAAUGAGGUCAAGUCUUUUCUAUCAAAAAGUUUUGACAUGAAAGAUCUGGGAGAAGCCGAUGUAAUUCUAAACAUCAAACUUAUUAAGGAUGAGAGUGGGAUUACAUUAACGCAAUCUCACUAUGUUGAGAAGGUCUUGAACCGAUUCGGUUUUAUGGAUAGCAAGCCUUCUCCAACACCUUAUGAUCCCAGCGUGACACUCAGAAAGAACAAGAAAGAAACGAGAGAUCAAUUAAGAUACUCUCAAAUUGUCGGUUCACUCAUGUACUUAGCUAGCGCUACAAGACCAGAUAUCUCUUUUGCUGUGAGCAAACUGAGUAGGUUCAUGUCCAACCCGGGUGAUGAUCAUUGGCAUGCACUAGAAAGGGUCUUACGCUAUCUGAGAGGUACUAUGAGUUACGGAAUUACUUAUUCAGGGCAUCCUGCUGUGCUAGAAGGAUAUAGUGAUUCAAAUUGGAUCUCCGAUGUUGAUGUACUUUACGCAACAAGUGGGUAUGUAUUUACUCAUGGUGGUGGCGCAGUGUCAUGGAGGUCUUGCAAGCAAACCAUAUUGACGAGGUCAACUAUGGAAGCAGAAUUAACUGCUUUGGACACAGCUACUGUUGAGGCAGAAUGGCUGCGUGAGCUCUUGAUGGACUUGCCGAUUGUUGAAAAACCUGUACCGGCUAUUCUUAUGAAUUGUGAUAACCAAACGGUUAUCGCUAAAGUGAACAAUUCUAAAGAUAAUGCAAAGUCAUCAAGACACGUGAAAAGACGUUUGAAGUCUGUCAGGAAGUUGAGAAACUCCGGAGUAAUAACUGUUACAUAUAUACAAACAGACAAAAACCUGGCAGAUCCCUUUACAAAGGGACUAUCACGAAAUGUGAUAGAUAUUGCAUCGAGGGAGAUGGGUAUGAGACCCAUAGAUGUUACACCAUAGUACUAACCCAACCUUUGUGAUCGGAGAUCCCGUGAAUUAGGAUCUGGGAAGAACAAGCUAUUGGUUAACUGAGGAGAGUAAUAACUUAUGAUCGUCUCCAAGUGAAGAUGCAAAACUCUCAGAGCUGUAAAGCUCAGAUCUGUAAGGCAGGUUGGCAACAUGCCUUAAUGUGGUUCUAUUGGCUAUAAUUAGCAAAGAUGCUGUCCUACAGAGCAGUCUUGAAAGAACACACCUAUAUGAGUUCUGACUGUAAACGUCGCAGUCUAUGAGAUUUGGGUGAUCUCUAGUAAGCUCACGAAGAGACAAGGGAGUAUGACGUAUAAGCUCCAAACCGCGGGGUAGCCUACUGACGUAUAAGCUUCCUUUUGCCGUUUUAUUUUUAUGUCUUGGCAUACAAGUUUUUUAUUACUUGUCCGGUAAGUAUACGAAUUAGAAACCGAGUCGGUUUGGGAUUGUGGUCGCGACACAAUACCGCCUCUGGUCCUAAUAUAUAUACAGCUACCGGCUGCGGCCAGAGACACACCGAAAAACACCUAGGGUUUUGCCUCAUCUCACAACUUGCGCCGCCAUCGUAGUCUACUCCAUCCCAACGCCGGCGUGCAUCGGCGCGUGGGAGAGCAGGUCUCCGGAACCGUUCGUCUUUGCGAUCCUGCACCGGGAGAGGACGAAUUAGGUUUUUGGGAAGCGCUGUGCGCGACUGCUCAAAUUCGUCAUCACGGGUCGUCUUCCGUCCAAGUCGGGCGGUGCUACUCAUCGUCGUAUUCAUCGCCGUCAGCAGCAGAUCAUCGCCAAUAUCGUCAUCAACACUGUCGCACCCAUAUAGCUAACGAUCAUUACGUCCGACAUCCUCUGUUCAUGUCUGCUUCUACAGCUAUUGUUACGUGUUUGUUGUUGUUAUGCAUGUCUUGCUGUUCUUCUAGUUUGCUAGAUUAUUGCAUGCUAGUAUCUCUUCUAGUCAUGAAUUAUUUACUGGAAUUAAUCAUGAACUUGCCUAAUAUUCCCACAGACGCAAUAAUUGUUUUCGGGAUUUUGAAUAAAUCAGAAAAUGAUUUGUUUAAUUCCGAAAAUACUCCAAAAUUUGGAAAAUCAUGGAAAAUAAUCUGUAACUCAGAUGGAGAUAAUUUAUAUAUGAAAAAUUAUCAGGAAAAUAUGAAGAAUCUAUUUAUAGCAUUUUCAUGUAUGUUUGAACAAGUUAAGUUUUCUGUAUAAGACAAUUUGAAUAAAUGUCAUUUUAAAUUCUUAUGUGGAGUUUGAAUUUGAACCUUUGGUUCAAACCAACUUUAUUUAAAUUGUUGCUAGUUGCAUUAGUCCAAACACCAGCAUGCCAUGUCAUGAUCAUGCAUCAUACUGCUGCAUUGCAUUGAUUGUGUUCCCUCUCUGUUGCCGGUGUUUGUUCCUUCUCGAUAGAAGACGAUUCGGACGUUGUGAUCAUUGACACCGAUGAAGAGCUACUAUCUUCAAAGUGUCAGGCAAGCAAAUCCCCUUUGAGCAUUCUGAUACAAUCCCACUCUCUAACUCUUGCUCUCUUUUACUGCAUUAGGACAACAAUGAUUCAACUGUUACAUGUUGUGGUAGUUGAACCCAUUCCUCUGCAUGAUCUGUCUUUGCCACAGUAAAUAGUAAAACCCACUAGCAUGAGUAGGAGUAUUUUGAGCCAUGAUGUGCCUACUCAUUCAUGCUUGCUUGUUAUACCUGCUAUGCUUAGAGUUGUGUCAGGUUUGAUUCAUCUGGGUUGGCUUGGAAUGGUGAUGAACAUGUCCUACUGCUGAGCUCUAAGUGUGUGAACACGAUUUGGUAAAGGUAGCGAUGAGAGGCAAUGUAGGAGUACAUGGUGGGUUGUCUCGUUGAAAUCGUCCUUAGGAACUGAGUUCCGUGUUUGUGAUCCAAGACAGUUACUACCACACAUCGGGUUUCGAUAACUUGACCCCUCUCGACUUACUAAUCGCCUUGAUCUCUAUCUAGGAGUUGUAACUAGUUUCUGGUGUUUGUAGGAUGUGCUGGGGGCUGUACCUAGCGCUGACCGGAGGGGUAGGCUUUGUUACGGUAGGCACCAUGGCACGGUGUAUCAAGCGCAGUACUAUUGGUCGAGGUGGACAUGGGAAUCCUGCACACAUCGUUUGACGCCGUGAUGGAAACUUCGGCCGAACAUCCGUUACGGGUCAGUUCUCAGAUAGGCGAUAAACCUAGACUAGAGUCUUGCGUGGUUAGUCAGGUUGUGGCUGACACCCUCGCUAGGCUUCCGCUUGAAGGUUUCCGAGAUACAUGACGUGUAUAUGGUGUUAAGUGGUGAGAGCGUGUGUGAAGAAAUACACCCCUGCAGGGUAAUAUAAUCUAUUCGGAUAGCCGCGUCCUCGGAUAUGGACUACUUGGAAAGCUUGUAUGGUCCAUAGAUAACCUGAAGUGGAUACUCUAAAUGCGCAAAAUAAGUGUGAGUGCUAUGGAUGGCCUUCUCAUGGGGAGACGGGAGCGGAUCCAUAGUGGUGUAUUGAUAUGGUGAAUAUGUGGACUCACGUGCGCUUUCUCACCUCAAAGAAGUUAUUGGUAGUCAUAGUACAUGAAAGCCACUGAGUCAAAGCUGGCUUGCUGUAGUUAAACUCCACAACCCCAUUGUUGAUACUGAUGCAUAAGUAGAUAGUUCUGAUGUAAGUCUUGCUGAGUACAUUUGUACUCACGUUUGCUUAAUUGAUGUUUUUGCAGAGGAGAUUUCAAUCUCGCUAGUAGUUUCACAUGGGCUUUGACGGUUAGCUUGGGAAUCCCAGACAGAGGUAUGGCUCCUAUGGAGGGUAUUGUAGACAGACAUGCUUCCUAGCCUUCUUUCUUUUCAGCUGUCUAUAUUCAGACAGGUUUAUGCUUCCGCUUGUUGCUUGUAUGACUUUGUAUGUUGGGUCAUGAGACCAAUGUUCGUAAUAUCAUGUUAUGUGUGGCUCUUCAGAGCCUCUUAAAUAAAUACUUGAGUCGUAGAGUUAUAUUGUGACGACAUGUUGUAUCCACACAUAUUUGCAUGUUCUACAUACAUAUGAUGUGUGUUGCAAUGUGUUGGGUCACGAUAAAUCUUCUAUUGGAUUGCUUGAAUCUUUUGAUCUUUUGGUCCAACAAAAUUAUACUGUAAUAAUUAGGUCCAACAGAACAAAUCAGAAAACUUUGCUUGUACCAGACAUGGUUAGGUCCAAUAGAACAAAUGAAUCAUCUCUUCUUGGAGGAUUGUUUAAUUUAUCUUAGAUGUACCAAAAAUGAUCAUUGUGUUGGUCACCAGGAAGCAUCACAAGAUAAUUUAACAUCCAACAUGAAAGAACAUAGAUCUCAAUUCAAACAUCAUGCAAUAACUAACAGACUUCUCAAGUGUAAAUGGAAUCAUCACCACUAUAGCAGCUAUAUUUUGAACACCACGGAAACUCCAAUUUGAAACUGCAUCCUCAUUAAUAGAAACUGGAAAUUAGCUUGUCUAGUUCCAGUUUGAUUUGUUCAUCAACUAAAGAGUUAUAGUUUAAAUGACAAAUUUCACAUCCAAACUACAUAUCACAUCACAAAUUUAGGGUAAUUCAUACAUAGUAUAAAUAUAGGUAGCAUAGUACAGAAGAUCAGUUCCCAUCAAUCAAAUAUAGCAAUAGUCUUUGCAACAAAAUAUAUAAUAUAGACUUUCUUCUUGAGCUCAGCCACUUAGAUCAAUGACAUCAUCCUCUUCAAAAUUCCCUUUGAUAUUUUUCGGCUUGCCCUUGUGAAUUUCCCCAAUUUUAAGAAGCUCAGCUAUGACAUACUCUACCUUCUUAAUAUCUUUCCGGAUAACAUCCAUGUCCUUCAUCAUAGUCUCGAGCUCAUAUAUGUCCUUCUUCAGAACAUCCCUCUUCUUCAUCACAUCAUCCGAAGGGAAAGCUAGCUCCUUCCUAUCCUUUUUUAGGUCAAGGGUCUCCCUCAUGAUCAGAACCAUCUCCUUCUUGAGCCCAUCUUUGUCCACUUUCAGCUUAUCAUUAUCCUUCCUAGUGUUCUUGGUCACUUCUCGCUGAACAACAUGAAUGGCCUUGAGAUCACUGAUUACAUACUGCUUGUUCUCUAGCUGCUUCUGCAGGUCUAUAGAGUCCUCUGACAUCAUUUUUGGUAAUUCUCUUGCCACACCUUUUGGCAUUGCCUGACCCAGUGCUUGUUCCCAUCACUAGCAAACUCAGUGAAUUGGAAGUCCAACUACUUAAUCUUAUCUUUGAGAUUGAGCACUUCCUCUGCAGGAUCAAGCCCUUCCUGGGUUCUAGCAACCAUACACUUUUCAUAUUUUUUCCAGAGCAUGUGAAGUGCCUUUUUCAGGGCUUCGGGCCAGUCCUUCACUACUAGGGAAAACCUUAUACACAGAGGUAUAGCAGUAGCGCUGGUCAAAACAUGGCGCUAUUGCUACUUAUUAGUUGCGCUUGUUACAAAAGCACGCUACAACCAUUGUUGUAGCAGUAGCGCGUCUGCCCGGAAAAGCGCUACUACUAUAAUUCCCUCGUUGGUGCCGGUAGGCUAGGAAUAGUAGUGGCGGUUCUUCCAGAAGCACGCUACUGCUAAAAACUUUGUAGCAGCGCAUUUAUGCUGUAGAGCGCUACUGCUAUGAAAAGGAAAAUAAAUAGAAAAAUAAGUAGAAAAGUAAAUGAAAAUGAAAGAAAUAGAAAAAGGAGAAAUGAAAAAAAGAAAAUGUAAAGAAAACAAAAGAAAAAGAAAAAGAAAACAGAAAGGAAUAGCUGUAGCGCGUUUCGCUGGAAAACGCUAUAGCUAACUUAGCUAUAGCGUGUUUCGGUAAAACGCACUACUGCUAGUUUGACUUAACCCCCAGCCGCGCGGGCUCAAAAUUUUGCUAAGUCCUUCCCCCUCCACUCCCCCCUCUCCCCCAACUGCUCCAUCGCCGUUGUCGCCCUGCCGCCUUCAACCACACCGCCGCCACCCAAGGCCGUCUUCGACCACACCGCCGCCGCCCGAGGCCGCCCUCGACUUCACCGCCGCCGCCCGAGCCAGAGCCUGCCCUCGCCGUCGACCGUAAAGCUCUGCCUCUCCUUUCCCCUACCCUCCUAUCUCUCUUUGCUAGGGUAAUUCAUAUAUAUGUUGACGUUGUGUUGAUGUUCAUAUGAACCCUAGGUGUUCAUAUGAACCCUAGAUUUGUUGAGGGCAGUAGGCAUUUUUUGGCAUUUAGGAAAAAUGAUUGGCAAUUUUUUUAGGAAAUUAGCUAGGGAAAUUUUUUAUGAAAAUGCCUAAACAGUAAUUCCAUUUAGCUUUCAAUUAAUAGAGGGUAUGUAAAUAAUAGUAGCAUUUUGAUUAGAUUAAUAGACGCUAUAAACAAAAAACACUUAGAUAUAAAAAUUUAUUUGGACUAUGGACUUGAAUCUGUUCCAAAUUUCAUUCAAAUGAAAUUUGAAUUAUUUGGACUAUGGACCUGAAUCUGUUCCAAAUUUCAUUCAAAUGAAAUUUGAAUUAUUUGGACUAUGGACCUGAAUAUUUCUGAAGAAAUUGGGUGUAGGUACUAAGCUCUUGCUGCGGAAUUUUUGGUGAGGUCAGAAGGGUUAGAGAAAAUGGAGUUCCUAGACUUUUAGCUUUAGACAAAAAACAAAAGUAUUUAGCUAUAAAUAAAAAACAGUAGCUAUGGCAUUUAGCUAUAAACAAAAAACAGAAUUGUUUUUCUUUUCAAAAACUUGGUUAAACUAAUCGUUGCUAUGUAAACAAAAAACAAGAUUUUUGUUAUAUCAUAUAUGUCAUUGAUGUUCAUUUGCACAUUCCAUUAUUGUUGAUUAUAUCUUUUCAUUGAAGUGGCUAUGUUAUAUGCAAAUUCCUCAAUAGUGUUUGCUCAUGUUAUAUCUUUUCAUUGAAGUGGUUCGAUUGUGCCCAAAGUGGCUUCGUUGUUUCCAGGGAAUGAAGCCGAGUGGCCUAUGUUUUUCCGGAAUGUUGAUUCGUUUCCGUUCCGGCAAAUUUCAGGCUCUCGAUUUGUCCACUUUUUAGCAAAAGUCAUGCCGAAAUUUUCCGUGAAUUUCGGCAUGACUUGUGCUACAAACUAGGACAUAUCGAGUGCCCGGGAUUUGCCGCACAGGGAAGGAGUCAACGUUCCUGCAGAGCAUAGACCUUUUUUUAUGUCAUUAUUCAUUUUAUUAGGUCUAGAAUUAAUUGACUAAAUUUAAUCGUAGGAAACAUGGCUAGCAACGAUGAAGGACAGGGUUCUGGUGACUGCGACAACGUCUACCUGGCAGCAGAAGAAUUUUUUAUGGAAGAUGACGAUCAAGAGUUGAUGUUGCUGGGUCCACCUGUCACAUCAGAGAUUGAGACCGACAUCGAGACCGGCGCUGAGAUAGAGACUGGCACUGAGAGUGAGACCGGCAUCGAGACCGGCACUGAGACUGAGACCGGCGCCGAGACCGGCGCCGAGACUAGCGGAGCCGGUAUAGACCCGAAAGCAAAGAGGCAACUGCUUCCUAACAAGCUCAGGUCUAAUAGACUGGUGGUCACGGAGGUGGACGACGGCAAUUUUGAACCAAACGCGCCCUAGGAAGCGCGCGCGUGCUACGACAAUCAAAUAGGAUGCAUCAUACGGACAACCGCCACCAUCAAAGAUGAGAAACUAAAGAAGAUAGAUAAUAUGAGGCCCUCCCUCCUAAAGAAGUUGCACCUGAUAUUCUUGUUCCCGGGCCGGAAUGAAAAGGAUUAUAAAGAUCCAGAUAAGGACCUGGCAAUGAAGAAGAAAAACAAACACGUCAUGACCAAGUUUAGCGACGCGUUGGCCGCCUGGAAAUCAAGGGUGAAAUAUCGGAUCGUUGACAAAAAGGAACCCUACUCCGAGAUUGUAAAGGAUAAUCCGACAACCAUGGUAGAGCACUUUCAAAUAUUCAAGGCAGCUUGCGAGGCCGAAGCUGCCAAAAAAUAGUCGAAGUACAUGAAGGGGCUUCAAUAGAGGAACAUUGGGUGCCCCCACCUCGGAAGUCGUGGUUACGGCAGGAAGAGGUCCAUAUGGGCCAUGGAGGACGCGGAAGCCGCGAGUCCGGGCAUCCCAGACCCCUUGGCGGAGUUCACCGUCCCGCAGGAGCGUGACAUCCUCAGGGCCCGGCACCGUUGGGAUCCAAUGAAGAAGGUUUUCGAGACGAACGCGGUCACGGCGGAGUUCAUGUGACUGCUGGCAAUUUUAGUUUCUGAUCAAUUCGACUGCACGUUAGUCAUAUUUAUAAACGAUCCUUGUGCCAUUUGCAGAGAGAGCAGCGCAGGAUUGCGGCCGAAAGCGACUCGCCGUCUGAGGCGUUGGCGAGGCCCAAGUGGGACACUCCAUUCAACCGGGCGUUGAACAUAUUGAAAGGACUCCCGGUGGAGACUCGACUGUCGUAUGGACGCGUGCACGGUGUCGGAGAUGGCGCCACGUGGAAGAAGUACUACCGUGAGACCACGGAGGAGAGAAAGGAAAGACGGAGGUUAACUGAAGAAAACAUUGACAAGAAGGUUGAGAUUGCGGUUGAGAAGAAAUCAUCUAAGACAGUCGCAAUAGCGGUAGCUGCCGCAAAACAGGUGCUUGUACAUAUGUCUACUACCUUGGUUCCGGCCGUUUUCAAUUGGAGCAGGCAAAAUCUAGAAAAAAAUGCAGCGGAGUUUCCCCUUGCUGACUUCUUUGGGAGCAGCUCGACUAGCGUUGCACCAGCACCUGCAGCUGCACAUGCUCCCGCACCGGCUCCCGCACCGGCUCGUGCACCUGCUCCCGCACCGGCUCCCGAACCUGCUCCAGCACCGGCUCCGGCACCGGACGUGCUCGGCGGUGCUUCGUCUUUGGCUGAGCUCGACGCCCUCACGGUGUCUGUCACACCGGCCCCCAUCAAUAAAUGUAUUAUCUCCCGUUUUCGUUGCCUUUCGGAUGUCUCACGUCACAGACUUUUCUUUGCAGGCCGACGAAACCCCGUGCACCAUAUUGUACACCAUCGGCGACAAGAAGGUGGACGUGGGGAAGGCGACGAUAAUGGAGCCGAAGGAACCAUUGUUCCACAGCGGCUGAUCCCCCAGGACGUCUUCAAGGUUUCCGUGGCCAGUGUCAAACCGGGCCACGAGAAUUUGACUCCUCUGGUACUAGUGGGGGAUGACAACGAGACCCCACGGCGGCUUGGUAAUUGUUGCAAUGGGUGGGUCCUGUUGUGGCCAAAGAGUCUGCUUCGUCUGGAGGUGGCCGGGAGCACACCCACGAGCACACAGUUAGGUAUGAACAUCAACACCUCACCUACCCAAUUAGCGUCGGCUGUCGUGCUAGGUGAUAGCGGAGGGGGUGAGGAAGAGGCUCCAUUAGUCACUGGUGAUGUCGCCAUAGAUGAGGAUGAGGAUGACGAUGACACUCAACAGUAUGUCAAUACUGGUGCCUACUUAGGGUUUGAGCGUCAUGAGUCGGUGCCUGAAUUGCCGCCUCCGAAGUCUGAACGUAUUAUGGACAACCUUCCGGUAGUAAAGAAGUCUAGGAAGAGACCGAGGAAAGGCAAAAAAGCUGCUUCUAUGAUCCAGCCGCCUCAGCAGCCUCGGGUUCAAGACUGUAUAGAUAUCCCCGGUGCGGCAAAAUGGCAUAUCCAUGGUCAACCAAUCCUACCUAAAGCAGCGCUAGGGGCUAGAUUCGGCGAUUUAAGGAGACUUCAUGACGAUGUGCUGCGGAUAGAGAAAUGGCUCAUCGCCUCAAAAAAUCCAGGAUACCCACUCUACAUGGUUAACGUGCCGCGGCAAUUCUCGUACGUCGACACAUUCCCCGCGGAGAAGUUCUUCCUUCGAUUCGAUUACAUCUUCGACAUGUUUCACUUAAAGAAACUGGAUUUUACGUUUGUCCGCCUUUAUGUCUUGCACAUGAACUACCUCAUCAGGGUUGAGCAGAUACCUCAUAUCUGUGUCGCUAGCCCGUACUUCAUGCAUGAGGGCUUCUUGGGAGUCUGCGCAGAGCACCGUGAAUAAGCAAGGGAAUACAUCGCCAAUUUCAUGCUCACCAUAAGGACAAGGAGGCGAUUCUCGUGCCUUAUCAUCCCCUGUAAGUCAUCUGCGCGGAUAUCCUUCCUUUGAUUUCAAUCAUUCAUUUGCACAGUGGAGGCUAAUUAAUUUGAGGUGUACUUAUUUUUCGCAGCGGCGGGCGCGCCGUCCUCAUCAUCCUCUACCCCCGAUACUCCCACGCUCUUUACUUGGACUCGUCGAAGAACAUUAACAAAAAGGAUUACACCCACAUGAAGUCUGUUCUCGACAGUGCUAUGUUUUACUACGGCGCACGGGGUGGAGAGGUCAAGGACAAGAAGAAAAGGGACGGCAGGCCCGCCUUUGGCCAUAAGACCGACUUCUGCUGCAUCCACCAACCGAGUUAUUCUCUUAAUGAUGGAUUCUAUGUCCUACACCACAUGCUGGAGUACAGACGGGAUCACCAGAACCUUCGCAUGUCACCUAGAUCCGGCGAUGCCCAUAUUCUGCAAUGGGCAAAGAACUUAGGAGAUAUCGAGGAUCAUCGACUUCGAGCUGAGUUCUAUCACAUCCAGCGCAAACUUGCCCAAAUCAUCAUGAAGGAGGUCGUCGAAAAAACAGGGAUUUUCUAUGAAGAAGGACAAAUGUCGCGGGAAGACGUCCGAACACGCGUAGCGGCUCAGCUUCUCGACCUGAAGCCUUUCACUAAGCUUGGGGACUAUCUCCCUGACUUGGAUGCAUGGCACGACAUGUUGGAGUGAUUGUCGAUAUAUGACAAUGUGUCUGUUUAGUCCAUACUAUCUGUAUCACGAAACUCUGAGUUAUGCAUGACGAAACUUUAUUUGUUAUGUAAUUAAACCGUCCUCCUCGACUAGUGAAGAUCACUCUAGUUAGGGCUUUUUGGGUACGAUGAAUUUUGUUAUAUAUGCUUAUGGUAUGUUGCUUCUAUUUUUGCCAAGUCUGUCUCUUUCUGUUGCUCAACUAUAUAUGUUGCAUAUCAUCGACUCAUGUGACGAUGCAGGUGUAUAGAUCAUCGAUGGCGAAGAAGUGCUACGCCAGGAGUAUACGACGAGUGGCCGGAAUGUCAGGCCCAGGUGUACCGGUUUCCGGUUUCCGAGCGACAGCCAGUAGUUAGUUUAGGUUCACGCUAAUGCGAGAGAGGGAUACGAACUCAUGUACUGCAUAGUUCCGCUCUCACUCAAAGUGAUAGCUCUUCUCGCGUAUAUCAUUGUUUAGAUGGAUGACGACGUAGUUGCAAGUAAUCGAGACUUGUAUCGCUAUUUUUGAGAUGAUGACGAGAGACCACUUGUUGUUGGAUGAUGAUUAUGAUGAUGGCAUGAUUUGAUGAGACUAUUUGUAUGUAUAUGCUAUGAUUACAUUUGUAUGUGUAUGAUAUGCUAAAGAUUAUUGUAUAAAGCCUAUUCAAAUACAAAACAAAUAUGCAUAAAAAAAUAAAAACUAAUAAAACUAGCAGUAGCGAGGGGAACAAAGUUAGCAGUAGCGCUCCCUUACCAGUAGCGCUUCGUGCUAAAAAGCGCUGCAGAUAUUAGCAGCAGCGCUCUGCACUAAAGCGCGCUACUGCUAGCCAUGUAUAGCAGUAGCAUGGGAUGACAGGUGCUACUGCUACACGUUAGCUGUAGCGCCUUAUCAGUAGCACGUCGUCCCGAGCUACUGAUAGGCAAAAUACCCGCGCUACUGCUAGGGUUUUCCGUAGUAGUGCUUGUCAACCCAAUGAAUAAAUCUACCGUUUCCUAGUUGCAAUAAGAAACAAUUAGCAUUUAAUUAAUGGACACACAUUAGUCAAUAUAUUUUGAAAUGAGCAAAGUAUAGCAUAACUAGAUGAAAACCAAAUAUAGCAUAAGUGAGCUAGAAUGUUCCACAAACACGACAUGUCACAACUAAGUUACAAUGUUCUACCAACACAGCUUAGCAGCCAAACAAAACAUAGCUAUAAGACAUCCAAAUAUAGCACAAUAUAGUUGAAUUGUUCCACAAAAGUUGUGCAUGGGAUAACUGAAAUAUACAAUGGGUAUUGUCACAGAACACUAACUCUAGUUUAUACCAUUUACAUAUACUUUUUCCAGACAACCAUCACUUACUGAACAAGCAUCCCAUCAUUAGAGUCUGAGAAGAAAUGCAGCCUUCUCAGGGCGUCGAGAUCUGGGCCGUUGGAUUAAGCUUUCAAAAGAAUUGCGACCAUCAGAUCUUCAGAUGGAUCGAUCCGGGCCGUCGGAUCAUAGCAAACACUGCUACAGUGAAUAGUGUUGUUUCUUUUUUAUUUUGGUCUAUUAUUACUAUCUCGCUGACUGAUGGGCCACGCGGUAAGUGGUCCAUUGCUGUUAGUGAGAGCAGAGCACUAAGCGGUCGGUGCUGGUUCGUACAGGCUCAGGGGUCAGGCCAACGCCUGUGAAAUUGGGUAGCCGCUGAGGGCAAAUUCAACAUUUCACGUCAUCGCCCCUGCGUGACGCUCCGUGGAUGGCUAGUCAGCAAGUAAUGGCGAGGGAGCGACCCAUUGGCUAGAAACCUAGCCGCCUCUUCCCCGUCGUGUUCCUAUCUGUGUCGUUUGAGCUGCGGUCGCCAUCGAGGACGUGUCACUCGCACCGCCACUUCCCUGUCGAGCUCAUGCGUCCACUAGCCACACCGUCUCUUUUCCAUGCCUGCUCAUCCUCCGUUCCUCUUCGAUCACCGAGCUCGCCGUCGCUAUCGUCGGGAGGAAGCGAUUGGUGGACCUAGCCCACCGCCAUCAACGGGUGGAGCGCAGGAACCCGCGAUGCCCCUCCAGCGACCAGCACUUAUCCCUCGCCCAGCGACGAGGCCCCAUCGAACUCGCGUGUGGUCGCAGCUGGGAAUCCUCCUGUCCGCUCCUUGCUCCCCGCCGAGAGCCUUGAUUGGAUCUGGAUCCUGAGCUCUCCGUGCCCGCAUCGCCCCACCAUUCAUGGUGCACCACCAGCACGAGCUGCACAUCAUCAUGUCGUCAGAGGGAGAGCGGGAGGAAGUUGGCGCUGUUUAUCCCCACGAGGUGUGCCGUCGACGGUAGGAAGCCAGGCAGGGCGACGGGGAAAUACCGACGUAGUUCAAGCCGCAUCAAAAGGAAUUUCUGGCGCAGUUGCCAGGGAGACAUCAUCAACAUCUAUGAGGUUCCUAAUCACAAAUCCCAUCUCCUUGCAAUUUACAUUAUUUGCCAUUUGCCUCUCGUUUUCAUCUCCCCCACUUCACAAAAAAUUGCCGUUUUAUUCGCCCUCUUUUUCGUUUGCCUUUUUCUGGUUCGAUCUUAUGUUUGUUUGUGUCUCCAUGUGCCUUCUAUUUUGCUUGCAUCUUUUCUUGCUAAAACCUAUUGUUAUGGAUCCACUCAAAGUUUUGUACCUGGAUCUUGUUCGACCCAUAUGUGCUCGUGCUGAAACCCCAACUAGUUUAGUUGAGGGAAAAUCAUUAGAUGAGCAUGCUCUUUUUGCCCGUCAUCGUUUGUCUGAAAAAGGGAAGCUCUUAUGGAAUCAAAUAAAUUGUUUGCUAUGAUAUGCUUGGAAUCAUUAUGAAAUUUGUGAUUUUACUUGUUGCUCUAAGAACCCCAAAAAACACUUCCCCUAUCUAUGUGAGUUUAAUGACAAUGAAGUCUUAUGUUCUUAUGCCAAGGAGGUUUAUAGUUACUAUGAUAUCGAACAAAUUGAACAAUUUGUUGCUUUUAAGGGUGCUUAGAAGUUGCUUAUUUGAUUGAAAAGUAUGAUAUUACUCUCUACAAAUCUGAAAAUUUUGACAUACUUAAAUAUUGCUAUGAAAACUAUGCUCAUAAUGCCUAUGUUAAAGAAUUUAUUGAGAGAAUGUCCUAUGCUUUGAAAGAAAAUAGUGAUAUGCAUGAAGCUAUGGAUAACCAUGAUUCCGUUGAUUUGAUUGAAUUAUCCCCUCUUGAUGAACACGUUGCUAGCUAUUCUUGUGGCCAUGAUGCCAAUAUUAAUGAUGCUUAUGAAGAUGAACUUGCUAUAGUUCUUUAUGUUAAACAUGAAAUUAUUGCUAUUGCACGCACGCUGGAUAGCUCCUUUAAUGAAAAGCAUGAUUGCAAUGAUAUUAUUAUAGAUUCUAUUAAUCUCAAGUUUGUUAGUGAUAUGCAAAACCCCAAGCUUGGGGAUGCUUGUUUUGUUAUGUCCGCUACUUAUUGCAAUGAUCAUGAUUGGGGUGAUGAUGACUUUUAUGAUCUUGAUAGUCUAUUUAAGCCUCAUGAUGAAUAUGUUUGCAAUAAUAUUAAAAGUGGGUUUGGAAGAGUGUCAAAUAUUGAUAAAAAUAAUCCCACAAAUUUGGAGAGUGUUCAAUCUUAUGAUUUUUUUAUAAAAGUGGGCUUGGAAAGGUCAUGACUUUAUUUUAUGGUAAUCCCACUAUUUUGGAAGAGUGUCAACUUUGCAUGCAUGUGGAUCAUGUAGAGAAUAUGUUAUGUGAUAUCUAUAUUAUUGAAUUUGAACAUGAUUCCACAUGUAAUUGUUAUGAGAGAGGGAAAUAUGGUUGUAGAAAUUUCUUGCUACUAAGUCACCUCUCGUUAUGUUGAAUUGUCAAAGUUUUAUUUGUUUCCUAUGUAUAUGCUAGAUAUUUCUUGUUUUGAUAAUUUGUUUGCCUGUAAAAUUCCUAUACAUAGGAAAUAUGUUAGACUUAAAUGUGUUUAUCACAUGUUUUAUGAUCCUCUCUUUGUGUUUCAAUUAUUAUCUUUCAUGUGAGCAUCAUUGAAAUCGCAAAGCCUAUCUUAAUGGCUAUAAAGAAAGAGCUUGUUGGGAGGCAACCCAACGAAUAAAUUUUAUGUUUGCCUUUUUGUUUCUGUACAAUUAUGCCUCUGUUAUGAUUAUGUUUUUUAUGUUUUAAUUAGUGUUUGUGCGAAGCAAAGCCUUUUAGGAUCAUGUUGGGUGAUAGUUGAUUUGAUCUUGCUGAAAAACAGAAAAUUAUGAGUCCAGUAACACAAUUAUUAAAAUUCACAGAAGCGUGAUAAAAUUCUGAUUUUUUUACAGAAGAUUAAUACAAAUAGCGUAUGUUGUCCUAAUUUUUCAGAAUUUUUGCAGUUACAUAAGUAUACGAAGUUUUCAGAUUGCUACAGACUAUUCUGUUUUUGACAGAUUAUAUUUUCUUUUUGUUGUGUGCUUAUUUUGAUGAAUAUAUGGACUUUAUUGGAGGGUAUAAGCUAUAGUAAAGUUCGAAUACAGUACAUAUAAUGCAAAAAUAAAAUAUGAAUGGGUUUGCAACAGUACUUAGACUAGUGAUUUGCUUUGUUAUACUAACGGAUCUCACGAUGGUUUUGUUGAGUUUUGUGUGAUUGAAGUUUUUCAAGUUUUGGGUGAGAUCACGAUGGAUGAAGGAAUAAGGAGUAUGAAGAGACUAAUCUCGGGGAGGCCCAUGGCACCCCAAGUUAUUAUCCAAAGAGGAACAAGCAAUUAAGAUUGGGGAUGCCCCCGAGUGGCAUCCCCUCUUUCUUCUAAUGACCAUCGGUAUUUUACUUGGAGCUAUAUUUUUAUUCGUCACAUAUCAUGAGUUUUGCUUGGAGCAUCUUGUAUUAUAUGAGUCUUUGCUUAUUUUGCUUUUUUAUUUUGUGUCAUCUAUCCUUGCUGGACACACCUAUUUGAGAGGGCCCAAAUUAUGCUAUGGAAUCUUUUUGCUUCACUUAAAUCUUUUUGAGCUAUGGAAUUGAUCUUUGUGCUUCACUUAAAUCUUUUUGAGCUAUGAAAUUGCUCUAGUGCUUCACUUAUAUCUUUUUGAGAACGGUGUGCUUUGGUAUUUUUGAAGAAAUGCUCUCAUACUUCACGUAGAUUUAUUUGAGAGUUAGUAAAUUUUUUAAGAAAUCCUCUCAUGCUUCACAUAAAUUAAUUUGAGAGAAGAAAUUUUUUAUGCUCGUGUUCUUCACUUAGAUUUGUUUGAGCUAUCAAAAGCAACAUAUGAAAUUAGUCCCAAAGUGAUAGAUAUUCAAGAGGGAUAUAAUAAAAACUUUCAUGAAGAUCGUUAGACAAAAUAAACUUGAUUCUUUGUAAUAGUUUUGCGGUAUGACGAUAUAAUAUGUGAGUCAUGUUGAUGAGUUAUUACGCUUUAGUGAGAAUAUUGAUGUUAAGGUUUGUGAUUCUCUAUGUAAGCACGAAAGUCAAUAGUUAUGCAAUGAAAUUACAUCCUACUUGUCGUGCAUUAUUCGGUGUUAGUUCUGCUUAAUUCUUGCUUAUGAGAUUUUUUGUUUCUUGGUUGGAUGCUUCUCAAUAUUUUGCUAGCCUUCAAUUGUACUAAGUGGGAUUACUACUUGUGCAUCCAAAAUCCUUGAACCCAGUUUUUGCCAUAUGAGUCCACUAUACCUACCUAUAUGCGGUAUUCAUUUGCCGUUCUAAGAAAAUUUGUAUGUGCCAUCUCUAAUCUUCAAAAUAACUUCCUUUUUGUGUGCUCGUACCGCUCAUGAAACGGUAGGGGGUGGCUGAUAUUUUUCCAUGCUAGAUGUGUUAUUCUCAAGAUGAGUGUUUAUUCACUUGUCACUGCACGAGAGUAUGGCAAAGUUAUUAGGGAUGCCCAGUCCUGAAAUGAAAAAUGAAUUUACUUUAUGUUGUCAAAUAAUAAACUCCUUGGAAAGUGUUGGUAUGGACGGUACCCGUGGAUUCGGUUCGCCGUGGAAUGUGAAAGUAUGGUGGAAAAAGGAAUAAACUUUAUUUUCUGUUUGGGAACCACCUAUGAUAUAUCUAGCAUGGAAAGUAUUGGGAACUACUCGAUCGUUUUCAUUGACAGGAAAGGCAUGCCACCCAAAAUGUCUUAUCUCUAUCUUUUUCCGCUUUUAGCUCUGGCACCUCUACAAAUCCCUACUUCCCUCUGCGAAGGGCCUGUCUAUUUACUUUAUGAAAUUUUUAUUUUUAUUUCAAGUCUCCAUCUUCUCUUACAAAGCACCAACUAAGGGGCACUACGAUCGUACCAUAGCAUUGGGUGUAGCUAAUAUGCGAGUGUGUUUCAUGAAUGGAUCAAUGAUUGAGCAUAAUGGGCUAGGGAUAAAUUGCUUUAGUGUUGAUAUUUUGAAAGACAUGGUUGCUUGUUGAUAUGCUUGAGUAUUGAAAUCUUCAUAUCAACACUAGACUAUUCCUUUGAAUCAUAUAAAAGUCCAAAUGUCCAUGCUACAAAAGAAAAAGAAUAUGUGAUGAACAUGAUAGGCAACAUUCCACAUCAAAAAUUCUAUUUUUAUCAUUUACCUACUCGAGGAGGAGCAGGAAUUAAGCUUGGGGAUGCUGAUACGUCUCCAACGCAUCUAUAAUUUUUCAUUGUCCCAUGUUGUUAUAUUAUCAUUUUUGGAUGUUUUACAAUCAUUUUAUAACAACUUUAUAUCUUUUUUGGGACUAGCCUAUUGACAUAGUGCCUAGUGCCAGUUGCUGUUUUUUGCUUGUUUUUACACUGCAGAAAAUCAAUACCAAAUGGAGUCCAAAUGCAGCGAAACAUUUUGCAGAAUUUAUUUGGACCAGAAGACACACGAUGGGCCAAUAGAGUACUAGAGGGGGGCUCCGAGGGAAGCACAACCCACCUGGGCGCGCCCUGGUGGGUUGUGCACACAUCGGCUCGCUAUCGUGCCGCCUCUUUGCUCCAUAAAUACCCCGAAAAUCCAAAAACCCUAGGAGUCGACGAACACAAUUCCAGCUGCCGCAAGUUCCACAAAGCACAGAUCCAAUCUAAACACUGAUACGUCUCCAAUGUAUCUAUAAGUUUUUAUUAUUCCACGCUAUUAUAUUAUCUGUUUUGGAUGUUUUAUAUGCAUUAAUAUGCUAUUUUAUAUUAUUUUUGGGACUAACCUAUUAACCUAGAACCCAGUGCUAGUUCCUGUUUUUUCUUGUUUUAGAGUUUCGCAGAAAAGGAAUAUCAAACAGAGUCCAAACGGAAUGAAACUUUGGCGAUGAUUUAUCUUUGACCAGACGAUAACCAGAGGACUUGGAGUACACGUCAAGGAAGCCACAAGGAAUCCCAAGGGGGUAGGGCGGGCCCCCCACCCUUGCGGACCCCUAGUGACACCACCGACCAAUUUCUUCCGCCUAUAUAUUCUCAAAUACCCCAAAACCUUCUAGGAGAGCCACGAAACCACUUUUCCACCGCUGCAACCUUCUGUACCCGUGAGAUCCCAUCUAGGGGCCUUUUCCGGCAUCCUGCCAGACGGGGACUCGAUCACGGAGCGCUCCUACAUCAACAUUGCCUCUCCGAUUAAGCGUGCGUAUUUUACCACAAACCUACGGGUCCAUAGCUAGUAGCUAGAUGGCUUCUUCUCUCUCUUUGAUUCUCAAUACCAUGUUCUCCUCGACGUUCUUGGAGAUCUAUUCGAUGUAAUACUUUUUUGCGGUGGGUUUGCCGAGAUCCGAUGAAUUGUGUAUUUAUGAUCAGCUUAUCUAUGAAUAUUAUUUGAAUCUCCUCUGAAUUCUUAUAUGCAUGAUUUGAUAUGUUUGCAAGUCUCUUCGAACUAUCGAUUUGGUUUUGCCACCUAGAUUUGUUUUUCUUGCAAUGGGAGAAGUGCUUAGCUUUGGGUCAAUAUUGCGGUGCUCGAUCCUAGUGAUAGAAGGGGAACCGACACGUAUUGUAUUGUUGCCAAUGAGGAUAACAAGAUGGGGUUUUCAUCAUAUUGCUUGAGUUUAUCCCGCUACAUCAUGUCAUCUUACUUAAUGUGUUACUCUUUUAUUCAUGAGCUUAAUACUCUAGAUGUAGGCAGGAGUCGGUCGAUGUGUGGAGUAAUAGUAGUAGAUGCAGGCAAGAGUCGCUCUACUUGAUACAGAUGUGGUGCCUAUAUUCAUGAUCAUUGCCUUAGAUAUCGUCAUAACUUUGCGCUUUUCUAUCAAUUGCUCGGCACUAAUUUUUUCACCCAACGUAAUAUUUUCUAUCUUAAGAGAAGCCUCUAGUGAAACCUAUGUUCCCGAGUCUAUUUUCCAUCAUAUAAUCUUCUAUUUUCCAUCAUAUAAGUUUCCGAUCUACAAUUUUAGUUUCCUAUUUACUUUCUUUGCAAUAUUUUGCAUUCCGAUCUAUAAACCAAAAAUACCAAAAAUAUUACUUUACCGUUUAUCCAUCUAUAUCAGAUCUCACUUUGCAAAUAAUUGUGAAGGGAUUGACAACCCGUUUAUCGCGUUGGGUGCAAGUUGGUGUUUGUUUGUGCAGGUAUUCGGUGGCUUGUGCAUUGUCUCCUACCGGAUCGAUACCUUGGUUCUCAAAACUGAGGGAAAUACUUACUCUACUUUGCUGCAUCACCCUUUCCUCUUCAAGGGAAAAACCAACGCAAGCUCAAGAAGUACUGGGAAGAAUUUUUGGCGCCAUUGCCGGGGAGAUCUACGCCAAGCCGAGACAUACCAAGUACCCAUCAUAAACUCUCAUCCCUCGCAUUACAUUAUUUGCCAUUCGCUUCUCGUUUUCCUCUCCCGCACCUCUCACUACUAGGAAAAGGGCUAUAGACAAUAUGCACACUAAUGGCGCACCAGACAUGCGGUGCGCCACUACUAUAUAGCGGUGGCGCACCGUGUGCUGGUGCGCCAUUAGUGUGAUAGACACUAAUGGCGCACCACAACCAUGGUGCGCCACUACUAACAAAUUUUCUUUUUCUUUUUAAAAAAAUACUAAUGGCGCACCGCAACCAUGGUGCGCCACUACUAAUUUUUUUCCUUUUUUCCAAAAAUACUAAUGGCGCUACUUGGCACAGUGCGCCAUUACUAGUUUUAACUAGUAAUGGCGCACCAGUCACCCCGUGCGCCACUACUAUCAUUUUUUUGCAAAACUACUAAUGGCGCACCGCCAGCUGGUGCGCCAUUAGUAACCAGGGUUACUAAUGGCGCAUUUGUUGGUGGUGCGCCAUUAGUAACCUGGGACCAGCUAGAUAUUUUGGACAGCCACCUACACACUCACUUUCCCCACUUCAUUCUCUCCACCUCCUCCUCCAAGCUUGUCUCGGCUGCCUCCUCCUCCUCACCUCAUUUGCACCAUAGAUUCAUCCAAAUUAAGUGGUUAAAUUACCUUUUUUGAUAGGUAAGUAAGGGGAAAGCUUUCUUUAUGUUGUAGAUCUACUUUUUUCUCCCUCCAACAACGUGCACAUGCACUUUUUAUGGCCUAGCUAGAUCUAUGUAUGUUUGUGGUGUUGCAUAUGUUUGUGGUGUUGCAUAUAUGUUUGUGUUUGCACGUACCGGUAUUUGAAAUGCGAUAGUUGCCAAUAUUUUGCCAGAAUGUUGAUUCAUUUCCGUUUCGUCAAGAAUUUUGGCACUAUGCAUUCUUUUUUGUCCUAUUUUUAGGCAAAGUCAUGCCAAAUUUUUUCUUGGUUCUAAAAUAUCGUUUUGCUCUACCCUGCAGGCGACCAUGGUCUGCACGAUGACCGAAGGCAUCGUGAAUAGGUUUUUGAGCUCCGCGAAGGCCGAGAUGCUUCAAAAGAAUGAGACGGAGAUAAGAUGUCCGUGUCGAAGAUGCAAGCUGAGGAGCCUUAUGGACCCGGAUUCCGUACAGGUGCGGGACCACCUGCUCUUGCGUGGUUUCAUGGAUGGCUAUCGGUGGCAAGGUGAUGAAGAUGAUUAUGAAGUCGUCCAUGGGGGCCGGCCGGUAAGAAAUGAGGAAGGGCAGCAAGACAACCGCGGCGAGGGCGGGCGAGAAGACGAAGAAUCUCCAGGACAUGAUCACGAAGUAGAUGCAGUACGCAGUCAUCAUGUAGAAGAUGCCGGACAUAAAGAUGAGGAAGAUGCCGGAGCAGACGAAGGGCAUGAUCAUGAAGAUGAAGAUGCCGGAGCGGACGACGAUGGACCAUCGAUGGGCUGGGUGCAGGACCCUCAUAUUCAAGAGCUGCUUCUCAAGCAGACGGAUAACGCAAGAGCUGCCGCCCGAGAGAAAGCCAAGCUGGAUCAACUGGAGAUAGACGCGGUUACUCCAUUGUAUGAAGGAUGCAGGCCCGAGGAUACCCGCCUGAAAGUAACGCUCAUGGCUCUGGAGAUGAAGGUAAAACACAAAAUGACCGACGCAUGCUUCGACGAGAACAUGUCAUUCUGGCACGAACGUCUUCCCAAGGGGAACAAGUGCCCGACCAGUUUUGAGGAGGCGAAGAAAAUCGUGUGUCCUCUGGAUUUACCGCACGUGAAAUACCAUGUGUGCAUGAACAAUUGCAUCAUUUAUCGGGACGAGCACGCGGAGUCUACCAUAUGUCCGGUGUGCGGCGUCACUCGAUACAAGAAGAGGAAGAAAGCUCCUCGAAAAGCGGUGUGGUACUUUCCGAUCGCUCCUCGUGUGCAGCGGUAUUUCGCGGACCCUAAGGUAGCAAAGCUCUUGCGUUGGCACGCGGAUAGGGAGGAGAAGAAGCGAGAAGAUGACGCAAAUGAUCCGGAGAUAAAUAAAAAAGACAAGAUGCUGAGUCACCCUAAGGAUGGGAGCCAGUGGCAAGCGUUGAACUUCGAACACCCAGAAUUUGGGAACGAUCCAAGGAACAUCGUGCUGGGCGCGAGCACCGAUGGAGUCAAUCCGUUUGGCAGCCAGAGAAGCACACAUAGCACCUGGCCUGUGUUUGUGGAUGUACAACCUUCCCCGCUGGUUGUGCAUGAAGAGGAAGUACAUUCACAUGAGUAUGCUAAUUGAAGGGCCGAAACAACCAGGGAACGACAUCAAUCUGUAUCUGGGGCUGCUGAAAGAGGAGCUAGACACGCUGUGGAAAACGCCAGCCAAUACGUGGGACACCGCAGAGAAAGAAUAUUUCCCUAUGAGAGCCGCUCUGCUCACGACGGUGCACGACUAUCUCGAUUACGGAUAUGUCGCGGGGCAGGUGGUCCACGGAUUUUCUGGAUGCGUCAGGUGCAUGGAUGACACAACAUAUCGCCAGCUAGAUAGAGAUCUCAGGUCUUCGAAAACCGUGUUCAUGGGACAUCGAAGGUGGCUUCGCGACGAUGACUCAUGGAGGAAACGCAAGGAUCUGUUCGAUGGUGAAACCGAAACCCGAAGACGCCCGCGUACGAGGAGCGACAAGGAAAUAGACGAGUUGUUGAAAAAUUGGAAAGAUUGCCCACUGCCGGGAAAGAAGCAAAAGGCACCAGAGCCGGAAAAGAAGCGAAAGGCGCAAGAGCCGCUGCUGAAGGUAUGGAAAAUGAGGUCUGUUUUCUGGGACUUGCUGUACUGGAAGAUCCACCGUGUGCCUCACAGCCUUGAUGUCAUGCAUAUCACGAAGAACGUGUGCGAGAGUCUGCUUGGUACCCUGCUCAACAUGCCGGAGAGGACCAAAGAUGGGCCGAAAGCAAGGGCAGACUUGAAAUCAAUGGGCAUCAGGGAGGAGCUUCACGCUAAUGAUGAUGAUGAUGAGGCGAAGCAGGACACGGAAAGUCGUCGCAAAGGCAAAAAGGCCAAGAAGACCGAAAAUGACUUCCCUCCCGCGUGCUUCACUCUAAGUCAGGAGGAGAUCGAUCAGUUUUUCACCUGCCUCGUAGGAGUAAAACUUCCUUACGGUUACGCGGGGAAGAUAAGCAGAUACCUAGACUCAGCGAAGCAGAAGUUCAGCGGGAUGAAGUCUCAUGACUGUCACGUGCUGAUGACGCAGAUACUUCCAGUUGCAAUCCGUGGGAUCAUGGACGCGCACGUCCGUGAAACGCUAUUUGGCCUAUGCAACUUUUUCGACGUCAUCUCUCGGAAGUCGGUUGGUGUGAGGCAACUCAGAAGGCUACAUGAAGAGAUCGUAGUGAUACUAUGCGAGCUUGAGAUGUACUUCCCGCCCGCAUUCUUCGACGUUAUGGUGCAUCUGCUGGUCCAUAUCGUGGAGGAUAUCAUCCAACUCGGGCCGACGUUCCUGCACAGCAUGAUGCCGUUCGAAAGGAUGAAUGGUGUCAUCAAAGGAUACGUUCGCAACAUGUCACGUCCAGUGGGAAGCAUAGCCAGGGGCUUUCUGACCGAAGAGUGCAUCUCCUACUGCACGAAUUAUCUAGGCAUCGAGAACCCCGUUGGUCUGCCCGCCAACAGGCACCUCGGCAGGCUCGCUGGAUGGGGUCAUCGUGAGGGUUGCCGCGAAAUGCAUGUCGAUUUCGAGGGUCGACUCGCCGACUUUGAAAGAGCAAACCUAGUCGCGCUACAACACAUAGACGUGGUCGAUCCUUGGGUGGUAGAGCACAAAACCUUUAUUGAGAAGACGUACAAUGACCGAGACCAACAGAGGACGGACGGAGAUAUAAUCAAAGAGCACAACUCAUAUUUCACGCGUUGGUUCAAGCAGCAUGAGGAUUCUUCCGCGGAAGAACAACUCAAAUUCGCCUUGUCACAGGGCGCCGAGCACAACCUGAUGACGUAUGAGGCGUACAAUAUCAACGGCUACACAUUCUACACCGAGGGAAAGGACAUGAAGAGCGAUGGUUAUCAGAACUCUGGGGUAACGAUGGAAUCCUACACCGGUAACGAUAAGGACAGAUACUACGGAAGGAUCGAGGAGAUCUGGGAGCUGAGCUAUGCUGGAGAGAAGGUCCCGAUGUUCCGUGUCAGAUGGGCCAAGAGCGUCCUAAAAGAAGACCGGUAUUUCACCACCAUGGUUAUACCCGAAGCCAAAUCCAAGACCGCGGGCGCAAACGACACCGUGAAAAAUGAGCCAUGGGUACUGGCUUCCCAAGUGGACCAAUGCUUCUUCAUUACCGACCCGUCAAAGCCCAGUCGUGUUGUCGUGAGGAGAGGCAAAAGGAAGAUCAUCGAAAUGGAUGGAGUCGCCAAUGAGCAAGACUUCGACAAGUACGGCGACCCGAAGAUGGAACAUGACGACGAUGAUGAAGUACCAGCAUACACCACAAGAAGAAGCAGGACCACCCUACCUAAAGGACGUCCGUUCAAGAGAAGAACUCCAUUUACGAAAAAUAAGGGCAAGAAGAUUGUGAACAGAUAGCUAGCUAAGAUCGAUUGUAUUUAAAUUGUAGCCUUCAUUUCUCGAUUGUAUUUCAUGGGCACUUUUUGAACUCAUGAAUAUUUUUAAAUUUCAUGGGCACUUUUUGAAUUCAUGAAUAUUUUUUCAAAUUUCACCGCCGCCGCCGCCGACCCCCCGCACCCUCCCCCGCUCCACCGCCACCGACGACCCACCGCACCCUCCCCCGCUCCACCGCCNNNNNNNNNNNNNNNNNNNNNNNNNNNNNNNNNNNNNNNNNNNNNNNNNNNNNNNNNNNNNNNNNNNNNNNNNNNNNNNNNNNNNNNNNNNNNNNNNNNNNNNNNNNNNNNNNNNNNNNNNNNNNNNNNNNNNNNNNNNNNNNNNNNNNNNNNNNNNNNNNNNNNNNNNNNNNNNNNNNNNNNNNNNNNNNNNNNNNNNNNNNNNNNNNNNNNNNNNNNNNNNNNNNNNNNNNNNNNNNNNNNNNNNNNNNNNNNNNNNNNNNNNNNNNNNNNNNNNNNNNNNNNNNNNNNNNNNNNNNNNNNNNNNNNNNNNNNNNNNNNNNNNNNNNNNNNNNNNNNNNNNNNNNNNNNNNNNNNNNNNNNNNNNNNNNNNNNNNNNNNNNNNNNNNNUCCACCGCCACCGACGACCCCCCGCACCCUCCCCUCUGCCCUCUAUCACAGCGGGGACAACAGGAAGCCGCCGUCGCGCCCCUCUGCACCGGCUGCCCACGGCGCCUCCGUCCCGAAGCCGCAGCCCAAGUGCCCACCACUCUCUGUCCACGGUGAGCCAUCCUCUCUGUCCCAACUCUCUGUUCUUCUUUUUUAGCUAUCCUUUGUUGAAACAGUAGUUGCUGUGUAGCAAAUCUUUGGGAUUAGUGUUCAGUACUUUGUUGGGUGAGCGGCCAUCUGAGACAUCCUGCUUACAUAGUCUCCUUUUUAAAACUCGUCAAAUUGGUUUUAGAUAGAAAUGAUCAACACUCAAUUGGCCAACUGCAUGUGGAAUGAUUUCGAAGGGCGCCAUAACUUAUUGUAGAUGCUGACUACAAUAACAAUACUAAACUCAGUGUAGUCUGUUGUAAAGACACUUGUGCUUCUUUCAUCUGGAAAGGGGUCGUCUGGCCUCCAAAACUGUCAGAUUAGGUUGUGCUGUAACUCCUCACAUGGCCAUGUUUUUGGAAGAUUGGUCGUUUGUCACCGGCCCUUUGGUCACCCAGCAAUGGGACUUGUAUCAUAUUGCCAAUGAGGUUAAUAAAACAGUAGUGCAUCAGUACUUUGUUGGAACAGAAAGUCAGAAAAUCAGAAAAUCCACGGUACUUUGUUUAGAUCUUCACUGUUGACAAACGCAGUCAACUAAAAAUCCAGUUCAGUGCAUAAUUAGUGUUGACAAAUACACUGAUCUUUAUCUGCAGUAAUUCAGUUUAAACUGAAAAUUCAGUGUUGUAGUACAGAAAAUUUAAACUGAAAAUUCAUAGUCUCCUGGUGCAUAUUGAUCUCAGUGUAUGAAUUCAUAGUGUUUCAAAUUACUGAUGCUAUGGUCCAGGAGUAGAAAAAUUUGUACUCCAAGAUCAAUAUGGUUCAAUUUCUACUGUACUGUAAUCAAAGUGGAUAUAAAUUGCAGAGUGUUUAUGUUGGCAUUCGACAACAUCUAAAUUUACCAAAUGAUUGUGAACUCAGUUUAUGUUUGCAACCAAAUGCUUAGUUCAUUGUUUACUCCAAAUGAUUGUGAACUUAUUCAAAGUUUCCAAUAUUGUUCAGACACUACUUGUACUGGAACUGGAACUACUACUACUGAUGCAGCACCCCAUGUAGUUUAAGUUUUCUUUAUCUUAAACUCAGACAGCUCUCUAAUUAUUGGAGUUUAUAUCAUAUAUAUUGCUGGCAUGUAUUUCAUAUGUUCUGUAGCAUUAAGGCUACAUAGCAUUGCUUUUGUCUCUGACCAUCGUGUCGUGAUGAUAUUGUGGGGUGUUGUGGGGUUGCAGAGGCCCUUGAGUUUCAUCGCGAUGAUGCUAAUCGUGAUGACCGCAGCUCUCUUCUAUGUGAUGGUAGUUUAGAUGAUCGAUAUCGACUUGUAAUGUGAAGACAAACUCGCUACUCGCGGUUUCGAGACUUGUAGUGUUCUAACUUUGUUUGGUCUUUUGAAUUCGGAGACUAAUAUGAUGAAUUGUAUUCGGAGACUAAUCUUCUAUUGUAUUCGAUAACUCUGCUGUUUAUAUGUUGUGUGUCUAUAUUCUGUGCAGUAAUAUGUUUUGUAACCUGUGCAAAUAUCAGAAAAGAAAAAAAUCCCUAAUAUUCAUACUAGUGGCGCACCACCCAGAACUUUAGUGGCGCACUGCAAAAUGCAUACUAGUGGUGCAUCAGCAAGCAGUGCGCCAUUAGUAAGCCAGAGACAUGGUUAAAUAUGGCCCCCUGGGAGGCAUUCUAAUGGCGCAUCAUAGGGUGUACUAAUAGCGCACUACAUGGUGCGCCAUUAGUAUCUGAUAUACUAAUGGCACACUUGUGGUGCGCCAUUAGUAAUAAAAUCUAAUGGCAUGGUACUAGUGGCGCACCUGUAGUGCGCCAUUAGUAGGCAAAACAGGUGCGCCACUAGCAGCCCUUUUCCUAGUAGUGUCUAAAACGAUUUUCGAAAAAUUUGUCUUUUCUUCGCCCCUCUUUCGUGCGUCUUCUUCUUUUGCUCUUUGUUCGCUUGUCCGUUUGAUCUUUUAUCUUGCUGUCAUGGCUAGUUUUCCAUCCUUGUUAGCACUCCCAAUAAUAAGGUCCUCAACUUCAAACAAAGGGAAGGAGAAAAUUUAAAAGAUGCUUGGUAUAGAAUUUAUAAUGCUCAAAUUUGAUGAUUACUGCUGGAGAUGACUAACAUCCUAGAUGUUACUCACUAUGUCUAGAUACAUUCGUUUGAGUGUCAACUAAUUCUGAACAUCUUAGGUGUUACUCCCAAGUCUAGAUACAUUUUUUUGAGUGGCAACUAAUUCUGAAUGGAGGAAGUACACAAAGCUAAGCCACAGCCAUGAAAUAUAUAUAGGGCGGGGGGCGCUCGUUCCACAAGGAGCGGCGGGUAGCUUAGCUAUAGCUCGAUCGAUGAAUAUGGCUGUAGAUGGGUUUGGUGAGCUGGGCAUUCGUGUGGUGAGUCGCCGGCUGGUGCUCUGCCUGCCAGCUACUGCUCUGCCUGCCGCUCCACCUCCUUGUCGAUCGCGCCCACCCAAACGGACGUCCAUGACACAUACACCGACAAUGUGCUCCUCCACGGCCACGACUACCCAAGUAGUGGCCACGGCACCUCCUCCACAGGCUCGGGCGUGGGCGGUGCUGGUGGUGGUGGGGGCACGUUGGCCUCCACUCCGGCCGCCAAUUGGGCCAGCGCCUGCGCAAGGCCAGGCCACCUGGCCUUGCUCCUCGCGCUCGGCCUCCACGAUGGCCCUCCAUGUGGCCUCCUCGAGGGACACAACACAGGCCUCCUCGGCAUCCUAAUCCUCCUCCUUCACCACUCCCGGAAGUGGUGGUGGAGUGGCAAGAACGCGUGGUGCACCGGGCGCACACUUGACGCACUACCGGCAAUGUUGGUCGUGCUCGGUGGCAAACCACGCGUCCUAGUUACCGCAUACGUUGGGUCACGGCGGAGGUUGGCUAGGAGUAGAGCAUGGGAUCUCCGUCAGCUGUGCGCGGCCUGAGGCCGGCACCGGAACCCUAGCAAGGUUGAGGUCCCACCCGUGCGGUAGGUUCACACUGGGCUAUGGCGCAGGCACGCCAUACUCCCAAAAGUACUGGUAGCGGUGCAUCGGCAUGUAGUGCCGAAACCAUGGCUGCCGACUCAAGGUCGAUUUAUCUGUUCUUAUAAACUAGCGAAUUAGCAACUAUAUUACCCAAGAGUAACAACCAAGUCAUAUAUACAAUGUACGCUUGCAACCAUUGAAUAAAUUGUACAGAAUACCAAACAAAGAAGAUUGAACGAGGUCGUGGAACAACUCACAUGCACCAUCCACAGGUCAAGUGGAUGAUCCCAAUGAUGAGCGAAUGAUCCUAAUGACGAGCAGUUGGCGAGAUUAUGUUGCUCUUGUGAUGGUUAGUGAUGUCUGCGCUAGAGCUUGCUUACAACCUUGCGAGGUAAGGAGCUACGGCUACAUGCGUAUUAGGUUUUAUAAGCCGUGAAACCUCGAUAAAAGUUGCCGCUAUAAGUUUUUUCUUCAUGUCACUAUAAACCUUAUNNNNNNNNNNNNNNNNNNNNNNNNNNNNNNNNNNNNNNNNNNNNNNNNNNNNNNNNNNNNNNNNNNNNNNNNNNNNNNNNNNNNNNNNNNNNNNNNNNNNNNNNNNNNNNNNNNNNNNNNNNNNNNNNNNNNNNNNNNNNNNNNNNNNNNNNNNNNNNNNNNNNNNNNNNNNNNNNNNNNNNNNNNNNNNNNNNNNNNNNNNNNNNNNNNNNNNNNNNNNNNNNNNNNNNNNNNNNNNNNNNNNNNNNNNNNNNNNNNNNNNNNNNNNNNNNNNNNNNNNNNNNNNNNNNNNNNNNNNNNNNNNNNNNNNNNNNNNNNNNNNNNNNNNNNNNNNNNNNNNNNNNNNNNNNNNNNNNNNNNNNNNNNNNNNNNNNNNNNNNNNNNNNNNNNNNNNNNNNNNNNNNNNNNNNNNNNNNNNNNNNNNNNNNNNNNNNNNNNNNNNNNNNNNNNNNNNNNNNNNNNNNNNNNNNNNNNNNNNNNNNNNNNNNNNNNNNNNNNNNNNNNNNNNNNNNNNNNNNNNNNNNNNNNNNNNNNNNNNNNNNNNNNNNNNNNNNNNNNNNNNNNNNNNNNNNNNUAUAUAUGUAUAUAUAUAUGGGGCAUGAAACUGCAAACUACCACUAUUGUUGCCGGUGGACCUCCCGGCUCCGGUGCACAUCCCAACGUCGCCCUCGUGAAGCAAGCGAAUGGCCCCGCGAGCAUGUGGACGUUGUCCAUGUGGCAUUGGGUUCCCGCUUCUUGAGUGAACCGGAAAAAAAACCCAAAGCUGGUCAAUCUUCGGCUCGAAAGGAAGCCUGGCUUAUGGUUUUGUGUUUUCGCGCCGGCGUAGCCGCUCUCCGUCUGGGUGAGCGAGCGGUGGAGGACUGCCGCAAUGGAGGAGAUGGUGGUCCUUGGGCCCCGAUGCCUUUCGUGGCAUGAGGGCCGUGUCUUGUAUUCGAUGGCCGGGGACGCCAUCCGGAGCAGCUUGAGAAGGCACCGUCGGGGCUUUGCGCUUGCACCCCUAUGCAGCCAUGCCCGGCGCAGCGGGCUGUCCGCUGUGUGUCUUGCGGAGUCUGAGUGCAUCCAUCGGCUGAUUUUUAUUUUAUUCUUUCGAUGAGGAUUAGUAGUCGGAGAGUAGAUAGGUUCUUCCUCGAUCCCAUGAUAUAAAAGCUUGGGUGUUCGUUGACGCUAGCAAUGUCAAAAACGCUCUUAUAAAAUGGGAGGGAGUCCCUCGCAAAGAAAAAAAGAGAGUAGAUAGCUACUUUAUCUUUUAUUUUGAAGGUGGGAGUAGAUUGAUAACUACUUAGUGCACGUACGAAAAGAAAGACACGAUCGCCUAAAAAAAAGAAAUACUAUAUUGAGAUAUAUAUAGGGCGUGCGGGCGCUAGCAGUUCCACAACGAGCGGCGGGUAGCUAGGUUCAACAUCCAUAUAGGUUGAAUAUGGCUGUAGAUGGGUUUGGCGAGGUGGGCAUUCGUGUGGUGAGUCGCCGGCUGGUGAAGGCAUCCGACCCCUCCAUCCAACCGCAGGUGGUGCCCCUCUCCAACCUCGACCUGUACGUCGGCAACGUACAAGUCGCCAUACUAUGCCUCUAUCCCAAGCCUCCGGCGGGCAGGGAUUUCGCCGGCGUGGUGGCCACCUUCGAGUCCUUGCUGCCGGCUUUACUCAACGAGUUCUACCCUUUCGCCGGCCGCAUCGGCACCAACCCAAGCUCAGGCCUCCCCGAGCUGCUCUGCCAGAACCAGGGCGCAGAGCUGGUCGUGGGAGAGGUCCGCGUCGCUCUGGGGAGCCUGGACUACGGCCUGGCGGACAAGUCCCUGAAGAAGCUGAUGCUCCCGUACGCGGAGGACGUCACCUUCUCGGUGCAGCUGCUAUCCUUCGCCUGCGGCAGCUUCUCCGUGCUGUGGGCAACCAACCACCUCGUCGGCGACGGCCAUGACAACAUCAGGUUCCUGCGGAUGUGGUCUGAGCUCGCACGAACGGGCAAAAUCGUCGCCGACGGCGGGGACGGAAAGCUAAGCCACGACCGCUCGGUGUUCCGCCCUCGCAACCCGCCGUCAUACAGAGCCUCGCUCGCCACCGACCUAACGACGUUCGACCCGCGCCGGCUGGUAAACGUCCUGACGGCCCACGACAGCUUCGUCGACCGCCUCUACUACAUCGACGCGGCCGACAUCGCCAGGCUGCGCGAGAUGGCGAGCACCAAGCUGCAGCGCUCGUCACGCGUCCAGGCCGUGUCCGCGUACCUGUGGAAGGUCCUCGCCGGCGUGGUUGCCGCUUCCCGCGUGCCCGAGGAGCGCUGCCGCAUGGGGUGGUGGGUGAGCGCGCGCCGUCGUCUCACGUCGCCUGACCUCGCCUCUGCGAUGCGCAACUACUUCGGCAACGUCACGACCUAUGCCUACGGGGACGCGACGCUGGAGGAGAUCCAGCGCAAGUCGCUCGCGGAGGUGGCGGCCAUGGCGCGGGAGCCGGUCGCCUCCGUCAACUACGACGAGUACAUCCAGGAUCUGGUGGACUUCGUGGAGGUGCACAAGGGACAAGGGCUGAUGGAGACGGCCGUCGUCGGGCUGGGCAGCCCGACCCUAAGCCAGUCCGUGUUCGACUCAUUCCCACUCGACACCGACUUCGGCUUCGGCCAAGCUGCUCUCGCCAUGCCCAUCUCCGACUUCGCCAACCUCUGCUCAGCCUACCUGUCCAUCAGCGCGCGGCCGGCAGGCGACGGCUCCUGGCUCGUCAGUGCCUACAUAUGGCCGCGUCUCGCCGCCGCCCUCGAGGCCGAUGAGCAGCACAUCUUCAAGCCUCUCACGGCGGACUACCUUGGCCUCACAGCCUGCUAGACAACACCCACGCUAUUCUGUGUGUUCUUUUAGCCAACAAUAAAAUUCCUUGGUGUUUUGCUCUUCUUCCAACAAUAAAAUCCUUGUGUUGUGUUGUGUGGUGCUAUGUACUUUGGUUUUUUUCUUCAUCCAACAAUAAAGUUAGGAAGCGUUACUUUUUGAAAAAUAGCACACCUUAUAUAUACAUUUACUUUGAAAGUUAGAGAGGAUUUACUUUGAAAGUCACAGGUUUGCCAAGCACCUGAGGAAAAACACUCGGCAAAGCCAGCCCUUGGUUUCCGUCAGCCAAUAAAAGAUAGAUCACACGCGUGGCCGCCUGCUUAGCUAUAACCAAGGGCUCGCCGCCGCCAUACCCCCUUCACCUCCCCGCUGCCCCCAUCGGCCUCCUAAUUCCGACCACAGCCGCCUCUAUCCCCCACUAGCCGUCCAACUUUCUCCUCUUCAUAGAUCUAAAACUAGGAAUGGGUUGGAGGGCUCAAUGAACUAGAUCUACUAUAUAGUCAUCUUUGAGCUCAGCUAUUGGGCAUCAUUGCUAGUUGCAAGCUCCCAAUUGGUCACAUCACUGCUAUUCAUAUACCAGCGGGAUCAAAUUGGCCUCUACACGAGUAAGUUGGUCCCUACGGUGAAGUACAGCAGUGGGCCCAUAUUGGCACCCACCACUGAUAGGUGGCAAAGUAAAAUUGGCAUGUGAAAAGAAUUGCCAUGUACUGAUAAGAAUUUACCAGUGCGGUCCCACUUUGCACACACCACUGGGAAAAAAAUGAGACCAACCCAAGGGAUAACCCUCGUUGGCAUUUUCUUUAUAGGAGAAACUUCGCGAGCACCACACGUCCAAGCCGAAGCUCGAACUCGCGUGGGCUGGCAGCUACCCCAGCUACCGAGCCGACGGGUCGACGCCCCGUCCUCGCACACACCUAUGUGAUUUGGCUAUAUUAUGAGUUGGUGGGCCAUUAGUGUUUUAUGCAUAUUCCAAAAAAUCACAUUGUUUUACCAAUAUUCUGCGGCAGAAGCUUAUCCUCAAAGUGCACAUAUCCCAUAUUUACGAAAAAUACUCGUUUAUUCGUUUUUCUGCAGACCGCUCGGCGUUAAGGUUGGUUUACAGCCGAGCAAGCCGACUGCUCGGCGGGAUGAAGAUGAAAAGGCAGUGGGCUAAGCCGCGUGUGUUUUAUCAACUACAUGGGCUACAUUUAGGUAUUUCAAAACCAAAGGGCAAUAUAUAAGCCGAGUAAGGCGUUAGAGGACACUCGGCCAAUACCAAGACGUCGUCAUGGAGCCGUCAAGCACGUGGCAAUAGAAACACUGCAGUUGCUUGCGUGAGCCACACGUGUAUGCCGUGGUUUUUCUACAUAAUAUAUCGUGUUCUUUCUGUAGGCCAUGCGUCUUUUUACGUUGUAUUCGGUUUACAUGGAGCUAAGUUGAGGGACCUGCAAAUGCCGUGUGUUUUCAAGAUGGUACUCGGCUUAGGGUCUCUUUGAUUCAAAGGAUUUUGAUAGGAUCUUUGAAGGAUUAAAAUCCUGAGGAAGUUUUCCUAUGUUGGUCGUUUGAUUUGUAGGAUUGAAUCAUGUAGGAUUUUUUUCUAAAGAUGUAUUUGUACUACAUUUUACAGGAAUUCUAACAUCCACUCCAACCUUUUGGAAGAAAUCCUUUGUUUUCUCCAUGACACAAUCAAACAAACUCAAAUCCUAUAGGAAUCCAAUGGACAUGUCAUUCCAAUCCUACGUUUUUCCUAUGGAAAACUAUUAAAAUCAUCCGACUUAUUUUUCACGAACGUAAACCGUCUUUGACGGACGCCACGUGUCCCUGCUGGUCGCUCACUCCUUAUCCUUAUCUUUUCUCCAGAAGAAGCGUGAGCCACUCAUUCCUUUUCCUCCUUUUUCUUCUUCCUUCGAGCAAACAUGCUUUCCCAGGGACGGCUCUCUCCAGCAAUCCCAGUCGCCGCUCACUUCGUGUUGAUGUAGGGCUAGGCUGAGAGGAUGCUCCUUCCAUGGCCGGCGGCGGAGCUGCGUUUGGUGAUGCGCGACGAUGUUGCGGCCACGUUGACGGCAAAGCUGCGUUGGAGCAGAAGGUGCUACGAGCUGCUGCCAUGACCGGCGGCGCUACUGCACAGCAACGGCGAAGCUGCGUUUCAGCAGCAAACAGCUAUGAGCUGCUGCCAUGGCGGGCAGCAGAGCUACAUGGCAGCAUGCAGCAGGCGAUGCGUCAAUGAAACUUGGCCGGAGCUCCAUUGAAGCUUCGCCGGUGCGUCAAUGAAACUUCGCCGGAGCUCCAUUGAAGCUUCGCCGGUGCGUCAAUGAAGCUUGGCCGUAGCUCCAUUGGAGCUUCGCCGGGGCGUCAAUGAAACUUCGCCGGAGCUCCAUUGAAGCUUCGCCAGUGCGUCAAUGAAGCUUCGACGGGGUGGCUCGGUGUUGCUAUGGAGCAGCACCCGGUGGCUCUCGGUGUUGUGAUGCAGCGGUCGCCGGUGGCUCCGGGGACGCGAGGUCGCCGAGGCAGGGUGACAGGGGAGGGUCUGCGUUGCUCUGCAUCAGGAGGAGUUGUUGUGCGCUGCUCUGUAUCAGAUGGCUGGGGAUUAGUGGAGAAAGGCCCAGGUUGUGUCGCGGCGAUCGAACGACCAUCUGUGCGGACCGAACGGCUGGCUGGGCGGAUGAUAUCUCUAGGAAAUCAUCCGCCUGAUUUGUAGCAGCCGCCUCCUAUUCCUGUGUUUUUGCAAUUCUAUGAAUCUGUCUAAGACGAGUAUCCGAGAAAAUACACCCGGCUUACCAAAAAGCACUAAGCAACAUGUCUUUUUCUCGUAGUGGCCUUUUAAGGUUUUUAUUUUACUUCAUAUAGGGCUCAAAGAGCCAACCUCGCCACCAACAUCGCCUACCAAACUUUGCCCAAGACGUCAUGUCCAUGAUCACAGACCAGUCAGGUUUAAACAUGUUUUCAUCUCUAUGAAAUUCACACAAAAAUUCCAAAUUGACUAGGUGUUUAAACUUAUGUUUCGACAAAGACUCAGACACCUGGACAUUUGAAAAUAGGACAAACGUCGACGCUCACAUGGACGCACCUAGACUCACAUCUAUGAACUUAUACACUAUCUCACUAAAUAGCAUAAAACUACUACAAUUCGGACUAGAGUUUCAAAAAACUACUAAAUAUAUUUUUCCGCUCAUAACUACUAAAUCAGGGGUCGGCUGUUUCAAAAAACCCAAAUCAUCGAGUCUUUAGUAAUUGAUCACGAUUAUGACAGUUGGGGCCAAGCGUAAGAUAACCGUUUGUUUGACCGUUUAGUUUGAAUGUUAACUUACAUGUGGGUCCCACAUGUUAGUUUUUUUAAAAGCAAUCAGGUCCCUGUAAGUUUUCUAAAAUAGCAACCGGGUACAUGUGAGUUUUCUAUAAGGUCCCUAAAAGUUUUUGCAAAAAGCAAUAUAAUCAGGUCUCCAGAGGAGCCGCGCCCGCGGCAGCCUGCUCGAUCCCGAGCGCUCUGCCCGAACCACGACGCUGCCUCCAUCGGCCGGCCAGCCGCGCCCGCAACGGCCGAAUCCACGCCGUGCCUCGCCUGCCACCAUGGCGUGACUCGCAUGCCGCCAUGUCAUGCCUCGCUGGCGGCCGCUGCCACGCCGUGCCUCACCUGUGGCUGCCGCCAUCCCCUGCCGCGAGCUCCUCAAGCUAGACGUGGACGGCCUGCGCCGCUGCUGGAGUGCGCACCUCCCAUUGCCGCGGACGAGGUCGCUGUCUGCUAUGCCUCCUCGAAGCCACCGUCACCACCAGGAGCUACGGUGAGCACCUACCACGACCAUGGGGAGGGUGGGAAGGAGAGGGAGGGUCGCCGCCAGCCAGGCCCGGCCCGGAUGGAGGGGUAGGGGGCGGCCGCCCCAGGCCCCCGAAAUUGAGGGGACCCCACGUUCGUGUGCUCUCUGUAUCCAGCCCAUGUGCUCUCUGUAUCCAGCUGAUGAGAAAAAAUGAUUCUGGGCUACUUUUGAUGAAACAGACCUGUACAUGUAGUGGAACUUGUGUUUCCCUCGCGUAGGUCCGCGGAUGACGACAUGAGCGAUCAACCUAGCGAUAUAUCCUACAAGCCCGAGGGAAACCCCGCCGCCGACACAGCCUCCUCCCGUGGAGGCCUCCCCCGAUGAUUUCUCGUCCAAUGGCGGAUCGAGUAAUUUCAUGUUCAUCGCCCUGGACAGGAGUAACAACACCACCGGCCCUGGCAGGCAGUUUUAAACUACAGAGGUCAGGUUAGCAUCUUCCUGAUGCAUCAUCCAACGGAGCUAGCUAGAUUGAUAUGUGACUAGUUGGUGGCAGAAUUAUUAGAUCUAGUGUAUUAGCGGAGAGGAGUAGGACGUAGUUGUCCUUCUGACUAAUUUUUUUAAUGCAAUCCUUCCGAUUAAUUAAUCUGGUCGUGUUGGAGAUCGAUGAAAGAUGAGGGGAGAGGAUGUCUAGAAUCCAUGGGAUAAUGAUAAUUGGCAAGCUGAAAUUAAUUGGAGGAUUCAUGGUCGAUUCAAUAUGAUUAGGUGGCAAAAUUAAUUUUUAGUAGCUAAAAAAAUUAACUUUUAGUGUUGCAAACUAUGAAGCUAUUCUACCUGCAUGCCACCAAGAGCAGUUCAAAUUACUUUUUGUUUGCCAAACUAUGAAAUAUACAAUGCAUGAAACUUCCCUAUCAAAAUCUUAGCAAAAGUGAGAAAUAAUAAUUAUAAUAAUGUAUAAUUAGAACCCGGAACUAGGUCGACCAGCUGGUUUUGCACGCCAUGAUAAAAAAAUUAACAACAAUUCAUGUUUAAAAUUUAUCUAGACAUGCACAUAAUGAUUAUAAUUUUGGAUAUAUAAAGGGCCUCCGAUUGUAUUUUUGCCCCGGGCCCCUGAAAUCUCAGGACCGGCCGUGCCGCUAGCUUGGGAUGGGAGGGGACGGUCGUCGGCUUGGGAGCGGAGGGGAGGGUCGCCGGCUUGGGAGGGGAGAUGGCCUGCUCGGGAGACACCAGAAGAGAGACGAGAAGAGACAAAGAGGAAGAAGAAAGAGAAUAGCAAGAGGAAACUUACAUGUAGGCCCCACAUGUAAGUUAACGGCCAAACUAAGGUCAAACUGACAGUUUGUUUAGGUGCGGGCCCAACCUGUCGUGACCGUGAUCAACCGAUAAGGACUCGGGGAUUUGGGUUUUUUGAAACAGCCGACCCCCCGGCUUGGUAGUUAUCAGCAAAAAGAAUUUGGUAGUGUUUUGUAACCCUAACGUGAAUUGUAGUAGUUUUAUGCUAUUUACUCAAACGAUCUCUAUGAGCAUUUUCAAGAUACUGAACCGGCACAUCAUUUUGAGAUUGGUGAACACCACAGACGUCUUCAUAGUUGACAGAAACGUCUCCUCCCAAUGAACGAACAUCGCAAAAGCCUGAAAUAAAUCCCAAAAACUGUCAGCACCAUUACCAAGUUUAAAACUUGAACCCUGAUAGGGUUGGUUCCACCACAAGAAAUCUAACUAUUUGAGCCAUGCACAUCUCAUAGUUUUCCCUGUGGCCAUGGAGGGUGCCACAUAUGUAACCCAUUAAUAUGGGAACCCAUACCUGUAAGCUUGUCAGCAUUUAUAGGCUAUAUAUGCUAAUCAAUUAUAAAAAAAACUGGGAUAACAAGUUUGAACUACACCCAUUAUUCCUCCGCCUAUAUAUUGUCGUGCAUGCAUGCCAGUGCCAUAUACGGAAACAAACCGACCGAGAAGGCCCUUAAUUAACAGCUAGCUAGCUCUCUUGGUCGAAUAUGGUAACUGCUAAUGCUAUUGGCUCCGGCGACCUGAGCAUCCGUGUCCUGAGUCGCCGCCUUGUCAAGGCCUCCGACCCAUCUACCAAGCCGCACGUAGCCGCCUUCUCGAACCUCGACCUCUACCCUGGCAACGAGCAGGCCUCGAUAGUAUGCCUCUACCCCAAGCUCCCAAACGCCGGUGACUUCCCGGCGGUUGUAGCCACCUUCGACUCCAUCCUCCCGUCGUUGCUCAACGACUUCUACCAUUUCGCCGGGCGCAUCCGCACCAACCCAAGCUCCGGCCUCCCCGAGCUGCUCUGCGACAACCAAGGCGCAGAGCUGGUGGUCGGCGAGGCCGGUGUCGCCAUGGCCAGCCUGGACUACGGCCUGGCGGAGCAGUCGUUGAAGAAGAUAAUGCUUCCGUACGCCGAGGACGUCACGCUCUCGGUUCAGCUGCUCUCCUUCGCCUGUGGCGGCUUCUCCGUCGUGUGGGCGACCAACAACCUUGUGUGUGACGGCCAAGCCUUCACCAUGUUCGUCAGGAGGUGGUCCGAGCUCGCCCGAACUGGGCGCAUCGUCGACGGACCGCCCAACCAUGACCGCUCGGUGUUCAGCCCUCGCAGGCCGCCGUCGUACGGAGCCUCGAUCAGGGACAUGUUCGCGACGUACGACCAUGACCGGCUGGUGAACGUGCUGACGGCGCACGACAGCUUCGUCGAGCGCCUCUACUACAUCGAGGCGAGCGACAUCGCUGCCCUGCGGGAGGCGGCAAGCAGCAAGCUCCAGCGCCCGUCGCGCGUCCAGGCGGUGUCCGCGUACCUGUGGAAGGCCCUCGCCCGCGUGGUGGCCGCGUCCCGCGUGCCGGAGGAGCGCUGCUGCAUGGGGUGGAUGGUGGACGCGCGGCGGCGGGUGAAGGCGCCGGAGCUCGUCCGGGCGAUGGGCAACUACUUCGGCAACGUUACGGCCUACGCUCUCGGGGAGGCAGCCGUUGAGGAGAUACAGGAGAAGGAGCUGUCGGAGGUGGCGGCCAUGGUGCGGGAGACCAUCACGUCUAUCGACUACGAUGAGUACACCCAGGAGCUGGUGGACUGGGUGGAGGAGCACAAGACAGAGAGGCUGAUGGAGAAGGGCGUCAUCGGGCUCGGUACGCCCACCUUGAACCAGACGGUGUUCGCGUCGUUCCCGCUCGACACCGACUUCGGCUUCGGCCAUGCCGUGCUGGCAAUGCCCAUGUGCGACUACGGGAGGCUCAGCUCGGGGUACCUGUCGAUCGGAGCUCGGCCGGGAGGCGACGGCUCCUGGCUGGUCAACGCCUACAUAUGGCCUCGCCUCGCGGCGGCGCUUGAGUCGGACCAGCAGCGCAUCUUCAAGCCUCUCACGGCGGAGUAUCUAGGGCUCGUCUAGGCGUACCACUCUGCUGUCUGCCCGGUUUCUUCUUCAAUAAGUCUUUGCUUCGUCUUUUGAGGCAUGAAAGCAGCUCGUGCUUGUUUUACUUCCACCUAUUUUGCAAUACCCCAAAUAAAGCCCUUCUGUGUGGAGGGUAGUUUGUUUGAUCAAUAAAUGUUUGAGUCGUUCAUAAGGUUUCCUUGAUUAGUAUACAAAUCAGUUGAUGACUACGUUUCACAACUCAUGUGCAUGGAGAUGCUAAACCGAUAGUAUGGACUCGGGGAUGGAGACCACGCAGUCGGACAUACCAACUCUGAGACGCAGCGAGAUGUUGUCAUAUGUUAGUGUCAAGCACAAUGUUUAUGCCAUGUCCUAGACCUAAGGUCCUCGCAUGUUCUCGGGAUGAGUAUCGACUCACUUAAGGUCUAUCAAACGCUACUCCAUAACUGGCUAGAUAUAAAUGUAGCUUUUGGGUGGGUGGUGAGAUAUGCCGCGAGACAUGGCCGACCAAGAUGGGAUUUACCCCUCCUAUUUGAAGAGAUAUUUUCUGGACCCUCUCGAGGGAUCGGAUUCGGAAAGCAUGACCAUGCGACUUGGUUAAGUGUUAACCCAGUGCGGGAAUCUAUAUCACGGUGUCAAGAAGAGAGGUCGAGCUACCACAAGGGUGACAAGUACUCACCUUGAGCUUGACAACAUAUAUCGUGAGGCAAAAGGAAUGUUGCAGAUGAUACAUUGUCGAGGUUCUUCGAACGACUUUACACGCACAUGAGAGUUGGCACGUUCAGCGAGGAGCUGCUACCAACUAUCGACUCUGGUCGUGUCCAUGUGUACGUAAACCUAUAGGGUCGCACACUUAAGGGGCUGCAGGCCAUUCGGAUUGGAUUCGAGUGGAAAUGGUUUUACUCCUAGUGGGCCUCAAGUAUUGAGCCUAUCUCGGAGGUCUAUAUAUAGGGGAGUGGCCGCACAACUGAGGUUGAUCUUUUUCCACCAUGGACAGCCUCCAUCGCAACUCCCCACGCCCAUCCCGCGCGACCUAACCUAGAUGCCUACCGCCCGACGCUGCUCCCCGUACGUGUGGAUACCUUGCAGGCAUCGCAUCCGUGGUGCUUGGAUGAACUGUUCGAGGGAACCGCGAGGUGCCGUUCGCGGGAGAUCAACGUUCACAGGUCUUUGUUGUUCGCGGGAGAUCGACGACGCGAGGAGGAGACGCCUCGGGAGAUCGUCUACAUGCAUCUCCAACUCUAUUUUCUGCUGCGGUUACUGCGCGUCUAGUGGUAAACUCGAUCUCAUGAUCUAUUUCCAGCAACUUGAUCUUGGGUGCGUGGUAGAAUUUUUUUUAUUUGGCUCUAGCUUAGCAUACCGCGUGUUUCUACAGUCGUAUCAGAGCCUAUGCUACGUGGUAUUAGAUUCAAGGUAGAAUUUUCAAAUGAUGAUAUGUAGAUUGCUUUAUGUACUGGCCGAUGAGAUCGGUUGUCAAUAUGAUUGACUAUACAUGGUGUCAGGCAUUCGAAAUUGUGAUCUAAUUUUCCGUGAUGAUGUUGUGGAGGUCGUGGCACAAAUUACCUAUACCGGUCGGUUUCGGCCAUCGGGUAAGACAGUGGAACGUAAAGUCGGUCACAACACGCGAAGACCAAUGAGAUUGGUUGAAUCAGAUAGAUGGUCAAAAUAGGAUAAAUAUGAUUUGCCGGUGAAAAUUCCCAUGCAAAAAUGCAUAGAUAUUGCAAGGGCGCUGCCAGUUGACCCCACAGGGGGCAAAGCCCCAUCGACCCCCAUCCUGUUAAUCUCUUAGGGCGGUGGAUAACUUGUUUUUGCAGGUAAUGCUUGUGAUUUGGUACAACCCGGGUAUGUUGCAUGUACGUAAUUAUAUCAUGACCUGCGUGUCGAGAGUACAAUAACUGGUUGGAGCCAUAUGGUUGUCCCAUUAUUGUAUUAAUGACCUUCAUGUCAACAUGAGAAGCAUUGUAUUGUUAUUUACUUUCAAUAGCUAUUAGUUUGUAAUAGCGUAGUAUCUUAUGUAACACUUGGCGGUUGACACCAUGGCGUGGAGAUGAAGAUCUCCACGAGGACAACCAUGCAUGGAGAUGGAGAUCACCAUGGGCAGGCCGUGCAGGUGGAGACGAAGAUCACCAUGCGAUAUCAAAAGGGGCUAAACCAUAUCACACAUAUAAACUGCCUGUGAAAGUUUAUCUCUGUUAUGCACCCUUCUUUUGCAUGGUAGACGUUUCAAGUAGGGUGAUCCCUCAAAGAAUGUCAAGUAAAAAUGCCUCUCCAAAUGUUGCACCAUCACACAUCAAGUAUACUUAGUGGUGGGAUUAUAAAAUUAAGGUGCCAUUUGGUGUCCUUGAAGUGAUGGGUUCGGUUCGGACACUUACAUGCAUAGCAUUGGUUAUCUUGUCGUGGCUAUCAAAACAGUUUUGGGCCUCGAGGCGUAGGAGUUGGUGCGACAUGAGAUGUCCCCAACAACAAGAGUCGUAUGGAGACACGAUUAGCAAGAAAUACUUAUGGAGUGAUCUCGUCUUCUAGCAGUGAUGCAAAUGCUCACUAGUUAACAUGUUGAUCUUGGAUCUUGAAUCACUAAGUAUCAUCUGAGGGAUGUUGAUUUUAUUUGGAGUGAUGAUCUUAUUAAAAUGUUUAAUAUGAAUUACUCUUCAUGAAUACAUGUCUUAGUGUUUUGCAUCUUUCUGUUGGAGAUCAGAGGCACCACCUGCUCAAGUUACUCCUUUUGCGCUGAAAACAAUCCUAGAAAAAGAUAAAUGGAAUGGGACAAACUUUACGACCUGGUAUAGAAAUCUGGGAAUUGUUCUUAGGCAUGAGAAAAAGGACCAAGUUCUAGAAAAUCCGCUUCCAGAUGUACCUGCCAAGAAUGCUAAUGCCACAACCAGGAGUGCCUACCAGAAACCCAUUGAUGAAUAAAAUGAGAUCAUCUAUCUCAUGCCGGCUUCAAUGGAGCCCGAUCUACAGCAGCAGUUCGAAAACAUUAAGGCUUUCGAUAUGAUCGAGAACCUCAAAAGCAUGUUUCUGAUGUAGGCUAGGACCGAAAGGUUCAACGUCUGGCUAUCCUUGAUGGAUUGUAAGUUGAAUGAAAGUGAUCAAGAUGACUAGGUACAUGCAAGCUUUGGAUUGGUUGGGCUUCCCACUUGGGAACGUUCAACUCGAACUACCAUAUGCAUGGGAUGGAAAAGAAGCUCACUGAAUUGCAUGGGAUGCUCAAGGUGGCAGAGCAGGAUAUAAAGAAAGUUACGCAUCGUCAAGUGUUGAUGGUGCAGAACUGGGCUAAGUUCAAGAAGAGAUGUUCCAAGAAAAAGCAUAAGGCAAACGGCCAGGAGGAGAAGGCAACUCCAACUUCUGCCGUUGCGCCUAAGUCAGGGCCAGCCGGGGACCGUUUUCUUUCACUGUAAGGAACACGGCCACUAGAAAAUGAACUGCAACAAGUGGCUUGUCGAGAAGGGCAAGAAGACUGGAAGUGUCACUUCUUCAAGUACACUUAUUGUAUAUGUUAUAGACAUUUAUCUUGCUGAUGUUUCUAGUAGCUCUUAGGUAUAUGUUACCGGAUCGGAUGUUCACAUAUGCAUCUCGAUGCAGAGUCUAAGAAGAACUAGGAAUGUUGGAAGAGAAGUUGACAUACACAUCGUGAAUAAAGCAAGAGUUGAUGCAUUGGCCGUCAGCACUAUGCAACUUAAUUUACCUUCAGGAUUUGGAAUGGAACUUGAUAAUUGUAAUUAUGUUCCUGCUUUGAGUCAAAACAUUAUUUCUGCCUCAUGUUUGAUGAUACAAGUUUAUGAAAUAAGUAUUAAGGACAAUGGUUGUUCUAUGUACUUGAAUAAAAUGUUUCAUGGCUUUCCACCUAUUGUGAACGGGUUAUUAAUCCUAGAUCUUGAAGGUGAGCCAGUCUAUAACAUAAAUGUCAAGAGGCAUAAGCCUAACGAAAUAAACCCGACUUACAUCUGGCAUUGUCGACUAGUACACAUUAGUAAAAGUGCAUGAGGAAGCUCAAUGAUGAUGGAAUUCUAACUUCAUUUGAUUUUGAAUCAUUCGAGACAUGUGAGUGUUGCCUUCUUGGCAAGAUGACUCAGACUCCUUUUGCAAGGAGUUGCGAAAGGACGUCCGAGUUAUCGAAACUCAUCAUAGUGAUGUAUGUGGACCAAUGAGCACGACAGCAGGUGGUUUCCAAUAUUUCGUGACGUUUACAGAAAACUUGAGUAGAUUUGGAUAUGUCUACUUGAUGAGGCACAAGUUAGAAACUUUUGGAAAGUUCAAGGAGUUUGAGAGCGAAGUGGAGAAUCAACUCGGCAAGAGAAUCAAACUUCUACGAUCUGAUCGUGGCGGUGAGUAUAUGAGCCAGGAGUUUGAUGAUUAUCUAAAGAGUCGUGGAAUAGUUCCACAACUGUAUCCUCGGGGUAUGCCACAGAGAAAUGGCGUGUUGGAACGAAGGAAUCGGACUCUGUUAGACAUGGUCCAAUCAAUGACGAGUCGGUCGGAUUUACCUUUGUUAUUUUGGCGAUACGCUCUAGAAACUGCGUAUUUCACACUAAAUAGGGUACCAUCCAAGUUUGUAGAUAAGACGGCAUAUGAGAUAUGGACUGCGAAGAGUCACAGUUUGUCUUCUCUAAAAAUUUGGGGUUGUGAAGCAUACGUCAAGCGACUCCAGUCAGACAAGCGCACACCCAAGUCGGACAAGUGCAUAUUCGUGGGGUAUCCAAGGGAAACCUUGGGAUCUUACUCCUACAUCCGUGAAGACUGCAAAGCGUUUGUCGCUCGACAUGGAGUUUUCCUUGAGAAAGAGUUUCUCAAUCAGAAGGCUAGUGGGAGGAUGAUACGACUCGAGGAAAUUCGAGAACCACAUGGAGUUAGUCAGGGAACCCAUGGUGGAGUCGACGCCAAUUCCACGGAGGUCAGAAAGGUUGCGCAAUAUGCAUGACUGCAAUGUGUUGUUCUUGGAGAACAACGAGCCGGCAACGUAUGCGGAAGCCAUAGAGAGCCCUGAUUCCGAGUUAUUGCUUGAGGCCAUGAGAUCCGGAUUAAAGUCCAUGGAUGGCAAUCAAGCUUGGAACUUGGUUGAUCUGCCAGAUGGCGCUCGAGGCAUUGAGUGCAAACUGGUAGUGAUGCCUAAAUAAAUUAGGACCAUUCUUGCUAUAUCUGCAUAUUUCGACUAUGUUACUAUUAUGUUCUUCAACAGAAGGUCCCAAAUGUUGUUGUGCCUCUGCUGAUGGACGCCGAAAGUGAGAUGACAAUUGUUUGCCCUUUGAAGAUCAGAUUCAAAUAUACAUACUCGACCGAGCGUUAAUCAAAUGGAUGCCUCAAAAUUGAGUGAUGGAGGCAAAUAGUCAAUGAGCUCGGGCCACAAAUUGGAGACCGGGGAUCUCUGUGGUCCAUCAUGGAGAUGUAGUUUUUUUUCUCUGUUUUAUUCUAUUUUACCUAAGACACUGGAGUAGGUCAUAGUACUUGUCAUGUGCUUGAAAGUUACUUACCUAGGAUGAUGACAAUUAGUUAGUAGUGGUUAACUUAUGAUGAUGAUGAUGGUGAUGAUGGUGAUGAUGAUGAUGAUGAGACAUUUUUAUAUAAUUAUGAUCAUGAUGAGCUGUUAUAUCACUACGAUGAUGAUGAGUUAUAUCAUUUUGAUAAUGAUGAGUUGUUACAUGAUGAUGAUGAUGAUGAUGAUGAUGAUGAUGAUGAUGAUGAUGAUGAGUUGUUAUAUAGUUGCUUGUGUAUAAAAAUCUGUAUAAUUAUUGUAUAAAUAUAGUAUAAUAUGUAGAAAGGAAAUACAUAGAGUUAGUAGUGGCGGGGGGCCUCGCGCUAUAGCUAGUUAUUAGUAGCACGGGCCAAACACCGCGCUGCUCCUAAUGUAAGUAGUAUUAGAGCCGAGCCUGGCCCGUCUUACUAGGAACCAGUUAGCUACACGCUGAUGAGUUGUUAUAUGAUGAUGAUGAUGAUGAUGAGUUUUUAUAUAGUUGCUAAUGUAAGUAGCGAGGCAACCCGCACUACUCCUAUGCCUUUAAACCGCGCCACUACUAGCCUUAUCCCUUGUAGUGACGGGCAGAUGGAGCGAUGAAAUGCGCAUGUCCUCAAUGGGCUCCAAACGAGAACAUUCGCCUAACUCAAGAAGUGUGGCCGGUGAUGGAUCGAUGAGCUUCCCUAUGUUCUAUUUAGUGUAGAUAUCACUCUUAAUUAACUUGUUUUUCUGCGGAUAGUAACUAACGCUUUGAGCCUUUGUGGUUUAUCUCACAAUUUUUGUCUUCACAACUGGAGUAGGCCACAAUGUUGAGAUGCAAAAAAAGGUCCAUAAACUAAUUAAAUGGAAUAUCAUUUAGAUACGACACUUAUAAGAUACACUAAAUAUUAAGAGACGUGUUGAGUAUAUAAUGAAUAGGGGUCAUUGUCUCUAAAUAGUUUUCACUAAAUAGGAUGAUGUGUUAAGAGACACUGCGUUGUGAGUUCCCUUUCGCUAAAUUAAUUUGCCCUGGUUCGAUUGCAGAGAUGUGUGCGGAGUUUCUUGGGGGAGUUUGGCAGCCAAUCGAUGAUAACUAGUUCUAGGACGCUACUAGGUCAGAUUCAAAACUGAACAUAUGGCUUGGUCCAAGAGUUUCGGCUCUCACAACCUGAAAAUCUGCAGCUUUCACACUAAAUAUUAAGAGAUUCGAAACUGAACAUAUCUGUCAUUGGUUUGAUGCUGUGGGUCCGUUUCAUUAUCUUUUUUUUUAUCAGGUAGUUGGACGGCCACACCAUGCCCUGAAAAUCUGUCUAGAUCUUGAUCGGGAGGCAUAAGAUUUCUUAUUCUGACAACCCUGAAACUGUUUGCCAUGCAUGCAUUAUCCUUCGCAAAGCGAAUUAAGUUGCCCCUAGACAAGGGCGGAUGGAGUAUAGUUCACUGUAGCUUCAUGAUUCUUUUGUCAGCUUAUUUUUUAGAGCUGCGGCUAUCAUAUUUACACCUGCUGUUAUAUCUGUUUCCAGAACCAUGUGUCAGCAGCUUCUGUUAUCAUAGCCAAUAAAACUAUCACGAAGCUACAGUGUGAGCAAUGAAGACGUUAUAUAAACAGGGAUAAAAUAUAUUGUGCUAAACUGCUCUAUCCAAAACCAUGUGUCUGCUCCUCUUGUUUGUUUCUUUACUAUUUUUCAUAUUGUGGAUGAUCAUGACGAUACAUACUAAAGAGUUUUGCAUAGCAUAUGUAAUUUCAUGCAUACAGACAAUGUUUUUUUAUUGGUGUAUUAUUUCACUCUGUUAAGACAAAAUUAUAUUUUGGAAUAUUGAAAUAAUAAUAUUAGGUAAAUCAUACAUGUGCACUAUGAAGCUAACUUUGUGCAAGAGAAAUGAGUAAAAUUAAGGACAAGAUUUAUACCUAUGCAAUACAAAAAAAAACUAUCUGCAGCAGUAAAUUCAUGUAGCUGGCAACAUUACUGGUACAAAUUAGAUCUAAUUAUAGUGCAUACAUGUACCUUUUUUAGAAAACAAAUCUUGAAACUUCGAUAGAAAAUUUUACGAUUUAUGAAAUUUGAAUGGGAAAACUAAACCAAAACCAAAAGGCCGGGAGUUAAAUGUGAGUGAAAAUAAAUGUCAGGAGGUAUUUGUCAGUGAAAAUAAAUAUGAGUGACACUUCUCCAUGCAAAAAUGUUAGUGAAAAAACUUGAAUUUUCACUGUAAAAACAACCCCAAAAUAAAGGAGGAAGCAGAACCAUCGAAAUGUUUAUGAAACGAACAACCACCAACAUAAGAGAGAAGUCACCAUACUCAUUAAGACGCCCAUGUUCAUCUGAGUAGUUAAGCCACUGCAUAGCAAUUAAUAGAAAGAAAACUGCAUAGAAAUUAAUUUUGAUGGGCUCGUGGAUCACGGCAGAAGCAUGCAUGAAUGCAUAUGUCUAUCGUUGCAGGUCAUUCAUGAGAGCAAUGCAUUCAUAUCUAUCUUUGCACGGAUGGAAAAAUUAGUCUGGCGCCAUAUAUCUUCUAUUUGUUAUACUACAGAAAGACAUAUUAAAAUAAAGUUGCCCCUAAACAAGGUGGAUGGACGACCACUCAUUUUGGCAGACUGUACUCGCACAAUUCGUUUUCCCAAUAAUAAUGUGAAUGGAGAGAGUAUAAUUCACACUGUCGCUUCAUGAUUCUUUUGUCAGCUUAUUUUUUAGAGCUGCCUUUUUUUUUGCGGGAAUAUUUUUUAGAGCUGUCAGCUAUUAUAUUUACCCCUACUGCCAUAACUAUUUCCAGAGCCAUGUGUCGGCAGCUUUUGUUAUCAUAGCCGACAAAACUAUAACGAAGCUACAGUGUGAGCCAGGAAGACGUUAUAUUUUCAGGGAUAACAUAUAUAUUGUGCCAAACUCCUCUAUCCAAAACUAUUUGCCGGCACCUCUUGUUUUGUUUAUUUACAAUUUUAAUAUUGUGGAUGAUCAUGACGAUACGAAGUAAAGAGUUUUGCAUAGCAUAUGUAAUUUCAUGCAGGCAGACAACACUUUUUUAUCAGUGUAUAAUUUUGCUCUGUAAAGACAAGAUUUUAUCUUGUGAUAUUGAAAACAUAGUGUUAGAUAAAUCAUAGAUGUGAUCUUUGUGGAUAAAUUUGUGCAAGAGAAUUGAAUAAAAUUAAGAACAAGUUGUAUACCUGUGCAAUAAAGAAAACUAUCUGCAGUAGUAAAUACAUGUAGGUGGCAACACUCACAUUUUGGUUAUUCCUGUAUAAACAUUGCUAGUGCAAAUUGGAUCCUAUAUAUUGUGCACACGGUGUUCCCGUCCUCGGAUGGUUUCCCCUUGUUCGGUCUUGCUCAUUCUCGUUGCUCACAAGCUCAUGCAAUUGAGAACCUGAGAUCUUCAAUCUGGCCAUCUGGGAUUUCCGGACUUCUCCUUCGAAGGAAAACAAGGACUGGCACAUAUGGCGCUCUUUGGACACCUUGACUAGAUAGGGGCCUGUCGUGUGCACCCGCAACAUCAGCAUAACCAGCUUUACCGGGGUAUCGUGCAGCUCUGUUUUUGUUGGCACCUUGGGACAUGUCUGCACCAAGAUUCCCAUGGGAUCAACACAUGUGGAGAAUGUCAUGGCGUGAUUGAAGGACUUGCAAGUGGCAAAGGCGGGGUCUUGGAUGCGAUGAAGACUUUGCUUCAUAGGCAGUUGUUUAGACAUGGCUUACGGGAUAUGUUCCCAUCCAGACGGGACGUGAAUUCCUGUGAGCCUAAUGGUGCGUGACUUGCAGUAGUAGCCUCCGCAAGUGGGGGUGGCGGCAUUGGAGGACUUCUUUGUUAUUCGGUGCUCCUCUGAGUACCCAAUCAGGAUUUCCAAGGUGAAAACCCAAGGUCUGGCCUUUAUUGGUUGUGCCUGGCAGUAGUCUUGUUGAAGGCAUUAUUGUUGGGAACCUCAUCUUUCUCCAGGGUGAAAACGUAAUAUCUUUGAUCAGGCAACGACAACGCUUGUGCUUUGUUUCCUUCCUGGAGGCAUUGCUUUUGGAGAACCUAUUUUGUAGUCCGGGUGCCAUCUUUGGUGGUGGUUAGAGUGCGGCUACUUCGGGUAUUGAUCACCGUGGUGGGAUAUUUUUUCUUCUCUUUUUAUUUUGAUUUUUAGUUGUGUGCAUCCUGGAUGUUUUUAGGCAUCUUGUUGUUGCAGAGUCUGGGAGUAAUUGGUAUCUGCUUGAUAUUAAUACAUUCUCCUUUACAAAAAAAAAUUACAUAUGCCUUUUCUAGAAUUUUUUUCCUAAAACUUCCAGGGAUGAUUCUAUCAUUUGUUUAAUUUUAAUGGAAAAAUUAAACCAAAACCAAAACGUCAGGAGGUAAAUGUGAGUGAAUAUUAAGGUCAAGAGGUAAAUGUGUUUGAAAUAAAUAUGAGUGACACUUCUCCAUGUGAAAUUGUUAGGGAGAAAACUAGACUUCUCUCUGUAAAAAUAACCCCAAAAUUAUGGAGGAAACAAAACCAUCCAAAUAAACAAUAUAUUGAGAAGUCUAUGAAACGAACAACCACCAAGAUAAAAGAGAAUUCGCCAUACUCAUCAAGACGCCCACAUGUCAAUAGCUCAGUCAGUCAACAUUAUAGCAAUUAAUUUUGAUAGGCUCAAGGAUCAUAGUAGAAGCAUGCAUGAAUCGUUGCAGGUCAUUGAUGAGAGCAAUGCAGAUCACUAUCUUUGCAUGGUCAGAAAAAUUAUUCUGGCGCCACCUAUCUUCUAUUUGUUAAACCAUAUGAAGGCGCAUAUCUCAUCACGAACGAUUAAUCAACAAUAUAUACUACACAAUGACACAUUAAAAUUAUUGCACAUGGGCGAGAUUGAUGGCUUUAUCCUUCAUAUGAUCCAAAUAAUCGUAUUUAUUGUUCACACUGUAACAACAUAAUGGUUUUGUUGGCUAUCUACCCCUGCUACCAUUCCUAUCUCUUGAGCAACAUGCUAGUAUCUUUUGUUUAGUUUAGCUAAAAAGAUUGGAAUGAGAGAUUUCCUUUUUUUGUGCAAUAACAUGAUAGUACAAACUACUGAACUUUACAUAUUUAGGUACUCAAUAAAAUACUGUUAAAGAUAGCUAUAGACAUUAGUCAUAUUAAUUCAACCAUAAGAGAUUAUCAUGUACCAUAUUAGCAUGAUUACUGGUCCUGUUCAAGAAUUCGUCCGAUUAACCAGUUAACUUGGAAAUUAAUCCCUACUUGUAAGGUCAUCGUGUAGCCAAUAAACUGAUAAAUCCUCCGUUUAAUUUCUUAACAGGACAAUUAACUUGCCGAUUACCCUAUUAAUCCCCUACUCCCUAGCCAACCAAGCAGCUACCAGUUAACAAUUUCCUCAACAAAUUUACUGGUAUGUUCCUGUUUAGAUGGUUCACCAAUACACUUCCAAAGUUAUUUUUGAGAAUGAUGCACCCUUUUUACAUUUUUUUGGUAUUAUUCCAUCAAUGCUGCACUACAUCAUAGCAUCUUCUUCUUUUUGGAAUGGCUAUGAAAGGACACGAUAGGUAUGUCUGGUGAACUUUUUGUGGAGAUACUUGGGCUCAUGUGUCUGAGAAUAAGAGGAUGUCCUCCCAUAGGAUUUACAUAUACCAACAACUAUUAACCAUGUCUCAAUGUGAGAUUGGAGACUAAAGAGUCUAGAUUUUAUAAGAUUAACCGGAAGUGUUGACUUCAACCGUGUAUUACUAAUCCACUGCAGUUGAAUUUUUGCAGUUGAAUUUUGCAUAUGGCUAAUUUAUUAAUCAACACCUAGGAGGAAUAGUUUGUAGGAGUUACCUAUAGCGUUGCCCUGGCAAAAGGAAAUGUGAUUGUUUAUCAAAAUUGUUUCUACUUAUAUUGUUUUAUCCCGUUACUACUGCAGCACUAAUUUUUAGUUAACUAAUGAAAGAAAGGCAUCAUAUUGUUUUAUCCCAUUGAUACCAGAGCACCAAUUUUUAGUUCAUUAAUUAUGUUGCUAUCUUCAAGUAUUUUUAAUCUGGAGGAAGUUCCACAAAACAAAAAUGUGAGAGUCAAAAAGGUGAGGGGAAAACGAGCUGAAUACCACCUUCUUUGUCCUGUCUUGCUUAAUCCACUUGAAGCCAGAUUACCACUUCGGCAGGGUAUGCUGAUGGAACUCGAACUAGGAACCUCAGUGACAUUUGUAGCCAUACAUUCAAAACACCUCCAGGCACAUGAUUUCAAAAGAUAUUUUUGAAGCAACAGGUCACCAAGCGUCUAAUUGAGUGUUGUAGACAUGACAAUGUCUAAAAUGGCGACUUUGAGGAAGCGUAAUGGAACAAACAUUGUGUCAUGCAUGUGCUCUCUACCACACCCUCGACAAAAAUCAAGAUCCCAGUCCAGUGGAAUGAGGAGGACUAGGAUAUGGACGACGAAGGGCCCAGCAACUAGAUAGAGACAACUUAGGAGUGAGCCAUAGGAAGAUCAUCUAGUGCACUGGGUGUGUGGAUUUGAGGGCCCACUUGUAAGAGAGUGCGUAUGCGUUUAAAAGGGGCAAGUGAAUCAGACAUGUGCCGUAACUUAUCGAUGAAAUAAUAAUUGUUUGAACUCUCACCUACUCUGUUCUGCAUCUCACCCUCUUCAUCUGUUCUUCAACUUCUUCUCAUCCCCUACUCCAUAUUAUCCUCUCCAAUAUGUGAUUCUUCCACCAACACUAGUUGGACAUCACAGUUUGACAAUGGAAAUCUUGGUAAAUUUUUCUCUUUGACAGCACUCGGAAACAAUUGAUGCAGGCGCAAAUCCAUGAUAUAAGGGAUAUUUUCUGUAGCAUUGUUUGAAAAUACAUCAGUUACGCAAGGGCCCUUUUGCUUCUUUACUUCUUGUUCUGUGUGCACUCUGAUGUUCGAAGGUGCAGUGAUGGUAGACAGAUAUUUAGUUGGAAGAAAAAUAGAUAAACUCAGAUUUCGUGUAACCCGGGCUCACUCUUUUCAGUGAAUAAAUUAUUGUCACAAAAAACCAGCCUUUUGCUUCUCUUGAUGACAUUAUUCUUAGAAGUAAGAAUGUGCAUUUCUGCAGCCCAUGCUCAUGUGCUAUUUUUUCUUUUUAACUAGUGUAACAAAUGGGGUAGAUGUUUUUUUUUCUGUGCCAAUAAUGGUGUUAAGACUGCUAAAAUCUUGUAAGGGAAGAAAACAUUGAAGAGCAGAAAGAAGAAGAAAAUCAUUUAUUUAUAUAGAACUGACAUGCAUUUGAACAUCAACAGUCAUUUAUUAUUAAUAAUUCCGCAUUUUGUGAAUUCCUUUCUCCAAUGUUUUCUUCCAGGUUUAUUUACUAUGAUAGGCUCACCAGGAAAGGAACCUGAAAAUUUAAAUCGUGUCAAUUUCCUUUUCACACAAUUCUCUCAUGAUGCAAUGGUUUCAGAGAACGCUGUUGUUAUUUGCCAGACAUGUGAUGUUUAGUAUGACUUGAACUAACAUAACAUGCAUAAUACGUUUAUUGAGUACAUGAAGGUUGGUUUCUUUGAAUCAUUUUGGAUUAGCCUGUUUGCAAAGGCUAUUAUCAUUCCACCACUCAGUGAUUUAUGAAUAUCUCCCAUUCAUUUGAUGUGAGUUCCCUGCAACCACACACGAUAUUUCCCUUACUCCGUUUUCGGUAAGAUAUGGGAAACUAAACAUUCAAGGAUAUUGUUCCCACAAGUGGAGAGACUGAAAAAGUCGCGCGCGUUGCUCUCCNNNNNNNNNNNNNNNNNNNNNNNNNNNNNNNNNNNNNNNNNNNNNNNNNNNNNNNNNNNNNNNNNNNNNNNNNNNNNNNNNNNNNNNNNNNNNNNNNNNNNNNNNNNNNNNNNNNNNNNNNNNNNNNNNNNNNNNNNNNNNNNNNNNNNNNNNNNNNNNNNNNNNNNNNNNNNNNNNNNNNNNNNNNNNNNNNNNNNNNNNNNNNNNNNNNNNNNNNNNNNNNNNNNNNNNNNNNNNNNNNNNNNNNNNNNNNNNNNNNNNNGAGGCCGAACAGGUGAAGCCCGCCUCGGUGGGCGGCGGCAUCAGGGCAGUCUAUUCCCGCGGCAACUCAUCGCCCUGGACGGCGGAGCCCGCUCGCGGCACGGUGGCGAAAGUCGGCGCGUUGGAUCCCACGGUGGACCCCUCGUCAGCGUGGAGAGAUGCUUGUGUGUGGCUGACCGGGGUCGAGCACGAGGGAUUCGGGCCUUGUUCGCCGUAUCAAUCUCGCGACGACACCUAUGUCUUCAGCUGGUGCGGUCAGGGUGGUGACCCGGGCUGGCGGCGGCGACCGGUUCCUCCAUGGCUGGUGGGUUAAGUCCUUGACCUGGACGACCAUGUGACGAUGGGUGGUGGCAGAGGCCGCAGAACUAGCGUGCCAUCCAGAUCCAUCUCGGCGUGGCCUUGGCCGGCAGGCGAUGCGUGCAGGGACCGAUCUGGGGCGGCUGGAGGCCCUAUGCCGACGUUCCAGCGAUAGCUUACGUCUCCAUGGCGACGCAACUUCUAGUGAAAAUGUGCUGACUGCGGUCAUGGAAGAUGGUGGCAUCUCUAAUGUCGUUUCCUUCUUCGAGGCAUCGUCGUUUGUAAGCUGUGUCACUACGCUCGGGAUGUUCCGGGGGGAACUCUAUUUCUGGGUAUCCCGGAUCAGACGAUGACGGUGCCUUCAGCGCCAUUCUCCCUCCUAGGGGCAUUGUUCUGGAGCAGGUGCCGACUGGAAGAGACAAGUGGAGGAGCGGUGUUACAUCUACCGCAAGGAUGACGCAGGGUCUCGGUGGCGUGGCAAGGCAGAGUGUCGGCGACGAGCGCCCACGCUAGAUGGUUGAGCUAUCUGGUGUCGAGAUGGCCUGGCGAGAUGAAUACGUUGAUCGCUCCUGAAGGUGGGACAGCAGAACAUGGCGGUGGCUUAAUCUAAAGUGUGUGCAUGCUGUGCGCGCAAAGGGUCUAGCUAGACCAGUUGGUGCUCUCGAAUUGCCGGCAGACAUCUUGGUGAGGUGACCGGAAUAUAUGAUGUGUGUUGAUAAGUGGUCAGGGCACGGCAUUAAAGCUUGUAGGUGUAACGACAAUAGUUUCUAGGGAGGUGGCUUUGCCUUGAUCCAUAUAUUUGUUUUGUUUGGUUCCGUUGAAUAAUAUAAUAAAAUGGUUGUGUGCAUGGCCCGAUGCAUAGACUAGGGGUAAUCGUCUUUUUCGAAAAAAAGUAGAAUGGUACAGUCACACCAUUUUGCCAGUGACAUGCUAAAAAUGGCAUGAUAAACAAUUCCUGAAUGAUAAAUCACAUGGUGACAGUAUAUCUAUUUUAUAGGAAGAGCUGGAUAGAUUAGAGUAUACUGCCCCAGGAUUUUAAAGUGAGUGCGAGAGUUCAGAUUUAUUUACAUGUUUAGCUUCAGAGCUUCAGAACGUCUUUUUUUCACGAAUACACAAAGCUUGAAUAUCUUUUAUUGAUAGAAGAAAGAGAAUGAGUACAACAGAGGAUACAACACAUGGCAUGAACCCAAAGAGGCAUGAUCAUGGAACCCGGAGUAGAGAGACAAGGGGUGCUCAGCCCGAAUAGGGAAAUGACACAACUACACCCACAAAUCCUAAACAGAGAGGCAGGCCGAACAAGCACGGCGUCGAACAUCUCAAAAUCCAACACCAGGGACACCACGAGCGAACAAGAUAGCGCCUUCAGGAAGGGGUGCGACGUCGUGACACCGCCGCCAUCCGAUCCGAGGAACCGGAUCUAGGGUUUCCCCCAGCGCUCAAAGAGGGGCACGGAUAAAAGCCAUGGCAAAUAACUCACGAGUGUCGCCUCUGCCAACAUCGGCAAGAAGAGCAUGGAUUUCGCCUGGCCCAAGUCCGAGCAAUCCCAUAGCUGCCAAAUCAGGAUCCGAAGAUGAGGAAGACAAUCCGCUAGUCAACCACCGUCCCAGUACGGAGGUGGUGGGGCUGCACCUGCUGCCAAAAGAACACGAGCUUUGGAAAUGACAUGCCGUGGGUGUCGACGGGGUCGGGGAGGCAGCGUGGUAGACAGCUUGCAUGGAGGGUGGGAUGGUGACCGGCGCCGCUGACGAGAUGGAGCCGGAAGGGAGCACAAGUCCGAGCUGCCGGAGGUGAAGCCGCCAGAACACCGGCAAACCGAAGAUGCCGGAAGGGGACGCAGCGACCGGGGUGUUGGGGCUGAAAUUGAAGGAAAUAUGCCCUAGAGGCAAUAAUAAAGUUAUUAUUUAUUUCCUUAUAUCAUGAUAAAUGUUUAUUAUUCAUGCUAGAAUUGUAUUAGCCGGAAACAUAAUACAUGUGUGAAUACAUAGACAAACAGAGUGUCACUAGUAUGCCUCUACUUGACUAGCUCGUUAAUUAAAGAUGGUUAUGUUUCCUAACCAUAGACAUGAGUUGUCAUUUGAUUAACGGGAUCACAUCAUUAGGAGAAUGAUGUGAUUGACUUGACCCAUUCCGUUAGCUUAGCGCACGAUUGUUUAGUAUUCUGCUAUUGCUUUCUUCAUGACUUAUACAUGUUCCUAUGACUAUGAGAUUAUGCAACUCCCGUUUACCGGAGGAACACUUUGUGUGCUAUCAAACGUCACAACGUAACUGGGUGAUUAUAAAGGUGCUCUACAGGUGUCUCCACAGGUACUUGUUGGGUUGGCGUAUUUCGAGAUUAGGAUUUGUCACUCCGAUUGUCGGAUAGGUAUCUCUGGGCCCACUCGGUAAUGCACAUCACUUAAGCCUUGCAAGCAUUGCAACUAAUGAGUUAGUUGCGAGAUGAUGUAUUACGGAACGAGUAAAGAGACUUGCCGGUAACGAGAUUGAACUAGGUAUUGAGACACCGACGAUCGAUUCUCGGGCAAGUAACAUACCGAUGACAAAGGGAACAACGUAUGUUGUUAUGCGGUUUGACCGAUAAAGAUCUUCAUAGAAUAUGUGGGAGCCAAUAUGAGCAUCCAGGUUCCGCUAUUGGUUAUUGACCGAAGACGUGUCUCGGUCAUGUCUACAUAGUUCUCGAACCCGUAGGGUCCGCACGCUUAAAGUUUCGAUGACAGUUAUAUUUUGAGUUUAUAUGUUUUGAUGUACCGAAGGUAGUUCGGAGUCCCAGAUGAGAUCACGGACAUCACGAGGAGUCCCGAAAUGGUCGAGACAUGAAGAUUGAUAUAUUGGACGACUAUAUUCGGACACCGGAAUGGUUCCGGUGGUUAUCGGAUAUAUACCGGAGUACCGGGAGGUUACCGGAACCCCCUGGGGGUUUAAUGGGCCUACAUGGGCCUUAGUGGAGAAGAGGAGAGGCGGCUAGGGCAGGCCGCGCGCCCCCUCCCCCUCUAGUCCGAAUUGGACAAGGAGGGGGGCGGCGCCCCCCCUUUCCUUCCUCUCUCUCUCCUCUUUCCCCCUUCUCCUAAUCCAACAAGGAAGGGAAGGGAGUCCUACUCCCGGUGGGAGUAGGACUCCUCCUGGCGCGCCCCUCUCCUGGCCGGCCGCCUCUCCCCCUUGCUCCUUUAUAUAAGGGGGCAGGGGGGCACCCCAAAGACACAACAAUUGAUCAUUGAUCUUUUAGCCGUGUGCGGUGCCCCCCUCCACCAUAGUCCACCUCGAUAAUAUCGUAGCGGUGCUUAGGCGAAUCCCUGCGUCGGUAGAACAUCAUCAUCGUCACGACGCCGUCGUGCUGACAAAACUCUCCCUCAACACUCGGCUGGAUCGGAGUUCGAGGGACGUCAUCGGGUUGAACGUGUGCUGAACUCGGAGGUGCCGUGCGUUCGGUACUUGAUCGGUCGGAUCGUGAAGAAGUACGACUACGUCAACCGCGUUGUGCUAACGCUUCCGCGUUCGGUCUACGAGGGUACGUGGACACACUCUCCCCUCUCGUUGCUAUGCAUCACCAUGAUCUUGCGUGUGCGUAGGAAUUUUUUUGAAAUUACUACGUUCCCCAACAGUGGCAUCCGAGCCAGGUUUUAUGCCUAGAUGUUAUAUGCAUGAGUAGAACACAAGUGAGUUGUGGGCGAUACAAGUCAUACUGCUUACCAGCAUGUCAUUCUUUGGUUCGGCGGUAUUGUUGGAUGAAGCGGCCCGGACCGACAUUACGCGUACGCUUACGCGAGACUGGUUCUACCGACGUGCUUUGCACACAGGUGGUUGGCAGGUGUCAGUUUCUCCAACUUUAGUUGAACCGAGUGUGGCUACGCGCGGUCCUUGAGAAGGUUAAAACAGCACUAACUUGACGACUAUCGUUCUGGUUUUGAUGCGUAGGUAAGAAUGGUUCUUGCUCAGCCCGUAGCAGCCAUGUAAAACUUGCGACAACAAAGUAGAGGACGUCUAACUUGUUUUUGCAGGGCAUGUUGUGAUGUGAUAUGGUCAAGACAUGAUGCUAUAUUUUAUUGUAUGAGAUGAUCAUGUUUUGUAACAGAGUUAUCAACAACUGGCAGGAGCCAUAUGGUUGUCGCUUUAUUGUAUGCAAUGCAAUCGCCCUGUAAUGCUUUACUUUAUCACUAAGCGGUAGCGAUAGUCGUAGAAGCAUAAGUUGGCGAGACGACAACGAUGCUAUGAUGGAGAUCAAGGUGUCGCGCCGGUGACGAUGGUGAUCAUGACGGUGCUUCGGAAAUGGAGACCACAAGCACAAGAUGAUGAUGGCCAUAUCAUAUCACUUAUAUUGAUUGCAUGUGAUGUUUAUCUUUUAUGCAUCUUAUCUUGCUUUGAUUGACAGUAGUAUUAUAGGAUGAUCUCUCACUAAAUUAUCAAGGUAUAAGUGUUCUCCCUGAGUAUGCACCGUUGCGAAAGUUCUUCGUGCUGAGACACCACGUGAUGAUCGGGUGUGAUAGGCUCUACGUUCAAACACAACGGGUGCAAAACAGUUGCACACGCGAAAUACUCAGGUUAAACUUGACGAGCCUAGCAUAUAACAGAUAUGGCCUCGGAACACUGAGACCGAAAGGUCGAGCGUGAAUCAUAUAGUAGAUAUGAUCAACAUAAAUGAUGUUCACCAUUGAAACUACUCCAUCUCACGUGAUGAUCGGACAUGGUUUAGUUGAUAUGGAUCACGUGCUCACUUAGAGGAUUAGAGGGAUGUCUAUCUAAGUGGGAGUUCUUAAGUAAUAUGAUUAAUUGAACUUUAAUUUAUCAUGAACUUAGUCCUGGUAGUAUUAGCAUAUCUAUGUUGUAGAUCAAUAGCUCGCGAUAUUGCUCCCCGUUUAAUUUUUAUAUGUUCCUAGAGAAAACUAAGUUGAAAGAUGUUAGUAGCAAUGAUGUGGAUUGGAUCCGUGAUCUGAGGUUUAUCCUCAUUGCUGCACAGAACAAUUAUGUCCUUGAUGCAGCGCUAGGUGACAGACGUAUUGCAGGAGGACAUGCAGACGUUAUGAACGUUUGGCUAGCUCAAUAUGAUGACUACUUGAUAGUUUAGUGCACCAUGCUUAACGGCUUAGAAUCAGGACUUCAAAGAUGUUUUGAACAUCAUGGACCAUAUGAGAUGUUCCAGGAGUUGAAGUUAAUAUUUCAAGCAAAUACCCUAGUUGAGAGAUAUGAAGUCUCCAACAAGUUCUAUAGCUAAAAGAUGGAGGAGAAUAGCUCAAGAAGUGAGCAUGUGCUCAGAUUGUCUGGGUACUACAAUCACUUGAAUCAAGUGGGAGUUAAUCUUCCAGAUAAAGAUAGUGAUUGACAGAAUUCUCUAGUCACCAUCACAAAGUUAGUAUAACUUCGUGAUGAACUAUAGUAUGCAAGGGAUAACGUAAACGAUUCCCGAGCUUUUCAUGCUGGUGAAAUCAGAAAUCAAGAAAGAGCAUCAAGUGUUGAUGAUUAACAAGACCACUAGUUUCAAGAAAAUGGCAAAGGGAAAGAAAGGGAACUUCAUGUAGAACGGCAAGCAAGUUGCUGCUCAAGUGAAGAAGCCCAAGUUUGGACCUAAGCCUGAGACUGAGUGCUUCUACUGCAAAAGGACUGGUCACUGGAAGCAGAACUACCCGAAAUAAUUGGCGUAUAAGAAGGAUGGCAAAGUGAACAAAAGUAUAUUUGAUAUACAUGUUAUUGAUGUGUACUUUACUAGUGUUUAUAGCAACCCCUCAGUAUUUUAUACUGGUUGGCAACCUCUGCUUGCCUCUGCGAAGGGCCUAUCUUUUACUUUUAUGCAAGAGUCAUGGUGAUCUUCACCUUUCCUUUUUUUCAUUUUAUCCUUUGGCAAGUACCUCGUGUUGGAAAGAUUCUGAUAUAUCCAAUUGGAUGUAAGGCAUCAUGAACUAUUAUUGUUAACAUUACCCUUGAGGUAAAAGGUUGGGAGGCGAAUCUAUAAGCCCCUAUCUUUCUCUGUGUCUGAUUAAAACUUUGAACCCAUAAAUAUCGCGUGAGUGUUAGCAAUUGUGAAAGACUAAAUGAUAGUUGAGUAUGUGGAGUUUGCUAAAUCAAAGCUCUGACAUAGACUCUUCCUGAAAAUAAGAUGAAUUGUAAUUGUUUGAUGACUAAUAACACGGCUUGUUAGUUUUCAAGAAAGUUUAUGAUCUAUACUUUAACAUGUGAAUAGCUUGUUACUUGAUCAUGAAAAGUUCUAUGAGUUGAGCUACUGUUAUGACAUAUGAUGAUGCUAGAAAAAGUGAUUGAAAUUAUCAUUGAUCAAACUUGUGCACCUGCUAGCAUUCACACUUCAUAAAUUCUUUCUUUUAUCAUUUACCUACUCGAGGAUGAGCAGGAAUUAAGCUUGGGGAUGCUGAUACGUCUCCAACGUAUCUAUAAUUUAUGAAGUAUUCAUGCUAUUAUAUUAUCUGUUUUGGAUGUUUAUGGGCUUUAUUGAACACUUUUAUAUUAUUUUUGGGACUAACCUAUUAACCUAGAGCCCAUUGCCAGUUUCUGUUUUUUGCUUGUUUUUGAGUUCUACAGAAAAGGAAUACCAAACGGAGUCCAAUGGACGUCCCAAUUUUUGACGAUUUUUUAUGGACCAAAAGGAGACCCCGGAGCAAAAGGGUUGGGACAGGAGAGUCCCGGGCUGCCCACGAGGGUGGGGGGCGUGCCCUCCCCCCCUGGGCGUGGGCCCCUGCCUCGUGGACAACCCGGAGACCCCCCUGACAUGAGACCUACGCCAAAAAAUCCUAUAAAUACUGAAACCUCCAGAAAGCAGAAUAGAUCGGGAGUUCCGCCGCCGCAAGCCUCUGUAGCCACCAAAAACCAACCGGGACCCUGUUCCGGCACCCUGCCCGAGGGGGUAUGUCGGUGUCAAAACCGGCGGAUCUCGGGUAGGGGGUCCCGAACUGUGCGUCUAAGGCGGAUGGUAACAGGAGGCGGGGGACACGAUGUUUACCCAGGUUCGGGCCCUCUCGAUGGAGGUAAUACCCUACUUCCUGCUUGAUUGAUCUUGAUGAUAUGAGUAUUACAAGAGUUGAUCUACCACGAGAUCGUAGAGGCUAAACCCUAGAAGCUAGCCUAUGGUAUGAUUGUUUUUGUCCUACGGACUAAACCCUCCGGUUUAUAUAGACACCGGAGGGGGCUAGGGUUACACAGAGUCGGUUACAAGGGAGGAGAUCUGCAUAUCCGUAUUGCCAAGCUUGCCUUCCAUGCCAAGGAGAGUCCCAUCCGGACACGGGACGAAGUCUUCAAUCUUUUGUCUUCAUAGUCCAACAGUUCGGCUAAAGUAUAUAGUCCGGCUGUCCGAGGACCCCCUAAUCCAGGACUCCCUCAGUAGCCCCUGAACGAGGCUUCAACGACGAUGGGUCCGACGCGCAGAUUGUCUUCGGCAUUGCAAGGCGGGUUCCUCCUCCGAAUAUUCCAUAGAAGAUUUUGAACACAAGGAUAGUGUCCGGCUCUGCAAAACAAAUUCCACAUACCACCAUAGAGAGAAUAAUAUUUCCACAAAUCUAAUCUACUGACACAUUCUGCAGCAUGACAUCACACCAUGGCCCGGUCAUUAUUCGGACCGUUUUUCUUAACCAGCCACUGCACAUAUCGCGAGGCGGUUUUCUUGGCACGUCUUGUCGAAGCAGAGAUCGUGUCCCCCUAUCACGGGAUUGUCAUCAAUACGGGUGUGGGUAACCUAACCGCGCCAUCAAUUACAGCUCUUGGGGAAUAAGCGAGUUUACCAGGCAGGUGGGGAGGCGCAUAGUUCCUUCCGCCCUUAUAAAGAGACAAGGAUUCAUCUUUUUCACCCACGCCCUCUUCCUCCUUGCUCAUCCGUUCUUGCGCACUUGAGCUCCAACACCCAAGUUCGCAUUCUCUCCUCAAACCACUCCAAGCAUGUCCGGAGCAGGAGGCAAGUGGAUGGUCUCCUCCGUUACGAAGGAGGACAUCACAAGGCUAUGGGGAGCCGGAUACCUGGCCGCGGAUAUCGCGCACCGGCUACAAGAUGCGGGGCAGAUCGUCCCUACUCCAGAACCCCAUGAGAGGGUGAUAUUUCUUACCCACUUUGUCCGCGGACUGGGAUUUCCCCUCCACCUGUUUGUCCGCGGGCUCAUGUUCUACUACGGGCUGGACUAUCACGAUCUGGCCCCCAAUUUCAUCCUCAACAUCUCGGCGUUUAUCGUCGUGUGCGAGGCCUUCCUCCGCAUCAAGCCCCACUUCGGCCUGUGGCUGAAGACCUUCAACGUUAAACCGAAGGUGGUGGCCGGCCAGCAAGCGGAGUGCGGAGGCGCCAUGGUGGGCAAAAUGCCCAACGUCACCUGGCUAGAAGGCUCCAAUGUGGAGACCGUAAAGGGGUGGCAAUCGGGGUGGUUCUACAUCACCGAGCCGCGCGACACCAACUGGGUAGCGGCCCCCGAAUUUUUAUCCGGAAUCCCCAUGCGGCUCACCUCCUAGAAAGAGAAGGGCCUAUCCUGGGGUUCCUCGGUAGAGCUGACCGGACCCCAGACCUGCGUCAAAAACAUGAUGAGCAAGAAAAUCAAGCUUGUCAACAUGGUCCAAGUCAUGCUCUUCCGCCCGAUCCUCCCGUGUCAAAGACGGGCAUUCAAUUUGUGGGAGUUCGACCCGGCCGAGCACCAGACGCUGCGAGAGCUCUUCGACACGGCGCACAAGGACGUCUGGAAGGUGAUGUUCAAGGGCGCUGAGGUACCUCCUCCCCUUACCAAGGACCGCGGACUCAGCGCAAAGCGCCCUGCCAAUCCGGUAUGUCUUUUAUAUUUCAUAAGAUGUUCUUUUCCCCAGUAUAACCACACGCGGGAUCUAAGCCCCCACGCCAUUUAACAGGACUGGGUAGCGACAGCGGAGCAGAUCGAUUGUCCAGCCCCCCUGCCUGAAGAUCCAGCGGAUGCUCUCCUAACGGAGAUCCUGGUUUCGGCGCCUUAUGAGGUGCCGGAGAAGAAGGCCACGGGGACCAGGAAGGGUCUCCGGCGCAAGGUUAUAUCGGACUCAUCGUCCGAAAACACCGAGGCGCACUCCUCCCACGAAAACGGGGAGGAAGAGGAAAGUUCUCCCCCCCAGCCAGGGGGGACAGGACAAGGAAGGCUGCCCCAUCAGGGGAGGCCGAAGGGUCCAAGAAGGGAAGGACCCUCCUCCCGGACUGCUCCACAAAGGCCGCUUUUAGCGACGAGGAGUGGUUACCCAGGGACAAGCCCCUGGCAAAGUCGUGAGUAUCCGGAUACCAUAAUAAUUCUUGGUACGUCUUAUUGUACUGUUUCUUAUCACGCCGCGCAUGAUUAUGCAGUCCGUCCCGAGCCCAUAUCGACGUAUCUUCGUCGGAUGAUUCUUUGGGCCCGUCAGAUAUGAAUAGCGAUUCACUCCCGACUGCCUCCUCCCCCCGCCCUACGGACGACGCCGAGGUGUUGUCUCAAAGGGAACUAAACCAAGGGGAGACAGUUCCGGAGGCGCCCCAAGGCGACAUUCCAGGCGCUAGGUGCACGAGGGGCAAGACUCCCCUAGGCCCUAACACCGGGGGCAGUAAGUCUAGCCCCAAGCCGAAUACGGCGCCGGAACCUCCAGUGGUUCCGGAUUCUGUCAGGCAACCCCUCGCUAAGGGGGGUAAGCCGUCUGUGCCGAUGGCCUCUGUCCAUCCAGAGGCAUCGGACAACUUGCUAGAAGUGCUUCGCGGCGCUUCCAUUGACGAAGAGCACCGCACUAUUAUGAGUGCGGUAGUUAAGAAGGUUCAGUCCGCUAAGAGCGGACUGACUGAAGCCUGUGCCAACCUCCUAACCGGCUUUGAGGUAAGUAAUCAAAUUGUAAGAAAAUGUUACAGCAUAGACAGUAGCCCCUGAUGCUCUGUUUGGCGUUCGCGGAGAAAGGCCGAAUAGAGGAUCAAAUAAUAAUCGCAGGAGUCUAAUCAGAAUGUGUCUAUGUGAAUAAGCGGGCUUCACUGCUGGCCGCCGCCGCUCGUACUGCGGAGGUCACCGCACUGAAGCGGGACCUUGAGCGGUCCAAGGAAGAGCUCGGCCUUACCAAGAGGCAGCUCGAAGAGAACAAAGGUAAGUGACACCCCGUCUGAAUAUUGGUAAAGAAAAAUUUGGUUUUGGAAUAAUAGGAUCCUCAUGAAUUUUGCUAGGGGCCACGACCGAAGUGGCGGCCCUGCAGAAGGCGCUAUCUGAGGCCGAAGACAAAGCGGCCAAGGAGCACAUCGAGCGAGAGAAGCAAGAGGCCCGAGUAGGCGAGGUGCGGCAAGAGCUCCAGGCUCUCGUCAAGAAACACGAGUCCUUGGAGCUUGACUCUAUGACGCAAGGGUCCGAGCUUGCGAAGGCCCUCGAAAGCGCACAACAUGCCAAGGCCAAAGCCCAAAAGGCCCUCCAGGAAAUUUAGGCGGUUAAGAAGAUAGCGGCGGGUAAGGCAUUCAUUAUGCAAAGCAAGCAUGUGAAGGAAACUUUCUUUUUACUUACCCGAGUUCGGAGUUCUCCAGAAGCGUUCGCAGAUCUACCCCGCAGUGUGUCGGAUGCCACGGAGUUCUACCGGGCCGAGGAGGGGAGCUCGGCGGAGAAGUUGUUCUGGUCUCAGUAUACUGGGACCGAACAUCCAAUGCCCUUGAGCGACCAGUUGAAGCAACUGGUCGAGCUUCACAAGGCGGCCGAACAGGCCAUGAAGGGUCUUAUGGUCUGGAUGUGGCAUGGCGACCCCUGCCUGGUAGCUACUUCGGUCUGGUGAGGCGGCUUGUGAAUGCCUGCACACGGUUUGAAGUCAUAAAGCGGUCCGUCUGCAUUGAGGGUGCGCGCAGGACUUUUGCCCGGGCGAAGGUGCACAGGGCGAAGCUGGACGCCGAAAAGCUGGUGAAGGAGGGGCCGCCGGAGGGCAAGGAGCAUCGCCACCCCGAAAAGUAUUAUGAUAGUGUCCUGAAGGGUGCUCGCCUUGUGGCGGAGGAAUGUGCUAAGGAUGUAAUAUUUGAAUGAAUGUACUCAUGUGAUCCUGUAAUAUGAAACGAGUUCAUUUGCGUACGCAAUGCUUGUUAAUUUAAAAUAUUACCUUCUAUGCGGCCGUUUAUAAAAUCUGAGAGUUGGCCAGUCGUCGGCUUCUGCCCCCAUGUAACUAGUACUAAGGUGUUCGGGGUAAACCUGAGCACUCUUUAUCCCAAUUUUGGGUCCUUCGAAGGAGGUGUUUAGCACAAUGAACCAGGCAAUCGGACUAUAAAGCUUUAUCACUCUCACUUAGCCAUAGAAGUCUACAAUUUUAAAUUUUGGCGAAGCCCCUAGUAUUUCGAAGGCCGAAUUUGGGGCACUAUAUACGCCUAAGUCGGGCAAGACGACUCCUUGCCCGAAGCGGAAAGAGACUUUAAGGACUUGAGACCUCUCGAACAGCGACCAGCUCUCGCCUCAUUAUGACAGUCAGUUUUCGGCUUUCUCUACUGAGGUGCUCGUCCGGAAGAACCGGGACACAAUCGCAGUAGUUCUCCCAAGGCUACCUUAGCCGAUAUUGCGGAACGUAAGGUACCAAAACAUGGGAGCCGGGCAAACCCAACUAUUGACCCAAGACAUGAUUCGGAGCUGGUGCAUAUAAUUCUAUAAGUUCGGGGUGCCGCACUGUCGAAAGUGUUCGGACUUCUCACACUGUAUUAUGGGGUAUACUAAAGCCCCUGGCGCACUGGUCAUACCAGGAUGUACGGGUGCAAUUUGUCGUAAAUAAGCAGACAAGGAAAAAAAAGAAAGGGGAAUGCAAUAAUAGACUAACGAUAUGCAUUGUUAUUAAAUAAUACGUCAAAGCGACGGAUACAAGUAGUGCAAUAAGCAAAAAAUAAGACUAUUUGACAUGUCCUAUCCAAGGGCAAGCUGCGUAUGGGUAUGUAAAACAGGUAUUUCGAUCGUUAUCAGAGACCACCUAGGGAUUCCCUUGUACGUCAGAGCGUCUUGCUUCCUUGGUAUUUCCUUACCGCGAUGGGUCCAACAAUUAGAUUGCCGAAAAGGGCUUCCAGAGAGUAAGGUCCUGAAAGAGAGAAAAUGAUAAAGGUAUAUGGCCCCUGGGGCGGUUGAGCCACCUUGUGGGACGUGCCGUAGCUGUGCCUCCGCCUAUGCCCAUGGUAUCUUGAGUGCGUAGUUAUGUACGCGCGGCGCAAAUUUCGCCACUUGACUGGGACUAGGACGGAGGCCGAAUUGCUAGGCGAGCUCAAAACGUGCAUGGCGAUCCUCCUGCGGGGUACCCCGGACUCGCUUGAAGGUGUCCGGGGUCUUUUUCGCCGAAUUGGCGGUUUGCCUAUUAAGGCUGCUUUGCGCUUCUGCUGCGAGGGCUGCAGUGUGCUCCUCCGUGCGGAGCGAGCGCUCUGUGUUUCCAUUAACUGUUAUAACCCCGCGUGGUCCUGGCAUUUUGAGUUUGAGGUAUGCAUAAUGCGGUACCGCAUUGAAUCUGGGAAAUGCGGUUCGUCCGAGCAGUGCGUGAUAGCCGCUGCGAAAGGGGACGAUGCCGAAGAUUAACUCCUCGCGUCGAAAAUUGUCCGGAGAUCCGAAGACCACUUCCAGUGUGAUUGAGUCCGUGCAACAGGCCUCUACACCUGGGAUUACACCUUCAAAGGAGGUUUUGGUGGGUUUGAUCCUCGAGGGGUCUAUGCCCAUUUUGCACACUGUAUCCUGAUAGAGCAGGUUCAGGCUGCUGCCACCGUCCAUAAGGACGCGAGUGAGGUGAAAUCCGUCAAUGAUGGGGUCAAGGACCAAUGCGGCAGAUCCGCCAUGACGGAUACUAGUGGGGUGGUCCCUGCGAUCGAAGGUGAUCGGACAAGAGGACCAUGGGUUCAACUUUGGGGCGACUGGCUCCAUAGCAUAGACGUCCCUUAGUGCACGCUUCCGUUCCCUCUUGGGAAUAUGGGUUGCGUAUAUCAUGUUCACCGUUUUCACUUGUGGAGGGAACCUCUUCUGUCCUCCAAUGUUCGGCGGCCGAGGCUCCUCCUCGUCGUCGCUAUGGAGCCCCUUGUCCUUGUUUUUGGCAUUUAACUUGUCGGCCUGCUUGAAUACCCAGCAUUCUCUGUUGGUGUGAUUGGCUGGCUUAUCGGGGGUGCCAUGAAUUUUAACGAGCAAUCGAGUAUACGGUCCAAACUGGACGGGCCCGGAUUGCUUGUUUUGAACGGCUUCUUCCGCUGACCGGAUUUAGAGCCACUGAAUCCGGCAUUGACUGUCGUGUCUUCGGCGUUGUCGCCGUUGUUGUGGCGCUUGUGUCUGUUGCGACGUGGUCUGCCAAUAGUAUCUUUGGCGUCUGAAUUGCCGGGAUUUCUUGAUGUGCUGUUGCUGCGAGCUAGCCAGCUGUCCUCGCCCGCGCAAAAGCGGGUCAUGAGUGUCGUGAGGGCUGCCAUGGACUUCAGCUUCUCUUGGCCGCGGUGUCAGGCGAGCCACUCGUCCCGGAUGUUAUGUUUAAAUGCCGCUAAGGCCUCGGCAUCCGGACAGUCGACAAUUUGGUUCUUUUUAGUUAGGAACCGAGUACAGAAUUUCCUGGCCGAUUCCCCUGGCUGUUGGGUUAUGUGGCUCAAGUCAUCAGCAUCUGGUGGUCGCACAUAAGUGCCCUAGAAGUUGUCAAGGAAUGCGUCUUCCAAAUUCUCCCAACUGCCAAUGGAGUUUGCUGGCAGGCUAUUCAGCCAAUGUCGAGCUGGUCCUUUGAGUUUUAGUGGGAGGUACUUGAUGGCAUGUAGAUCGUCAUCGCGGGCCAUGUGGAUGUGGACGAGGAAAUCCUCGAUCCAUACCGCGGGGUCUGUUGUACCAUCAUAUGACUCAAUGUUCACGGGUUUGAAUCCUUCUAGGAAUUCAUGAUCCAUUACUUCAUCGGUGAAGCAUAGUGGGUGUGCAGCGCCUCUGUGCCGGGCUAUGUCACGACGCAGUUCAUACGAGUCUUGUCUGCUGUAUUCGGCCCCGCCGGAUUUGCUUUUAGUGUAUCCGGCAUGACGAUCAUCAUCACACAUUGGGGCGCGACCCCGUGAUCCGUAGAUCGAUCUUGUUUGUCCUGCUCUGUUUUCCUAUACGUCUCGCAGGUCCCGCGUGUUGCCCCAGGCCUUGGUAUUUAUGUUUGAAUGGCGGCGGGGUGCGGGCUGGACUUCGGGCUGAUAUGCCCCUCUGUCUCGGCCACGAGGUGGCCGAUCAGCCGCAUCAUACGCUGGUGAUGUAGGUUUUAAUGCUUCCUCCUCGAUUUGGGGUAGCAACCUGCGCUUUGGGUAACUCUUGGUUGGGCGCUCGAGUUCGUAUUCCUCUACCUCCAGGACUUCAGUCCAUCUAUCCGCUAGCAGAUAUUGAUCAGCUCGAAGCUGUUGUUGCUUUUUCUUCAGGCUGUUUGUUGUAGCUAUAAGCCGACGCUUGAAGCGCUCCUGCUUGACGGGAUCCUCAGGCACGAUAAAUUCUUCGUCGCCGAGGCUCACCUCGUCUUCGGAGAGAGGCAUGUAAUUGUCAUCCUCUGAUUCUCCGUCUGCUGCCUAUUCCGGAGGGCUAGCUUGUUCAUCCUCUCGCUCGAGGUCUGGCUGGAGGGGAUUGUCGUCGUCUUUGGCACUAUCCGGAGCGUUAUUGUCUCUUGUGCCGGUAUCGCUGCUUUUGCUAUGGCGGGACUUAGAGCGGCGCCGCUGACGUCGGUGCUUGGGUUGCUUCUUGGAGGGAUUAUCCUCGGUUGUCUUAUCGCCGUCGCCUUCUUUGGGGGUGUCCACCAUGUAUAUAUCAUAUGAUGAGGUGGCAGUCCAGCGCCCUGUGGGCGGUGGUUCCUGUUCGUCUCCUGUAUCGUCGUCCAUACCGUCGAUGUUUUCGGAGCCGAAAUCGAGCAUGUCGGUUAAAUCGUCGACAGUGGCUACUAAGUGGCUGGUGGGUGGGGAGCGAAUUUCUUCGUCGUCCGCAUCCCAUUCUAGCCAGACAUAGUUCGGCCAAGGGUCUCCUGACAAGGAGAGAGACCUCAAUGAGUUCAGCACGUCGCCCAGUGGUGAGUGCUGAAAGAUAUCCGCGGAGGAAAACUCCAUAAUCGGUGCCCAAUCAGAUUCGAUAGGCACAUACGCAGGCGGCUCAGAGCCCGUGGCCGGGGAUGAAUCCAGGUGUCCGGCGACACAGGUCUCAUAGGAGGUGAAGUCAGUAUUCGGCUCUAUCGCCACUCAGUGUGUGGCCUCCGAGGCGGGGUCCAUCCACCCGUCCUCGGACGGCGCAAUCGACUCCGGAUCUAGGGCCGGAGUAGCCAUGGGUGUGAUCUCCCGAACACCGUCCGGCGGCAGAGCUAAGUCGUGCUCGUCGUGACUGUGCGGCGCACCUGACAUGGGCUCGAAUCCGUCAAAGAUAAAGUCUCCGCGGAUGUUGGCACUGUAGUUUAAAUUUCCAAACCUGACCUGACAGCCAGGGGCGUAGCUCUCGAUCUGCUCCAGAUGGCCAAGCGAGUUGGCCCACAGUACGAAGCCGCCGAAUACAAAGAUCUGUCCGGGGAGGAAAACCUCACCCUGGAUCGCAUCGUUGGCGAUGAUUGAAGGAGCCAUCAAGCCUUUAUCGCGACGGCAGAGUGGAACUCUCAAUGAAAGCACCAAUGUCGGUGUCAAAACCGGCGGAUCUCGGGUAGGGGGUCCUGAACUGUGCGUCUAAGGCGGCUGGUAACAGGAGGCGGGGGACAUGAUGUUUACCCAGGUUCGGGCCCUCUCGAUGGAGGUAAUACCCUACUUCCUGCUUGAUUGAUCUUGAUGAUAUGAGUAUUACAAGAGUUGAUCUACCACGAGAUCGUAGAGGGUAAACCUUAGAAGCUAGCCUAUGGUAUGAUUGUUGUUGUCCUAGGGACUAAACCCUCCGGUUUAUAUAGACACAGGAGGGGGCUAGGGUUACACAGAGUCGGUUACAAGGGAGGAGAUCUACAUAUCCGUAUUGCCAAGCUUGCCUUCCACGCCAAGGAGAGUCCCAUCCGGACACGGGACGGAGUCUUCAAUCUUGUGUCUUCAUAGUCUAACAGUCCGCCUAAAGUAUAUAGUCUGGCUGUCCGAGGACCCCCUAAUCCAGGACUCCCUCAGGGUAUCCCUCACCGGUGGCCAUCUUCAUCAUCCCGGCGCUCUCCAUGACGAAGAGGGAGUAGUUCACCCUCGGGGCUGAGGGUAUGUACCAGUAGCUAUGUGUUUGAUCUCUCUCUCUCUCUCGUGUUCUUGAUUCAGCACGAUCUUGAUGUAUCAUGAGAUUUGCUAUUAUAGUUGGAUCUUAUGAUGCUUCUCCCCCUCUACUCUCUUGUAAUGGAUUGAGUUCUCCCUUUGAAGUUAUCUUAUCGGAUUGAGUCUUUAAGGAUUUGAGAACACUUGAUGUAUGUCUUGUCGUGCUUAUCUAUGGUGACAAUGGGAUAUCACGUGAUCCACUUGAUGUAUGUUUUGGUGAUCAACUUGCGGGUUCCGCCCAUGAACCUAUGCAUAGGGGUUGGCACACGUUUUCGUCUUGACUCUCUGGUAGAAACUUUGGGGCACUCUUUGAAAUACUUUGUGUUGGUUGAAUAGAUGAAUCUGAGAUUGUGUGAUGCAUAUCGUAUAAUCAUGCCCACGGAUACUUGAGGUGACAAUGGAGUAUCUAGGUGACAUUAGGGUUUUGGUUGAUUUGUGUCUUAAGGUGUUAUUCUAGUACGAACUCUAUGAUAGAUUGAACGGAAAGAAUAGCUUCAUGUUAUUUUACUACGGACUCUUGAAUAGAUCGAUCAGAAAGGAUAACUUUGAGGUGGUCUCGUACCCUACCAUAAUCUCUUCGUUUGUUCUCCGCUAUUAGUUACUUUGGAGUGACUCUUUGUUGCAUGUCGAGGGAUAGUUAUAUGAUCCAAUUAUGUUAUUAUUGUUGAGAGAACUUGCACUAGUGAAAGUAUGAACUCUAGGCCCUGUUUCCUAGCAUUGCAAUACCAUUUACGCUCACUUUUAUUAUUAGUUACCUUGCUGUUUUUAUAUUUUCAGAUUACAAAAACCUAUAUAUACCAUCCAUAUUGCACUUGUAUCACCAUCUCUUCGCCGAAUUAGUGCACCUAUACAAUUUACCAUUGUAUUGGGUGUGUUGGGGACACAAGAGACUCUUUGUUAUUUGGUUGCAGGGUUGUUUGAGAGAGACUAUCUUCAUCCUACGCCUCCCACGGAUUGAUAAACCUUAGGUCAUCCACUUGAAAGAAAUUUGCUACUGUCCUACAAAGCUCUGCACUUGGAGGCCCAACAACGUCUACAAGAAGAAGGUUUUGUAGUAGAUAUCAGGGGGAGGGGGGUGAAACCGCCCCGCCGCCGCCGUCCCCGAGCGCGGCGCGGCUUCGCUGGCCGGCCCUCCGGCGGCAGCGAUGCGGGGGGAGGGGGGCACUGGCGGAGGAAGGCUACCGGUGGCGAUGAAGGUUUCCCCCGUAUCGCCUGUUGCGGGCGACGCGGGGGCAGGGUUGACCAGCUCGAGGAUUUCGGCUGAGCUGUAGAACGUAUGAAAUAUUGAAGGAAAACAAAAACAUGAGAAUCAACAGAUAUUGGAGAAGUUGGUACAGAGUGGUACAUGGAAAGGAAAUUUUACUUUUACUGGAGGUUGAAUGAAGUUAUGUUUACACCUUCCAUUUCACUUUGUGGGCACUCCGAAGUUGCAAAGAAAAAAUAUAUAAAAUAUCAUCAUUCGUACGCAUUUAUAUGCAGGUAAUGAAAAUGGCUCCACCUAAUUAUAAGAUUAUUAAGCACUUUUAGUACCCGGGAGUCCCUGGUACUGUGAAGAUGAUAUUAAGACUAAUUAAUGGACAUGGAUUUGUUCUGAUCACACAAAGAUAGCUCAAACACCCAUCCGCUUACUUGCUUGCAUUUCAAAAGAUUGAUAACCACAUUUCAUCAUUUUUCCCCACUUCUCCACCUUGCUGGUGAUAUAUAUCCAGCUUCCGCAUAUAUGAUAUUUUUCACUCUAGCACUUUCAGCUUCUUUUUGAAAUGAAGAGUACUUUUCUUGCUGAUGCAGCAACAAUAGUAAGUCAGAGCUUUCUUAGGCCUUGUACAAUGCAAGGUGCUUUGAGAAAUAAACUAGGCUUUCCUUAAGCACCGAUACUUAUUUGUACAGGAUACUUUAUUAAUUUUUCUCACAAGAUCUUACAAAGUCAUACAACAGUAAGACUAAAGCCGCCGUCUAAGCAACAAACUGUCGCUACACCUAUCCAGUUGAUGAAGGGACGCAGAUAGCCUGGGCCUAAUACCAAACAGACAUCGCAUCCAAGCCUAACAUCUAAGACCUGAGACCCCAACCUAGCCACUUGCCGGGUCUGGGGCACACACUGGUCCGGCGUGCUCUCAGAGGCCGCCGCCGCCAACUGCCACCGCUCCAUCUUCAGAAUUGUACUGAUGCAUCAACCUUACUCGGUCUAGCUAUCGUCGACGCCACCACUGCGCCCAGCGGCACCUCCUCCCUGCCCGCAAACAACUGAGCACAUCGCGGUCGCCACUGAUACACCUCAGCACCAUGCUGCCAAGUACCACCAGCUGACACAGCUUGAAGUCCUUGGAAGAUCUUUCAUGCGUAGCACCUGCCGACCAAGUAUGACAAAGUGUAGCACCUGUCGGUCAGGCAUGACUUGACAUCUCCACCGAAGCUCCGUGCAAGACGAAGCCGCUCCACCUCCUGCCUCUGACUUCCAGCGCUGCUCCACAAACGAUGCUCCCAAGAGAGAAACGAGACAGCGGUGCCACAAUCGUCCGAUCUGGAACACCAGAUCCUAGAGUUUCCCGUGGAGCAGCACGAGUGGGUCGACAGUAGUUACACGAUGAUGCCUCCAUCAAGGUAACGACGAGAACGCCGCCAUCGCCUACCGUCGGCUCGAUUUUCACCGGCAACCAUGUCUCCCCUACUCGCAGUCGGGACUAGAUGAUGGAUCUCGAGAUCCGAUCACCAAGCCUCUGGCCGGCCAUCUCUGGAAGAAGAUGACCACCACGUCCACCAGCGUCACCACACCGGGCACGCGUUGCCGCCGGCACCCCCAUGGUGCCUAGAGGCCGACAAGCCCCGACGAACACCACGCCUCGCCAGCCGCCAUAGCCCAGGCCCAAGCACCACCAGAUCCAGAUCAGAUCGGGGUCAAGGGCCCCAAGCCGCAGCCGUCGCGGAGGCAGCACCACUAGACGGUGCCCUGCCCUCCACCCCGCUGUAGGAUCGAGUCAUCGCCGGAGCUCCGCCACGCCACGCCGCCAAGACGCCGCCGGAAGAACUCGCGCCGCCGCUAGGGGAGAGAGAGACGCGCUAGGGAGAGGCCCCGCCGCUGGCACUGCCUUGGCUUUGCCCGGCUGUGUCCCUCGGCGGCGGCGAGGGGGGAGGGAGGGUGGAGGAGGGCCGGCGGCGGAGGGGGCUAGGGUUCCCCCGAGUCGCCUCAGAGAGGGACGCAGGCGACGGGGUGAGAAAACUGAGAGAGUGGAUAUGGCCUUUACUCGAGCUCAUGGGGUGGCCCGACUGCUGGUGAGUGUUCUCGAUAUUGAGUUCGUGCCUGAUGUGGUUAAGUGGACAUAUAGGGGACAGAUUUUCAACCUCGAGAUUGAGUUUGAGGAUGCCGCUCUCUUCGCUGAGGCUAUCAAUGGGACUGAUGUAGAUAUGCACGAGGGUGAUGACAGCUCGGGUGCUAAGGAGGCACCGGUUGAUGAUGUUGGACGAGAGUUGUCCAACUAAUCGGGGCCCGUUCCUCAGACGCCCAGGGACGGGACGGCACCAUCCUCUUCGGUGCCUAUGAGUUCUCUGAGAUUUGGGUCGUUUGAGCCAGCUUCUGCUCCUCCCAGACUCUGGAGUGACCGGGUGGAGUCCGAUGACGUGUUUGAGCGCACGCUACCUACCCUGGAUUUUGUUGCUGCUGAUAGUCCCGUGCUUGGAGGUUUGGAGGGGAUUAUCUCUGUGCAGACCUCGGUAAGGGGAGGGGAGGCGGAGCUUGGGCAGGUGGCCCCUCUUUCCCCCGCUCUCCCUGCGGUGUCACCUCGGGAGACGGAGUCGACUAUGGAGGCUGUCCCUAGGGAGGGAGUCCAUGGCAGGUGGCCUCGGCUCCUUCUUCUCUUCUCGCGGUGCCGGAGCUGCAGAUGGCGGUUGUGCUUAGGGGAGGCGGUCCAGGGCAGGUGGCCUCGGCCCCCUCUUCACCUCUGGCGGCUAGGGAGGCCACACCCCCUAUGGCGCCGGAGACCUCUUCUAGCCAGAGGGCUGGGGCGGGAGGAGCGUACGGGCAGGCGGCCCACGCGCUUCCCUCUCCCGGCGCGCCAACGUCCCAGGGCCUCGGUUCGAGGUGGACGUCAGUGGGGCCGGGGAGGUCCCCGCCGCUGCCCCCGGCAGCUCCCGCCGACUCUUCGACGUGUGCAGCUUCGCGGUGUGCUGGGGGUGAGGCCGGUGGCUUUACUCCGAGCGGGGUCACUCGGGAGGAGGUCAUCGCCUUUGGAGGGAUUCUAGAUCCUGUCUCUGCGGGGCGACGGAUGAGCUGUCGUCUCUAGGAUCAUCCGGAGGUUGAUGACAUGCAGCAGCGGUGCGCCAUGAGGGCGGCCAAGCUUCGUGACAUUGAGGUCACUACUGGUAUGUCGGUCAACACUUCUAAUUCCAUUCUGCAUUUUUCUAAUAAUGAGAUUAUUAAUAAUUCAAAUCAAUUGGGAGUUUCACUAGGUAGUAAUGAUAGUGAAAUUUCUAACUUUGUAAAUGAUAUCCUGGAUUUGGAAGCGGAACGCGCUUUAGAAAUGAUUCAAAACUUAGCAGCGGUUAAACCCAUGAAUGAUGCAGAUAUCGAUGCGUUGGGGGUCAGGGUGCUCGAUAAUUUUUGUGCAGAUCUUGCACCAUCCAUUCCUGAGUCAGAGGAAGAGGAUAACACUUUUGAGGCUGCCGUAGAUCGAUCCAUGGAGCCCGGUUGUGAGGACUGGGUGGAGGAUCAAAACAAACCUAAACGCAAGUGGAAGCGGAAGAUCUACCCUGCUUCGGCGGUGCGUAGGAGUGCUAGGAUCCGUACUAUUAAAACAUUUCAUGAUGAAAUAUGAAAGGAAUCUUUUGGAAUAGCAGAGGUCUGAAAGACUUGGCUAAAAGAAGGUUUCUUGCAGAUGCGUCUAUCGAGCAUAGGUUGGAUUUUAUCACUCUCUCGGAAACUGGUAGAGAUAAUUUUUCGCCCCAGUUUCUCAGUACUUUAUCGGGAGGUGUUGAUUUCAAUUGGCACUGCCUGCCUCCGAGAGGAAGAUCGGGUGGGAUCUUACUUGGAGUGAGAUGCGAUUCGCUAGAAGUCUGAAGUGUAGUGAUGGGAGAUUUCACAAUUAAGUUCCGGGUUAGGUCGAAAGCCAACGGGUUUAAUUGGGCUCUGAUGGCGGUUAUGCUCCCGCGCAGCCCGAUCUCAAACCAGAGUUCUUGGCGGAUCUUGUUCAAAUUUGCGGCUCUGAGCAGCUCCCAAUCCUGGAUGGGGGUGAUUUCAACAUCAUUAGGAGGAGAGAGGAAAAGAAUAAUGAUAAUUUCGACGGCAGGUGGUCGUUUAUGUUUAAUACCAUUAUUGAAAGCUUGGAUCCUAGAGAGAUAGAGCUUUCGGGUAGAAAAUUCACCUGGGCUAAUACUUUGCCAAAUCCGACGUUUGAGAAGCUGGAUCGAGUCCUAGUGAGCGUCGAAUGGGAACAGAUAUUUCCUUUGGUAACGGUCCAGGCUCUUUCGCGUGGUAUUUCUGACCACACGCCUUUAUUUGUGGACUCUGGUGAGCCAACCCACAUGGGGAACAAAAACUCCUUUUCUUUCGAGCUGGCAUGGUUUGAACGAGAAGGCUUCUUGGAUAUGAUAGCCAGGGAAUGGGCUAAGGAUGCAGGAGGUAGGACUUCGAUUGAGCGCUGACAGAAUAAGAUAAGGCACUUGAGAAGUUUCUUGCGUGCGUGGGCUAAGCAUCUUAGUGGGGUUUAUAAGGUCGAAAAGGAAAGGCUCCUUACACUUAUUCAGUCUCUAGAUUUAAAAGCCGAGUCCACAAUUUUGCAAGCCACAGAGCUUCAUGAUAAACUGGAGGCGGAGAUGAGAUUGAAAGAGCUUCUCCGUGAAGAGGAAUUAAAGUGGGCGCUGCGGGCUAAGGUUCGCAAAGUUGUCCAGGGGGACGCGAAUACUCAAUUCUUUCACAUGAUCGCUAAUGGCAAGCACAGAAAGAAUAGAAUCUUUCAGCUUGAACCAAGAUGAAGGAACGAUUUUAGGACAGGAAAACCUAAAAUUAUACAUAACCGAAUACUACAAGCAGUUGUUUGGGCCUCUGGAGGAUAAUUGUGUAUCCCUGGAUGAGUCUAGGAUUGAGGAUGUGCCUCAACUUACUGCUGAUGAGAAUGAUAUUUUGAUUGCCCCUUUUUCGGGGAAAGAGGUGUUUGAAGCCAUUACACAGAUGAAAAACAAUAAGGCUCCAGGGCCGGAUGGAUUUCCGGCGGAAUUCUAUAAAAAGUGUUGGCAUAUUAUUAAGGGGGAUUUGCAACCAAUGUUCCAUGAUUUAUUCUCUGGACAGCUUCAGUUAUUUCACUUGAACUUUGGAAUGAUAACAUUGCUUCCUAAGAAAACAAAGGCUGUGAGAAUUGAGCAGUUCAGGCCGAUCUGUCUUCUCAAGGUUAGUUUCAAAAAUUUCACAAAGGUUGGGACUAAUAGGCUCACGCAGACUGCGCAUUCUGUGGUGCAGCAUUCCCAAACUGCUUUCAUGCCGGACAGAAACAUCCUAGAAGGGGUUGUGGUCCUUCAUGAAACGCUCCACGAAAUUCACACGAAAAAACUAGAUGGAGUUGUUUUCAAGGUGGAUUUCGAGAAAGCGUACGAUAAAGUCAAAUGGCCUUUCCUUCAACAGGCCUUACAUAUGAAAGGUUUUGAUGAAGCCUGGCGACGCCAGGUAGAAUCUUUCACGCAAAAAGGGAGUGUUGGAAUUAAAGUGAAUGACGACAUAGGUCAUUAUUUCCACACACAUAAGGGCCUGAGACAAGGGGUUCCGAUGUCUCCUAUUUUGUUCAACAUUGUAGUUGAUAUGUUGGCAAUUCUAAUAGGAAGGGCUAAGGAGGUUGGUCAGGUGGGUGGCUUGGUGUCUCAUCUAGUUGAUGGAGGUGUGUCUAUCCUACAGUACAGCGAGAAAUAUGAAGCUGGUGUUAUGCUUAUUUGAACAAUUGACCGGGUUAAAGAUUAACUUUCACAAAAGCAAAUUGUUCUGCUUUGGAAGAGCCAAUGAGGAACAAGAGGCUUAUAGGCAAUUGUUUGGGUGCGAAUUGGGGACCUUACCAUUUACGUAUUUAGGUAUACCAAUUCACCAUCGUAAGCUGACAAACACAGAAUGGAAGUGUAUCGAGGAUCUCUUUGAGAAGAAACUGAGUUGCUGGAAGGGCAAGCUCAUGUCAUACGGAGGCCGAUUAAUUCUGAUUAAUUUGGUUCUCACGAGUAUGCCUAUGUUUCUCUUGUCUUUGUUCGAAGUCCCAGUUGGAGUUAGGAAAAGGCUGGACUUCUAUCGAUCCCGAUUCUUCUGGCAGAGCGAUGAACUAAAAAGAAAAUACAGACUCACCAAAGGGAUAUUAUCUGUCGACCGAAAGACCAAGGGGGUCUUGGCAUUGAAAAUCUUGAGGUCAAGAACAGAUGUCUUCGCAGCAUGUGGCUGUCUAAGUUAUCUGUAGAGAUCGAUGCCACAUGGGCGCAGAUUCUUAGUAGUAAGUAUCUUCAUUCCAAAACUUUGUCCCAGGUGACAGCGAGGCCGACAGACUCACCUUUUUGGAAAGGGCUUAUGAUAGUCAAAUUAGCCUUUUUUAAUAGGACAAAGUUUAUUAUCGUCAAUGGCGCUAGCACGCGAUUCUGGGAGGAUACUUGGCUCGGAGAGACCCCCUUGCACUUCAAUACCCGUCUCUGUAUCGUAUUGUUCAACGACGUGAUGCUUUCGUUGCAACGAUACUUCAAUCCAUCCCCCUUAAUAUUUAGGUCAGGAGGACGCUAGCCGGUAAUCGUUGGGAAGAGUGGCUCCAUCUAGUGAGUAGACUGAUGGAGGUUCAGCUGUCUCAACAGCCCGAUCAAUUACGCUGGAAACUUACUAGGUCUGGAGAGUGUACAGUUAAAUCAAUGUAUCUCGAUGUGAUCAAUUCUAGCUCUAUUCCUAGUUCCAAAUAUGUUUCGACAGUCAAAGUUCCAUUGAAAAUUAAAGUGUUUACGUGGUUUGUACAUAAACAAGUCAUCUUAACCAAGGACAAUUUGGCAAAGCGUAACUGGACAGGACCUACUAAGUGUAGUUUUUGUGAUCGGGAUGAAACUAUCAAACACCUUUUUCUUGAUUGCUCGAUGGCCAAAGUUCUAUGUCGGACAGUCCACAUAGCCUUUGACAUUUCCGAGUUCUGUUAGCACGUUAUUUGGAACGUGGCUUAAUGGGAUAGAGUCCGAAACAGCGAGACACAUUCGCGUAGGAGUAUGUGCUUUAUUGUGGGCAGUCUGGAACUGCAGAAAUGAUUUGGUUUUUAACAGAACAACAAAUAUUCAUUUUUUGCAGGUUAUCUUCCAAGCCACUGCGUUGAUCCGUACGUGGUCACUACUCACUCCGACGGAGGCCAGGGAGCGUUUGGUUACUGGAUCUAUCCGGUGGGAGAUGGUAGCACGGGAUAUCUUCAACCGGUUUGAAUGGCGGUCAUGUAAUAGGAUAGGCAAUUAGUUUACCUAUCUUUCUUAUGCCGGCCGAUUGUGGCUUUUUGGCUAGUUUGUUAUUGGCCCUUUGGCUCUUUAUGAGCUUUCCUUUACUUUCGUUUGAGACUUUAAGACCUUGUUAAACCUAUUUGCUUUUUUAUAAAGUUGGCCGUAUGCAUCGUUCUGAUGCAGAGGCCGGGGAGCCCCCACUUUUCGAAAAAAAACCUCUUGUUAUCUUGUAUUCUUGUGUGACAAUGCUCGAAGAAUAUAAAAGGGCUAGGUGGAAAGACCCCCAUAUCGAAAACUUGCCUACCUACGAGUUUUAUAGACACAGAGCCUCAUUGGAUUGUACUAGAUGGAGCCUCCAGUGAGAGCUGAAGACGAGGCGAUGAGCACGGAGGAGCUGCUCCAAGCCCAGACGGAUCUCUACCACCACUCCCUAGCCUACAUCAAAUCUAUGGCGCUCGGUGCCGCCACAGAACUCAGCGUCGCCGACGCCAUCCACGGCCGUGGCGGUGCCAUCACCUUGUCUGACCUUGCGGCCGCGACCGGCGUCCACCCGACGAAAGUCCAACACUUCGGGCGGCUGAUGCGCGCGCUUACCGUCACUGGUGUCUUCACCUCGGAAGAAAAAGAAGGCGGUGGUGGUGCCCUGUACAAGCUCACUCGGAUUUCACGCCUCCUUCUCGGAGUCGGCAAGCGUCGGCUCUCCCCGAUGGUGCGUAUGCUUGUCAGCGAGGUCAGUUUCACUACUCCCAUGAGCAUCUGCGAGUGGAUCACCACUGAGACGCCGGCCAGGGCCAUGUUCGAGGCCCAUUUUGGCUCUACGCAAAAUGGGUUGUGGGAGAAGGACGACGCGUAUGGUGCCCCCUUCUACUCAGCAAUGGCUGCGGACAGCCGUCUCGUCAUGGAGGUUCUGCUGAGAGAGUGCAGCAGCGUCUUUGAGGCCGUUGCCGGCUCACUUGUCGAUGUCGGCGGCGGCAGCGGAGGAGUCGUGGCUGCCGCCAUUGCCACAGCGUUCCCUCACAUCAAGUGCUCCGUGCUGGACCUCCCCAACGUGGUAGCCGCGGCUGACGACACCACCAACGUGCAGUUUGUCUCCGGCGAUAUGUUUGACUACAUUCCACCAGCGGAUGCCGUUCUACUCAAGGUACGUACUUACAUAGUACUCCCUCCGUAAGGAUAUAUAAGAGCAUUUAGAUCAUUAUUAUUUUAGUGAUUGAUCCAAACGCACUUAUAUUUCUUUACAGAGGGAGUAGCACAUACAAAUGCAGCAAGCUAUCCAUUUCUUAUAUAUAUAAUGAACCAAAUUAAUCAACCAAUCCUUCCUAUAAAUUUUGUAGUGGAUUUUGCAUGACUGGGAAGACCAAGACUGCGUCAAGAUACUGCGCAAGUGCAGAGAGGCCAUCCGCACAAGAGGUGCUGGGGGGAAGGUGAUUAUAAUCGAUUUCGUCGUCGGUGCUGGUUCUUGCAAGGAGACGGAGACACAGGUUCUGUUUGAUCUUUACAUGAUGAUGGAGAAUGGGGCUGAGCGGGACGAGCAAGAGUGGAGCAAGAUUUUCUUUGAAGCUGGAUUUAGUGACUACAAGAUCAUGCCAGUCUUAGGCGCUCGUUCACUCAUUCAAGUAUUCCCAUGAAUUCUGGCGGUUUGAUGUCCAAAUGUACUUCCUGUUUCCAAAUGUUUGUUUGCUUUCACAUCAGAAUAAUGCCUAGGACUAUACUAUAUAGUCUCGACUUUGAAUCUGAAUAAUGAAACUGUUUGUUAUCCUACGUGUUGUUUUCGUUCAUAAUUCAUAUGCUCACAAUGAAAUACAGUCUGCUAUUUUUGUUUACAUUAAAUUAUACUUUACCUAGCAAUAUGGUAAACAGGCUCACUUAGCAGAGGCUGGCUUGUUCGCUUAUUCGCCGCCCUAGGAAUGCGAGCUCCUUGCCGAAAUGAAAUUCUAGUAGCACUGGUUACUAUCGGGUCCUGCAUGUUCGUCAUUUGUGCAAGUAAACACAAUGCAUACGAGUACUCUACUGAAUUGAACUUUUUUGUAUUGUUUUCAUUGGACCAUCCACUGUAUAGUAACAGAGUAUUUAUUGCACACAGACUAUUUUAUUCUUUCAACCCAUAGUUCAUCCACCCACACUUUUAGUCUGAUUCUAAAAUUUGUAACACUUUUAAAUUUUGAACUUGUUCUGAACAAGUAAAAUUCCAAAUUUGACACCAUAAUGAAACUUAUGUCAAAUGUGAGAUCAUAUGAAAUGAAACUGAAGUGAACCAAUAAUAAAAAAUGCAAAAAUAAUUUAAUAAACCAUAAUAAAACUUAUAUCAAAUUUGAGAUGAAACAUAGACGAAUUGUGGAUUGAAACAAUAACGAAAACAAGCUAAGGGGAAUCUAUGAAUAAAUAAUGAGAACAUGUAAAAUUACGAUGACACGGAAAUGAUAUCGUAUGGAAAAUAUGCUAAGAGAACACUUUCAUUGGCCAGCCCAACCAUGAAAGGUAAUUUAACAAAAUGAUAUGAAACUUAUUUGAAAGCUCGAAAAAUAGAAAUAAAACCAGAAUGAAAAUAAUAAUGAAACAUGUAAAAAUACGAUGAAACACAUAUGUAAAAAUAAGGCCGCGAGAUCGUCGUCCUCUGAGUUGGAAGUUUAUGGUGAAGGUGACGUGGGAUCCAUUGCAGGCGCGCCCGGGGUCUGGUGUGGUUGUGGAACACAUAUGUGGAGAUCAUAGUAGCGGUGAAUGACGAACGUGAGCGCUCCGAAGAAUAUGGUGCAGGAAGGAGAAGUCGGUCUGUUAGUGUAGAACCGGCCUUCUGCGAUGAAGGUGAGGAAGCCGAUGGUUAAGCCGUGAGAUUGCCAGCCGUUAUUGAGGAUCUGAUCUAGAGUCGGUCCCCAGCUGACAUAGCCCCUUCCUGUGCUAACUGAUGGUAUGGGAAUUUGCGAGUAUCCUUUGUAGGGUGGCGAACAUGUCCGGAAGUACAAGAAGGGAGUUCGCCAAGGGGGUUUUCCAGAUUUGCGCCCUCAUGGCGAGGAAAUACCUUACGUCCUGCUAUUUGUUUUCUAUUGAUGAUGGAGAACGUUGAGCGAGGGGUUACAAGGGACAUAAAUAUGGCCAUAGGAGUAUAGUCUACGGGAGUAGAUUGGAAUCGCUACCCCUAUCCUCACCUUAUAUAGGUGACGGGGCUAGGUUUUACAUGGCGCCUACAUGAUCUCACACUGCCAUCAUCUUGGCUUCCACCCAAGAUGGUCUUCUGGCUUCCAGGACCCCCGGGCUGUCUCUUGAUGCCAGACCUCCUUCAAGACUUUUGGGCCCGAAGGCCGGCCCACUAUUGGGUUCAUAUCUAGUGUGCCAUCCACGUUGUAAUGCACCAUCACCAACCCCGAUUUCUGGGGCCUUAAGAGUGAAGCGAUUCCUAAUUCUUCUUGGUAACAUGCCAAAGUGUUGUGUCCCAAAGGCUCGACUGGGUAUUUUCGUCAUUGCGGUUGAUAUGGAGAAGGGGUGGGUCGCAUGGAGGCAGAAAUGGGUAAAUGAAGACAGAAACGAGGGGCUGGCCUGACAGUGGUUCAUGUAGACGACGAGCAAGAGCAUGUGGCCAAUUUUUCCGCAAGCGUUAGAAGCAUAGCCAUAAUUCCAGAAAUUUUAGUGGCGGCAACUGAAUUUGCCCUAUUAUAAGAAGGUAUUGCCCCACAACGGUGCGCACACGGGUGACCUUCCUCUUGGUCCAAUGACAGGUGGGCCAUGGACUCGCCGGGGGCCAUAUUAAUGGGACAUUGUCUAUCGUGCUCUUGUGAUUUCUCUCUCGGGUGAUGGGCGGGCUAGACCCACCUGUCGGUUUUUUCGGACACCGUUGGGCUGGCUCAGGUGUGCCAGGGGGCCAGGUCAGACUGUGGUGGGCCUAGACCCCGGCGGGUGUGCGUCGUUCAGGAUGGCCGGCCACGCGGGUGUGCCAUGCUGUUUGAUCGCGAGAGCUGGCAAAGCACGGGCACCAGGUUGUUCGGCUUGUGUGAGCGAAACAGGCGACGGUGAGUCUAUCGUCCAAGAGACGGGCCGAAUAUACCGACAGGCGGAUCAGGCUUCCUGCUCUUGUGCAAUACGAUGAGAAAGGGUUCUCGCGGGAGCACCGAGGCCGCUCCAUGAGAGUGGCCCUGCACGCACCCGCGGUCCACCCGUCAUGGACCCCCGAGUGCACGUCCACUAGUUGAAAACGGAGUUUUAUCACCGGUUCGUAAGGGCCUUUAGUGCCGGUUCUGCAACCGGCACUAAAGAGUGGGGACUAAAGGUCCCCCUUUAGUACCGGUUUGGCACGAACCGGCGUAAACGUGCCACCACGUGGCACGAGCCAGGCCUGGGUGCGUGUAGGACAUUAGUACCGGUUGGUAACACAACCGGUACUAAAUGUUUGGGUGUGUUUUGGUUUUAAUUUUUAUUUUUCCUUUAGUUUUGUGUUUUCAAUUUAAUUUAGUGAUUGUUUUACAUUAUAAUGAGUUGUUAAAUCAUUAGGUGAAAGUACCGCAGAUUAGUUUCGACUGGAUGCAUGUGGAUCCUAGCUAAGUGAUAAAGUAUAUGCCAUAUCCAUAUUACUUAGAUCUAAGUAAUAUGGAUAUGGCAUAUAGUUGAUCACUUAGCUAGGAUCCAUCCAGUUGAAACUAAUAUGCGGUUUCUUUCAUAAAUGAUAUAAUAACUCAUCAUCAUCAUCAUCAUAUUAAUAUAAAAACUCUUGCAUCAUAUCAUCACCAACAACAGUAUAUACUAGCUAGCAAAGAUAUCAUCGAGUUCAACAUGGUCAUGAUAUUAUAAGCAUUCAUAACACCACAAAAGCAAAUCACUCUUUGAGAUUAAGUUCAUGACGAAGAACACGGACACGCAUGAGAGGACAAGAAGUACUAAGAGCAUGAUAACUAGCUAAAUCACUCCUGCUGCUCUCUCUCAGGUAAAAUAGCAUAGAACAUGUAUAGCUCUCCUGAUUCAUCAUAUUGGAUCAUGCAGAUGAACCUGUCUCCUAAUCGUGGGCUGCGCUUCUGAUUGCUGCCCCCUAGUACUUCUUUGCGAUCGUUAACAAUUUUGCUCCAAUCUUUCACUAUUAAGCAUUCAUCGCUUUCAGAAAUUCUGAAUGCACUCAUGUGCACUGUAGGAUAUCUUGGCCGUAAGCUAACAAUUGACAUGCGACCUUUAGUCUUGAUCCACUGAGGCACAACUAUUAAGCAUUCAUCGCUUUCAGAAAUUCUGAAUGCACUCAUGUGCACUGUAGGAUAUCUUGGCCGUAAGCUAACAAUUGACAUGCGACCUUUAGUCUUGAUCCACUGAGGCACAACUGUCAUCGGGAGUCCCUGUUGAAGAACAUCGUAUAGUAAUUAAUAUACUUAGCAAUGAAAGUUUAGCUUGAAAAAUAAUGUAUGCAAAAGAUGCACUGAGGACUAAUAGUAAAAAUCUUACCAUCUUUCCUAAAUACAUGUGACCGUAGUUCAAUACGAUCACUAUUGGUCGCACGUUUUGAGUACUAAGAUUUUCAAAUUCAGGAAAAUGAUUUCUCUUAACAGCAUCAAGAUCCUCAAGCCAUGAAACAUAAUGACUUAUCUCCUCGCAGUUUAGUUCAGCCCCGGGACAGUGGAUGGUCCUGUCUACCAAGCGCCGAACAUGUUUGCUUGAAUCAAAAUAAGCUGUCAAUAGAAAUUACUUGUCAACUAUUUUUGAAUAAACAAUAUCGAAGACAUAAAUAUGGUUGAGAAACUCACAUAAUGGUAGAACUGGAGGCAUCUGCACAUCGACCCAGAUAUCUCUAUUACCUUCAAUAUCAUCUUCCGGACGAAUAUCAAAGGUGAUAACCAUAUCAGGCUCAAAUGCAUAAGUCUUGCAUAGUGCUUGCCAAGUUUUGCAUUCAAAAUAGGUGUAUGUGUCUGCAUUGUAUAAUUUGACGUUGAAAGUAUAACCAUGCUCGGUCUUCAGGUAAACUCUCUUUGCCUCCAUAGUUUCCAUAGCACUGAAACCUAUCUUAUCCAAGACAAAAAUUCUUGCAUGGCAGGGGAUGCGCUACUACAAUAGUGAAAAUUAAAAAUUAUAAGUUGAAGCAAAUGAAGCAUAAGUCAUGCUUAAUUAUGAAAAAAGACUUGUCGUUGUGACUUACUGUAUCCACUUCGAAGGUCUCAUCCAGCUUGAUGCUGAAGCGCCUAUCAUCAACAAGGAAAUUUCUGUCGCACAGGCCGCGCUGGUCUUCACAGUAUUCGCACUUAAUGAAAUCUUUUUCGUCGUCAGACGACAUUUCCUAUGUUCAUAUAGGUGAAACAUUAAACACUUACUAGUUCUAUUAAUUCAACUAGUUCAACUACUUCUAUUAAUUCAACUAGUUCUAUCAAUUCAACUAGUUCUAUUAAUUCAACUAAUUCAACUAAGCAUUUACUAAAAAUAAACUAGUUCUAUAUAUAUAUAUAUAUUAAUAUUUUAAUUAGAUCAUCAAAUCUCAAAUACCUAAAUUUUCUUACUAAAAAUAAACCAGUUCUAUUAAUUCAACAAAUUCAACUAAGAAUUUACUAAAAAUGAACUAGUUAUAUUAAUUUUCUUACUAAAAUAUAUAAAGUAGCUAUGUAUAGUAAUAUUUUAAUUAGAUCAUCAAAUCUCUUAUACCUAAAUUUUCUUACUAAAAAUAAACNNNNNNNNNNNNNNNNNNNNNNNNNNNNNNNNNNNNNNNNNNNNNNNNNNNNNNNNNNNNNNNNNNNNNNNNNNNNNNNNNNNNNNNNNNNNNNNNNNNNNNNNNNNNNNNNNNNNNNNNNNNNNNNNNNNNNNNNNNNNNNNNNNNNNNNNNNNNNNNNNNNNNNNNNNNNNNNNNNNNNNNNNNNNNNNNNNNNNNNNNNNNNNNNNNNNNNNNNNNNNNNNNNNNNNNNNNNNNNNNNNNNNNNNNNNNNNNNNNNNNNNNNNNNNNNNNNNNNNNNNNNNNNNNNNNNNNNNNNNNNNNNNNNNNNNNNNNNNNNNNNNNNNNNNNNNNNNNNNNNNNNNNNNNNNNNNNNNNNNNNNNNNNNNNNNNNNNNNNNNNNNNNNNNNNNNNNNNNNNNNNNNNNNNNNNNNNNNNNNNNNNNNNNNNNNNNNNNNNNNNNNNNNNNNNNNNNNNNNNNNNNNNNNNNNNNNNNNNNNNNNNNNNNNNNNNNNNNNNNNNNNNNNNNNNNNNCUGGGGCGGCGAUGGGGGCGGCGACGACGGCGGCGACGACGACGGCGACAGGAUGGGCUGGGGCGCGAUAGGGGCGGCGACGGGGGCGAAGAACAAACUGAAACGAACUGAAAAUAUUCGUAAGUGGUGCUUAUAUAGCGGUGGCCAUUAGUACCGGUUUGAUACUAAAGGCCUAUUUUGGCCAGGCCAAGAGGCGGGAAGAGCAGGCCUUUAGUACCGGUUGGUGGCUCCAACCGGUACUAAAGACCCACCUUUAGUACCGGGUUGGGCUACCAACCGGUACUAAAGGGGGUGCGCUGCCACCCGCGGUGUAGAAAGUUUAGUCCCACCUCGCCGGGCGAAGGGCAGCCGCACUGGUUUAUAAACCCAGCCGCGGCUGCUACUUUGAACUCCCUUGUAAAGCAGGCUUCUGGGCCUAACUAUGGCACGCUGCCCUGUGAGCCUGCUGGCCCUUGUGGGCCUGAAUUUCCACGCCCGUGGUCUUGUAGGCCCAUUGGGAAGCGCCCCAAUAAUUUUUUAUAUAGUUUGUUUCUUUUCUUCUUUAUUUAUUUUCUUCUAUUUAUUUCUGAGUAGUUUUUUAUAUAGUUUUUUCUUUUCUGCUUUUUUUUAUUUUCUUCUAUUUAUUUCGGAUUAGUUUUUUAUAUAUUUUUUUCUUUUCCCCAAAUCGGUAAAUGACUGAAAAAUAGCAAAUGUUGUCAGAAAGUGUUGAAAAUUGAUGACGUCGCUUUGAAUGGUGUGUAUGGAACGCAAAAAAGUCUGGAGUUGUAAUAAGUUUAAAAAAAUGAAGUGCCCAUGUAACAGAUGAGUUCUCGUCAGAAACCCUGAUACUACAAAAAAGAUAGUCCAGUUUGUACACGAAGUGCGUCCAGUUUUUGCCAUAACCCUCUCUACUCUUUUGCACAUGCUAUGUGGGUGAAAUGAUGAUACCAUGCCAAGUUUUGACAUUUUCAGAGUUUAUUUUGUAGUGAUUUUCAAUUUCACGGUCAUUUAACUCUCUAAACAAAUCGGUAAAUGACUGAAAAAUAGCAAAUGAUGUCAGAAAGUGUUGAAAAUUGAUGACGUCGCUUUGAAUGGUGCGUACGGAACGCAAAAAAGUCUGGAGUUGUAAUAAGUUUAAAAAAAUGAAGUGCCAGUGUAACAGAUGAGUUCUCGUCCGAAACCCUGAUACUCCGAAAGAGAUUGUCCAGUUUGUACACGAAGUGCGUCCAGUUUUUGCCGUAAUCCUCUCUACUCUUUUGCACAUGCUGUGUGGGUGAAAUGAUGAUACCAUGCCAAGUUUCGACAUUUUCAGAGUUCAUUUUGUAGUGAUUUUCAAUUUCACGGUCAUUUAGCUCUCUAAACAAAUCGGUAAAUGACUACAAAAGUGCAAAUAAUGUCAGAAAGUUUUGAAAAAUGAUGACGUCGCUUUGAAUGGUGUGUACGGAACGCAAAAAAGUCUGGAGUUGUAAUAAGUCUGAAAAAUCGAAGUGCCAAUGUAACAGAUGAGUUCUCGUCAGAAACCCUUAUACUUCGAAAGAGAUUGUCCAGUUUGUACACGAAGUGCGUCCAGUUUUUGCCGUAACCCUCUCUACUCUUUUGCACAAGCUAUGUGGGUGAAAUAAUGAUACCACACCAAGUUUCGACAUUUUCAGAGUUGAUUUUGUAGUGAUUUUCAAUUUCACGGUCAUUUAGCUCUCUAAACAAAUCGAUAAAUGACUGAAAAAUAGUAAAUGAUGUUAGAAAGUGUUGAAAAUUGAUGACGUCGCUUUGAAUGGUGCGUACGGAACGCAAAAAAAGUCUGUUGUUGUAAUAAGUUUAAAAAAAUGAAGUGCCAGUGUAACAGAUGAGUUCUCGUUCGAAACCCUGAUACUCCGAAAGAGAUUGUCCAGUUUGUACACGAAGUGCGUCCAGUUUUUGCCGUAACCCUCUCUAAUCUUUUGCACAUGCUAUGUGGGUGAAAUGAUGAUACUAUGCCAAGUUUCGACAUUUUCAGAGUUCAUUUUGUAGUGAUUUUCAAUUUCACGGUCAUUUAGCUCUCUAAACAAAUCGGUAGAUGACUAAAAAAUAGCAAAUGAUGUCAGAAAGUUUUGAAAAUUGAUGACGUCGCUUUGUAUGGCGUGUACGGAACGCAAAAAAUUCUGGAGUUGUAAUAAGUUUAAAAAAAUGAAGUACCCAUGUAACAGAUGAGUUCUCGUCAGAAACCCUGAUACUCCAAAAGAGAUUGUCCAGUUUGUACACGAAGUGCGUCCAGUUUUUGCCGUAACCCUCUCUACUCUUUUGCACAUGCUGUGUGGGUGAAAUGAUGAUACCAUGCCAAGUUUCGACAUUUUCAGAGUUCAUUUUGUAGUGAUUUUCAAUUUCACGGUCAUUUAGCUCUCUAAACAAAUCGGUAAAUGACUAAAAAAUAGCAAAUGAUGUCAGAAAGUGUUGAAAAUUGAUGACGUCGCUUUGAAUGGUGCGUACGGAACGCAAAAAAAGUCUNNNNNNNNNNNNNNNNNNNNNNNNNNNNNNNNNNNNNNNNNNNNNNNNNNNNNNNNNNNNNNNNNNNNNNNNNNNNNNNNNNNNNNNNNNNNNNNNNNNNNNNNNNNNNNNNNNNNNNNNNNNNNNNNNNNNNNNNNNNNNNNNNNNNNNNNNNNNNNNNNNNNNNNNNNNNNNNNNNNNNNNNNNNNNNNNNNNNNNNNNNNNNNNNNNNNNNNNNNNNNNNNNNNNNNNNNNNNNNNNNNNNNNNNNNNNNNNNNNNNNNNNNNNNNNNNNNNNNNNNNNNNNNNNNNNNNNNNNNNNNNNNNNNNNNNNNNNNGACUAAAAAUAGCAAAUGAUGUCAGGAAGUGUUGAAAAUUGAUGACGUCACUUUGAAUGGUGCGUACGGAACGCAAAAAAAGUCUGGAGUUGUAAUAAGUUUAGAAAAAUGAAGUGCCAAUGUAACAGAUGAGUUCUCGUCAGAAACGGUGAUACUCCGAAAGAGAUUGUCCAGUUUGUACACGAAGUGCGUCCAGUUUUUGCCGUAAUCAUCUCUAUUCUUGUGCACAUGCUGUGUGGGUGAAAUGAUGAUACCAUGCCAAGUUUUGACAUUUUCAGAGUUCAUUUUGUAGUGAUUUUCAAUUUCACGGUCAUUUAGCUCUCUAAACAAAUCGGUAAAUGACUACAAAAGUGCAAAUAAUGUCAGAAAGUUUUGAAAAAUGAUGACGUCGCUUUGAAUGGUGUGUACGGAACGCAAAAAAGUCUGGAGUUGUAAUAAGUCUGAAAAAAUGAAGUGCCAAUGUAACAGAUGAGUUCUCGUCAGAAACCCUUAUACUUCGAAAGAGAUUGUCCAGUUUGUACACGAAGUGCGUCCAGUUUUUGCCGUAACCCUCUCUACUCUUUUGCACAUGCUAUGUGGGUGAAAUGAUGAUAUCACGCCAAGUUUCGACAUUUUCAAAGUUGAUUUUGUAGUGAUUUUCAAUUUCACGGUCAUUUAGCUCUCUAAACAAAUCGAUAAAUGACUGAAAAAUAGUAAAUGAUGUCAGAAAGUGUUGAAAAUUGAUGACGUCGCUUUGAAUGGUGCGUACGGAACGCAAAAAAAGUCUGUUGUUGUAAUAAGUUUAAAAAAAUGAGUUGCCAGUGUGACAGAUGAGUUCUCGUUCGAAACCCUGAUACUCCGAAAGAGAUUGUCCAGUUUGUACACGAAGUGCGUUCAGUUUUUGCCGUUACUCUCUCUACUCUUUUGCACAUGCUAUGUGGGUGAAAUGAUGAUACUAUGCCAAGUUUCGACAUUUUCAGAGUUCAUUUUGUUGUGAUUUUCAAUUGCACGGUCAUUUAGCUCUCUAAACAAAUCGGUAGAUGACUAAAAAAUAGCAAAUGAUGUCAAAAAGUUUUCAAAAUUGAUGACGUCGCUUUGUAUGGUGUGUACGGAACUCAAAAAAUCUGGAGUUGUAAUAAGUUUAAAAAAAUGAAGUGCCCAUGUAACAGAUGAGUUCUUGUCAGAAACCCUGAUACUUCGAAAGAGAUUGUCCAGUUUGUACACGAAGUGCGUCCAGUUUUUGCCGUAACCCUCUCUACUCUUUUGCACAUGCUGUGUGGGUGAAAUGAUGAUACUAUGCCAAGUUUCGACAUUUUCAGAGUUCAGUUUGUAGUGAUUUUCAAUUUCACGGUCAUUUAGCUCUCUAAACAAAUCGGUAAAUGACUGAAAGAUAGCAAAUGAUGUCAGAAAGUGUUGAAAAUUGAUGGCGUCGAUUUGAAGGGUGCGUACGGAACGCAAAAAAAGUCUGGAGUUGUAAUAAGUUUAAAAAAAUGAAAUGCCAGUGUAACAGAUGAGUUCUCGUCCGAAACCCUGAUACUCCGAAAGAGAUUGUCCAGUUUGUACACGAAGUGCGUCCAGUUUUUGCCGUAACCCUCUCUACUCUUUUGCACAUGCUAUGUGGGUGAAAUGAGGAUACCAUGCCAAGUUUCGACAUUUUUAGAGUUCAUUUUGUAGUGAUUUUCAAUUUCACGGUCAUUUAGCUCUCUAAACAAAUCGGUAAAUGACUAAAAAAUAGCAAAUGAUGUCAGAAAGUUUUGAAAAUUGAUGACGUCGCUUUGAAUGGUGUGUACGGAACUCAAAAAAGUCUGGAGUUAUAAUAAGUUUUAAAAAAUAAAGUGCCCAUGUAACAGAUGAGUUCUCGUCAGAAACCCUGAUACUUCGAAAGAGAUUGUCCAGUUUGUACAGGAAGUGAGUCCAGUUUUUGCCGUAACACAAGAAGUCCGGAGUUGUUAUAAGUUAUUAAAGAUAAAAAAGAGGCACAAUGCUCGUUAAUUAGCUUCAAGCCUUUCGGAAUAGUGCAAACUGCACUGCACAUAGCUCCGUGCAGUCUACACUAUUCCUCAAGGCUUAAAGCUAAGCAACGUGUAGAUGAGCAUUUCACGGUCAUUUAGCUCUCUAAGCUAAUCUAGUAGCCAUGUUAAGUCGAUAAUGACGUGGAAUUGUUAUAUGACAUGCAAAUACCUUCUGAGUUAAUGGCACUAGUCAUCAACCCGUGCAACUGCAUGGGCUAGUUUUUUAAACGGUUCAUAGUUACAAUACUUUUCAUGACCACUUGUUUCUUUGCAUCCAGCAAGAAUAUAAAUUUGUUGUGUGUGAACCAUUAAAUGAACAAUUAAUAUGAAAAUAGAAAACUUAUAUCCUGAAAGUUUACAAUCUUCAUAAAAUAUUUAUAUUUUAUUUUAAGACAAACGGGAAAUUAAAAAUCCUACUUAUAGAGAUCCUGAAACAUAAUUCAAAUGUCGCAUAAAUUACGUAAUUUUGAAUGAUAAGUACUAAAAAUGUAAUAAUUUGUUUAGUUAAUAUUAAUCCUUUUUUUAUUUGGGAGUCUACUUAAUCAUGGGGUAUUUUGCAUAAUGCUUAGGCUUGUCAAAUGAAAUAAGCAUUUCAUAACAACAGUGUACCUCCCUACAGUUUAAUAACAAACUUACUCUACAAACACCGAAAACCGAACCAAAGACUGAAGAAGCAAUCAUAAGUGUCAUACUUCUUAAAUUCUCCUUUUUUUUCCCGGCACCACCCAUGGAGUAGUCUUUCCACCGUGUUUGACUCUCGUUGUGGUAGCAAAUGAUGGGUCCAAGUUUUCGCAUAGUAUUGUCCGUUUGUUUUAUCAUGAUAGAGUACUCCAUUAGUUGGCACCGCUCUUAUAUUUGUGUGUGAUCUUUUAGCAGUUCAACAUUAUAGUUCUUCCACCCAUAUGUUCGCAAUGUUAAAUCUAUGGAGAAAAAGAUUCAAAUCUUCACUAUUGUACCACAAAAGCAAGUCACAUGAAUAGCUCGCAAUUAUUUAACUACUGGUGGUUGGUGCCAGGUAUAUUAGCGUUAGGAAAGUAAAUGUACAUACUGAACAUUUGACUGUGGAAGAAAAUGAAUUUUCUUAUUUACUCUUAUUGAAUUCUAAAUAUAUUUUGGAUAUUUGUUUUCAGUAAUACACCUAAUUUUGGAAAAUCUAUUUCAUAGCCUUGUAUUUUUGAAAUAUUUUACAAAACAUGACACAAAUUGUUGUGUUUUUUCACAUACAUAUUUAUAACAUUAAUACACUCUUUAUAUGUAAUGUGAUAUUUAUUAUAUAAUUUUUUAAUCAUACAUAACUAAAUUCUUAUUAUUUUCAAAUCACAAAUUUUAAAUGAUAUGAUAACUUACAUUUUAAAAGCUCUAUUUCGGGACAUUAUAACUAAAAACUAUCUGAGCGAAUCGGGCACCAUAAUGUAUUUGGUGUCUACACUUUGUCGCAUACAUAGCCUUUUUUAUUUUUAAUGUAAUUGCUAAAAUAUGUAAUUAUGUAGAACUUAAUAUUACAUUCUAUUACACAGAUUGGACUUAUAUAGGUUGGAAAAGAAUUAAAUCUAUGCUGUCAAACCUACCGAAUAGCAUUCCUCCGGCACAUUGUAUAUCUGGCAUUUAUUAGUAAUGUGUCUAAAUCAGUUCGGGAUAAAUUCACUCUACAUCGUCAUAAUGGCUUGUUGUUAAAAUUUGGCAUCCUGACGCAUUACUUGGAAUUUUUAUAAACUCAGUGUAAACAGUUAUGUUAUCUUUUUAAACAUAAGUUAUUUAGUUCAAUUCGGAGUACUAUAUAGUAAUUUUCAACAGUAAAUCUAGCCUAUUUCAACUCGGUCAUUAUAAACAAUAAAUCUAGCCUGUUUCAACUCGGCCAUUAUAUUUAACUUAUUUAAGACAUAAGGUAAUCUAACUUUUGAACAAUCUUUAGAAAUCUACAUAUGUAGAGGUCAAGUAGGACAUACAUAUGUGAAAUUCCUUAAAAUAAUUUGAUAAUUGUUAUAUUAAAGAAAAUAAUAUUAUAAUUUAUUAUCUGUACUUACUAUAAUUGCAAUACUUUUUGAUAGCAUGUUCCCGUUGCAUAGUGUCGCUUACUGCACAAUAUCUUAAUUUGUUAUGUGUCUCGGAUAGAAAAAUAUUGUAUUUCCGCGUAUGUAUAUGCAUGUCUAUAUAUGUUUCACACACAUGAAAUUUUUUUAUAUAUUAAAAAAUGAUUUCGCCUGAGUUACAUCCAUGCAUGCUAAUUUCCUGUCUAUCAUUGGAGUUUAGAUCUAUGCAUGUAUGUGCUUGACUAAGCUCUGCACAUAUAUACGUGCCGGUCAAAUCAUAUACAUGAACGUACAUCACUCUAUUCUACUAUUAAGGGAUUCGUUGAGCACCUCGUCAAAGAAACAAACCUUUCAGAUCAACUUGUAAAUUUUCUUUUUACAUAUUUGCAUUUUUUUAGCAUAUUUGCAUUUCUUUCCUAAAAUAUUGCAAUAUUUGCAAAUAUCUGAAUCAUAUUCUUUUGAUUGACAAUAACACAAUGGCUUACCAGCAGAUCAAAACAGAUAUCUAGCUAGUGCGAAGGUUGUGCCACCUCUUGAUUGUUUCCUCCAUGAGCAAGCAAGCUUCUGGUAACGGUAACAGUCAUGGCGACGGAACAUGAUGUGCCGGCGAGCCGCAGACAUUAGAAAGAUCUGAAAAGAAGCAGAUAGGCAUGAUGCAUAAAUCUGGAAAGGAAGAAGAAUAUGCAUAACUCAAAAGCAUUGAAGCCGUCGGUUUUUGCAUUGCUCUACGAUCAGUUAAUGUACGCAUGCAUCGUAUAUGUACGCAUCCAGCCGCCGGAAUUUACUUCUCCUGCCUUCGUUUGUCAAGGGCAAAAAUACUGGCCAGCAGCACAAAUUGAAGACCAGCUUUCGGCACCUCCAUAACGCUCGUAGAAAAGUUCUCAAUGACUUGCAUCGGGAAUAUCUCUCCAGACCAGGGCAUGCGCCAAUUAAUGCUUCUUGCCGUGUCAUGUAUGCCGGGUCAUGUAUCUCUACGGGGACAACAAAAUUCAACUUGUUUAUUUUUGGAUAAUCAUUGGGAGAUAGAGACCCAGCACAGGACGUCUCCCAUGCGUGGGACAACCGAGGUUUUUUUUUUCAAUCUUAGGCUUCAUCAACGGCUAAAAUAUAUUAUAUUUUAAUCUGACGGAUGUAAAUCUUUAACUUAUAAAAUUGACGUGAAUCCUCGUAUGGCUCUUCCAAUUAGUAAAUAUAUAAGAUAGUAGUAGACGUGAAGAAUAAAGGGGCAGUAAUGGGAUAUUAAAUGUGGCAGCUAACUUGCUAGGCCUUCGAGUUAUAUUUUGUUCAGCAUUAAGUGGAAAACAUAUUUUGGCAUCCUUUUCCUCCUCUCGACUCUGACAAAAUGUUAGUGAUAUUCAAAUGGAAAAGCUUAGGCAAGAAAUAUUCCGAGGAAAAAUAAUGCAUCUACUCUAAAAUAUAUUUUCAUCAAUAGUAGUCCACUACUACCAUGAGCCAAUGGCCAUGGUUCUAUUCAAAAUUUUAAUUUAUCAAGAUCAGGCGUAGACUUGAUGUUGACAUCAAUGGCUAUCUAGGCUUAGAGAGAUGAGAGGAGUGAAGAACAAAAAAGGAGCGCCAAUAAUGGUUAUAACCCAUAGGGGAUAAAAUAAGGACGCCGCUAGUUGGCAUGAAUUGAUACAGGUAGACAUCACUUACUCUGCGUCCCUGAAUAGAGGCCAUAAUUUGUGUUGCUCUAGGGACCCAUAAUUUAUGAAUUCUGCUCACAAGAGAUCCGACUGUUGUGGGGAUCAAACUUUAGCACGCUGCCCUUAGAGCAACUCCAACGCGUCAACCCAAAUGGACGGCGAUUUUGUUAUAUUUUCGUCUGUUUGUGUCGACCGUCCACUCGGUGUCCGCCUAAUUUUCUUUUUGGGUCAGCAGUGCGCCCAAUGCCAGCGACUCAUUUCAUGUCCGUGCACAAAUUUUAAAAAGGCCCGCGGCUGUAGAUCAUGGCAGCGGCCAAGCCGUCACCCAAAGUUCAUGCCGGCACCAUGCCAGCAGCCGACAUACAAUGCCAGCUCCAAAAAAGCACCACACAGUUUGUGUUGGCGCACUUGCCAGCGACUGGCAUAGAUGCCAGCAAACAAAAAAGGGGCGGGAGUUCGACCACGCCAUCGCGACCGUAGUCAUGCCAACACACUUUUCGGCAUGCAAAAAAGGAUGGCGCUUUCCGCCAUAAAUCACUCGUCGUCGAACUUGAGCAUGUCGGCUUGCAUCUUGUCGAACCACGACCUCUUCCUCGGCGACAUGGUGUUGAGGUCCACCUUCAUGAUCUCCACACCCGUCAUCAUGCUAGCGAGAACCACUUCUUUCGCCUUGGUCUUGACAUUUGCGGCAUCGAUAUCUAGCAUCUUGGCUUGCACUGGUGCAGAACCGGGCUUUAGCACCAGUUCGUAAGGCCCUUUAGUGGCGGUUCUUGAACCGGUACUAAGGGGGGGGGGGCUUUAGGGAUUUUGGUUUUAUUAUUUAUUUUUCCUUUAAUUUUGUAUUUCCAUUUAUUUUAUUUUUCAUUUGCUGGUAUUUUACGAACUACAUAUUGUACACGUUAUGCAUAUAUAUAAAUAUAAUUUCUCGUAGAACCGAUCAUAUANNNNNNNNNNNNNNNNNNNNNNNNNNNNNNNNNNNNNNNNNNNNNNNNNNNNNNNNNNNNNNNNNNNNNNNNNNNNNNNNNNNNNNNNNNNNNNNNNNNNNNNNNNNNNNNNNNNNNNNNNNNNNNNNNNNNNNNNNNNNNNNNNNNNNNNNNNNNNNNNNNNNNAGCUAAUCAUUGAUAUAUACUACAUACUAAACGUACAUACUCUCUAUUUUGACGGAUACUACAUACAACAUACAAAAUGCAAGUGGUGGUAAUUACCACCGCUUGGAGGAAGCAUUUGAGGCACCACCAUUUGAAGCACCGCCAUUCACACAUAGAGCAGAAAAGAGUACCGGUUGGAGCGACCAACCGGUUUAAAGGGGUGUGCUGGCCCAGGUGCGAUGCACAAAGUUUAGUCCCACCUUGCUGAGCGAAGGGCGGCCGCACUGGUAUAUAAACCCAGCCGCGGCUGCUCCUUUGAGCUCCUCCCUAACGCAGGCCUUCUGGGCCUACUUGUGUUGCGCUGCCCUGUUGGGCCUACUAGCCUUGCGGGCCUACCUCCUGGCCCGACUACAGGUUGGGUUUCUAGUCGCAUGCAGGCCGCUGUGGCCCAGUAGGCGGGCUUUUAAAAAAAUAUUGUUUGCUUUAUUUAUUUUCUUUUAUUUAUUUCUGAGUUGUUUUUCCUGUAUUUCGAAUUUCUUUGUGAAUAUUUUUGCUUUAGGUACAAAAAAUUACAAAAUUUCUGUUAGUGCCAGUAGUUUUCAAAUUUGAAUAGUUUAAAUUUGUCUCCUUUAUUUAUUUUUAAGUUGUUUUUUGCUGUAUUUAGAAUUUCUUUGUGAAUAUUUUGCUUUAGGUAAAAAAAAUUACAAACUUUAUGUUAGUGCCAAUAGUUUUCAAUUUUGAAUAGUUUAAAUUUGUCUGCUUUAUUUAUUUUCUUUUAUUUAUUUGUGAGUUGUUUUUUGCUGUAUUUAGAAUUUUUUGUGAAUAUUUUUCUUUAGGUACAAAAAAUUACAAAAUUUCUGUNNNNNNNNNNNNNNNNNNNNNNNNNNNNNNNNNNNNNNNNNNNNNNNNNNNNNNNNNNNNNNNNNNNNNNNNNNNNNNNNNNNNNNNNNNNNNNNNNNNNNNNNNNNNNNNNNNNNNNNNNNNNNNNNNNNNNNNNNNNNNNNNNNNNNNNNNNNNNNNNNNNNNNNNNNNNNNNNNNNNNNNNNNNNNNNNNNNNNNNNNNNNNNNNNNNNNNNNNNNNNNNNNNNNNNNNNNNNNNNNNNNNNNNNNNNNNNNNNNNNNNNNNNNNNNNNNNNNNNNNNNNNNUAAGUUGUUUUUUGCUGUAUUUAGAAUUUCUUUGUGAAUAUUUUUGCUUUAGGUACUAAAAAUUACAAACUUUCUGUUAGUGCUAGUAGUUUUCAAAUUUGAAUAGUUUAAAUUUUUCUGCUUUAUUUAUUUUCUUUUAUUUAUUCCUGAGUUGUUUUUUGCUGUAUUUAGAAUUUCUUUGUAACUAUUUUUGCUUUAGGUACAAAAAAUUACAAACUUUAUGUUACUGCCAGUAGUUUUAAAAUUUGAAUAGUUUAAAUUUGUCUGUUUUAUUUAUUUCUGAGUUGUUUUUUGCUGUGUUUAGAAUUUAUUUUUGAAUAUUUUUGCUUUAGGUACAAAAAAUUACAAACUUUCUAUUAGUGCCAGUAGUUGUCAAAUUUGAAUAGUUUAAAUUUGAAUUAUUUGAAAUUUUUGUGAAUAACUAGUUUCGGAAUAACUUUACUUUAAAAAUAGAUUUUUCAGUGAUUCGUUUUUCUUAUGUCUAACAUUAGUGUGUUUUAUCAUUAUAUUCAAUUUGGUAAUACUUAGGUUAUUUAAAAAAUGAAAUGCCAUUGUAACAGAUGAGUUUUCGUCUAAAAACUCUGAUACUUCGAAAGAGAUUGUCCAUUUUGUACACUAAGUGCUUCCAGUUUUUGCCAUAACCCUCUAUACUUUUUUGCACAUGCUAUGUGGGUGAAAUGAUGAUACCAUGCCAACUUUCAACCUUUUCAGAGUUCAUUUGUAGUGCUUUUUAAUUUCAGGGUCAUUUAGCUAAAAAAAUCAUUAAAUGCAUGAAAAAUAGCAAAUGAUGUCCGAAAGUGUUGAAAGUUGAUGACGUGGCUUUGAAUGGUGCAUACUGGACGCACAAAAAGUAUGGAGUUGUAAUGAGUUUCAAAAAUGAAAUUCCUUUGUAACAGAUGAGUUUUCGUCCGAAACCCUGAUACUCCGAAAGAGAUUGUCCAUUUUGUACACGAAGUGCAUCCAGUUUUUUCCAUAACCCUCACUACUUUUUUGCACAUGCUAUGUGGGUGAAAUGAUGAUGCCAUGCCAACUUCCAACCUUUAAGAGUUCAUUUGUAGUGUUUUUCAAUUUCAGGGUCAUUUAGCUAAAAAAUCAAUAAAUGCAUGAGAAAUAGCAAAUGAUGUCAGAAAGGUAUGAAAGUUGAUGACGUGGCUUUGAAUGGUGCAUACUGAAUGCACAAAAAGUUUAGAGUUGUAAUAAAUUUAAAAAAUGAAAUGCCUUUGUAACAGAUGAGUUUUCGUCCGAAGCCCUCAUACUUCAAAAGAGAUUAUCCAUUUUGUGCACGAAGUGCAUCCAGUUUUUGCCGUAACCCUCUCUACUUUUUUGCACAUUAUAUGUGGGUGAAAUGAUGAUACGAUGCCAACUUCCAACCUUUCAGAGUUCAUUUGUAGUGCUUUUCAAUUUCAGGGUCAUUUAGCUAAAAAAAAUCAGGAAAUGCACGAAAAAUAGCAAAUGAUGUCAGAAAAGUUUGAAAGUUGAUGACAUGGCUUUGAAUUGUGCAUACUGAACGCACAAAAAGUCUAGAGUUGUAAUAAGUUUAAAAAAUGAAAUGCCUUUGUAACAGAUGAGUUUUCGUCCGAAACCCUCAUACUUCGAAAGAAAUUGUACAUUUUGUACACGAAGUGCAUCCAGUUUUUGCCGUAACCCUCUCUACUUUUUUGCACAUGCUAUGUGGGUGAAAUGAUGAUGCCAUGCCAACUUUCAACCUUUGUAGAGUUCAUUUGUAGUGCUUUUCAAUUGCAGGGUCAUUUAGCUAAAAAAUCAGUAAAUGCAUGAAAAAUAGCAAAUGAUGUCAGAAAGUGUUGAAAGUUGAUGACGUGGCUUUGAAUGGUGCAUACUGAAUGCACAAAAAGUCUGGAAUUGUAAUAAGUUUAAAAAAAUGAAAUGCCUUUGUAACAGAUGAGUUUUCGUCCGAAACCCUGAUACUCCGAAAGAGAUUGUCCAUUUUGUACACGAAGUGCAUCCAGUUUUUGCCGUAACCCUCCCCUACUUUUUUCCACAUGCUAUGUGGGUGAAAUGAUGAUACGAUGCCAACUUCCAACCUUUUCAGAGUUCAUUUGUAGUGCUUUUCAAUUUCAAGGUCAUUUAGCUAAAAAAUUAGUAAAUGCAUGAAAAAUAGCAAAUGAUAUCAGAAAGGUUUGAAAGUUGAUGACGUGUCUUUGAAUGGUGCAUACCGAAAGUACAAAAAGUCAGGAGUUGUAAUAAGUUUAAAAAAAUGAAAUGCCUUUGUAACAGAUGAGUUUUCGUCUAAAACCCUCAUACUUCGAAAGAGAUUGUCCAUUUUUUUCUACACGAAGUGCAUCCAGUUUUUGCCGUAACCCUCUCAACUUUUUUGCACAUGCGAUGUGGGUGAAAUGCUGAUACCGCCAACUUUUAACCUUUUGAGAGUUCAAUUUUAGUGCUUUUUAAUUUCAGGGUCAUUUAGCUAAAACAAUCAGUAAAUGAGCUAAAAGUAGCAAAUGAAGUCAGAAAAGGGUUGAAAAUUGCUGAUGUGCCUUGGAAUGGUGCAUAUUGAACACACAAAAAGUCUGGAGUUGAAAUAAGUUAUUAAAAAUAAAAUCCUUUUGUAAUAGAUGAGUUUCGUCCGAAACCCUGAUACUUCGAAAGAGAUUGUCCAGUUUGUAGAAGAAGUGCAUCCAAUUUUUGCCGUAACCCUCUCAACUUUUUAGCACAUGCUAUGUGGAUGAAAUGAUGAUAUCAUGCUAAGUUUCAACCAUUUCAGAGUUGAUUUGUAGUGCUUUUCAUUUUCAGGGUCAUUUAGCUAAAAAAAUUCAUUAAAUGCAUAAAAAUAGCAAAUGAAGGCAGAAAAGAGUUGAACAUUGAUGAUGUGACUUUGAAUGGUGCACAAUGAACACACAAAAAGUCCGGAGUUAAAAUAAGUUAUAAAAAUGAAGGAGAGGCGCAAUCCUCACUGGCACAUUGCUUAGCUUCAGGCCUUGACAAACUACACAUAGCUCUGUGCAAUCUACACCAUUUCCUCCAGGCAUGAAGCUAAGCAACGUGCAGGUGAGCAUUGCGCCUCUCCUUCAUCGUUCCUCGUCUCUGCACUCAGGGCUUAUAAACCGCUGAUACGUCUCCAACGUAUCUAUAAUUUUUGAUUGUUCCAUGCUAUUAUAUUAUCAAUCUUGGAUGUUCUAUAAUCAUUUUAUAGUCAUUUUUUGGUACUAACCUAUUGACAUAGUGUCAAGUGCUAGUUGUUGUUUUCUGCAUGUUUUUUACAUUGCAGGAAAUCAAUACCAAACGGCGUCCAAAUUCAAUGAAACUUUACGGGGAUUUUUUAUGCACCAGAAGACACCUAAUGGGCCAAGGCUGCGCCUAGGGGGUGCUCCGAGGAGAGCACAACCCACCAUGGCGCGCCAGGAGGCCCGGGCACGCCCUGGAGGGUUGUGCCCACCUCGGGUGCCCCUCGGGCCGCCUCUUUGCUCUAUAAAUAUCCCAAUAUUCCAGAAACCCUAGGGGAGUCGACGAAAAUCAAUUCAAGCCUCCGCAGAGUCCAGAACCACCAGAUCCAAUCUAGACACCAUCACGGAGGGGUUCACCACUUCCAUUGGUGCCUCUCCGAUGAUGCGUGAUUAGUUCUUUGUAGACCUUCGGGUCCGUAGUUAGUAGCUAGAUGGCUUCCUCUCUCUCGCCAAACUCUCAAUACAAUGGUGUCUUGGAGAUCCAUAUGAUGUGACUCUGUUUGCGGUGUGUUUGUUGGGAUCAGAUGAACUUUCAGUUUAUGAUCAGAUCUAUCUUUUUAUAUCCAUGAAAGUUAUUUGAGUUUCUUUGAACUAUUAUAUGCAUGAUUUCUUAUAGCCUCGUAUUUCUUCUCCGAUAUUUGGGUUUUGUUUGGACAAAUUGAUCUAUUUAUCUUGCAAUGGAAAGAGGUGCUUUGUAGUGGGUUCGAUCUUACGGUGCUUGAUCCCAGUGACAGAAGGGGAACCGACACGUAUGUAUCGUUGCUACUAAGGAUAAAACGAUGGGGUCUAUCUCUACAUAGAUAGAUCUUGUCUACAUCAUGUCAUCAUUCUUAUUGCAUUACUCCAUUUCCCCAUGAACUUAAUACACUAGAUGCAUGCUGUAUAGCGGUCGAUGUGUCGAGUAAUAGUAGUAGAUGCAGGUAGGAGUCGGUCUACUAAUCUUGGACGUGAUGGCUAUAUAUUGAUCAUUGCCUGGAUAUCGUCAUGAUUAUUUGGAACUCUAUCAAUUGCCCAACAGUAAUUUGUUUACCCACCGUUUGCUAUUUUGCUCGAGAGAAGCCACUAGUGAAACCUACGGCCCCCGGGUCUCUUUCUCACAUUAUUUGCCUUCGCGAUCUAUUUUAUUUGCCUUUUGUUUGCAGAUCUAUUAAACCAAAAAUACAAAAAUACCUUGCUGCGUUUUACUCUUAUUUAUUUUAUUUGGUGUUCGAUCUAUCAAUCUACUACAAUUAUCUCACGUCUGUUUGCCAAUUUCUGGCGCCGCUACCCGAAAGGGAUUGACAACCCCUUUAACACGCCAGGUUGCGAGGAUUUGUUAUCUGUGUGCAGGGGCUAUUUACAUUCUAUUGCUAGGUUCUCCUACUAGUUCGAUAACCUUGGUUUCAUAUCUGAGGGAAAUACCUACCGCUGCUAUGCUGCAUCAUCCCUUUCUCUUUGGGGAAAUACCGACGUAGCUUCAAGCCGCAUCAAAAGGAAUUUCUGGCGCCGUUGCCGGGGAGGAUCUUCAACAUAUACGAGGUUCCGAAUCACAAAUCUCAUCUCCUUGCAAUUUACAUUAUUUGCCAUUUGCCUCUCAUUUUCCUCUCCCCCACUUCACAAAAAUUUGCCAUUUUAUUCGUCCUCUUUUUCGUUCGCCUUUUUCUCGUUUGAUCUUUUGUUUGCUUGUGUUGCCAUGUGCCUUCUAUAUGCUUGCGUCUUCGCUUGCUAAAAAUAUAUUGAUAUGGAUCCUCAUCCACUUGCUAAUCUUUUUAAAAGAUCCAAUCAUGUUGAACCAGUUGCUAGUGAGUUGAGUGCACUAGAUUAUCUUUAUGAAGUUUUUCUUGAGAUUCGUGAAUCUAAAAAUUGCGAUGAAGAAAUUUAUGAAGUGAUUCAUGAUAGCUCCUUGAAUGAAAAGCAUGAUUGCAAUGAUUUUACUAUAAAUCCUAUUAAUGUCAAUUGUGCUAAUAAUAUGCAAAACCCCAAACUUUGGGAUGCUAAUUUUGCUAUGUCCACUACUUGUUGCAAUGAUCAUGAUUGGGGUGAUUCUUCUUAUGAGCUUGAAAUUUUAUUUAAACCUCAUGAUGAAUAUGAUAUUGAUAAUAAUGUUUGCAAUAAUAUUGAAAGUGGGUAUGGAAGAGCGUCAACUUUAGGUAAAAAUAAUCCCACAUAUUUGGAGAGUGUUCAAUCUUAUGAUUUUUUUUAUGAAAGUGGGUUCGGAGGGGUCAUGACUUUAGUUGAUGUUAAUCCCACUAUCUUGGAAGAUUAUAAGACUUGUAUGCAUGUGGAUCAUGAAAAGAAAGUUUUAUAUGAUUGCUAUAUUGUUGAAUUUGAGUAUUAUCCUACAUGUAAUUAUUAUGAGAAAGGAAAAUAUGGUUGUAGAAAUUUUUAUGUUACUAAAUUACCUCUCGUUAUGUUGAGAUCGUCAAUGUUUUAUUCCUCUUCUUUGCAUAUGUUAGAUGUUUCUUGUCUUGAUAUUUUGUUUUCUUAUAAAAUUCCUAUGCAUAGGAAGUAUGUUAGACUUAAAUGUGGUUGUCAUAUGUUUCAUGAUGCUCUCUUUGUGUUUCAAUUAUUAUCUCUCAUGUGAGCAUCAUUGAAAUUUUAUGCCUAGCUAGGGGCAUGAAACUAUAGCGCUUGUUGGGAGGCAACCCAAUGAAUAAAAUUUGUUUUUACCUUUUGCUUUCUGUUCUUGAAUGUUUGCACAAUUAUGCUAAUGUUAUGAUUGUGUGUUUUGUGUUUUAAUUAGUGUUUGUACCAAGUAGAACCUAUAGGAUCUUCUUGGGUGAUAGUUGUUUGAUCUUGCUGAAAAAACAGAAACUUUUGCGCUCAUGAAAACAAUUCUUAUUUUUUACCAGAGCGUGAUAAAAUGCCAAUUAUUUUUGCAGAAGAUUAAUAUACAAAUUUCUUAGGUCUUCCUAUUGUUUUAGAAUUUUUGGAGUUUCAGAAGUAUUCGAACAAUUCAGAUUGCAACACAUUGUUCUGUUUUUGACAGAUUUUGUUUUCUUUGCGUUGUGUGCUUGUUUUGAUGGCUCCAUGGUUUUCUUUGUUGAGUUUUUGCCAUAGAAAAGUUGGAAUAUAUUAGAUAUAAUGCAAGAAUAAAAUAUGAAUAGGUUGCAACAGUACUUAUAGUAGUGAUUUAUUUUCUUAUACUAAUGGAUCUCACGAAGGUUUUGUUGAGUUUUGUGUGAUUGAAGUCUUCAAGUUUUGGGUUAUCUUACGAUGGAUGAAGGAAUAAGGAGUAAGCAAAGCCUAAGCUUGGAGAUGCCCCGGCAACCCAAGCUAUUAUCCAAAAGAUAGCAAGCAAGUAAGCUUGGGGAUGCCCCGAGUGGCAUCCCCUCUUUCUUCUAACGACCAUCGAUAUUUUACUCGAAGCUAUAUUUUUAUUCGUCACAUACUAUGUGUUUUGCUUGGAGCGUCUUGUAUGAUAUGAGUCUUUGCUUGUUUUAUUUUGUGUUUUAAGUCUUGAUUCCUUGCGGGACACACCUAUUUGAGAGAGCCAAAAUUAUGCAUGACUUAUUAGAAUUGCUCUCUAUGCUUCACUUAAAUUUUUUAUGAGCCAUGGACUUGCUCUAGUGCUUCACUUAUAUCUUUUUGAGCACGGUGUGCUUAGUUAUUUUUUAAGAAAUGCUCUCUUGCUUCACUUAGAUUUGUUUUAGAGGUAGUAAAUUUUUCAGGAAAUUCUCUCUUUCUUCACUUAAAUUAAUUUGAAAGAAAGAAAUAUUAUGCUCAUGAUCUUCACUUAUAUUUGUUUGAGCUUAUCAAAAGCAACAUAUGAAAAUUAGUUCCAAAGUGAUAGAUAUCCAAGAAGGAUAUAAUAAAAACUUUCAUGAAGAUCAUUGGACAAAAUAAACUUGAUUCUUAGUAAUAGUUUUAAGAUAUGAUGAUGUGAUAUGUGAGUCAUGUUGAUGAGUAAUUAUGCUUUACUAAGAAUAUUGGUGUUAAGGUUUGUGACUCCCUAUGCAAGCACGAAAGUCAAUAAUUAUGCAAUGAAAUUAUAUCCUACUUGUGGUGCAUUAUUCGGUGUUAAUUAUGCUUAAUGCUCGCUUAUGAGAUUAUUCGUUUCUUGGUUGGUUGCUUCUCAAUCUUUUGCUAGCCUUCAUUUUGCACUAAGUAUGAUCUCUACUUGUGCAUCCAAAAACCUUUAAACCAGUUUUGCCACAUGACUCCACUAUAUCUACCUAUAUGCGGUAUUCUUUUGCCGUUCUAAGCAAAUUUGUAUGUGCCAUCUCUAAUUUUGAAAAUAAACUUCUCUUUUGUGUGUUCGUACCGCUCGCAGAGCUGUGAGGGGUGGCUAAUAUUUUCCAUGCUAGAUGUGUUAUUCUCACGAUGAGUGUUUAUUCACUUGUCAUUGCACGAGAGUAAGGCAAAGGUAUUAGGGAUGCCCAGUCCCGAAAUGAAAAAUGAAUUUACUUUAUGUUGUCAAAUAAUAAAUUCCUUGGAAAGUGUUGGUACGGAGGGAAACCGUGGAUACGGCUAGCCAAGGAAAGUGAAAGUAUGGUUGAAAAAAGAAUAAACUUUAUUUUCUGUUUGGGAACCGCCUAUGAUAUAUCUAGCAUGGAAAGUGUUGGGAACUCUAAGUCGUUUUCGUUGGUGGGAAGGACACACCUCCUGAAAUGUUCUUAUCUCUAAGUUUUUUCGCUUUGAGCUUUGGCACGUCUACAAAUCCCUACUUCCCUCUGUGAAGGGCCUUUGUUUUACUUUAUGCAAUUUUUAUUAUUGAAUUUGAAUCUCCUUAUAAAAGCACCAACUCGGAGGCACUAUGAUCUUACUUGAGCAUUGGGUGUAGCUAAUAUGCAAGUGUGUUUCAUGAAUGGAUCAAUGAUUGAGCAUGAUGGGCUAGGGAUAACUUAUUUUAGCGUUGAUAUUUUGAAAGACAUGGUUGCUUGUUGGUAUGCUUGAGUAUUUAAGUUAUCAUAUCAAAACUAGACUAUUGCUUUGAACAAUAUAAAAGUCCAAAUGUCCAUGCUAUAAAGAAAACAAUAUGAUAUGACAUGUUACGCAGUAUUCCACAUCAAAAAUUCCGUUUUUAUCACUUACCUACUCGAGGACGAGUAGGAGUUAAGCUUGGGGAUGCUGAUACGUCUCCAACGUAUCUAUAAUUUUUUAUUGUUCCAUGCUGUUAUAUUAUCAAUCUUUGAUGUUUUAUAGUCAUUUUAAAUAAUUUUUUGGUACUAACCUAUUGACAUAGUGCCAAGUGCCAGUUGUUGUUUUCUGUAUUUUUUUACAUCGUAGGAAAUCAAUAUCAGACGGAGUCCAAAUGCAAUGAAACUUUACGGAGAUUUUUUUAUUGACCAGAAGACACCUAAUGGGCCAAGGUUGCGCCUGGGGGCGCUCCGAGGAGAGCACAACCCACCAGGGCGCGCCAGGAGGCCCAGGCGCGCCCUAGUGGCUUGUGCCCACCUCGGGUGCCACCCGGACCACCUCUUUGCUCUAUAAAUACCCCAAUAUUCCAGAAACCCUAGGGGAGUCGACGAAAAUCAAUUCCAGCCGCCGCAGAGUCCAGAACCACCAGAUCCAAUCUAGACACUAUCACGGAGGGGUUCACCACUUUCAUUGGUGCCUCUCCGAUAAUGCGUGAGUAGUCCUUUGUAGACCUUCGGGUCCGUAGUUAGUAGCUAGAUGGCUUCCUCCCUCUCGCUAAAUUCUCAAUACAAUGGUCUCUUGGAGAUCCAUAUGAUGUAACUCUUUUUGCGGUGUGUUUGUUGGGAUCAGAUGAACUUUAGUUUAUGAUCAGAUCUAUCUUUUUAUAUCCAUGAAAGUUACUUGAGUUUUUUUGAUCUCUUGUAUGCAUGAUUUGUUAUAGCCUCGUAUUUCUUCUCCGAUAUUUGGGUUUUGUUUGGCCAACUUGAUCUAUUUAUCUUGCAUUGGGAAGAGGUGCUUUGUAGUGGGUUCGAUCUUAUGGUGCUUGAUCCCAGUGAUAGAAGGGGAACCGACACGUAUGUAUCGUUGCUACUAAGGAUAAAAUGAUGGGGUCUAUCUCUACAUAGAUAGAUCUUGUCUACAUCAUGUCAUCGUUCUUAUUGCAUUACUCCCUUUCCCCAUGAACUUAAUACACUAGAUGCAUGCUGGAUAGCGGUCGAUGUGUGGAGUAAUAGUAGUACAUGCAGGCAGGAGUCGGUCUACUAAUCUUGGAUGUGAUGCCUAUAUAUUGAUCAUUGCCUGGAUAUCGUCAUGUUUAUUUGUAGUUCUAUCAAUUGCCCAACAGUAAUUUGCUUACCCAUCAUUUGCUAUUUUUCUCGAGAAAAGCCACUAGUGAAACCUAUGACCCCCGGGUCUCUUUCUCAUUUUAUUUGCCUUCGCAAUCUAUUUUAUUUGCCUUUCAUUUUCAGAUCUAUUAAACCAAAAAUACAAAAAUACCUUCUUGCGCUUUAUUCUUUUUUUUUUAUUUGGCGUUCGAUCUAUCAAUGUACUACAAUUAUCUCACGUAUGUUUGCCAAUUUCUGGCGCCGUUACCCGAAAGGGAUUGACAACCCCUUUAACAUGUCGGGUUGCGAGGAUUUGUUAUCUGUGUGCAGGGGUUGUUUACGUUGUGUUGCUAGGUUCUCCUACUAGUUCUAUAACCUUGGUUUCAUAUCUGAGGGAAAUACCUACCUCUGCUCUGCCGCAUCAUCCCUUCCUCUUUGGGGAAAUACUGACGUAGCUUCAAGCCGCAUCAACCGCUGCGAGUCCCUCUUGCUAGGCGAGGUGGGACUAAAUUUUAGCCAUUGCCAGGACAAGGCCUUUAGUCUCGGUUGAUGGCUCAAUUAAAAUAUUUUGUUAUGAUCCACUUAUAGAAAGUUAUAAUAUUCUUCAAUAGCAAAAAGAAUCAACUAAAAAUCUCUAGUACCGGUUCGUGGCAUGAACCGGUACUAAAGGUGCUGGUGGGGGGCCCAGCCUGACAACAGCCUGCCACCACCUCUUUAGUACCGGUUCGUGGAACGAACUGGUACUAAAGGUUCGCCACGAACUAGUACUAAUGAGCACCGCCCGCCUAGCUGUUGGAACCGACACUAAUGGUCACAUUAGUGCUGGUUCAGUUACAAACCGGGACUAAUGUGCUUCACAUUAGGCCCUUUUUCUACUAGUGUUGCUUCUCCGCCUCCAUCUCAAGCAUCCUCAUUUGCUUCUCUGCCUCCAUCUCAAGCCUCCUCCUUUAGAUCUUCAUGAAGGCGUUCAUUUGUUCUUCCUUGUCUUGUCGGCGCUUCUCCUCCCUUGAGUCCUUCUUAGUCAUCAUGCCCUCCAUGGUAGCGAUCAAGGCAUUGGACGCCGCAUCCCUCUUGUCCUACUUCUUGGAGUUGGUCUUCCCCCACGGCCGUGGCUUCUCGCCCUCCCCAACCUCCUCCACGACUUUCUCUCCCCCACGCAACAUGAGGGCGGCAUAUUGCACCUUGAACUUCUCCUCGUCUUUGAUGACCCUCCAACAAUGAGAGAGGUUGAAGGACUUACCAUCAUGUUGGACCUUGAAUGCCUCCAAAGCUUGGAAUGCCUACAAAUGAAAUGCAUGCAAGCAUAUUGGCAAAUGGAUAUGAAUAUGGACUUGCAAGAAUAAACGGAAGAGGGGCGCAUGCAUGCAUACCAUAUCUUGCAUGCCGAUGCCGCUCACCGGGCGUGACUUGAUGCUCUCAAAGGUGGCACAAAACUUGUCAUGCUCUUGUUGGAUCACCUUCCAUCGGUUCGAAAUGGACACCCACCCGCGCAUGCUUUAUAUCUGGUACGGCAGAAACUUCUUGCGUUCGUGGAACUCACGAUGGACACGAGUCCAAAAGGUUGAUUCCUUUUGUUCGGCACCGACCAUGGGGUCUUGCCCAAUGUCCCUCCAAAACUCACAAAGGAGCUUGUCCUCGACCGUGGUGUAUGCCUUCGUCCGCCUGCUCUUGUGCUUUGGCUUCAGCCCGGCGGCUUGGCUGGCGAGCCCGUCCUCUUCCUCAAGGCCGUAGUCCUCCGGAAACUCGUGGUCGAACAGGAAGUCGUCUAGGUCCAGGCCGAAGUGAUCUUGCAUGAAGGCGUCCUGCAUGCUAUCUUGAUCAUAGGUCGACGGCGUGAACGGCCCUCAGCCGUCCUGGCUUUGUGUCUCCUCUGAAUCGUAGGCAGCCGCGGCGGCACCACAGGCGGCCGACGUACCACCCUCGAAGAUGAUGCUCACCAUGAAACGGUCGGCCGUCUUGUCUUCGCCGGAUGACGAGGCACCGACUACCGGUGUGGCGUUGAGAUCGAUGGGCGCGGGCGCGGGCAUGGAAUGCGCCACCACGCUCACCUCCAGCGAGCAUUCCCUGAAGAAUUGGGAGGCUUGCAAGUAGACGUGGAAGCCGGGAAUCGAGUAAGACGCCGACGCGCGAGGCGACUCUGGGAGCACCAUCCGAGGAAACGCGGACGAGUCGGAGCUGGCCACGGCCACAGCGGCGUUGACGAGCCCGUGCUGGCCAGGGUUUAGCCCUAGGUAGAUUAGCGCCUCCCUCAUUGCCGCGGCGACGUGGGCGGCGGUGUCCUCCUGCUGCGCGGCGGCGGCCAUGGCGAUGGCAGCGGACGCUGCUUCGUCCCACGCGUCCGCCGCGUGCCUUCGGCCCUUUCGCUUCGGUGACUCCGCGGCCCGCUCCUCGGACGUCAGCUGCUUCUUCUUCUUGGGCACGGUGGCAGUCUUGCGGGAGGCGCGCGGCUUGCCUUUGCCGAAGGGGGCGGCUGUGAUGCUGGACGAGGCAAGGGCGACGAGGCCGCCGACAGUAUCGAGGUCCUCAUCCAUGGCGUGCGGCCGGGAGCGAGCACGGGCGGAAGGUUUUUGAGAAAGUGGACGAAAAUGUUGGAGGCUUUGCCACCAAUUGGCAGGUCAGGGGUAGUUGGCACGCAACGCGCUUCUCCGUCUCGUGUCGCGCGCCAACGCAAAUGAGGCUCAAAAUUGGGCUGAGAAUGGGUCGGCAGGCGAACGAAAAGCGGACACGCGUCCAUUUGGGUCGGCACAUUGUGCCGACUUUUCUGUCCGCACCGACCCAAAUGAACGCGCGCGAACGAAAUGGGUCGUCACGUUGGAGUUGCUCUUACGUGGCACUGUAACAAGAAAUGAGGACCAGUGGAAACCAGCAUAUGCACCUAGAAGAAUCGUAUGGAUCUGCAUAUGUAAUUGAUCUAUAUCAUACGGACCCAUAAAUGAUAGGAAGGUCCUAGCUACCAGGUACCAGCUAUCCUGGUUACUCCAUUUGCUGCCCCUCCAACCUGGGUUCCGGUCAUGUCCUCGGGGUCUGUCGGUGGUUCCGUGUUCUUGUUCUGGACGGACGCUUGUAAGAUCAGGUUUUCGAUCGGGAGCCUUCUGUUGACAUUAUAAAAGUGCGUGUAUUCAAAGGAGAUGUAUGCAUUUCUCCGUGACAAAGCAAAUUAAGUUCUGCUGCUAGCUAUUUUCAAAAAAGAGUCUUGCCCCACCACUUGCGUCGUUUGCAAAGCCCUUAAAUAUACUGAUAUGUUAUACACACACACAUAUACACAUGAGAUUUAAUUUUAAAGAGCACACGGACAUGUUCGUUCUCGUGUUAAUGAAAUCCUAGAAAAUCUCAUUAAUUAACCAUGGGAUCUAUAAUUCCGAGAUCUUUAGCUGUUGGAUGUAUGUAAUGCCUUAAGAUGCAUUAAAACAAAUAUACGUGAGAUUUAAUUUUAAAGGCCUUAAGGUGCAUAAAAAAUACGCAUGAGAUUUAAUUUUAAAUAGCACAAGGACAUGUUCAUUGUCGUGUUAAUGAAAUCCUAGAAAAUCUCAUUAAUUAACCUUCGGAUCUGUAACUCCGAGAUCUUUAGCCAUUGGAUUUACAUAAUGCCUCAACCUGCAUCAAAAAAAAUAUACGCAUGAGAUUUAAUUUUAAAGGCCUUAACCUGCAUAAAAAAAUAUACGCAUGAGAUUUAAUUUUAAAGAGCAGACAGACAUCUUCAUUGUCGUCCGCUGGCUGUAUGAAUUAGAAUAACAUAUAUUUACUUAGUUGGAUUAGAGAGAAGAGAAAAGAGAAGAGAAGUGGGCUCUGGAUUAAAGCAAGUACAAUAAAAUGACGUAGGCGGGCUAUAAAAGAUGUCAUCUUAAAUUUGUGCUUUUUUAGUUAACCUUAAAUUUGUGCUUAGUUGAAGGAGAGAGAAGCGGGCUACAAGUGUGACAAAAGCCUUUUUCAGUAGGCAGGCUACAAACUUACAAUCGACUGUAGCACGAGCUCAAACAACCUUUGUAAGAAGAUAUGGGCCAUAUAUUAAUUCACAGUGUGACUUAAUGUUGACAUGAAUUGAUACAGGUGGACAUAGUUAGAGCAACUCUAGCAGACCCCGCAUCCCGCCCCGACUGUUAAAAUAACCGCCAAAAUGCGGGUCGGGCAGGAAAACCAGCCCGAUCAGACCCCGCAUCCCGCCCCCGCCCGCAAAAAAAUUUAGGGGGCGCGGCAAAAUCCCAACCCCAACCCGGGAAAACGCGGGUUUCCCUCUCGCGGCUGCGGUGCCCUGCAUAUAGGAGGAAGCGGCUGGUGAGGGGACAUUUCAUGCCGCGCUUUCUCCCACCAACCACCUCUCCUCUCCCCCCUCGCGCCGCUGCCGGCCGCCGCCCAAGAUUCUGGCGAAAGCAGCCGGCAGGAGCACGCCGGAAGGCCGCCACGCACACGAGGCCUCCCCUUCCUCCCCCUGCGUCGGCGGGCCACCGGAUUUGCAGAUUUGCAGCACUUCAUCGCGGGUCGCCGGAUUUGGCUUUUUCCGGCCGCCGGUUGCUGUCCCAAGCUAUGGAGUGGUCGGGGAGCCUCUCCCACAGCCCAGGCAAGGGCGCAUUGCCGCAUGCAGGUACGGGUUCGUCCGCCCGCCGCCGCCGAAGGUUUGCGGGCUUGGACUCAUCCGGCCGUCCACCGGGCUCGGCGCUCACGCAGCGUCUUUGUGGCAUGCCGAUGCCGCUCAUAGAGUGUGACGACUGCACGCGGAAAGUGCUGCGGCUCACUUCGGGCACGCCGAAGCACCCUGGGUGGGUGUUCUUCAAAUGCGAAAAUGACGGGGUACGUGCACUUGCGGUAGCUCGUUUCAUAGUUCAUUCUUUAGUUCAACUGCGGUAGCUCACUUCGAGCUUGCUCACUCUUUUGUGUAGGACGAUGGAUGCUCAUUUUGGUUUUGGGAAGGCCAAUACAUUUAUUUGUUGAUAGAAAGAAACUUAAUAGAUGUUAGUGCACUCCUUAGUACAAUCGAAGGCAAUGAUGCGGCUGCAUGUGCAAAUAGAGGGGAAGCAACGUCUACUUCUUUCGAACCAAAGAUGAAGAAAGAAGAAUGCAAAAUCAAGAAUCCACAGAUCAACAACGAAUGCAUGGAGAAGAUAUUAGUCCAACUAGUGGGGGCAGUUAUGGAAGUUGGAAAUCUUCUAAAAUGCAUACUUGUGGUUCUUAUUUUCUUUGGUCUUGCUAUUCUAGCAAAGAUUUGGUGAUGUCUUUUGUAUCCAAUGUUGUUGAUAAAGCAAAGCAAUGCAAUAUGCUAGAUCAAAUUAAGGUGCAAAUUUAAGUUUUGCGGGCCGGGAGAAGUUGCACCAGAUCAGACGCGGCAACCCAACCCGUAAAAAAGCAUAUUCCAGGAAUAUCGUUUUUACGGAUCCAUUAUGCGGGGUCUGCAACUGCGGCCGUCCGCGCCGGCCCGCAAAGCCGUUUUCCCGCGAACUGCAAAAACGUUUAGCGGGUCGGGAGGAUGUGGGGUCUGCUAGAGUUGCUCUUACUCUGCGUCUGUAAAUAAAGGUCAUCAUUUUUAUUGCUCUAGGGACCCAUAAAUGAUAGGGACUGUCCGCUACCAGCUACCAGCUAGUAGCUACCCUGGUGACUACAUUUGCUGCCCCUCAAACAUGGGUUCCCGACAUGUUCUCAGGGUCUGUCGGUGGUUCCAUGUUCUGGCCUUUGGGGUUGGUUUAACUAGUGGUAUGGGGGUUCUUGCAUCGCCCUGUACUCUCGAUCGGGACCCUUUAAUUCUAGGUGACAUACAGUGCGUGUAUUUAAAGCCGAGGCAUGGAUCCUCCGUGCCAAAGAAAAUUAAUUCAGCGGCUACUCGGGGAGAGUUGUGGCAGCAUAUCCGGGAUGCCAGCUUUUUAUUUUGGGUUUUGAUUGUCAAAGUUUUAGAUCUUAAAAAAAACUAAAAUUAAGUGCUGUUUUCAUAUUCGUGUUUCUCGUGACCAGCGCCUUGAAAUAAUAUCCAUUUUGAAUAUAUUUUGACGACUUUGAAAAAUGUUAAGUUUCAAAUGUUGAAACUUAGUAUGAGCAACCAAUAAAAAUCAAUUAUUUUGUACCUACGCCUGACAGAAAAAUGCUUACAGUUAUAUCCCUGAAACUUGCUGAAACUUUGCAUUUUUCAUCAUUGAAACUUAAAACUGUUUAAGGGAUUUUCUUUUUUACUGUGCCCUCAUGUGGGAUUCAACUACUCUUUUCUCUCCGUGAGAUCCACAUAAAAAAAGCACAAAUUUAAGAUGAGUGCCCUGCACUUACAUGCCCCUGCGAAUUUCCGCAGCUACUAGCUAUUUUUGGAAGAAAAAAAUCUUGCCCCGCCACUCCCAUCAUUAGCAGAGCCCUUAAAUAUACUCACAUGUACCAAAUUACGAGUCAGAAUCAAACAUGCGUUGGCAUCAUUACCUACGAACUCUACUAAACAAUGUUCCAACUAUCCUGCGAGUCAAAUCUAAUAACUCUUGUCUUGCACGUUGCAUUGUCCAUUGGCAGAUCUUUUUAAGAAUUUUACGUCAGAUCUAAUUUUAUUUGAACGAAUGAAAGAUAAGCAAGUAGUAGUAAAAUCGACCCAAUUUGCACAGCCGAAAUGUGGACCAGACAAUUUACUCUUUGUUACGGGACUAAGAAAUUCGGACCGGCUAAUNNNNNNNNNNNNNNNNNNNNNNNNNNNNNNNNNNNNNNNNNNNNNNNNNNNNNNNNNNNNNNNNNNNNNNNNNNNNNNNNNNNNNNNNNNNNNNNNNNNNNNNNNNNNNNNNNNNNNNNNNNNNNNNNNNNNNNNNNNNNNNNNNNNNNNNNNNNNNNNNNNNNNNNNNNNNNNNNNNNNNNNNNNNNNNNNNNNNNNNNNNNNNNNNNNNNNNNNNNNNNNNNNNNNNNNNNNNNNNNNNNNNNNNNNNNNNNNNNNNNNNNNNNNNNNNNNNNNNNNNNNNNNNNNNNNNAUGUCUCCCAUUUCUCAAUCCCAUCCCGACGGUGUGUCUACCAUGUUUAGAGGGCGCAUGGGGGAGUUACUCCAUUGGUUCUCGCGGGAUUUGAUCGAUGAUGGUUUUCCGUGGAUUUCCUUGAAUCCAGUUUUUGUUCAUCCUCAUCCGUGCGUUUAAAUAUCCCAACAAGGCGAAGAUUUGGUUGUGCACAGGCAACUGAGGAGGUGACCUACUUCUUUACUGUCUCCUAUGUCCCUUGUUACCCACUGAUCCUAGAUCCACAGCUCGAGACCCCCUACCCUGAGGUCUACCAGUUUUACCACUGACAACCGGCCACAAGGGAGAAAUCCCUUUGAAUUUAGAGAUAAGAUCUUAUCUCUAGAUUUAACCCUUUAAAUUUAGAGAUAUGACCUUAUCUCUAGAUUUUAAAGACAUGGAACUUAGGGACGAUGCGGCCAGCCCAUGUGGGUUGUUGCCCCACCCCUCGGUCUAUGUGGGGACUUUUCGGGUCGUUGGGCCCCAUGGUGGAACCCCGGAACAUUUCCGGUACUCUACCAAAUAUUCCCAAACUUUUCUGGAACCCAUAAAACCACUUUCCUUACAUAACUCUUUACCUCCAGAGCUCCUCGUGAUGUCCCGGAUUCUAUCCAGGACUCUGAACUACCUUCAGACUUACCACUAUGAAUGUCCCAAAACUAUCCAAUAGUGGUAAGUCUGAACGUUAAGUGUGUGACCCUGCGGGUUCGAGAACAUGCAUAAAUGACCGAGACACCUCUCCAAUCAAUAAUCAAUGAACAUCUUUAUCGGUUUGAACCACGAUGUCAAUGAUUCAGUUAAUCCCGUAUACAAUUCCCUUUGUCCAAUGAUUUGUUAUUUGCCCGAGAUUCGAUCGUCAGUAUCGCCAUACCUAGUUCAAUCUCAUUACCGGCAAGCCCCUUUACUCAGUCCUUAAUACAAGAUCCACGUGACUAAACACAUUGGUCACAUGCUUCCAAUCUAUUCACGAUGUUGUAUUACCGAGAGGACCUAGAGAUAUCUCUCUGUCAUAUGGAGUGACAAAUCCUACACUCGAUCUAUGUAACCCAACAAACACUUUCUGAGAUACCUAUAGAGCACCUUUCUGAUCACCCAGUUACGAAGUGACGUUUGUUUACCCAUAAUGUAUUCUUCCAGUAUUAGGGAGUGGCACGAUCUCAUGGUCUAAGGAACAGAUUCUUGACAUGAAGAAAGUUGUAGAAAAUAAACUAAGUGAUACGAUCUGAUGCUAAGCUUAUGGUUGGGUCUGUCCAUCACAUCAUAAUCCUAAUGAUGUGAUCCCAUUAUUAAAUGAUAACUCGUGUCUAUGGUUAGGAAACCUUAACCAUCUUUAAUUAAUGAGCUAGCCUAGUAGAGGCUCACUAGGGACACGUUGUCUAUUUAUGUAUCCACACAUGUAUUUAAGUCUCUGGUCAAUACAAUUCUAGCAUGCAUAAUAAAUAUUUAUCAUGAACACGGAAAUACGACAAUAACAUCUUUCUUAUUGCCUCUAGGACAUAUUUCCUACAGAUUAGUAGGAUAAAAGAUCAAGGUGGCCUUGGCAUUCAUGGCAUGAAGGUCAAGAAGGAUGCCUUACAUAGGAAAUGGUUAUUCAAAAUACUUACUAGGGGUGGCGUUUGGCAAACCUGUUGCGAAAGAAGUAUCUAAUACUAUGCCAAAAACUUAUCUCUCACACAUAUUGGAAAGCUGGUGACUCACACUUUUCGGGUGGUGUCGUGGAAUUCUCACGGCAGAUGUCCUAGUGUGAGGACUUAGUCGUGAGGCCAACGCAUCUAUGUGGUAGCUUGAGAGGGGUUGAUUGGGACGAGAGACGCAACACACAAGACAAGAAUUUAGACAGCUUCGGGCCCCAGGAAACAUCAUCCAAUAAUAGCCCUACAUGCUGUUUGUGGCUAGGUCUCAUUAUGAUCAUGAGAGAGUCAUCGGUAAGCCGGCUCUUUGUGUCUAGCCCUAGAGAUUGUUUCUUGUUUCUUGUCCCUCUUGGGGUGCCCUGCCCCUCCUUAUAUAAGUUAGAGGGGCGGGUUACAUAUGGAGUCCUAGUAGGAUUAGGACUAGUCUAUCUUUCUUUACAAGUUGAAUACAAGUCCGGGUCUUGCUUCCUUGUGAAGGAAAUAAUCCUCACGCCUUUCAUCUUAAACCGGCCCACCAAAGUAUAAGCCAGCCUGCUGGGCCUUGGGCCUUGUCGUCCGUCUGAUCAGCCCGCCGGGUCUCCAGUGAAUUACAAUGUCCAGGCGGGUUACCCUGUGAACCGCCAUGUUCGGGCGGAUCGCCAGUGAGUCGCCAAGCUCCAGCCAGGUCUCUGGUGAGUCGCCAAGUCCGGCCGGGUCAUACCGCGGGGUAUAUCCCCGACAUUAGCCCCCAGUUUAAUUUGGAUUUAUCCAUGUUAAACUGAUCCUGCAACAUAAACACAAGAACAAAUUUGACAGGUUGUGCUCCGGGUUAAAUAUUCUUGUAAGCCGGCACCUGAUCAUCCUUAAGUCCUUGACAUUUUCUCCUGAAAUAUCCGGGUCAAUAUUGGUCUUGAAAUAUCCAGCUUCAUAAUCCAUUUGCUGACAUUGGCUCUUGUAAAGAAAUAUUAUAAGAAAUAAUCCAUUUGAUUCGGCCUUCAAUGCUCUGAUUUGACAAAAAUAUUGCUCUUGAAAUAUCCAACUGAUAUUCAGCCGGCUUAAAGAUGUAGAUUCUUGCCGACGAUUGCCACAAUUGUCGGGUUAGAAAUAAAUGAUGCCGGGUCAUGAUUGUUGCAGACACCGGGUUAAUCUGGUCUACUCCAAACUGAGAAUUUGAAGAUUUUUUUCUCCCUUAUAUGCAUAUUACCUGUAGCCCCUAAGUCUUAAGGGGAGAACAUAGUGAUAACUUAAGACUUGCUUCAAUAUAAGUGUUGCAACCUUGAAGAAAUCCGGUUUAUUCAUCUCAAUCAUUAGUCAUAAGCUGAAUAUUCCACAUUCCACAUAUGUAGCCCCCAAGUGCCGAGUUGUCAUGCUUGCAGCAACCUGGGACUUGUAAUUGCCUUAUGCUCAUAAAAACUUCAACUAGUGUAGCCCCCAAGGGCCGGGUCAUUAUGCAAUAAUGAGCAGGGACUUUGUAAAUAUGAUCAUGUAAACUUGACCAGCAACGUGUAGCCCCCAAGGGCCGGGUCAGUAAGAUAUUACCGAGCUGGGACUUUGUAUAUGAUUCAUCGAUAAUAACAGCAUAUGAUGUGAUCUCCACCAUGGGGUUUGAACCCACGUCCAUAAGGUUAAGAGCUUUGUACUCUACCAACUGAGUAGUGGAUCUUUCAAUAUAAUGGAUUAAGGCUUGUGUACCUUGAAUUUUCGACAAGAGCAAUUGGUAGCCCCCAAGGGCCGGCUCAUUUAGAAUGUGAUGAGUCGGGUCUUCAAUAAGUUGAACAAAAAAUGACUUUGCAUUAGCCCCCAAGUGCAAUGGUACAUGCUGGCAGUAACAUGGGACUUGCAUAUUCGAUGUAAUAUCAAUUUGAAUAAUGUAGUCCCCAAGUGCCAGGUCGUAAGCCUGCAGCGACUCGGGACUAUUCCUUACAUUAUAGAAUAAAUCAUAUCCAUCGAUAAAAUAAUAGCCAUUGCGCCAAAGCGACUUUGAAUACCUCAUCUGUUGAUAAGUAAAUCCGGAGUUUAAAUACCCGGCGGCUCUUGGCCGAUGGCGAUUUAAUACGCCUCCAUUGUAAGCCGGAAUUUUUAUAAUCCGGCGGCUUAUAGCCUUUCAGAACAUCAAGAAUUGAUAACCCUUCUGAGACUCCAAUUUCAAUCUAUGAUGAUGGGCUUGAACUUAAUCAUUUAUGUAAGUCAUAGCUCUGCAAAUCCUGCAUAGAGUUUAAACAACAUAUGCCCUGGCGACUUAACGUCAAGCCAGGGCGGGUAACCACCCAAAUGUAGUAUCCUGCACACAAGUAGAUCACAAGAUCCCUUGGCGGUUUACCGCAGGGCGGGUCAUAAUAUCUCACUGUUGGAAAUAUGCCCUAGAGGCAAUAAUAAAAUGGUUAUUAUUGUAUUUCCUUGUUCAUGAUAAUUGUCUGGUGUUCAUGCUAUAAUUGUAUUAACUGGAAACCGUAAUACAUGUGUGAAUACAUAGACCACAACAUGUCCCUAGUAAGCCUCUAGUUGACUAGCUCGUUGAUCAAUAGAUGGUUAUGGUUUCCUGACCAUGGACAUUGGAUGUCAUUGAUAACGGGAUCACAUCAUUAGGAGAAUGAUGUGAUGGACAAGACCCAAUCCUAAGCAUAGCACAAGAUCGUGUAGUUCGUUUGCUAGAGCUUUUCUAAUGUCAAGUAUCAUUUCCUUAGACCAUGAGAUUGUGCAACUCCCGGAUACCGUAGGAAUGCUUUGGGUGUACCAAACGUCACAACGUAACUCGGUGGCUGUAAAGGUGCACUACAGGUAUCUCCGAAAGUGUCUGUUGGGUUGGCACGAAUCGAGACUGGGAUUUGUCACUCCGUAUGACGGAGAGGUAUCUCUGGGCCCACUCGGUAAUGCAUCAUCAUAAUGAGCUCAAUGUGACUAAGGAGUUAGCCACGGGAUCAUGCGUUACAGUACGAGUAAAGUGACUUGCCGAUAACGAGAUUGAACAAGGUAUUGGGAUACCGACGAUCGAAUCUCGGGCAAGUAACGUACCGAUUGACAAAGGGAAUUGUAUAUGGGAUUGAUUGAAUCCUCGACAUCGUGGUUCAUCCGAUGAGAUCAUCGUGGAACAUGUGGGAGCCAACAUGGGUAUCCAGAUCCCGCUGUUGGUUAUUGACCGGAGAGUCGUCUCGGUCAUGUCUGCAUGUCUCCCGAACCCGUAGGGUCUACACACUUAAGGUUCGGUGACGCUAGGGUUGUAGAGAUAUUAGUAUGCGGAAAUCCGAAAGUCGUUCGGAGUCCCGGAUGAGAUCCCGGACGUCACGAGGAGUUCCGGAAUGGUCCGGAGGUAAAGAUUUAUAUAUGGGAAGUCCUAUUUUGGCCACCGGAAAAUGUUCGGGAAUUUUCGGUAUUGUACCGGGAAGGUUCUAGAAGGUUCCGAAGUGGGGCCCACCUGCAUGGGGGACCCACAUGAACGUGGGUAGUGGGGGCAAGGCCCCACACCCCUGGUCAAGGCGCACCAAGAUCCCACCUUAGAAGGAAUAAGAUCAUAUCCCGAAGGGAUAAGAUCAAGAUCCCUAAAAAAGGGGAUAACAAUCGGUGGGGAAGGGAAAUGAUGGGAUUUCUUUCCCCCACCUUUGCCAACGCCCCAAUGGACUUGGAGGGCAAGAAACCAGCCCCCUCCACCCCUAUAUAUAGUGGGGAGGCGCAUGGGAGCAGCAACCCAAGCCCUGGCGCCUCCCUCCCUCCCGUGACACCUCUUCCUCCCCGCUUGCGCUUGGCGAAGCCCUGCCGGGAUCCCGCUACUUCCACCACCACGCCGUCGUGCUGCUGGAUCUCCAUCAACUUCUCCUCCCCCCUUGCUGGAUCAAGAAGGAGGAGACGUCCCCGCUCCGUACAUGUGUUGAACGCGGAGGUGCCGUCCGUUCGGCGCUAGGUUCAUCGGUGAUUUGGAUCACGACGAGUAUGACUCCAUCAACCCCGUUCUCUUGAACGCUUCCGCUCGCGAUCUACAAGGGUAUGUAGAUGCACUCCUCCCCUCUCAUUGUUAGCAUCUCCUAGAUUGAUCUUGGUGACACAUAGGAAAAUUUUGAAUUUCUGCUACGUUCGCCAACAGUGGCAUCAUGAGCCAGGUUUAUGCGUAGAUUCUAUGCAUGAGUAGAACACAAAGUAGUUGUGGGCGACGAUUUGUUCAAUUUUCUUACCGUUACUAGUCUUAUCUUGAUUCGGCGGCAUUGUGGGAUGAAGCGGCCCGGACCGACCUUACACGUACUCUUACGUGAGACAGGUUCCACCGACUGACAUGCACUUGAUGCAUAAGGUGGCUAGCGGGUGUCUGUCUCUCCCACUUUAGUCGGAUCGGAUUCGAUGAAAAGGGUCCUUAUGAAGGGUAAAUAGCAAUUGGCAUAUCACCGUUGUGGCUUUUGCGUAGGUAAGAAACGUUCUUGCUAGAAACCCAUAGCAGCCACGUAAAACAUGCAACAACAAUUAGAGAACGUCUAACUUGUUUUUGCAGGGUAUGCUAUGUGAUGUGAUAUGGCCAAAAGGAUGUGAUGAAUUAUAUAUGUGAUGUAUGAGAUUGAUCAUGUUCUUGUAAUAGGAAUCACGACUUGCAUGUCGAUGAGUAUGACAACCGGCAGGAGCCAUAGGAGUUGUCUUAAUUUGUUGUAUGACCUGUGUGUCAAUGAAAAACGCCAUGUAAUUACUUUACUUUAUUGCUAACCGUUAGCCAUAGUAGUAGAAGUAAUAGUUGGUGAGACAACUUCAUGAAGACACGAUGAUGGAGAUCAUGGUGUCAUGCCGGUGACGAAGGUGAUCAUGCCGCGCCUCGAAGAUGGAGAUCAAAAGGCGCAAGAUGAUAUUGGCCAUAUCAUGUCACUUUAUGAUUUGCAUGUGAUGUUUGUCAUGUUUACAUCUUAUUUUCUUAGAACGACGGUAGCAUAAAUAAGAUGAUCCCUCACUAAAAUUUCAAGAGAUGUGUUCCCCCUAACUGUGCACCGUUGCGAAGGUUCGUUGUUUCGAAGCACCACGUGAUGAUCGGGUGUGAUAGAUUCUAACGUUCGCAUACACCGGGUGUUGACGAGCCUAGCAUGUACAGACAUGGCCUCGGAACACAAGCAAAACACUUAGGUUGACUUGACGAGCCUAGCAUGUACAGACAUGGCCUCGGAACACAAGAGACCGAAAGGUCGAACAUGAGUCGUAUAGUAGAUACGAUCAACAUGGAGAUGUUCACCGAUGAUGACUAGUCCGUCUCACGUGAUGAUCGGACACGGCCUAGUCGAUUCGGAUCAUGUAUCACUUAGAUGACUAGAGGGAUGUCUAUCUAAGUGGGAGUUCAUUAAAUAAUCAAAUGAACUUAAUUAUCAUGAACAUAGUCAAAAGGUCUUUGCAAAUAAUGUCGUAGCUUACGCUUUAGUUCUACUAAGAUAUUUUCCUAGAGAAAAUUUAGUUGAAAGUUGAUAGUAGCAAUUAUGCGGACUAGGUCCGUAAACUGAGGAUUGUCCUCAUUGCUGCACAGAAGGCUUAUGUCGUUAAUGCACCGCUCGGUGUGCUGAACCUCGAGCGUCGUCUGUAGAUGUUACGAAACAUCUGACAUACAUGUUUUGAUGACUACGUGAUAGUUCAGUGUGUGAUGCUAACGGUUUAAAAUUGUGGCACCAAAGACGGUUUUGAAAUGUCGCAGAACAUAUGAGAUGUUCCAAAGACUGAAAUUGGGAUUUCAGACUAAUGCCCACGUCAAGAGGUAUGAGACCUCUGACAAGUUUCUUAAGCCUGCAAACUAAGGGAGAAAAGCUCAAUCGUUGAGCAUGUGCUCAGAUUGUCUGAGUACUACAAUCACUUGAAUCGAGUGGGAGUUAAUCUUCCAGAUGAGAUAGUGAUGGUUCUCCAUAGUCACUGCCACCAAGCUAUUAGAGCUUCGUGAUGAACUAUAACAUAUCAGGGAUAGACAUGAUGAUCCUUGAGCAACUCGCGAUGUUUGACACCGCGAAAGUAGAAAUCAAGAAGGAGCAUCAAUUGUUGAUGGUUAGUAAAACCACUAGUUUCUAGAAGGGCAAGGGCAAGAAGGGAUACUUCAUGAAACGGCAAAUCAGUUGCUGCUCUAGUGAAGAAACCCAAGGUUGAACCCAAACCCGAGACUAAGUGCUUCUGAAAUGAGGGGAACGGUCACUGAAGCAGAACUACCCUAGAUACUUCGUAGAUGAGAAGGCUGGCAAGGUCGACCGAAGUAUAUUGGAUAUACAUUAUAUUAAUGUGUACUUUACUAGUACUCCUAGUAGCACCAGGGUAUUAGAUACCGGUUCGGUUGCUAAGUGUUAGUAACUCGAAAUAAAAUAUGCGGAAUAAACGAAGACUAGCUAAAGGUGAGAUGACGAUAUGUGUUGGAAGUGUUUCCAAGGUUGAUGUGAUCAAGCAUCGCAUGCUCCCUCUACCAUCGAGAUUGGGGUUAAACCUGAAUAAUUAUUAUUUGGUGUUUGCAUUGAGCAUAGACAUGAUUGGAUUAUGUUAUCGCAAUACGGUUAUUCAUUAAAGGAGAAUAAUGGUUACUCUGUCUAUUUGAAUAAUACCUUCAAUGGUCUUGCACCUAAAAUGAAUGGUUUAUUGAAUCUCGAUCGUAGUGAUACACAUGUUCAUGCCAAAAGAUAUAAGAUAGUAAUGAUAGUACCACAUACUUGUGGCACUGCCAUUUGAGUCAUAUUGGUAUAAAACGCAUGAACAAGCUCCAUGUUGAUGGAUCUUUGGACUCACUCGUUUUUGAAAAGAUUGAGACAUGCGAACCAUGUCUAUUAGUAUAUAUGCAUGAAGAAAGUCCAUACAGAUGGAUCAUUUGGACUCACUUGAUUUUGAAUCACUUGAGACAUGCAAAUCAUACCACAUGGGCAAGAUGACUGAAAGGCCUCGUUUUCAGUAAGAUGGAACAAGAGAGCAACUUGUUGGAAGUAAUACAUUUGAUGUGUGCAGUCCAAUGAGUGCUGAGGCACGCAGUGGAUAUCGUUAUGUUCUUACUUCACAGAUGAUUUGAGUAGAUGCUGAGAAUAUUUACUUGAUGAAACACAAGUUUGAAUUAUUGAAAGGUUCAAGUAAUUUCAGAGUGAAGUUGAAGAUCGUCGUGACAAGAGGAUAAAAUGUCUGUGAUAUGAUCAUAGAGGUGAAUAUCUGAGUUACGAGUUUGGCACACAAUUAAUAAAUUGUGGAAAUUGUUUCACGACUAAUACCGCCUGGAACACCAUAUUGUGAUGGUGUGUCCGAACAUCAUAACUGCACCCUAUUGGAUAUGGUGCAUACCAUGAUGUCUCUUAUCGAAUUACAACUAUCGUUUAUGGGUUAGGCAUUAGAGACAACCGCAUUCACUUUAAAUAGGGAACCACGCAAUUCCGUUGAGACGACACCGUAUGAACUAUGGUUUAGAGAAACCUAAGCUGUCGUUUCUUAAAAGUUUGGGGCUGCGACGCUUAUGUGAAAAAGUUUCAGGCUGAUAAGCUCGAACCCAAAGCGGAUAAAUGCAUCUUCAUAGAAUACCCAAAACAGUUGGGUAUACCUCCUAUUUCAGAUCUGGAAGCAAAAGUGAUUGUUUCUAGAAAUGGGUCCUUUCUCGAGGAAAAGUUUCUCUCGAAAGAAUUGAGUGGGAGGAUGGUGGAGACUUGAUGAGGUCAUUGAACCGUCACUUCAACUAAUGUGUAGCAGGGCACAGGAAGUUGUUCCUGUGGCACCUACACCAAUUGAAGUGGAAGCUUAUGAUAGUGAUCAUGAAACUUCAGAUCAACUCACUACCAAACCUCAUAGGACGACAAGGAUGCGUACUACUUCAGAGUGGUACGUAAUCCUGUCUUGGAAGUCAUGUUGCUAGACAACAAUGAACCUACGAGCUAUGGAGAAGCGAUGGUGGGCCCGGAUUCCGACGAAUGGCUCGAGGCCAUAAAAUCCGAGAGGAUCCAUGUAUGAAAACAAAGUAUAGACUUUGGAAGAACUACUUGAUGGUCGUAAGGCUGUUGGGUACAGAUGGAUUUUAAAGGGAAGACAAACAAUGAUGGUAAGUGUCACCAUUAAGAAAGCUCGACUUGUCGUUAAGAUGUUUUCCGGCAAGUUCAAGGAGUUGACUGCGAUGAGACUUUCUCACUCGUAGCGAUGCUAAGAGUCUGUUAGAAUUAUAUUAGCAGUUACUGCAUUAUUUAUGAAAUCUUGCAGAUAGGAUGUCAAAACAUUGUUUCCUCGACGAUUUUCUUGAGGAAAGGUUGUAUGUGAUACAACCAGAAGGUUUUGUCAAUCCUGAAAGAUGCUAACAAGUAUGCAAAGCUCCAGCAAUCCUUCUAAGGAUUGGAGUAAGCAUCUCGGAGUUGGAAUGAACGCUUUGAUGAGAUGAUCAAAGAUUUUGGGUUUAUACAAAGUUCAUGAGAAACUUGUAUUUCCAAAGAAGUCAGUGGGAGCACUAUAGAAUUUUUGAUGAGUAUAUGUUGUUAACAUAUUGUUGAUCAGAAAUGAUGUAGAAUUUCUGGAAAGCAUCCAGGGUUGUUUGAAAAGUGUUUUUAAUGGAAAACCUAGAUUAACCUACUUGAACAUUGAGCAUCAAGAUCUAUAAGGAUAGAUCAAAAAUGCUUAAUAGUACUUUCAAAUGAAUACAUACCGUGACAAGAUUUUGAAGGAGUUCAAAAUAGAUCAGCAAAGAAGGAGUUCUUGGCUGUGUUACAAGGUGUGAGUAUUGAGUAAGACUCAAGACCUGACCACGGCAGAAGAAAGAGAAAGGACGAAGGUCGUCCCCUAUGCUUUAGACGUAGGCUUUGCAAUAUGCUAUGCUGUGUACCGCACCUGAAGUGUGCCUUGCCAUGAGUUAGUCAAGGGGUACAAUAGUGAUCCAGCAACGAAUCACAUGACAGCGGUCGAACUUAUCCUUAGUAUCUAGUGGACUAAGGAAUUUUCUUGAUUAUGGAGGUGGAAAGGGGGUUCGUCGUAAAGGGUUAUGUCGAUACAAACUUUGACACUAAUCCGGAUGACUCUGAGUAGUGAACCAGAUUCGUAUAGUAGAGCAGUUAUUUGGAAUAGCUCCAAGUAGCGCGUGGUAGCUGCAUCUACAAGAUGACAUAGAGAUUUGUAAAGCACACACGGAUCUGAAUGUGGCAGACCCGUUGACUAAAACCUCUCUCGUAAGCAUAACAUGAUCAAACCCUAGAACUCAUUGACUGUUAAUCACAUGGUGAUGUGAACUAGAUUAUUGACUCUAGUAAACUCUUGGGUAUUAGUCACAUGGCGAUGUGAACUUUGAGUGUUAAUCACAUGGUGAUGUGAACUAGAUUAUUGACUCUAGUGCAAGUGGAAGACUGUUGGAAAUAUGCCCUAGAGGCAAUAAUAAAAUGGUUAUUAUUGUAUUCCCUUGUUCAUGCUAUAAUUGUAUUAACUGGAAACCGUAAUACAUGUGUGAAUACAUAGACCAGAACAUGUCCCUAGUAAGCCUCUAGUUGACUAGCUCGUUGAUCAAUAGAUGGUUAUGGUUUCCUGACCAUGGACAUUGGAUGUCAUUGAUAACGGGAUCACAUCAUUAGGAGAAUGAUGUGAUGGACAAGACCCAAUCCUAAGCAUAGCACAAGAUCGUGUAGUUCGUUUGCUAGAGCUUUUCUAAUGUCAAGUAUCAUUUCCUUAGACCAUGAGAUUGUGCAACUCCCGGAUACCGUAGGAAUGCUUUGGGUGUACCAAACGUCACAACGUAACUCGGUGGCUGUAAAGGUGCACUACAGGUAUCUCCGAAAGUGUCUGUUGGGUUGGCACGAAUCGAGACUGGGAUUUGUCACUCCGUAUGACGGAGAGGUAUCUCUGGGCCCACUCGAUAAUGCAUCAUCAUAAUGAGCUCAAUGUGACUAAGGAGUUAGCCACGGGAUCAUGCGUUACGGUACGAGUAAAGUGACUUGCCGGUAACGAGAUUGAACAAGGUAUUGGGAUACCGACGAUUGAAUCUCGGGCAAGUAACGUACCGAUUGACAAAGGGAAUUGUAUACGGGAUUGAUUGAAUCCUCGACAUCGUGGUUCAUCUGAUGAUAUCAUCGUGGAACAUGUGGGAGCCAACAUGGGUAUCCAGAUCCCGCUGUUGGUUAUUGACCGGAGAGUCGUCUCGGUCAUGUCUGCAUGUCUCCCGAACCCGUAGGGUCUACACACUUAAGGUUCGGUGACGCUAGGGUUGUAGAGAUAUUAGUAUGCCGAAAUCCGAAAGUCGUUCGAAGUCCCGGAUGAGAUCCCGGACGUCACGAGGAGUUCCGGAAUGGUCCGGAGGUAAAGAUUUAUAUAUGGGAAGUCCUAUUUUGGCCACCGGAAAAUGUUCGGGAAUUUUCGGUAUUGUACCGGGAAGGUUCUAGAAGGUUCCGAAGUGGGGCCCACCUGCAUGGGGGGACCCACAUGAACGUGGGUAGUGGGGGCAAGGCCCCACACCCCUGGUCAAGGCGCACCAAGAUCCCACCUUAGAAGGAAUAAGAUCAUAUCCCGAAGGGAUAAGAUCAAGAUCCCUUAAAAAGGGGGAUAACAAUCGGUGGGGAAGGGAAAUGAUGGGAUUUCUUUCCGCCACCUUUUCCAACGCCCCAAUGGACUUGGAGGGCAAGAAACCAGCCCCCUCCACCCCUAUAUAUAGUGGGGAGGCGCAUGGGAGCAGCACCCCAAGCCCUGGCGCCUCCCUCCCUCCCGUGACACCUCUUCCUCCCCGCUUGCGCUUGGCGAAGCCCUGCCGGGAUCCCGCUACUUCCACCACCACGCCGUCGUGCUGCUGGAUCUCCAUCAACUUCUCCUCCCCCCUUGCUGGAUCAAGAAGGAGGAGACGUCCCGCUCCGUACGUGUGUUGAACGCGGAGGUGCCGUCCGUUCGGCGCUAGGUUCAUCGGUGAUUUGGAUCACGACGAGUACGACUCCAUCAACCCCGUUCUCUUGAACGCUUCCGCUCGCGAUCUACAAGGGUAUGUAGAUGCACUCCUCCCCUCUCGUUGCUAGCAUCUCCUACAUUGAUCUUGGUGACACGUAGGAAGAUUUUGAAUUUCUGCUACGUUCCCCAACACUCACAUAUAACCACUAUGAUAUUGAAUUUGUACUGCCGGUUUACAUGACCUGUGCAAUAAGGGUGAUAACCCAAUCUUUAGAAAUCAAGACUUCCAAAUGUUUAUGAUUGUCAUAUGAUGGCGACUUAUCAACCAAAGUCAAGCCGGGUUAAUCGAAGCCACAUAUAUACUUCAGAUAUGAUCAAAAGAACUUCAAAUAAAAUACAAAAUUUUGUUUGCAAAAAGAGACUUCAAAAAUUUUGAGGCUUCUGAUUCGAAUACUAUCAGAAAACCGUCCCAAAGGGGUUAAGCUAAGAUUCGAAUACGAUCAUAUAGCCCCCAGUGGCUUUGGCGUUGCCGAUCAAGAGGGUACCGACAGCUAUGUUCUCUUUGGUUCGAAUACGACCUAUGUUUGAACAGGAAGCCCCCAAAUGACCUGGAGAGUUGUUUAACGACGCUGAUUCGAAUACGAUCCAUGUCGGUUCCCAAAAGGGGUUGAGCUAUGAUUCGAAUACGAUCAAGAAGCCCCCUAGUGAGCUCAGCAGUGUGCCGAUCAAGAGGGUACCGACAGCUAUGUUCUCUUUGGUUCGGAUACGACCUAUGUUUGAACAGGAAGCCCCCAAGUGAUCUUGAGAAUAUUUAACGACUCUCAUUCCAAUACGAUCAGGGUCACACCAAAAGGGUUAAGCUAAAUUUGAAUACGAUCAGCUCCCAACGGUCAUUAAAGCAGGUAGUUAUGUUUGAGUUGUGCUUUGUAACAGACUCUCCUUGGUCCCUUUAAUUUUUCUUGAAAACUUGAACUUUGCGAGAGAUAAAAUCUUUUUAAAACCGGAAGUUCUUAAACCGGAUAUUAAGAGUUUCAAAGCAUGGUGAUAGACAAAUUUACCUUGAACCGGGUUUUGAACCGGAUUUGAGAUCUUCAAAGCAUUGUGGCAGAUAAAUUUCAUUUGAACCGGAUUUUAAACCGGACAUUAAGAGCUUCAAUGCUUUGUGGGAGAUGUCAAGUCUCUUGAUAAGGAUCUAAACCGGAAUCCUUCUUUUUAAGCCAGAUAUUUUUCUGACGGUCUUUAAAUUUUUACCAAUAUGGCGGUAGCCUCCGGGACCGGGUUAUUUUUUUCCUCCAAUGACCCAGAGUUCUUGAAUGCAUUGAAACCGACCAAUGUUGCCGAGUCAUAUCAUUGUAACCCCUGAGUCUCAAAACGACUCAAGGAGUUGGCUUUGAGAUUCUCCAUAUUGACCAUAGCAUAAGGUGUAUAUCAUUGGUGUUGAUAGUGCGAUGUGAAUCCACAGAAGGUUGAGGUGACUGCGGCGGAUUAUAAAUGAUCAUGUAUGAGCCGUGUCAGCAACUCGGCCAAUGGUCCCUUCCAACUGGCUGUUUGAAGUUAACCAAACUAUAGUGGCGGCGACUUGUGCGCCUGCCCAUUUAAACCAUCCAGUGUAGACGGCGGCUGAUAAUACAUGAUAAUUUGCCUCCAAUUUUGUUGGAAGAAAAACCAGGCUUCCCAAGCAGUGACUUGCUCAUACUCGAUGAUCAGCUCACGCAGACAGGUGCGGCCCGGUAUGUUGAUAUAGACCAGGCCGCAAGAGACAGAUGGUAAAAACAACCGUGGCAUCAAAGGUGGUACAGACAGAUGAGUUGGUCACGACGUUGUAAACCGGUGUGGUCGGGCGAGUCAAUCGCCGGCGCGGUAAGCCGCGCGGAUGGGCGAGUCAACCACGUCGUGUUGAUGUAGUGAACAAUUGUCCUACAUCAAAAACAUCGCAAGCAAGAGUAAUUGCUCUUUUUUAAAGAAAACAAUAUAUAAUAUAUAAAAAUUUACUGGAUUGAUUUCACCUGAUAUGUUAGGCCAGAAAAUAUCCACCGCGGAGUUGAUCAUCACGACGGUGAAGCUGAAAUCAAUCACGGCCGAGUCGGCCGCGGGAACAGACAGACGGGUCGGCCGCGGCGUUGUAAGCCGGUGCGGUCGGGCGAGUCAAUCGCAUGAGCGAUAAGCCACGCGGACGCUGAGUCGGCCGCGGGGGCGGACAGGUAAGUUGUCCGUCACAUUGUAAGGCGGCGCGUUGAUGUAGACCGGACCACAGGGGCGGUGGCUUGCGCCCACCUGUUGACCAGUAAGCGGUCGCAGAUGCCGUUGCAUGAUGAUGCUACCGCACACUCCAUGGAUACGGCAUUACACCAUCUUUAUGAUGAAUCCUUGUCCUGCACAUAAAAGUGUACAUAGCAAAGCGAUUGUUUUUUGACAAAAAACAAUAUGCGCUUAAUAAAAUAAUCUUAGAUGGAUAUCACCUGAUUUGUUCGGAUGACCGAUGAUCCAUUCAAUGCAACAAAAAACGGCUCUGGUAGACCGGUAACCCAUGGCGAGUCAACACAGCAGAAGCGACUCAACGCAGCCCCGGCAGCUCGAGGCACGGCGGGUCUCAGCUCACGGCGGGUUGAGGUGUGGCGGUUCAAGGUCACAGCGGGGGGACUCGCAGGCUCAGGCGAGGCCGUUUUGAAGAUGGUUGGCAGCGGCGCGGUGACUCGCCACGGUGCGCCGAAAUAGCAGCAGCGUAGUGGGAGAAACAGCCGGUCUGUUGAUUUUGACCGUGAUGUGAAGCUCGCGGGGCAGCCACGAAGGCGCUGGGACGGAGUGGCUCCGAUGUGCGAGACGUGCCACCACAAGGACGCACGUAGGAGAAGACCAGAGGGGCAUCGAAGUCGGGUCCGCGGCGGCUCUGGAGAUGACAAGUGUGCGGGAGGCAAGGCCGUGCUGGCCAGCAGAAAACGGCGAGGUGCCGGCGACUUAGCGUAAAACCGCGGGUCAGAGGCGGCUCGGAGUUGAGUCCAUGUCCUGCUCUGGUCGUUGUUGGUUUGACAAUUCCCUUUAAGUGCUCCUUUAAAAUUUCCUUCAUCACACGUGGUGUCGUGCCAGGCAACAGCAUGGCCGGACUAAAAAUCCACUAGACCUUGAUUUUUAAUGCUCCUGUAGAUCUUGGGGACUGCGUGUGAGCUGACUAUUAAAACCUUCAAAUUCAUGCACGUACAGUGGCUGUACUAGUUGAUGCUACGUGCAGAAGGUAAGGUAAUCUAUCAGGCUUUGUUUUUCGCGUUGAUCAGCACUUGGACCCUUGAUCAACAGUUGGCUUGAUCCGGAGACUUCACAGGGCUGAAGCAAACUGUCUUGAUCGCCGCUGUACCAACAGAUGGCGCUCGUGACGCGUGUUUGGCUGUCUUUGAUCACCUCGGACUUGGACAGCUAUAUAUGGACCAGCAGAAGCGACCUGGCGAAUCGGACACGGCGGCUAGAUUUGACAGCGGCACAGUAGAAAUUCGAGUCGGCCUCGGUGUACUGCUGCAGCAGAAACUAACCCGGACUCGACGGAUCAUCUAAUUGUGGCGGCGCUCACCAUGCAACUCUAAUCUUUCUUGAAUUCAGACCUCGUACGAGUAUUAGAUCUGACUGCUCGCUUUGGAGACAAUGUAAAUCCUUCCGCGACGAUUCUUCUUUCAUCCGAAGAAAUUGUCAACUUCUCGACCCUUGAAAGAGAUCCCUCCAAGAACUCAUCACCACCGUGCGCAGCCCCACGGUGGGCGCCAACUGUCGUGGAAUUGUCACGGCAGAUGUCCUAGUGUGAGGACUUAGUCGUGAGGCCAACGCAUCUAUGCGGUAGCUUGAGAGGGGUUGAUUGGGAUGAGAGACGCAACACACAAGACAAGAAUUUAGACAGCUUCGGGCCCCGGGAAACAUCAUCCGGUAAUAGCCCUACAUGCUGUUUGUGGCUAGGUCUCAUUAUGAUCAUGAGAGAGUCGCCGGUAAGCCGGCUCUUUGUGUCUAGCCCUAGAGAUUGUUUCUUGUUUCUUGUCCCUCUUGGGGUGCCCUGCCCCUCCUUAUAUAAGUUAGAGGGGCGGGUUACAUACGGAGUCCUAGUAGGAUUAGGACUAGUCUAUCUUUCUUUACAAGUUGAAUACAAGUCCAGGUCUUGCUUCCUUAUGAAGGAAAUAAUCCUCACGCCUUUCAUCUUAAACCGGCCCACCAGAGUAUAAGCCAGCCUGCUGGGCCUUGGGCCUUGUCAUCCGUCUGAUCCGCCCGCCGGGUCUCCAGUGAAUUACAAUGUCUAGGCGGGUUACCCUGUGAACCGCCAUGUUCGGGCGGAUCGCCAGUGAGUCGCCAAGCUUGUCCGGCCGGGUCAUACCGCGGGGUAUAUCCCCGACAGGUGGUCUAAUACGGGUAAAGAAACGCAUUUUUCGCUUUGGAUCCUUUACAAUAAAAGAUGGGUCAAAAAUUCGAUUCUGGGAAGACAAGUGGCUAGAAAAUGCUUGGAUCCAAUAAAAAUAUCUAUCUUUGUACUGCAUCAUUCAUCACAAUAAUGAUACUCUUGUGCUAGUGCUUAUUUCUUUCAUGCCAGAUAUUUCUUUCAGGCGAGAUUUGAUUGGCCUAUGUCUUAUGUGAUGGUAAAAUCAUUAUCCUGAUUGGAUUUAAUUAACCUGACACAAGGGCGGGGAUGUGUUUCAUUGGAAUCUCUCUACAUAUGGGUCCUUCAAGUCAACUUUAUGUACCAUGCACUAACGCAUUCAGAGGUCCUAGUGGAUAAUAAAAUAAUAGAAGAAGAUAUGGGCCAUACUCCCUCCGUCCAGUGAAGAGUGAAAUCUAGAGAUUUUAGGACAAAUUAUGGAGUAAAAUAGAAAAUGCAUUGGAAAGGUGCAAGCCACCAUCUUUCUUCUCUUUAAUUAUCCAAUCCCUAAUGUGUUUAGUGCAUGUAAAAAUUAAGAAGACCAUGUGUAGAUUGUUAUUGGUCUUGGUUACCAUGUGAUGAGAGAGAAAUAUAUUUUUUUCUACUUUAAAGUGCAUUGAGAAGAUAGAAGUACACUCUUUUGUGGACAAAUUUUAAAGCCAAACGUACACUCUUCACCGGACGGAGGGAGUAUAUUAAUUCCUAGUGUGACUUAAUGUUGACAUGAAUUGAUACAGGUGGAUAUAGUUACUCUGCGUCCGUAAAUAAAGGUCAUCAUUUUUGUUGCUCUAGGGACCCAUAAAUGAUAGGGACUGUCCGCUACCAGCUACCCUGAUGACUCCAUUCGCUGCCCCUCAAACAUGGGUUCCCGACAUGUUCUCAGGGUCUGCCCGUGGUUCCAUGUUCUGGCCUUCGGGGUUGGUUUAACUAGUGGUAUGGGGGUUCUUGCAUCGCCCUGUACUCUCGAUCGGGACCCUUUAAUGCUAGCACUUCUGGUGACAUACAGUGCGUGUAUUUAAAGGCCAGGCAUGCAUCCUCCGUGCCAAAGAAAAUUCAUUCGGCGGCUACACGGGGAGAGUUGUGGCAGCAAAUCCGGGAUGCCAGCUUUUUGUUUUGGGUUUCGAUUGUCAAAGUUUUAGAUCUUAAAAAAACUAAAAUUAAGUGUUGUUUUCAUAUUCGUGUUUCUCGUGACCACUGUUUUGAAAUAAUAUCCGUUUUGAAUAUAUAUUUUGACGACUUUAAAAAAUAUUAAGUUUCAUAUGUUGAAACUUAGUACGGGCAACCAGUAAAAAUCAAUUAUUUUGUACCUACGCCUGACAGAAAAAUGCUUACAUUUAUAUCUCUGAAACUUGCUGAAACUUUGCAUUUUUCAUCAUUGAAACUUAAAACUUUUUGAGGGAUUUUCUUUUUUACUGUGCCCUCAUGUGGGAUUCAACUACUCUUUUCUCUUCCGCGAGAUCCACAUGAAAAAAAGCACAAAUUUAAGAUGAGUGCAGGGCUUGGCAGAUGAGUGCCCUGCACUUACAUGCCCCUGCGAAUUUCCGCAGCUACUAGAUAUUUUUGGCAAAUUUAUUGUUUGCUCUUUUACAGGUGUGCCACUUAAGUAUUUAAACCUAUAAGGAUUUCUGCACUGGUGCUAAACUCACUUAUGAGAGCAUACCGGAUUUUCUCAUAUGAGCUAACAAAGAAUCAAACAUAGUUAUAUCUUGUAUUAUUUUCUCAUUAAUUACUUACCCACUGGGCUGAAGCAGUUAUUGUAGCAUAUCAUGCAACACUCAUGGUUUUCCAACAUGUUUCCUUAAGGGGUCUUAAUCAAGAUGAUUUACAUUCAAAAACAAUCAUUGAGUAUGGAUCAUUAAGAAUAAUUUGAUCCUACUUAAUCCAUGCUUAGGAAAUAAGAAAAUGGUUACUCAAUGAGCAAACGCUGCCUGUUGCUGCCUCCUCACCAACAAACUUUGGUUCUUCACAUCCCUUACCGAAGAGGCACCUUUACAUUGCAUCCCUUGUAUACUACUAUAUAUAUGUGAUCUUCAUAAAGAGUUCAGCGAUUUCUCCAUUGUUGAGUUCCUUACACUCAAUAUUCAAUAAUAGUUAUUUCCAAAUUCACAUAAUCAGUUGGCAGGAUGGUCACCAAAGUACAUUCAUCCAUCGAAAGAAACACACAAAAGAAAACAGUAACAGCACCAAAAAAACUACACGUUGUCCAAUUAUGAAUAAUGUUUCGUCCGUGUAACAAGAGCUUCGACGGUCAUUUUCUUAAGCAUAAUUAAAUAAAAAACUAAUCAUAGACUCUGAUUGUAAAGCAUUCCAAAAGAAAUUCAUAUGUCAGUUCUUCAACGCUUAUUGUGUUGGAAGCCUGUCCUCAAAUAUUCUCUCCUUCGCCUUGUCGGCCUGCAAAUAAAUAUCAGUUAUUUUUUCUUACUAUCCUUGGUACCAGUGCUUAGGGUUUUGAUAGACAGGUCGCUAGUUAUUGAAAUGAAACAUUUAAGACAAGGAGAAGCAUGCAUUAGGGCAACUCCAACUAUGUGCAUCAAAUCGGACACAUCUAACAUUCAUGGGCACGUCCGGACGUGUCCACAAAGAGCAUAUAGGGGGCGGCCAUCCAAGCCUAUGCACCAAAUGUCCGCACCUUUUCAAAGAAAAUAAAAUAAAGCUAGACCAAAUGUUGGCUCACUUUAAAUCAUCGAUCGAUAGCAAUUCAAAAGUGUUGGAUGAAAGUACUUCUCGAAAGCAGCCUUCAUUACAUACUUUCUCUCCUCGAGUUUGCACUUCUUCAUUACAAAUGUUGUUCAUCCAGAUGUUGUGCCCUUUGAGCUUCAUCCAACAGUGCAUAAAUGCGAAGAACUUGCCCUCCGUCCUUUGGUAUAGCAUGGGCUGCGCGUCUGGGCUAUACAAUGACGUGAUCAUCAAGUGUAACAUUGAGCAAUUUGCCAUUUGUGCUUGCUUCAUGUUAAACAAGGAGAAAGUCAAAGAAAUUCUCAAUGGUAUUUGGCCGAACACUUGCCGGGGUUGGCCUCCAUUAUGGAGGGCAUCGGCAAGGGGGCGGCCAAUGCAUGGGCUGCCGCCGGAUACUGGGUGCAACCGCGGCGAAGUACAAUGCGCCUGGUGGAGCAAUGGAGGUCUAGCAAGGCCUAGGCGCGGGACGGAGUGGUAUAGCAGCGGCGGUCUUGGUGGGUGCGGAUACAGAUUAAGAGUGGGACNNNNNNNNNNNNNNNNNNNNNNNNNNNNNNNNNNNNNNNNNNNNNNNNNNNNNNNNNNNNNNNNNNNNNNNNNNNNNNNNNNNNNNNNNNNNNNNNNNNNNNNNNNNNNNNNNNNNNNNNNNNNNNNNNNNNNNNNNNNNNNNNNNNNNNNNNNNNNNNNNNNNNNNNNNNNNNNNNNNNNNNNNNNNNNNNNNNNNNNNNNNNNNNNNNNNNNNNNNNNNNNNNNNNNNNNNNNNNNNNNNNNNNNNNNNNNNNNNNNNNNNNNNNNNNNNNNNNNNNNNNNNNNNNNNNNNNNNNAUAGUCCGACCAGGCGGGCGUCCGGACUCCCAAACCUCCAAUGAGUUUGCUUCCGGUUUGGCUGAUGUUGGACGUCCGGAUUAGGCCGCGGGCAUUUGAUGCAUGGCAGUGGAUGGCAAAAAAUGUACAGGCAGCGCAGUCCGGACCUUGCGGGCAAUUUGAUGCAUGGCAUUGGAGUUGCCCUUAGCAAUACCUAAGGCAUGUUCUGAUCACGAAUCAUCAGGCAUAAAAACUGAGAAAGGACUUACCAUCUUGUUCCAGUUUGUGGUAGCCGUAAUAACAGACAGGAGAGUGACCUGUGUGGCUCCACCAGCCAGUAUGCCAAUCCAAAACCCCUUUGCUCUUAGUUGCAUUGCAAAACCAAAGUAGAGUGCAACGGGGAUACCAACAAGAUAGAAGGCACCCAGGUUAACAUAAGCCCCUAGAUGCUGCCAUCCACAGCCCCGAGACACACCUGAGUGGUGCAAUGGAAGCAUUCAGUCUAUUAGUUUAAUUUAGUUUAUGAUGCUAUAUGCCAAAAGAAAGACAUGUGGAUACCUUGAAGGACUGCCAUGAGGCUGUCUGUAAUUGCUGAAAUGGAAAGUAGGGGUACCAUUCUUGUGACAUAACGCCUGACCUCUUCCUCAUUGCUGAACGCAAUUCCAAUAAAGUGGCGCAGUAAUAGAAGAGUUGUGCUCACUAAGAAUGCUGAGCAGACCACAAUAGACAAGGCAACACACACCACCAAGCGGGGACCUUGUGUGUUGCCGGCGCCUAAUUCAUUUGAGACGCGCACACUGGCACACGGACAACAUAUAUACGUAGCAUGUUAAAUUCUGUAGAAACAGGUGAUACUGACGAUAUAUAGCAACAAAUGCACUAGCUAGUAGCUACCCACCUGGUAGCUAUUCCAAUGCCGUAAGGAAGGUUGGCCAACAGUAUCAUUGUAGAUACGCUGUUCCAAAAGGACAUCAGUAUGGUAAACUUCAUAGAAUAUGAUGGAUUCAAGUAUAAUCUUAUUUAGGGUUCUACUAAUGCAUACCAUAUAGAAAGCACAGAGGUUUCCAGUGCAGGAUUUGGUAACAUCCCGGAAAGCAGAACAAGCAGCUCGUAAGACCACCACUCCAGACUGUGGUCAAGGAAAGCUAGGUUAAUAUUCAGAGGUUUCCGGGAUGUUUUGAUGCUAGAGAAUACAUAAUUAGAAGCUAAACUUAAAGUAAUAUAUGUGCAGAAAUUAUCCAGUUCAUUUCAAGAGGAGAGGGAAGAAUAUAUCCAGUGGUAUUGCGAGCGGGUGGCAAAAAAACAAAAGGUAUCUGAUCAGGAUCUGCUCACAACAAAGGCGAAGACGAAGACGGACUUUCUUUUGUUGAAAGAUGUCUUCACAACAAAGACGAAGAGGAAAACAAACUUGAUUUGGACAAUCAAUCCGAGACGAGCCGACAUUUCAAAUUUUCAAAUGGUUUGUAAAAGACCAUCAUCCUUUUCUGACAGUAUUCUAACAGACCAAUCAAGUGUGCAAGGGUGCUGUGGCAAGAACAACAGAAAAAUAGUAUUUCCUCCAUCCGAAAAUAAGUGUCGCUCAAAUAGAUGUAUCUGGACGUAUUUUAGUGCUAGAUACAUCCGUUUGAGCGGUACUUAUUUCCAGACGGAGGGAGUAGGUAUGAACGAACAUAAGUAGAAAGAGAUAUAAAAAAUAGCAACAAUGCUUGGAUCUUAUGGGCUGCAAGUGCACCACUAUUAAAAAGGUUUUGCCACGUACUUGUUAUUAUUAAUAUAUUUUUUGAGAGGAACGUACUUGUUAUUUUCCAUGCUGACACCUUUAGAAACGUUGGCUACUGAUACACAAACUAUAUAGAUUUGUCACAUGAAGAUACCAUUAGUGUUAUGAAUGAUCACAUCAUUAUAAUUAUAAUCUUAAUUAUUUGCCAAAAGGUGCACGUUGGAAACUAUAUUAAUGUCCACAAGAACAAGUAAAAGUGAAUGAAGAGUGCAUAAGAGUUUGCUGUAUUGGACAAUAUUUUGCUUGCCAAAAUAUGAAAUACUAGAUAAAAUAGCAUAUGUUAUUUUUUGUGCUAGAGGUUAAAACAACAUCAUUAUAGAAACAUGGCAAAUAACAUUUACUUACCAAAUCAUAAGAGCCGAUGGUACAGCCAAACGCAUGAAACUGCCAAUCCCUCUAAAAGCUUCCCACGAUGGUGGAGCGCGUGUUUUCUCACAAGAGGGUGAGAACUUAAUGUAAAGGCCAAGAAAAGUCACUUCAACCCAAUCACAAAUGCUAACGGAUAAAGCAGCUCCAGCAUUACCCAUCCCAACUUUGUAAACCAUGAACCAGCAAAGAGGAAGAAAUACCGCAAUUGUAAUCAAGGAGCUAAGAACCAUUGGAAAUAUUAGGCUUUGACAUUGCAGAAACUUUGAAAAGCAUUGAGUAACACCGAAGGCAAAUAAACCAGGGAUAAGCCAUAAUGCAUAUUUGCCAGCCUCAUUUGCAAUUUGUGGUUCCUGGCCCAUGAGAGGAAGUACUUCCGGGAUGAAACACCAAACAAUGGAGAUGGGCACACUCACAACAAGAAGUGCAAUGAUGGACCUGUAGGUACAUAAAGAUAAUGUAUGAUAUUGUUCUGCUCCAUAGGCCUGCCCACAAAGAGUUUCCAAUCCGCCUGCCAGUCCAAUCUAAAAGGGAAACUGCAUCAGUAACAAAUUAUACAUAUUGUUGCUGAAUAAAUGGAAGUUAAACUAGGAUAAAGUGCAUCGACAUUACUGAAAGAAGAGUUUUGCUACACCUACACAUUAAUCUUAUGGAAUUAAAUUUACAGGAUGAGGUGGCAACAUCUGAUUGGAAGGGAGGAGACUCAUAGUAAAUUCGGGGAAGACGGGUUACUUGGAGGUUAGGGGGGAGGGGUGGCAGUCCAUACGGGUCGCUCAUAAGUUUGGAUUUUCGCUGAAAGAAUAUCAAGAAUAACAAACGUGGCUUGUGCAAGGUGGGCAACAGUUGCUAUGAAGAUUUUGUUUCAAUCAUCACUGCAAAGAAUGCGAACAUCACCCUGGCCGAAUUUUCUCAACACCCAACUCAGUCGGAUCAAGUGACUGAUUAUAUUUUUCGCGGGAAUAUAAUAGAUCGAUAUUGCCCACCGAAACUAGCUAUAUGUACAGCGGGGUGGGGUGAAUCAAGCACCACAGGUCCAUUGUAAAAAAGAUUAAUCGAACGACCUAGCUAGCCGCGUGCGGUCGGCGCUAAUCAGAAAGGUUGAGAAAUGGAACCAUCUGAUUUGAUUCAUUCCCAGUAGUCAUGAGAUGAUCAUUUUUUUUUAGAAAAGAGGGGAGAUCCUGAAUGAUCCACACAACCUUUUGUUUAUCAUAUCAAAGUACAUCAUCUGACCAUAACAAAGUUCAUCUUGCCAACGGAUGCUUCUAUUACACUCGUGGUCUCUAAAAGAUGAGAACCCACUAUGUAGCAUCCACAUCAAUAAUUCAAGCAUUUAUGUCCUUAGUACGAUUCUUUGUAGGAACUAUCCGUAAUAACAAAGAACAUCAGAAGUAGCAGAGAUCUCCGCACGAUGCAACUGGAUAAAUGGCGGUCGCAUGGAGGGAGAAGACACUGAGACAUCUGGACCGGUCGCCGAUCUUGUACACAUCCGGAUGGGAUUCAGGGGCUGCUCUAACGGAAUUGAAAGUACCAAUAGCUAAACAUAAACGAAAUAAAUUAAUGUGCGCUGCAUGCUUGCUCACAAGGACGCUGAAGCCGGAGACGUUGGUGAGGGAGUUGGCGAUGGCCGCACCGGCGAGCGCGACGUCGCCGAGGUGCCCCACCAUGACGGUGGAGAUGAACUGCAUCGUGACCUGCAGCAGCAUCACCACCACCAUCGGCGCCGCAAGCCCCGCCAGCUGCGCGGCUUCCCUACACCAGCGCCGGCUGGUACUGCCGGGCUCUUCCCACCUCGCGGCCAGCAGCGGCGCAUCGGAAGAAGAGUCCAUGGAUCCCCCCGACCAAAGCUCUGCCCAAGCAACGUGGGUGUGGUUAAUGAAAAUGGUAAAUGCGGGAGCUACCAUCCGUCUAGCUGUCUCCCUUUGCACAAUGCAUGGAGCUCGAACUAUAUAUAGAGUAUUACUCCAGUCGUAGUAGCUACGGAAACUAUUUCCUCUGUCCAGAUUUAUUAGUUUUGUCAGAGCAUCGGUAAUUGAGGAGCUAAUUUGAUUUCAUAUACAUCCACUGACCCGUCUUGGCGCUGUUCAGGCAUAUUCACUUAAGCCCACAUUUAUCUGUGCACGCAGUGGUAACCCCACUUUUCUCCCUAUUAUAUGCCCGAUUACAUGCAUAUGAAUGGUAGGGACAGAACCUCAAAAAAAAAAGAAUGGUAAGGACAAAAAAAGAAAAUAAAAGAAAAUAGUGAAGGUGAAAAAGUGGUCCGGACUCUGGAGUGUGCCAAAUUCGACGUGGCAGACUGCUCAGACAUACCACAACAUCUCAUACCCUUUCCACGUAUGGGCUCGGUAUAAGGGGUGCCAGAAAGCCCGCGCCCAUGUAUAUAGUUUUGAGUUAAUGAUACUCCCUUUCAUCCAUAUUACUUGUCACACGGACGUAUUUAGACGUUUUUCAGUGCUAGAUAAAUUCGUUUGAGCGACAAGUACACUAGUAGAAAAAGGACCUUACGUGAGACACAUUAGUCCCGGUUCAAUUUUGGCUCGGUACUAAUGGUAUUAGUCCCGGUUCAAACGGCUAUGCAUUAGUCCCGGUUCAUGUUGAACCUUUAGUACCGGUUCGUGCCACUAACCGCUACUAAAGGGGUGGUGGCAGGCUGGCGUCAGGCCGGGGCCCCACGAGCCCCUUUGACUAAAGGGGUUUAACCUUUAGUCCCGGUUGGAGACACAAACCGGGACUAAAGGGCAAUUAUCAAACUCUACCCCCCUCCCCUCUCCCUGUCUAUCGCCAUUUCAGUUUUGAAAAAAACAAAACAAAAUGAUAAAAACUUCAAAAAUUAAGAUCCUUCGAGAUGUAGUUAUGUUACUACAUCUACUAGUUAGGAAAAUUUAAAAACUUAAAUUUGGACAUGUUUUGCAAAAAAAUAUGAUGAAAAGGUAAAACAACUAUAUCUUUUGCAUCCGAUAUCGGAAAACAACGUAUAAUAUAUCAAAAUGUUCAGCACGAAAAUACGCAUCCGAUUUUGACGGCUGUAGGCCGUUUUGCAAAUUUUUAGAAUCCUCAAACUCUAAAAGGAAAAAAGUUAUGCUCACAUUUCAGUUUUUUUUUUGAAUUUUGGUCAAACUGUGGUCAAACUACUUAUUCAAGAAAUAUUAGUGUUACUAAAUAAUUAUUUCAGUUUUUUGAAUUUUGGUCAAAUCUGGUCAAACUAUGGUCAAACUACUUACUCAAGAAAUAUUAAUGUUACUAAAUAAUUAGUGUUUUUUAGAAUAAUAGUUUCAAACUCAAACGAUGAACGUGUGACUUCAUGCUCAAGCUAAACUCCUGAGGGUUAAUAGGAUUGACAGCUUAAUAUUGUUAGGAAACAACAAGUGCGGACUUGGAAACUAGGGGGAAUAGAACUCAGAAGUUAAGCGUGCUCAGGCUGGAGUAGUAAGACGAUGGGUGACCGGCCGGAAACUUAGGUGAUUUGGGAUGAGUGAUCCACACUUGAGCAGUUAUGAGUGGUGAUUAGAGACUAAAUCGUCAAAUAAUUAAGAAAAUUGAAAAUCGGGAAAAAAAUCAAAGUUUUUUCCAAAAAAUUCAAAAAAAAAACCUUUAGUCCAGGUUGGUGUUACCAGCCGGGACUAAAGGUCCCGCAUACCACGGCGCGGGCUCGUGCCACGUGGUGGGCCUUUACUGGCGGUUCGUGUUGAACCGGGACUAAAGGGGGGGCCUUUGGUCUCCAACCUUUAGUGCGGGUUCCGAACCGGCACUAAAGGCCCUUAAGAACCGGCAUGAAAGCUCCGUUUUCUACUAGUGGUAAUACAUAUCAGAUGGAGUAGUGGAUUUAACUAGACGGGGAAGCAACGGAUGGGCGGCGGCUUUCAGAUAUGACGAUGGUGGUCCUACCGGGGUGGCUUGUUCGGCGGAGCGGGUUGGGAUGGCACGGGCCAGAGGCUGCUUCGCUGCCUCCCAAAGGUGGUGGUGGGCUGCGGGUGUAUGCGACAACUCAGAUCCGUCGUGGAUCAUCUGGUUGAUGCGGGAUCGACUCUGGCCUACCUUGGCUUCUCUGACGCGGCUCUGGUGGGCGGAGGGCUAGGUCAUGGCAGGGAGCUCCCCCUGCCUUGGUCUUGUUCGGCCGUCAUGGCAGCGAGCUCCCCCUGCCUUGGUCUUGUUCGGCCGUCAUGGCAGGGAGCUCACCCUACGCGUUUUGGCUCACGGGCUCAGAUGAGUCCGGGAAUGAACAAAAAAUCAUUAAAAAUUACUAAAUAAAUUCAAAAAAAAUCUGAAUUUUUUUUGUGCAGAAAUAUAACUGAGUGUCUGAUGUUCGUACCGAAUUUCAGAACACUUGAAUGUUUGAGUAGCUCUCAGCAAAAAAGGACGAAUUUAAUGUAUGUGAAAAAGGUUACUAUUUGUGCAUUGUCUGGACCCUUUUUUUACUGAGAGCUAAUCCGAUGUCCAAAUGUUUUGAAAUUUGGCACGCACUUCACACACUAAAAUAUCUUCCAUUCAAAAAAAUAGAUUUUAAAAAAAAAAUCUAUUUUUGCUGAAUUUACUGUUCACCAGGUGGAGCAGCGUCGAAGACCACAGACAUGGUGUCGGGCGAGCGCGCUCGGAGACAGAUGUCUGUAGUUGUGUCUCCCCCGGUCCACCGGGACUGGCUGGAGAUGCAGGCGUGGGUGCCUCCUACCAUGGAGGCAUCGAUCCAGACUAUGUGGCUGAUGUAUGGCUAUGAUUGUAAGGGGACGCCAUUUGCUUCUCCUACCGUGGUGGGUGCACCGUGAUGUGGGCGGUUGGUGGUGUCUCUGAUAUGGAUGUCGAGGUGGCAACCCUGGAUGGCGGUCUGAUGGUUCGCUCUCUAGCGGGCCCCAUGGCAGCAGUGAUAGGUGGAGCGACGGGUGGCUCGGGUGUGCUCUUUGUCUCCGGCAGUGGUGACACCUAGAUCCAGAUCUGGAGGUCUGAACUCGUCGUGCUUACCCUGGAGACCUCGUGGUGUCAUGGGGGAGCUGUCGAGUAAAGCCCCAUGCUUUGCCGUCAACGAGGGUGAUGCUCGCGGGUGCCGCUUUGCUCUUAAAGAUAUCACCGUGGUGCUCUUCUUCUUGUCUGGGCUCGGAGUAAAAACCUUUGUUCGGUGUGGACUCAACAACGCUGACACUUAGGGCUAUUCGCUCUCCUAAGAGUGUUGUCGUUGAGCUUAGAUGUUAUAGGGCAUAGUGUGACGUUGCUAUCGGUUCUUCCUAUGCUCACUUUGGUAGUAUAGCUGCAUGCGUUCUGUGUGAUCCGGUUAUCCUGGGAUCUAUUAGAAUAAUCCGAGGCAUACCGUUGAUCAUCCGAGGACCAAGGAACCACACGAGCACGACACCGAGAUUUGUUAACGAGGUUCACCUUGGCUACAUCCCCGGGGCUUGACUAUGGGCGCUCCUCCCCAUGACAUCGCUACAAUACCGCACCCCGUCGCCCUGCACGCCGGCACAUGCCGCCGGCUUCCCUUGCGUUCCUAUGCUAUUAUGUUGGCAUGGGUUACAUCGUGUGUCUACCCCCAUUAUAUAUGAGAGGCCUAGGAUACAAGUGUCCUAUUAGGACACGACUCUAUAUCCUAUCUAAACACAAUACUACUCAAAGUCCAACUCUAACCUAUCUUAUACGCAAUAUUCGACACAACUCUAACAGGAUCUGCAUUGUAUGAGGACUACCUCAUCACCUUGUAUUGGUCAGCCAUGCACUUUGUUCGGUUGUUGCAUUAUACUCUCUCUGUUCAGAAUUAUUGGUCGCAGAAAUGGAUGUAUCUAGUUAUAUUUAUAUAGUUCUAUAUACAUCAAUUUCUAUUCAUUUUUGAGACAGGUAGUCCCGGACGGAAGGAAUAUAUAAAGCGGGGCGCCUGGUUCAAACUUUAAAGAGAGACAUAACCACAAAGGAGACGUAAGAAGGCAAAUAACUACAGCGCAAUUGAUGUCAUGUCAGCAAGAAAUGUUCUUAAGGGCCACUCCACAGCUUCCCACUACGAACCUAAAUCUUCAUGAAACUUGAGAAAAUCAUACUCGACGAAAAUCAUACGCUUGUUUUAGAUGCCUGUCGUCGUUGGUUGCUACAGAAGAUGGAUUUAAAUAAUUGAAAUUAAGUUUUUUUUUAGCACUCUCUCUGAGCCAAAUUAAUUAACAUAGCUCUAGUACAACUUUUUCUUUUUGAGUUUGGACUUGGUUUGGCUGUGUGCAUCUUUUUUUUUGAAAUGUUGGCUGUGUGCAUUUUAGUUAUGCAGAAGCCAGAUAAUACUUAAAAACUUUGUAAGCAAUAAAGCGCCCCUUAUCGAACAAUAGAAUUAUGCAGAGGACUAACACUUAACUCUCGAGUAGUAACUGGUUGAAACUUACCAGCUCUACGUGGUUGAUGUUGACAUCCAAUUUCGAAUACAGAACAUAUUUCCCAAACCAUUCAAAAACAUCACAUUGCCAUCUUGGUUAUUACCCUUUAACCUCCUCACAGCAGAUUCCAUCUGCAUACACUCAGUGUAAGAACGCAGCAGAUCCAUUAAAACAUGUAGUACGAAUUAUCACGUUAUACUAAAAUUUUAGAAUCAACAAGACAUUAGCUACAUAUUGACUUCUUUAAUUAUUUAUGAAGACUGCCUCUAGAGAAUUGUUGGCAUGUCUAUGACGGUAAAUUUGCAGCUCAGUUAAAGUGUGCUUGGUUGGUUAAACAAGGUAUACUAGAUGAUUUUCCCGCGCGUUGCUGCGGGAUUUUAAAGAUUAAUUUUGGAUAUAUUAUAUAAGAAUGAAAUGAUCUAAAUCAAAAGCUAUUAUUUUCAAAAGUAAUUAUAUGUGAACAAAGAGUAUGCAUGUACGUUGGACCAUUGGAGAUGGAACAAUUAAAUUGGAGUAUGCAUGUGCUACAAAAUAAUUCUAGUGGGUGAUGAUAUGUGGAGGGCUGCAUGUUGAGAUAAUUAGACUUAAUGGGAUCAACUAUAUAUUUAUUAUAGAUGGGAUAGGUUGUUUGCUUGGUUGGGUGGAUGGGAGUAUCAAAAAAGAUUAAUUAGCUAAAUGAUACCUCCUAACUUCUACAUUAACACCAUCAAGACCUAGUGAACCUACUUAAGUCAAACCAGAAAAACAUGUACCUGUUUCAGAUAAUCAUCCAUGAACAUGAUUGCAUGGUCAUCAUGCCCAGUACUGAGUUUGAAAACAUGAAGUACAUUGUCUUUCUUCAAUGACUGCAAAAAUGAUUUCUAUAUAUGUUCAGAUUUUCAUCAAAGCAAGGAAAAUUUUCUCUGGUGCAGUUGAAGAUUACUACACAUUGGUAAACAAUAAUCACCAACAGUUUAACACAAGAAUAGCUAGAAAAGAAUCCAAAGGUAAAACACAAACUCAUCAUUGCAUUACAACAGUUGUGUAUACAUAAAGAAUUAUUGCAUAAGUUCAAAACAAUACCUUGAAAUCUCUGGCAGCUUGUGUCCUGUCCUUCACGCUAUUAUAGUUUGGGACUGCAAAAUGAAUGGUUGUGUCACAGCCUACAAGUGAACACAAGAAAAAGGUGAAUUUCGGAUCUGAAUCACCAUUAAAAAAGGAAACAGUUAGAGAAGAAGCACACACUGAGUUUAUAUAACCAUCUUUAUUAUAUAACAACAUGUUACAUGGGAGUAUUGUUACAUCCCUCCAUUAAGAGGAGGAGCAAACAUAAGUACAAGAGUUUAAUAGUGGCCGUGUCCCCCAACCCACAAAUAACUUUGGCACAUGCACGCACAGACCAGAAUUUUGCAACAGAAAACAUCACUAACCUAUGCACACGGUGGCUCUCGCAGCCAGUGAUGGUAGGCCUGAAUCGUCGCUCCACCUCUGCCUUGAUGUUGUUGGCCAUUGUCUGAAGGUCCUGGUUCUCUCCCUCGAACACCAGGUAGCUAUGUUCUCUCCAAAAUCCCUACGGGCCAAAUUUGUACAAUCACUAUCGAGUCCAGGUCUUUUUGCCGAUCUUUUGGCAGUGCUUUUCACCUAGACAGCCACCAAAUUCACCUGAAGUGGCGAGCUGUUCAUUUUAAAAUGACUUGCCACAGUUAUGUCAACCAGGAUCAUUGCUCUCUUUCUCGGCCUCCCGCAGAACUUCACAAGUUAUGAGUUUGCUGUAUGAGUAUAUAACUGAAUGAAGUAGUCUUUGAACCUGCAAACAGAGCACUUAAUCUACUUCUCAACGCACUGGAAUUUUUUGCAAUGUCUCUCUGUACUAAUUGUCCACUGCUACCCUACCACGAAGAAGUAGCGAUUUCUCCACCAAUCCAGCUCGCAAUCGGAUUAAACACUAGGCAAAGAAAUUCCUCUCUGCAACUAUAUAUCCAUACAAAAGUACCAUUUACUCCUGGAUCGAGCACUAAGCCACUAACUGACGGACGGAGAAUGGAUGACUAACCUUCUAGUUGCAACCGCAUGACCUCUGACCUGCCCUGCCGGCGGCUCACAGCGAUGGAUAGCGGACUAGCCUGCCAUCUAGGGUAAUUGCAGACGGCCAGAGUUGCAACGGAGGCCUCAUCGUGAUACACGACGACCUCCGUAGCUGGGAUCAGAUGUAUUUUCUAAUUUGAAUUGAAUAUGUAGUGUCACCAUUCCAGAUUUUUGGUACAUAUGAACAAAAAUAAAUUUAUUCAUGGGCCAUUCAACACUUUUCAACUCAUCGGAUACUGGCUCAGAUCGAGUUCACAUAUCAUUAACAUAUUUCGAACCAAAUCCAUAAUCAUAAAAUCCUCUGGUUUUAUUCAAACAAGCGGUGGAGAUGCCCCAUCCCUCCUAGCAUUGUUUUUCCUUAUCAUUUAGGAUCUCUUCAUUCAGCCUUUAAUAGAUUAAUAACAAAAAAACAUAAGUAUGGCCUAGAUAUAUAAGAUGCUUCAGAAUAGCUGGGCACAAACAAGUUGGCAUGAAACGGUCUAGAACUUCUUUUGCGGGAAAAAAUCUAGACCUUCUCAAAAUCCAACAAAUAAAAUAUGCUCGUUGUCCAUGAUCUAGGAGGGUAUCUACGAAUAGGUACUUAAGGUUUGUUCAUGAAAAGUAUUAAAAUAUUUGGCAAUUUUCCUUUUGGGUAGACAAAGUACCUAGAAAUAUGUAAAUUCAUGCUUAUACACCUGAACAUGCACCAUAGUAGACCAAAUUAUGUUGCCAAAGUAUAACGAACAUAUUAUAUUUUUGAAUAGGUUAUCUGUGUAAAUGGUCUACACAAUUCAAAUAAGUAUCAACUUCAUGCCCAAAAGAUUUAGUAAAAGGUACCGGGUGGUCCCAAUGAAAUAUUUACAUAACAUUACAAACUUAGUCCACCAAAAGAAUGAUUUGAUCCAGAAAAAUCCUUCUUCACACAUAGAUCGAACUGAUGAUGACGUAUCUAGAGUUAGGACCGGAUAUAUGCUAGUAACUUGUAAGCAAUUACCAUCCUUUACAUGUAAGGGAAUUCUAUGAGUCAUGUCAUGAUCUAUACCUCUCAGUUCAUCUUAUCAUCUUAGAGAACAAUACAAAGUUAGUUUUAUAAAAAAGCAACCGAGUCUAGACGAACCCUCCACAUACAAGGCUUUAAUAAUCGAGCAUAUCUUAACAGUCCACACACGAUUGCAACUUAGUCCUACACAGGUUUUGCCUUUCUUGUUUAUGGUUGACAGCCUAUACAAGGUUCCAAACUCGGUUGCAAAAGUGAUACUAUCCUGAUAAAUGUGUGACAUGUAAAGUGAAUAAGGCGAGUCAUAUAUACCACACAUCAGGGUUUCUAUAAUUUGUGUGUGAUCAUAUGCACAACUAAAAAGCAACUUUGAUGAUCAAUCCAAAAGUACGCUUGUAGCUAGUGCAACCUAACACAAUGUACCAAAAAAUCAUUUCUGAUGCAUCCAAAUAGAAUUAUUUAAGUUGAUGCAAAGAAGGAAAGAGGUGGUGCCCGGACUACUAUAAAUAGGCAUGAAGUAUAAUGAUCAUCACAAGCACAAGCAUCAAAACCAAGCAAAAGUAGUUAGCACCAAUCCAUCAUGAAGACCUUCCUCGUCUUUGCCCUCAUCGCCGUUGUGGCGACAAGUGCCAUUGCACAGAUGGAGACUAGCUGCAUCUCUGGUUUGGAGAGACCAUGGCAGCAGCAACCAUUACCACCACAACAGUCAUUUUCACAACAACCACCAUUUUCACAACAACAACAACAACCAUUACCUCAACAACCAUCAUUUUCGCAGCAACAACCACCAUUUUCGCAGCAACAACCAAUUCUAUCGCAGCAACCACCAUUUUCACAGCAACAACAACCAGUUCUACCGCAACAAUCACCAUUUUCGCAGCAACAACAACUAGUUUUACCUCCACAACAACAACAACAACAACUUGUGCAACAGCAAAUCCCUAUUGUUCAGCCAUCCGUUUUGCAGCAGCUAAACCCAUGCAAAGUAUUCCUCCAGCAGCAGUGCAGCCCUGUAGCAAUGCCACAACGUCUUGCUAGGUCACAGAUGUGGCAGCAGAGCAGUUGCCAUGUGAUGCAACAACAAUGUUGCCAGCAAUUGCAGCAAAUCCCCGAACAAUCCCGCUAUGAAGCAAUCCGUGCCAUCAUCUACUCCAUCAUCCUGCAAGAACAACAACAGGGCUUUGUCCAACCUCAGCAGCAACAACCCCAACAGUCAGGUCAAGGUGUCUCCCAAUCCCAACAGCAGUCGCAGCAGCAGCUCGGACAAUGUUCUUUCCAACAACCUCAACAGCAA
rnacentral:lncRNA from 1 species